rnacentral:lncRNA from 1 species
UUCCACAAUGAACAAAAGGCAUUAUUGAUUUACAACACACGAUACACAAAAUAAUUUAUAGUAAGACACAAACAAAUACACUGUGGUAUGAUUACAUUAUUGACAUUUGCUCACAAAUUCAACUAUCAAUGGCUCUCAUCUCCUGUAUACUCAAAUAAAUAGUGUAUCAAAUUAUUAUUCAUGCACCAGCCAAUGCCCUUCUGCUUCUGCAUGGCUUUCCCAUCACAAGUUGUGGCAGCAGGCGCAUGUACGCACGUUGAUUCCAACUUUACUACUAUAACUUUCAAUCGAGAAUCCAGUGUGUGAUAAGGUAAAAGAUGAAUGGGCGUUUUUUUUCUUUUUUGACUUUGGAUUGCAACUUUAGAUUCCUGCCAGGCAUUCGGGUGGGGCAACGGGGAAACGGGAUCUGUCGGUGCAGUAAUCAUAGAUCAUGUGAUUGGCGCGAACCCAGUGAUAUUUCCUAGCCUCAAGCGGGGUUAGUCCUCUGUAGUUAGGUCCUUCCCACCAAUUGUUUGGGUUGAAGGCACAAGCAGCUGGUCCUGGCACAACGCAACCGUCAACGUCGAAGUCUUUGUAGUAUGUGUAGAAGGGGGCUUUGCUCCAAUCAAUUUUCUCUAAUCCACCCCUGGUUGCCCAGUCAUCUGCAUCCCAAAGAGUGGAAAAGAUACCCAUGGGUUGCCUCUUUGGGUAUGGGAUUCCUAUCGCUUCAUUGUUCUUGAAAACCCUGAUGGGCACGUCGUCCACAUAGUAGCUGUCGACCAAACAUCACCCAUUAGCAAUAUGGAAGAUCCACACAACUACACUUUGUGUAUGUUAUGGACUUGUUCAAAUUCGUAAAAUUGUCUGAGAUAGAAUUGCCUAAAAUAUAAAGACUUCAUGAAAUAGAAGAACAACGAUACACUCUCAAGAGAACUAGUAACUAAGACUAGUCACAGUGUCUGUAAUAUUCAUAUUCUGAGUCAUCACAAACAUUGUAACCUUUUAAAAAUACUAAAACUCUCUCAAUCAUUACUAUUGUUUUUGUUUUUUUUUUAAAGAUGCUGCUGACUUACAUAAUAUUCUCCCGGGUCCAACGUAUAGUAUAAGUGUGAAAUCCUAUAGAGGGAUCAAACCACAGGUUGAUCCUUUGUUCCCUGCUACCUUUCCCGUUAACGUAGACAUUAGUUUGGACAGUGGUGGGUUGUCCCGAGCGAUUCCCCAAGAAUUCGAAAUCAAGCUCGUCACGAACAUAGUUGGUGUCGGAGUUCAUCUGAAACAGUUAAUAUUCAUGCAAAUCAAGAAAUCAAGCUUUUUUUUUUUGGUUUGUGGGGGGGGGGGGGGAAGAGGGGAGGUGUUAGAACUGAGAACAUACAUAGAAGGCAGUAACUGUUCCUGCAGAGUCACCAGGAAUGAGCUUGAUCUUCACACUAAAACUGCCAAACAAAUAUUGGUUCUUGGAAGCAAACCCGCAUCCUAAAUACGGAUGCAUUUCAAAAUUCAGGUUAUUGCAUCAUCAAUCUUGAAUAAUUCUUGAUACAACUAACAAAGGAUUCUGGUUAAUGGUCCCCUUGUACAAAAGCCAAAAAAGUAAAAAAAGAAAAGGGUAGUACCUGAAUUUCGGUCAAGAGUGAGCUGAAUGGCGGUUCCUCCAUCGAUUUGCCUGAUAUGAGAGUCGGACCACGUGACUCGAAAAUCUUGAACAAAAGUUGCCGGUCGUCCGCUAACAGUGACGAAGGAAAAGGCCAAGGCAUACAUGAUUGUACCAACAAAGAAAGCAGCACGUAUUGAACUCAAAUGUAACAUAUUGGCCAUGGUUUUAAGUAGUAUAUUUUUGCCUGCGUGCGUGUGUUUGUGGGAUGUGGAAACCAAGUCUCAGGCGCCUCUAUAUUUAUAUACACAAAUGCGGAAGUGAGGGAGGGGGGGAAGAAGGGGAGGUGAAAGGGACUGCUGCAUUCAAAUAGAAAGCGCCAUAUUACACCUUAGCUUUCUAAACAGCUAAUGGUAAGCCGUCACUGGACCACCCUCCCUCCCUCCCUCUCUCUAAUCUCUACCCAAUCCUAUUAUUGGAUUGUUGGUAGUAUACCUACUGUUUAUUCACUAUUCAGAGUUUAGGUUAUGGGCAAUUCUUCAUUUCAUGAUGUAUCCAUAACGAUCCUGUCAACUUCAAUAUUAUGCAAAUUAUGAUUUCCCGCGUAGUAAUCUGCAAUGCGAGGCUGUGAGCUAUAGUAGGAGGAUCUAUCCAUACAUGGAUCAUUGGAGGAGUUAUCGAAGGUAUGGGUCGAUUACCCUCUUUCACUAAAGUGGAACUAACAUUUGCUGCCUAACCCACUUUAAGCUGCUGUUGAAUUUUUUGACAUUCUAAUGGGUCAAAUAAGUCGUUUCAUACUUCUAAAAGUGUAGACUUUGACAGCAGGACUUAACUUGUAUCAAUUUAACAUGUCUUCUAGUCUAGACUCCAAUAUAGGAUUGCAUCAUUUUGAUCGGAAGCUCUCUUAAGACUCUUUCUAGACUUGGUCCUGUUUACCAGUUGUUCUACUAGUUCUCCAUAUGUGUCCACGUCCGAAAAUUAAUUCUCUGCAUUGAUUAGACAAGCAUUUCUACUAGUAGUUAUGUUGCUGCAGGCUUCGUUUCAUCCUUCACAGUCAAGUAAACAUUUUUUUUCCACCAAGAAAUUGAAAGAAGAAAUUGUGCCGCUAUAUUCUUUUGUAAGAGCAACCUGUCGACACAUGCAAAAAUAAAAUAAAAUAAAAAUAAAAACAAAGGUAAGAAUAAAGAAUAUGAUGAAGAGAAUAACUAUAAGAUUUUGAAUUUCUUUUGGUUAAAACACGAAUUGGGAAGGAAGAGGAGGGAUUUUCACCAAAAUGCCAAUUAUUUUCUUCUUUUUCCCAAACCCUCUAUGCUAACUGAUCUGCAUAGCUCGUACUGAAAAUGUCAAAGAACAUAGAACUCCUAAUAUGCUAAGUAACCGACAUUUAAGUCCAACCGAACAAUACAGAAGGGCAAGCAAGUGCCUCAAUUGAUAAUUUAGUUAAAGGACAUGAGACUAUUCAGUAGUUAAGGUUUUUUUUUUUGGGGGGGGGGGGUUGGUGUGGAAUUUUGUGCAAAGGUAUCUUUAAUUGUUGCAUCAGUUCCCAAAAGUAAUGUUGUUAAAUUCGGACCGAAUAACGACUCAACAAAAUUAUUGGAUUAAGGGUUGAUUAGUCGGAUUGGUCGAACCAUUACUCGCUAACGUGAGCAUGGUGUUAUAAUUGUUUUAUAUUUUUAUAAAGUUAAGGAAUAUUGAAAUAGCGUUCUUGGUUAUAUUUGCCAACCAUACAAAAUGUUACAAAAAUAUAAAUUUUGCAAUCAAAUAUACACCUAAAAUAUAAAAAUGUGAAUUCAAAUCUAAAAUAUGCUCAUUCUCCAAAAUUACUUUAAAAACUAAUUAAAACAAAUCAUACCCAAUUCGAGAUUUUUUUUUUGUUGGGAAUAUGGCUUUAUAAUGCAAGUUGGAAUAACUGAUGAUAAGUUGAUAAGGAUAAACAUUUCUUGAUUUAGAGAUUAUUUAGGAAAAUGAGUGAUUUUGAUGUUUAUACUAAUUGGAUGGUGUUUUCUUAUUCCUAUUAAUAAAUGAAAGUUUUAAAAUUUAGGUAAUCCAAAUUAUGUCUCAGACAAAUAAGAACAAAAAGUUUGAUAACGGGAUCAAACAGUUGAAUUGGGCCACUGUUUUGACUGAUUUUUUGAUGAUUUUGACUGAUUUUCGAUCGACCGGAGUGAUUUUGUAUUACUAACCAACUUGAAAAAAAAUGCGAUUCGCGAUUGACUCGAUCAGAUCGAUCGGUCCGAUAUGUGUAAGUGGUACGGAAGUUAGCCAUUUGGAACCUUGUUAGGAAAUUCGCCAAAUUAUCACGUGGCAAACCACGAGUCCUGAUGAAAUUCAAUUUAAAAAAACAUAGAACUACAAACUAUUCACGAAAUUGAAACUGAGAUUUUCAAUGGCUAGUGAUUAAUGCGCUCAAUGAUCUUACGAAAUUAAUUGUCCGUCCUGUUGUUAGGCGGAGAGCAAUUACGAUAUACUACUUUUUUUCUACUCGAACUGCAGACUAGUUGAUCUACAUUGAAUCAAGAAUCCGAACGACUCAUAAUUCCACUGAACAAUCAGCUACCCUUUUAUCUCCGGUAACAAGGGGAAGAGAAAAAUGAGAGUUUAAUCUACUUAUUGAAUCGCAUGUUUUCUCUUCGAACUCGAAUGGGUUAAGGUGGUCGGGGGAUUUCAUUGAUUAAGGUAAUUGCUUGGCCCAAAAAGUUCUGGUGCGUGCCGAUGCCUUGAAUCCAGAAAUGCUUUAUACGGUUUGGCACCGCAGAAGCAGAGCAGGGAGGAAGGAAUACCGGCGGCCCAUUUAGGCAACACAUUGCACAUCUCUGGUGCACAAGGAAGAAAAUUAGAUGUUGAUAUAGAUAUGGCGGCAUUGGCGGAUGGAGGACCCGCCUCUUCAGUCUUCAUCCUUGUGGGCACACCGCCAGAUACUAUUUCACCUGGGUUUAGGCCAUAAUUUGCCACCUGAGAGCCUACUCCAGUCCAGCCUCAUUGCUAUUAGGAUUUGAAGGUUAACAGUCACCCGGAAGCCUUCAUGGACUACGUGGCUACUUGAGCAUCAAUGAAAUUUUCUUUCUUUUUUAUGUAAAGCAUAGAAUACAUACUGUCUUGAAUAAGAUCACGGAUGAAUGAUUGAGUUGUAUAGAAUAAUCACUUUAUGUAGAAGAGAAUAGGCCAUAAUGACAUUCGAGCUCCAUGAAUUGACUAUUCUGCUACGUGCCUCUGUCGUUGUCCAGGUGAUGGAGCUAGCGCGCGAGUUCAAAAAUUUUUCUACUGCCUUCUGGCUUUUGUGUUUUACAAUCAGAAUUUGCUAUAUUCAAACUUCCUCCCCCAAUAUCCUAGAUGGUCUUUGCUCUACUCUAAUAAAGACUACGAAGAAGGAAAGAUUGCAUUAGAUAAAAAAUUUUUUUUUUGGUCACCAAGCCGUGACUACAAAGAAAGAAUAUAAUUCCUUCUAAUAAAGGUGAAUGAACAUCUUCGGAAGGCUUAAAGGCCUUCUCAAAAGCUUGAUAUUGUCAGCAACAACGAUUAAACGGGCGCCCAAUGUCAAAAUUGAGAUUAGUAUUAUGGAAGUUUCAUGAACAAACUAGUAGAUAUUACGAAUGAAAAUGGGGGCGAGUACCUGUCCAUGCAGGGGAAGAGUGGCGCGGAGGUUGAGGCGGGGCCGGAAUGGCGGAAGGGGAACUUUUUCUCCUCCUAUCUAAGGGAGCACAGCACACCCCCUCGCAUCCCCUGUCAUGCCUCUUUUCUAAAUAUUAAUAUACUAUAACAUUUAUGUAUUUUUUUAUACGUAUAUAUGGAAUGAAAAUCACGGCUGUUGUUAUUAUGUAAAUAUAUUGUAUUAAAUAAAUAAUAUAUUAUAUUAUUAUGAUAAAAUGAUGCAAUUUUUCGCCAAAACUUGAAAAGAAUGAUCAAUAAAAUUAUUAUUAGAUAUAUAUAAAUAAAAAAUUAAAUCAAAUAAAAAAUAAUAUGAUAGCACAGUGGGACGGGUGCACCUGCAAAUAGUAGUGCAAGGCGGGACAGAGUAGGGGCAGGAGAAACUUUUGUAGAACGGGGCAGGCAGGCAGGGAGCUGGGGAAGCUUCCUCGCGUUGAAGAAAUUAUUUGAAGAAAUUAAAAAGUUUUUUUUUUUUUUGUUGAAGAAAUUAUUUGUUUCUAGCAAGUUUCUUUUGCAUAUCUCCUGAUCUUCUGCACCAUUUUUUUUUAAAAAAAAUUUGGGUACUAUUCUUCUAAACAGAUUAAGGAGAAAAACAUCGACUAACAUUAUUAUUAUUCUUUUUUAAAAAAAAAAAUAGCUCAACCGUCCAAUUUUAUUGAAUAUAGUUGGGGAGGUGAGAGCAAUUUAAUAAAGUAUAAUUAUGAGGUUUCUGAUUAAAAUUACCCCUUAGUGACAUAUAGUAGAUUGGUGGCAGCAGGGUGGGACCUUGGAAGUGAGGCCUACCAUUCUCCGUACACUCUGACGAGGGACUUUCGAGGGGAUGAGACUUGGCAGUCCCACAGGCCCAAUGGGCGAAUCCGACAAAAGAAUCGCUUUUGCUUUCGACCUAGAACAGGAAUGGAAAGGUCUGACGCGGCAAAAAAUUCAAGUCACACCACACGUCGGUAACAAAUCGAAUUUGGGUUCGGAUCCCACCUCCACGUUUCCCUUGGGUUUGCGUGCCCCAACAGCAGGGCCGUGUCUCUUUCGUAGCUCUAACACCAACCAUAUGAUUGGCUCUAGACCACGAUAAGGAGGAACAAAAUUUCAAGGCCUUCGGAUGAGUCUUGACCAAAUUAUUUUAUUUAUGGCGAGGGGCCGCGGCUAAUACUACUAAUUAUAUUAAGCUGUGGAAACAUGUUUUGACUAGGAUGCCAAGGUUCAACAUUCUUGGAAGAGCUUUCUGUUGUGCUAAAAAAAAUAUAUCUUACAUUUUUUUGAAAAGAAGUCGAGAAAUAUCUUACAUCUCUCCAGUUAAAAACUACAAUUAGGAUCAUUCAGGAGAUAAUUUAGUUUAAUACUGGCAGUUGCUCUGUCAAUGAACAUCAACUGGUCCAUUCUUGGGGUUCAUAUGAGAUUAGACAUGACCUAAUGAGACGGUUAAGCUACUCUUAGACAGGCUUUAAUGCUCGGUUUAGCACUUGCUCCUUCCAAGGUAAGGGCAGAAUCGACCGUCUAACGACAGCGUGCGCUCUAUUAUUAUCUCCAGGACUUGGAUCGUUAACUUAACUUUCAUUCCAGCCGUCAAUAUCCUGCACGUAUUUUUGUUGUUGUUCGAACUAUCAAAUUUUAAAGUCCUAACUUCAUUAUUCCUGGCACUAGUUUUCUCAUGUCGUACCACCACAUUUACAGGAAACGCAUCUUUUUUAGCCACUCAUCAUGGCUCAUGGGAUGUAUAUUCCUCCACCCUUUUACCCAAUUGAUCCGACUGAUUAAAUUUGGCACCGUCCGAAAGAAUCGACUGCGGAACUAGAAAGGCAUGCAUGGAAAUGUAAAAGUCUGCAUUAUUGUUACGCUAGCUGGUAUGAUGUCAAAAUCGGUCACGCAAUUGUCUGAUACAGACCUAUAUAUAUAUUAUACAAUGCACAGGUUUAAAUGGCUGCCAUUGGAAUUGAGAUAGAGAUGAGGAUAGUAGGGCAUCUCUCAUUGAUGAUGAUACAUUUAGAAGGAUUCAGAGCAUUCAACCACCUCUUUAUCAGUGUAUAUGGCAAAAUCCCAUCUAGUCAGUAUCCAAGUCAGCUCAUACUUUGCCCAGGUCUGUAGCCCGUGAGCAGUCGACGCCAGAUUGUGGUAGGAUAUUGCAAUCUACCAGCAAUUAAAACUCACAUCUACGACAACCCAGAUUAGGGUCCUACAGUCGAUUAAUUGCAGGUUAGACAAAUUCGAUGACAUGGGCGAAUUGUAAAACAGCGUUCACUGAUGUAAGCGUCAUCGUUUGGUACACACAAGAAGUCAAUUUGUAAAUGGCGUCUUCCGAUCCAUCAAAUGGUGUCAACUUGUAUCUAAAUCAUCGAUUGGACAAACAAAUUCAACCUCCGCUCCACCCAAAAUUUUUACCACGCACGAGAGUGGGAGUGUGUGUGGGUGAAAAGAUGGAGGAGGACGUUGCUUUGAAUUGCAUGACAGGUAGUUUUCAAGGAUUUGUAACAAAGGGUAAAUCAAUUCUUCCGCAAAUGUAUGUGUUCUUCCAGGUACCUGCAGGCUUGUGACUGUGUUUCUUGCAACAAGUUGGUAAUUCUGAUAGAUUGGCAAUUCCUGUUUCAUCGAGUUUCAUGUCCCCACAUAGUUAUUAAAUCCAGCCCGGUCCGACGGACGAACCGAUCAAAUCAAUGAACCAGACAUUGGACCGGACUGGAUUUUAAAUUAGAUCAUUUAAGCAAUCAAAUCGUUGACUAGUCAAUGGAGCGGCGAUUCGACUGGAUGAAACCGGAAACCUGCCCGAUUUUGUCUAGGAACCGGAUUUCGUAUAAAAAUUUUAUUCCUUUGUUGGAAUUAGACCUCUGGUCCUUUAAGCAAGGCGCGUACCACCAAGCUACUUCACCAUUUGUUGAUUGAGUAGCUUACUUAUAAUAUAUAAACGUUUUGUCAACUUUAUCUUUUUUUUUUUUUAUUUCUUUGGGAUCUUUUAAUAAAAAUUUAUGACCCCAAACUUUAUAAGUUAUAAAAUGGACUUCAAAAAUGACAUAUUACAUAAUUCAUUUUAAAGACAAAUAUUAUUUUUAAUAAUUUUUUGCACUUAAAAUUCAUAAAUAAGUUAGAUAAUUACACUAAACAUAGAUAAAAUUUUAUACUUGAAGUUUGGUAUAUUACUAAAUAACUUAAUAUUUUAUUGAUUCUUAUAUGAAUUAAUUAUUUUAUAUCAAAUUAAAUUAUAUGAGCAUUUGUUAUGACAUUAUUUAUUAUAAUUUAUAUCAUAUAUCUUAUAUCAAAAAUUAUGAAAUAUAAUAUUUACAUAUAAUUAGUGACCCACCGGUUCAACCACUCACCCACUGAUUGAACUAGUAACCCGUUGAUCCAUCUCGUUCGCCGGGUUCCUCCCGGGUUGGAUUUAAUUACUAUGCUCAGAAGUAGUAAAGAACAGGAAACGAGUUCCAACGUCGCUAAAAAAGUAGGGUGACAAAAAAUUGCGACAUGAUAAACCCAAGGUUAUAAGUAGUUUAUCAAAAUGGAAAAUUUGUAGUGCAGGAAGCUAUGUUUCAGUCCUUCAGCACACCUGCAGGUGGUUCUAUAGAGCAUUAAAAAACGGGUGGUUCCAUGUAGGUGUAAGUUUAUCAGGUUACGCGCUGUAUACUCUUUAGUCCGAGAAGCCGGGAGCAUGUUCUUGAUUCCAGAGGAGACUCCAAGCCCAGAACGGAAGAAAGCAAAGGAUUCCAGAAUCAGAAACUGGUAUAGUCUUACAACUAAAAUUGGAUUUAGAGAGAAGUUAAUGGCUUUCUCCGCUGGAAGGAGGGGUAAAGAAGUCACGUCCGAUUUGGGAUUAAAAAUCAGCUUAAACUCGGAAAACUUCAAAUUGAAACAAACGAUUAGAUCAGAGACUGAGUUGAGUUGGCUUGAUGUCGGACGUAAACUGUACUAUGGAGUUGCAGGAAACUCAUGUGUUCCAUUCGCUUCAUGCAUCGAAUACAUAUUUGUUUUGAGCAAUUAAGCCGAAAAGCACCAAAUACUAGUCUGUAUUGUGAUAGCAUCAAACGAAAGCAAUAUACGUUACCAAAUAAAUUUCCAGUGAUUGAUCACUAUACUUUAAGGUCACUUAAUGCAUUUUUGCAAAUUCGGUUCAUACGACGGUUUGAUUCACGGUGCGAGUGAUUCAGGGAAAAAAAAAAGGACGGCAGUGAAAAGCUUUGCCUAUUUGGGUACUCAUAGAAAAGAUCCAGCUUGUGUUCGUCACAGUCUGCAUGCAGGCUGAACUGCAAAUUUUUCUUUUGUUUAUUAUUAGUGGGUUCAUGCCUUACAAUCGCUAGGACUUGUAAUUACCCAACAAGAGGAAGGCCCAUGGGCCUGUUCGCAGCACCCAAACACCAAAACUGUACCCCUUUUAUAAGGGCAAAUUACACUUUACUCUCUUAUGAUUUAAUGUUAUUUGUACAUAAUCCCUAUAUAGUUUUAAAAACUGUAUAUAAUCCCCUCAUGAUUUUAAUUAAAGUGUCAAAGUGACGAAAGUUGAACAUUAUUUAUUAACCAUAGGGGGGUUAUGUGUAUAUUUUGAAAACUAUAAGAGGGUUAUAUGGUAAAAUAUUAAAUCAUAAGGGGGUUACAUGGUAAAAUAUAAAAUCAUGCGGGAUGGUUAGCGUAUCAUGCAUAUUAUGUUUGUAUAUUUUUGUCACUUCAACCAUUUUAAUUUUUAAAUAAGAGUAAUUAUGAUAUUUUCAUAGGUUCCGUUACGAAUAAUCAUUUUCGUCACUUUAACACUUUAAUCCAAAUUAUAAGGGAGUUAUAUAUAGUUUUUGAAAUUAUAGGGUGGUUAUGUUCAAAACCACUAAAACCAUAUGGGGAUAAAGUGUAAUUUGACCAAGAAAAAAAAAUGCCAUUAACCGUCUAGAUGAAUUAAUGCGAUUCAACGCCUCCAUGCCCUGAUAAAUUAUGGGUUGGAAUUAUUCAGAAAAUCAAAACUUGAAAUUACUAUGAUAACACCAGACCAGUAACGUAGCCUUCAAAGCCCAACUUUUUCAUUAUUGUAAUGCUUCAGUUACUCCAGUCUGCUGUGCUUUCAGCAAUUGAUGCAUUUCCGUAAGUGUUGAUUCGUACGCUAUUUUAACUAAAAUUUUUUAAAGUAAUUCAGGAAAACAUGAUAGGGACAAGUCCAUAUGCUAGAAAGAUGCAGUUUUUCAAGUUCGUACUUUGUAUAGAUAAUUUGAGUGACAUGAUUUUCGUUUUUUUUUUUGGGUACUAUCUUAGUUCUAUUCAAAAUGACUUUUUUCUGACAUUUUUUUUAUACGAGUAUGGGGCUGCUUUUUUUUUUUUUUUUUUUUGGGUUUCCUUCCAAAAUUCUAUUUAGUCUAAUAUAUACAUUACAGGGAUAUGAUUUAGCGGCGCUGCUUCAUUUGAGUUUGCGCACUCUGCUAGUUGAUCGCUUAGUCAAAAAAGUUCCAAUUGUAGUACAUGAUAUAUUAAAGAGUUUUGACUUUUUGAUUUCAUCAUCAACUUCUACAAGUAUUUUCUUGAGUCAACUUUAGGAGUAUGGCACAUGAUAUCGCCACAUGACAUUCAUAGACCUUUAAGAUGUGUUUAUACCAAGACAAGAAUUAGAGGAGAAGAAUAUGGACUUUCCCUAAAUUCAUCAACAAUUUAUCAUGCUCAAGUCCCAUUGAAACCGUCAAUAAAAGUACUGCAUACCAUCAAGGAUACAAAUACAAUCAAAUGAAUCUCAUCAACAUUUGGAUUUGCAAUUUUGCAGAAGCAAAAAGAGUGGCGCUAAUCCCCGAGCCGCAAGCGGUACAAGAAAUCUCCAGCAAUGGGCAAAAUAUACAGCACUUUGGAAAGCGAAAACACCCCCAAGAAAUCUUAACAGCUAUAGUCAGGUGUCCGUUAGGGUGUCUGGACGUGGGCAAGAGUGGCCUCUUGCUGUUUUGGGGCUUUGUCUUGUUUCCUCCAAAUAUCAAAUGUACACCCUCUGCUUUCCUCUCUAUCUGUUGUUGCUGUCCCAUGAAUCGUGUUCCAUAAGGCUGAUUAGCAGUAAUAUACCAAUUUUUCCUCAUCAGCUCACCAUCAUACCAUAUCUGGCCCUAUGGAAUUCUGAAUUCUAAAAUUCUAAUACUACUGCUGGAUGCUAAUGGGCAAUUUCUCUCUUUCUUCCAUUAUAACACGUACGUUCAAAAGGUCUGGACUAGUCUGGCUCAUGGAACGAGGUUAAGGUUCUUCCCUUUUCGCACCUCUCUUCCCUUUUGCUUGCUUCUCACAACUUUUUGAACUUACUGCCCAAACUGUUUUGUCCUUCCACGUUGUUCUAUCAUCUGAGAUGAUCAGCACUCUAGGAAUCCGCAGCUGGAGAGCGACCUAUGUUAGUAUCAGCUUAUUCUUUCCCAAUUUCACUGACGCUUCCUUUUCUUUCAUCUCUUGUUAAACUCUUCUGCUGAUUUACUUCACAUCUCUAUCAUCAACGCUGCCUUUCCAGUUCCCACCUCCUACUUAAUUCCCUCUCCCUCCUUCCAUCUUUUUCUCAUCGCAAUUUCCCAACUCCGCCAACUCUCAAAAGUCUCAUCUCUUCAGCUCUAUACUUUCUCUGAAAUGGGUAGCCGUCAGGGCCUCACAUACAGCAGGCUUCACCAUUUUGCCAUUUCUGUUCUCAUUCUCCACCUGGUUUUUAGCUCAUCCCACUUGAGAAUAUUGUUCAACGCUGAAGGUAAAUUUGUUUGCCAGUGAAAGCUUUUAAUUUCUCCCACUCAAUUCACCAAUUUUGAACUUCAGUUUCAAUAUGUUUUUUUUUUUUUUGGCUUUUUCUUCAGGUAGACCAAUAGCUAAAACUGUUAGCAAUUCAAAGAUAGGUUCGAGGCCGCCGCGGUGCGAUCGGAAAUGCAACGCUUGUGGGCACUGCCAAGCUAUUCAGGUGCCUACAAAUCCCCAAAUCAGAGACGGGCACCAGAAUUAUCCCAGAAACUCCACCACUACUGUUUCCACGAUUUUCCAUUCCAGAGGAGAUGAUUACUCCAACUACAAGCCCAUGAGUUGGAAAUGCAAGUGUGGAAACCUCAUUUUCAACCCCUGAUUUCUUUCUUCUUCUCUUCUUCUUCUUCUUUUUUUUUUUUUUUGAUUUUUUUGAUUUUUCAUGUUUUUGGUAAUCCUGUAUAUAAAUGAUAAUAUCAGUUCCUAAAACCAUUCUAUUAUCAGUUGGUUUUUGAGGAUGGGGACCUUUUUCUUCAAAGGAUUUCUUAACAUGGUACUUCCAUAAUUCCGUUAUCAGAUAAUCAGAGAAUACGUUAGUAGAAAUUUGUGAAAUGAUUAAGAUAUGGUAUUCCAAAGUCAUUGCCCGUAAGCUGAUAAUGGAAUCUGCUUUUGUGAUCAGAGAAUCUCUGCCUCCACCAUACUUGCUACUGCAGUACUGAUGAAUCAUGAAUGGUGACAAGUAAAUGCAAGAAGUCCGUAAAACUACUAAACGUGCAGGAACCAUCAAUGAAAACGUGUAGUUCUAAACAAAUCCGGCGGCAAAACUCCGGGUAGCGGAUGAAAGAUAAAAAGUAGCAGAGAGUUUGGAAUAUAUGUAGUCUGGUUACAUAGACGGUACCGUUAGGUCUCCCUAGCAUUGCCCUUCGCACUCAUGUUACUACAACUGUUGUUUCACUCUCCCUGGCAACAAGUGAACUUGUAGGAUUAUGGUUGGGCUUUGAGAAGAAAAGAAUUUCAAUAUUCAGGUCAAAGUUUUCCAGUAGGAUCAUUUGUUCAAACUCUCUUAAUAAGGGCCAAAAUUCUAUUUGUGUUAAUUAGCCAGUAAAACAACAAACUGAAGACACCAUCUUCAAAUCUACCACUAGUAGUAAAUAUUGGGAUGCACAAAACCGCAGAAUUACUAAUUAAUGAGGCAAAACAGUGGCAAAAAACUUGGACUACUUUAUUGUCUAAAGCAAUUCGAUAGAGAGCAAAAAGAGACAGAGAGAGAAGUUACUGCUGAUGAUCAUUAUCAUGAGGGGAAAGAGCAAUGAUAAGAAAGAACAGCGAGGAGAAGUGUUGAAGCCUGUAGCAGAGGAAAUUGUCAAUUACUACUGCUUGUCUUGCAAGGAAUUAUUCUAUUAGAGUACUUCUUUUUAGCUUUUCCCGUGGAGGAGUAGAAGUAGAAAGCAGCAGUGGUCCAAAUCUACAAGUAGGGUGAUCUGCUUGCUUGAGCAAAUUGUCAUCACCUACAUUAGCAGGUAUAGGCACCAGCCUUUCCCGAGAGGCUGCCUAGCUAGCAUAGGUUUUUGUUGGUAAAAAGUUGCAGAAAACUAGAUAAGUUGUUUCCCAGAGGGAUUCUACUCUCAAAGUGGAAGACAAGUUGGAAAAAGGUAAAAAUUAAUCCGCACAUACUUUGGACAUUGGAGCAUCAAUUUAGGUCACUUAGUAAAAUUCAAGUUCCGAAAUUGCGUGCAAUAGGGAAAAAAGAAUCCUUCAAAAAAAAAAUAAAAAAAAAAGAGAGGAAAAAGAAUUGGAACACAAAUCUAUGCCUAGUUUAGAUUAAUUUUUUUUUAUUAUAAAUGGAAGAAUUUGAAUUCGAAACCACUAACUUAUACUCCCUCUUUCCAAUCAUGCAACUUAUCUCUGCAAGUCCAAUUUCGAUGGAAUUUUUAACUGCAUUAAAGAAAUUUUGAUGCAUCCGCACUAAAGUUGUCUCUACCCAAUUAUAUGUUGACACAUCAUCAUCAUCAGUACUGGUUAGAUUUUUUUUUUUAAAGAAUAAUUAUCAUUUUUCUGGUAUCAAAAUUCAAACGGAAGAAUAGUAGUCGUACUACCAUUAGCACAAAGGGUAAUGCCCUGCAUUAUAUAUCCAGAAAACUUCCAAGUCAAGAGAGCAGUUUUUUUCACUGCGUAACUGGCUUCCUCCUCCUCGCUUGCUUAAUCUUCCCACCUCCUGAGUUAGGCACGAUAUUUCCUGAGUUAAGCACUCUGCACAUUUAGAUUGUGUUUGGAUUGCAUUUUUCAUGAUUUUUCAUAGAAAAAAUACUGUAGCGAUCGAUGUAUGUGAGGAAAAAAGGUAAUAGGGAAAUGUCGACGGAAAACAGCAAUCCAAACAAGGCCUUAUCUUGUACACAUUGCAUUUCUCCAAAUAAAUCACAUCCUCAUAAAUCCGCUUGAACUUUGAAGUUACAACUAUUAAGUUACAAUUUCCAAACGAUUCAAAAUGAAAUCCAGUUAAUUAUAUCACAUUCUUAAAAAGAAAAAAGAGUUGCUAAAAAGGUCUGGUAUCCUAAUUUAACCAUGCGAAAAAAUGUUGAUCUUGCAACUACCCCCGAUUAAACGUACGCCCGGCUCCUUUUCUCUGAUGAGCAAUAAAAUCUCGAGUCAGUAAUGAAUGCUUGCUACUAGUUCUCGAUCAUUGAGGAAUGCAUCACCAGCCCGAUGAAUAAGUUAAAAACUUUUUUUUUUUUUUUUUGUCAAAAGGUCAAAGUUAAAAACUUUUCAUCACAGAAAAAAGAAGCAACUUUUUUUUGGCCCAGGAACUGAAGAAGAUCAGAGAGUUGGUGAUGCAUUCCUUCGACAGGUGGCCAAGAGUGAUAGAAAUGUGACAAGAAAAGUUCGUUUGAUGCGUCUGUCCAAACAGUUACCAUAGCAGUGGAAGCAGAACCAUUCUAGCAGGUAGAUGUAGAUCUUUUAUUGAUGAUGAUAAUCAGGUAUGACGAGACAUUUAAUGGAAAAUGGGAAGAGUUCCCACUGCAGAAAUCUGUUAUUUCCGCUUUCUCAUCAUACAGGCGAAGACCGUCUGAAAAUGCGUAUGCCACUGUGCGGCAUGCAUGUCAAUAUGACAAUGCAGCUCAGGUUAAAUCAACUUUCUAACCCACUGUGGAAAAAGAAAAGAAAAAAAAAGCAAAGCCAUGCUACUGAACCUUUUCUUGUGUAGAAUUUCUUGUUUUUAUCUUAUCCGUUUCAUGGAUUCUCCUUCACAUCAGAAUCUGUUCCUUGAAUUUAAUCUUGCAGAUGAUGUCGUUUGUUGCGAAAGAAGCCCGUCCUCCAGACAUCUUCAAUAACAAGGUGGAUGUUUAACUUAGAAUAUCACGCUGGAAGAACGAUAAAAUCGAAUAAAUUCCGAGUAUCAACUGUCAACUUGGGAAUUCAGAUUGUGGUACAAAACGUUAGAUGAAACAAGACGCAGCUGCGAUGUCGUCCCAUGAGAUUGACGAGAUGAUCCAUCUCCAGGCCAGGGAAAGAUCGGCAUCAGAUUGUCAAGUGUGGACAAUCAUCGGGAACUAUCAUAUUAUAUCCGCAAAUGCAAAAGGACAACUUCCGAAUCGGAUGCGAUGAAGACGGACAAAUGGGAGUCUGUGUGGCGCAUGUGCUGCUGAGAUUCCCGAAACCUUUUUUGCUUCUUGUUUUGGGCUCGCUUUGCUUACGUUCUGGAUUUUUUUUUUUUUUUGCUUUUAUUAUCUGGGUAGUUUCAUUUCAUAACUUCUAAGUAAUUCAUCAGCUUGUUGCGACGGAAAUGACUGGCGUGGAUGGUAUCGAGUAAUUUACUGCUCAUCGUUCCACGCCAUGGAGAUACAUCAAUGGUACCGGGCAAGAAACUUAACCUUGCGCGGGCAAUAGUUCACAAGCUCAGCAAAAUGACAUGCAACAGACAAAGCUUUUUAUUUGAUCACAGACAAACCUACAUGUGAUGUGAUCGAGCUUCCAAAAGUACAAACAUUUUACUUCCUCUCAGCUGCAUGUUCCUCCAUCACCAGCGUACGUCCUACACCUAUUGCUACUGAAUGUCAAAGGGCUUCCUUCUUUUCCUAAAAGCAGGAGAAAUUAGCACUAUUAGCCAUAAGCCCCAUCAGCUAUAUUUUAAUCAUAAUAGAAUACUGAACUCAUCGAGCCAGCGCCACUGGAAAGAGGCUGAACAGGAAAGUAGACACAAGAUGGGCAGAAAACACCACAAGGCACCAAUUGCAUGUGAAGAAAGCACAGCAGCAAAACUUCCCAGGAAAAUUUUCCAUAACAAAACGGAACCCGACUCAUUGAUGCAGCACAGUAUAUUUCAUCCAACAAAAUCCAUUGAUCAGUUAGAAAAACAAAAAACAUAAGUUGCUGCUAAAUUUGAACCAUGUCAACGAUCAGAGCAUCUUCACCAGUACAACCAAAGAAGAAUAAAAAAAAUACCCUGGAAAUAAAAGAGGAUUUCCUACCAGAAGGCUAGACAGGUUUAAUCAGGAUCCACUUGUAAAGCAAAGACAUUAUUAUUUGUUCCUGAAGUUUCUUUAUGUCACAUUUUAACUCGGUUAAGAAUCAGCAAUUUAAAUGGAAUUCAUCAGAAAAUAAUCACCAAACCGAAUAUAGCCUUGACCUUCAUUAAUGACCAGAAUAUCUUUCUUGAAGCACCCAAUAAAGCAACAAGAGCGGAGAGAUUCGCUCAUAAACAAAGAUAAGCACAAAAGCAGAUGGAAAGUUGUUAACGAAAAGCUAGUUAAGACUUGAGUAUGAGGCUUCCUUCUAUCAAUGGUUUCCCGGGCGAAACCGGCUUAAAAACUCCUGUACUCGUGAACCAGCAAUAUGCGUGCUUCUCCAAAAUAUGAUUUUCAAUCUUUUAACUGCCCAGAAUUCCCAGACAAUACAGGCCAAACAGACAGCCAAUCUGCUGAGCCAAAUGGUGUCUAAAAAAGUAAAUUGUCAAGUACACUGCAAAAUCACUUCACUGAGGAAUUUAUUUCCAGGUUAAUUGAAAAUGUUAAAGGAAACCAAAAAAUUUGUCUUGGAGUACCAAGGCUGCAACAACUUGAAUAAUUCUGCAAUGGAAUUUCUGUCAUGGCUAUACACCUAGCUCCCAGUUAUCUUGAAACAGGGCGAAUAGUAUAGUCAUGAUUCUGUAUGCCCCAUACAAGUAUAUAAUUUUUGAAUCUUUGAAUACUUCUGCAACUGCUUUUUUGCAUGGUUAUACAACUAGCUCCCAGUUAUCUUAAAACAGAACAAACAGUAUAGUCAAGUAUCUGUAUGUCUGCAGCAGUUAAUAACAGAGCCAUUCUUCUUCUUCCCCCUCUCCUCCUCCUGCCCCCCUCCCAAAAAAAAAAAAAAAUUAUAUAUAUAUAUAUAUAUAUAUAUAAAAUUUAGUGGUAAGUGGUCUAGAAGUAAACUGCAGCGCCAAUUCUCAGCAGGCGUACGGAUGCCUAGUGUAUCCCCCUUGUAGUGAACAGAAAGCUGCUAUGAAUUGAAGUUGUCUGCACGAUGACCUUUAUAUCUAGGCUUUUUCCAUAAUUGAAAGAUGCCACAGAGUUGAAUUUAAAUCUUGAUAGGAACGAUAAAACAGAAAAUUUCUCAGCAACAUGCAGUUAAUACAAAUGUUGAGGCACAACCAGAGUUGAUGCACAUAGAUUUACAAGACCCCGCUGGUAGUAAAGAGAAGAACUUCAGAGAAGGCCAUUUGGGUGAUUUGUCAUUUCAUUUCCCGGUAUAACCCACCAAGAGGCAACGAUAAGAGACAAAAAUAUUACCAUACACAAAAGAAUUUGAAGAAAUUUAAAAAUCAACAAAAGUACACAUUGAAAGGAAUGUCAGAAGAACAUCAGCAUGUAAAUGAUGAUAUUGGUGAGGACACAGGCAACAGUUACUUCAUUACCUUAGCAAUACCAGAUUUUCCAAAAUUUACAGCAGCGAUAAUCCUUAAAAGAACACAAGCGCUGAUUGUCAAAGGGCGCAUCAAUUUCCAAAUAGCAGUCACCACAAAGCUCAAAAAGACCAACACCAGCAAGUAUACUGUAUGUAACUAUCUUCAUAUAUUCUCUAACAUACUUCAUAGGAGCAACUAUAGUCAUCCCACCCAUUUACUGUUCUUUAAGAAGUCACAACAGUGCAGCAUCAGUAGUUUCAAAUAACUCACCACCCAUCCAGCUUACAAAUAAGAAAAGUAGCUCAUGAAAUAUGUGAUUUCUACGUAAAUAAGCAUACAAUGAUAUAUCUGCGAUUUCUAUGCAAAUAAGCAUACAAUGAUAUAUCUGAAGCCUCAUUAAAAGCAUAUACUUAUGAUUCUGAUGAUAGCGAAAUUGCAACAUUAUUCACAUUGCCAAAAUUACAUCAUCCCCAUCAAAAUGCCAGACAACUAAAUACAUAUUACACAACCAUGAAACACCAUAACCAUCCAUCUAGUGUCAAAAAUUUUAGCAUUAAGCAACUACCUAUGAGUAUGAAUUGCAUCCAAAGAGUAAUGUCAGAAAACACCAGUGAGACGCCCAUAAGCCCAGGAAGUAGCUGCUCCAUGACACAUUUAGAGGUUCAGUUAUCGCAAGUUUGCAGCCUCAACCCAAUCAGUGCUGUGACCAUUGUAUAUUCUUCAAAUCUAUCCCAGCCUUCACCAUCUCAUAAAGAGGGCUCAUUUCCCUUAACUUCUCAACCUGCAUUACAGUUAGCUCCACAGCCCUGUCAAUCUCUUCCUCCGUAGUGAACCUCCCAAUCCCAUACCUAAUAGACGUAUGUGCCAUGUCCUCGUCCACACCCAAUGCCCUCAAUACAUAGGAGGGCUCCAAGCUCGCACUAGUGCAAGCGCUACCACUCGACACGGCGACCUCCUUCAACCCCAUCAACAAGCUUUCCCCCUCAACAUAAGCAAACGACAAGUUCAAAUUGCCUGCAUACCUCCUCUCCACGCUACCAUUCACUACCACCCCAUCAAUCUUAUCCCUAAUUCCAUUCAACAACCUCUCUUGCAAAGCCUUAAUCCUCUUGUCAUCAUACUCCAUUUCCUUCUUAGCGAUGUCACAAGCAGCCCCAAAGCCCACAACCAAGGGAGUUGGCACAGUUCCACUCCUUAUCCCUCUCUCUUGCCCGCCCCCAUUCAUUUGAGGCUCCACGCGGAUCCUCGGUCUGCGCCUCAUGUACAAAGCCCCAAUUCCCUUAGGCCCAUAAAUCUUAUGCCCGCUCAAAGACAUCAAACUGACAUUCAUCUUAUCGACGUCUAUGGGAAUUUUCCCCAAAGCCUGGGCAGCAUCGGUAUGAAACGGAACAUUAAAUUCCUUACAGAUUUUCCCAAUUUCCUCGACAGGUUGAAUCACUCCAAUCUCAUUAUUAACCAUCAUAACCGAAACUAACCCCGUGUCGGGCCGUAUCGCGGCCCGAAGCUUAUCCAGAUCAACGAGCCCGUCAGGUUCAACAGGAAGAUAAGUUACCUCAAAACCCUCUUGCUGGAGGUGACGGCAGGAGUCCAAGACGCACUUGUGCUCCGUCUGGGUAGUGAUGACGUGGCGCUUCUUAUCCUUAUAAAAAUGCAAAACUCCCUUGACGGAGAUGUUAUUGGACUCGGUGGCGCCGGAGGUGAAAAUGAUCUCCUUAGGGGAGGCGCUAAUUAGGUCUGCCACGUGGGUACGGGCAGACUCGACGGCCUGGUCGGAUUCCCAGCCGUAGAGGUGGGUCCGGGAAUGAGGGUUGCCGAAGCGGGAGAGAUAGUAAGGGAGCAUGGCGUCGAGGACUCGAGGGUCCACCGGCGAGGUAGCUUGCAUGUCGAGGUAGAGGGGUCUUCCGGAGAUUUUUACGCCUUUCACCGUAAUUCCUGAUGUGUCUUCUUGAUAGGGUUCAGCAACGGCGGCAGCAGCGGUGGAGAAGGGGCGGAGGAUUGUGGGUUUUAAGAUCGUGCGGCGGAGGGCGGUGGUUAAAAGCUUCGACGGCAUCGUUUCGAUGUAGGCUUGUGGAACGCUCACCUCAGACAGCUGUGUAAUGAGUCUGACUGCGAGGUCCUGCGCCAAAUUUGUGGGUGGGAGCUUCGACCUUUUAUUUUGAAGGUGUUGAAAUUAAAUCAGAAAAAAAAUAAAAAAAAAGGGUUUAUCUUUAUCAAGGAAGGGAGGGAGGAGAUAGAAUGGCGGCGUUGUGAAAGAAGCCUAUGUGGUACUACUGGAUCACCGCCUCACCGACGAUGCGAUGCGAUGCCUUUACAUUCUCACUAUAGUAGGCAUUAUAUUGAGCAUUGACUCAAGGAAAUAACAAUAAAAUCGUUCGUAAUGGAGUACGGCACAAGCGUCGUCGUAUUGGGCUACAACGACAGCGUUAAAGCAAAUACCCACCAGAGAAUUAAUAAUAAUAAUAUUAAUUGUAAGGCUGUCAAAAGACAACAGAUACUUUACAGUUUACUUUACGCCUCCUGGGUUUCGUCCGCAGAUCCAAUCUAAAAUCGGGGGAUUGAAUUUGAGGGAGAAGCCAAAGAAAACCAAAGAAUAAAAACAACAACAAACCUCUUUAGAAAGUGUUGUUGAACCUUUCUUAAUGCCUACCUGACACCCACCACCAUUGUUAACAACGAACCACUGGUAAACCUUUCCUUCAUAUUGAUUGGCAAUACAUACGAGUGGUAGAUCCUUUUGCAUUAUUCUCCUUUCCCUUUAAACCUAAUCAUUCAUUCAUUCUUUUCAGUGGCCUUAGUAGUAGUAGUUAUUUAAAAGGAGACAACUUUCGCACCAACAACAAGCCUUUUGCUUCUUCUUUCUUUUAGUAUAGGACCAGGUAUGGCUUGCCUUUUCCUUAGAGAUCUCGUCUUUUUUUUUUUUUUUUUUCAAUUCAUUUUUGGCGUUGGAAAGUUUGCACGAUCAUGGGGGGUCUUGACUCUAUAUUUAUCUAGCGUUAAAUGUACGUGUUUGCUAUUUAGUUGAAUGCAGAUCGAUAUCAAUAUAGUAUCCUAUCCGGGAUGUGAUCAUAGCUAUACGCAUUGCUUCGAAUCAAUUGUUUCUUGUAUACAUCGCUCCGGCCUUGGUUCAAACUGGUAUAACAGUUAAAAUGAUAUGAUAGUUAUUUCUUGGUCGAAGUCUUUCCAGCUGAGCUGCUAUCUAUGUGUUUCCAAAUAGAUAGUCUGGACUCUGGAGACGCCGGAUUAUUUUCUUAUGAAGGAAAUGGAUUCACGCUCCUGUUUUGUUCUUUGUAGCUUAUUUUUCAAUAAUUGGGUCGGUCGGAUAUGGGGUGUGAUUUGUCUGUUCUUUGGUGGCUGCGUGCUUUGAUAACCAGCAUGAUAGUUCAGACCCAAUUUGUGUGAGUUGAAGUUACCAUCUGCGUUGCGGGCUCUGAUCUGCGGUGUUCCUAAGAGAAACAAUUAUGCUAGUUGAGUUUCUAUGAGGUACCUCUGUUCGUUAAGUUUUUAACUUGCCUCAACGAUUGAUGAUUACAGCCUGAAUGUGCGUAAUUGCAUUCUGGUGCUACUUAGAUCCGCAUAUACCCAAGUUGGAUCCUCUGUUAAUUGUCACUCUCUUCACUAUAUCUGGAGUUGUUAGUGAUUAUAGAUAUCAGACUUUCUUAAGAAAAAAAUAAUAAUAAUAAAAGACAUCGGACUGCAGCGGGAGAAUGUGGUUGCCGUGAUCUGUUGGCCUCUCGCACUUGCCAUACGAAACUCCAUUUCUUUUUGAGCAUCAGAGUGAUUGUCAUAGCCAUUUGCGACAUGUUACUUGGAUGGUGUUUAAUUCACUUAAUUUCAGAGGUUUUUGAGCAUCUAAUCCAAGCCUGAUUUCUUAUGUUCUGAAUGUUUACCAUAAUUCUCCUUAAAAUUAACAGUAAUUCUUUCUUUUGUAGAAGUUAAAAGAGUUGGGACAGCUUGUAGCUUCUGGAAGCUGCUUCAACUGAAGAUAUAGUACAACAAUAAAAUCACAAUGUUCAGGCUGUCACCUCGGAGGAAUCAGAGAAAUAAAGGUUUUAAGGUGAAGCAUGCCCUGCAGAUAUGUGUGCUAGUUGGUGUUUGCAUCUGGCUGCUUUAUCAGGUCCAGCACUCCCGUAGCAAAAAGGCAUCAUAUGGAGAAAGCUCAAACAUUUUGGAGAAGGUACAAAAAUUUGGGAGAAAAGACAUCCAACCAAAAAAUAUUGAAAUGAUAACAGAGGAUGAGAAUCAAAAGGAGGAACGAGAAGAAGCCAGUAAACUACUUGAAGAUGAACUCAAGCCCGGGGAAAAUGAUCAUGAUCGAGACAAACUGGGAGAGGAAGGAGAAAAGGAGACAGAAAGUACAGAGCAAGAAGUGAAAGAUGAAGAGAAUGGAGAGAACAAAGAUGCAGAGGGUGAAGGGGGAAAUGAGAUGCAAAAUCAAGAGAAAGAGAAUGAUGGAAAUAAAAAUAACGGUGAGGAGGAGGAAACUAGAGAAGACGACCGGGGAAAGCAUGAUGAAGAGCAAAGUGGUGAGGAGACUGGAGAAAAUAAAGAAAAUGGUGGCGCAGAGAAGGAGAAUGAAACGAAGGAGGAGAACAAUGAGAAUGCUAAUGAAGACACACAAGAAAAUGGAGCUGAGCAGAAAGGUAAUGAGGAAAAGGAUGCAAAAGAAGAGAAUGGGGAAAAUGAAGAGACCAGGGAAAAUAAGAAUGACCUGGAUGGAGGUGAAGAGCAGGAAGUGAAGGAGCAGGUUAACGAUGAGAGCAAGGCAACAGAAAAGGAAGAGAAGAAACAAAUAGGCAAUGAAGAUCAAGGUAGAGAGAAACAGGAAGACCAUGAAGUGAAGGAACAAAAAGAAGGUAAAUCUGAGGAAUCACCAGAUGAGAAAGUUCAUCAAGCAAAUGAGCAGACAAACGAAGCUGCUGCACGGGAAAACACCAAUGGUUGGAAUGCCCAGAGUGAAGACGUUCAGGAUUCUCAAAGUAUGAAAGACACUGAGAAAGUAAAUAAGGAAAACGUAAAUGGGGAAGAACAGUCGACUGAGAAGGUCCAGGACAAGUCUGAAGGCAACAGUGAAAAUGUGACAGGGGCAAAUAAGGUACACGAUAAUGAAUCAGGUUCAAGUGCAAAAGAAGGUGAGUCAAAUGAACAGAACAGUCCAUCAACUGUUGCGACUGAUGAAGGCAAUGACAGUGAAAACACACAGCAGGGAUCAGCUCACGAUUCCAAUUCUGCAGAAGGAAGGAGGGAAGCUAAUCAAGAACAAGGCAACGGCAAUGAGACAACACAGCAGGAAUCAGGGGAAUCUUCCAAUCCUACAGAAGGAACACAUGAAGCUAAUGAAAAGCAAGGCAAUGCCAAUGAAUCCACGCAGCAAGGAUCAUGGGAUAACUCCAAUCCCACAGAAGGAACAAAGGAAGCUAAUCAACAGCAGAGCAUUAGCGACAAUUCUAAGGCUGAUGCUGAUCAAAACCAGAGAAAUGCUGUUGGUGAUGUCCUUCCUGGGGGAGAUGGUGCGCAGUCUACUCAAGAGGAGCAAACCGAGAACAAGGAUGCUGCAACAAACAAUGACAAAUCCGAUACAAGUUCAAAUAUGAAGGAGGGCUCAGCAUAUGGAGAAGGUUCAAAUGAUGUGGGUAAUAGACAAAAUGCUGGUAGCGAUACUGUUGGGGGUAAAGAGAAAAGUUCAGAAAAUUCAUCAGCCAAUCAGGUUAAUGAAAAGGUCGAGAUCCAGAAGUCUGAUGCUCAUUCUGAAACAGGACCGGAAGAAAAGAUUAACCCUUCAAAUGACAAUGACAAUACUGAUUCCAGUGAAAAUAGAUCAGUAGAUUCUUCUGGUUCCUCGAGUGCUACUAAAGAGGAGGCAUCUUCAAACUCAAAUGAGAAUGCUGACGCUGAGCAGAAUAGCAUGGUUGACUCAUCAAGUUCUACAAUUCCCCAAGAAGAGAAAGAGGCUCGCACUGACCUUGAAACUUUGCCUGAGAUGGGAAAUGAGGGAACUAGUCAAGAAGAUGCAGUCGCUUAGUGAUGCUACAUAUUAGCCUUUUGUGAACUUUGAAGCUUUUGUUGCAUUCUUUGCUUCCUUUCAUGGUUAUUGCCAGAACAAUUGUGGAAGUAUGUACACUUCGUUUGAUGACGUUGAUGCUGGUCAUUUGUUGUGGACCAGAACCAGGAAAUGCAAGUAAUGAAAUGAACUAAAAUGCAAUGAAUCAAUAGACUGCAAAAGUCUGAGCAACUCAAACGAACAACUCCAUAUUCAUUGAUAAGCUUCAGUAAAGGAUUACAGAAGCAGAAUGGCGGGAAAGAACAUAAGGGGAAAGAGAUUGAAGGAAACCGUGGGGAGGGGGAAAACGCAGAGAGGAUAUUCCUUCUCUGAUUACAAUAUCAAAUUUGCAAAAGGUUCCCUAACAAUUACAUGAUCCUCACGGUUUAUACAACUGCCAUUCUAACUGAUUUUCAAGUGAACAAAUGAGCUUCCAACACGUGUCCAACAGAAUCUUCUAGCUGAACUGGUCCCCAACUGGCUGAAUCAACGUGAACCCAGUAAAGGCGUGCUCUUCUACUCACGCCUUCUUGUCUCUCAGCUACUUCACGCCUUCCCAAUGUUUCCUUCCUACUCCUGCAUCCGCUGCCGCUGACAUCAUUACAUCAUUCGGCCAAAAAAUUUGUAGCCAACGUCAUUGUUAUUAACAGCCUUGAUCGUGUAAUACUACGGAACUGCGUUGCUCAUGUUAUUAGUACUAAUGCAUUGUCCUCAUUAGCCUACCCAAGCUUUCGUUGUAGGUUCUUUGCUUGCUAAUUUGUACUUCGCACUCGUCGACAAAAAUUGAUCCAAGCUUACAUUUGCUCAUCUCCUGGCCGUGCUCUACAAGAAUCGCUUAUGGGUUUUGUGCAGUCGCGUACAUUUCCAGGUUACUAUCCUGACUAUUCAAGUUCUUCCUUUUCUUUUCAUCUUGGACCGCUAACUGCUUCGAUUUGAAGCGUCCAUACAUUUAGACUAUAUUUCUUUCGGAAACCUUUUUUUUUUUUUCGCAACGAUAACAUUUAUAUAAUCUACUCUAAUCUAAUCUAAAAAGAAGGAGAGUCUAAUCGACGAAAAAACCCAUCAAGGGACACCACUUGAAAGUGACAACCAUAGUUAAGUGACAAGCAUAUUUGUUCGGGAACUUAGGGAGGAGAAAGCAGGCAAACACAGCUUUUUUUUUUCUUUUUCCGUUGGGCAAAUAGCUUAAUAAGUUGUACGUUUUCAACACUAACAGUCCCUACCAUUGCUCAAGUUCUGAAAGCCACUUUAAUCAACCACGGCUAAACAAGGCAUCUAGACUCGUUUGAGUAAGAACAUAUAAUCCGUCCCUCUCCCUUCCCCCUCUCCCAACGAAACCCCGCUUUCUUUUGCCAGUCUUGUGGCGGCAGGGGGGCACAAAAUUCUGCGCCCAGUUAUAUGCAAGGCCAGCAACUCCCCCCUACCCACCCACCCACCCAACCAAAAGAGGAAAAAAAGAAAGGGCAUGUGCCAGAUGAAUUGCAUCCAAAACCAAAACCCAACAUGUAUCCCAGUGAAGCAUGAUGGCAACAAUAUCGUCAAAUUUAUUUGAAUAGAGCAGAUUGCAAGAAACAAAAUAAAAAAAAAUGAAACACGAAAUUUGAAAGCAUGCCAAAAGAAAACAUCUGCUCGUUUCAAAACGUAACUAAAAUAACACAGCCCGUUAUAAUGUCCAAGAUAAUUUUGACAAUACAGCCUCCAAUGAUGCCAAAGCAAAGAUGAACAACCAUUAUUCGACUCCUUCAGAUUACGAUCAUCAGACAUCAGUGGUGCUUCUCCUCAAAAAGACCAUCUGGACCUACAAUCAUGCAUAACGUGUCAAAUUUAGUUAAAGUGUAUCUCAGCAAUUAGUAGUUAAAAUGUGUUCACCCAUCUUUCUACUAAACAACUAGCUUAAGAAAUCUAAUCUGAUCUAUGCUGUACAUGACAGUGUAUAAAAUAACUUCCUAGGCUUGCUAAAUCCUCUGUUGUGCUUCUCCCCAUUUCAAUAAAUGGAGGAAAGUUUCAGUGGUUAAACUUAAAGAAUAAAACAGGGAUAGUUACAAUAACAGGGUUGAGAAAAAGCACAAGCAUAAACUGGAUAAUACGGCCCAAAUAACUAAGCUACAAUAUAUGCAUUACAUAAAUCUCCCCAAGCAUCUAAAACCUCACUAGACCAAGCAUAUGUUCUCCUGAUCAUGCUUGACCAAAAAGCACUAAGACAGCUACAGAAGAUGGAAGUUGAACCUCAAAAAAUAAAACUGAGAACUGCUAUAGCGGUCCCCAGCUCUCUACAAUAUCUUUUGUGAAACCUUGUUAUUUACGUGAAGCAAUUAAGCCUUAAAUUCAUCCUACAACACAAUAACACUCAUGCAUUUUAGAGAAAAAAAAAAUUGCAAAGGCUAUUCCAGUACUGCAGCACAGUAAACUGUAAGCAUGUAUAAAAAUAACUGAGGAAGCACAUGUAGUGAUAUAUGAGAAGCAUUACUAGGAUUUAAUAUUGCACCAAUCCGAUUUCGAAUAGAAAAUACAAUUAAACUUCUAAUCUGAUCCACCUGGAAAAGCUUGUGCCAAUAAUAAAUAUACAUUUCAGUUGAAGAUUGAGUCCUCAUUGUGUUAUAGGGAUGAAAUGAUGUGCUUACAACUUUUAAGGAACAGCACUACUCAAUAUUCAGGGAAAUAUUUUCUUGAAAACUUCAGAAAUCAUUACAACAACUCCCCAAACCAAAUCACUAUUUGUAUCAAUGAACAAAUAAAUUCGGUUAGCUUUUGUUGGAUGAAAAAAUGAUCGAGGGGCGCCCCAAUUUAUACUAGUGACGCUGAGGCAUGGAAUGCAAGAGCCAAGUUGUUUGGUUUUCUUGAAUGAGGAGGAGGCUAUGGCAUCCAUUCAAACUUCAAACCAACGUGAGAAUUAGAAUUUUGCUAGAUGAAGGAAUUCAUGCGUAUGAACUGGCGAGGCUGGUUCUUGGCCUGGGAAAAUUAAGGUCAAGAGAUGAGAAAUUAAGAGAUUGCGAGUCCAAGUUGUGUAGCAUUAUUAUUCAUGGGUUUUACCAGAUGCCUGCGUUAUGGAAAAUCCUUAACCUCGUGACCGUGCAGCCUCUCUGAAGGCUGAAUAUUUGAAUUCAGCACUUGGACUCUUAUCGUCGCCACACCAAUUGGAAUUUUGUUUGUUAUAAUUGACAUCGUAAAUUCAUAUUUACAAACUGCUAAAAGUUUUUUCACUAUCUAAAAUUGUGUUUACUGAGAUUUCUUCGGCUGGUCAACUACGUACAAGUGUAGCUAUUCAACUUGCCCACAUCAACAUCAAGCUCCUCAUACCUACACCGGACGGCAUCCACGACUUGUUAAUUAUAUUCCUUAGGAUCUAGCUGCUAUUGCCUAUUAGUCAAUAGUUCGGUAACUUCGUUAGGGAACAUCGUUCACAAGUCAAAGAAACAUUUUAAUGUAUCUCGAAAUUUAGAGUUCUUCUGACACUCUAUGGACUUAUUCACAAGAAUCUAUUAGAGUUCUUCUGCUCUUAACUUUUCUUUUCGGAUCUCUCAACUUUUGGGAGGCAUUAUGAGUGUUAACCGCUAAUUAAACCAUCCCAUGCAUGAUUGGCAAACUCAUCCUUGACGCCCAAGUUCUGCCAAACUCAUGCAUGACUUGUAUUUUUUAGUCGAGCGAUUCAGCCAAGGGGAGGGCUAAAUGUACAUUUUAAAUUGCAAUAAGGAUGACUCGUCUUAUUAGCAUCGAAACUUGCGCAAUGCGUAAACAUAGAAUGAAAAAACAUAAUAGCUUUAACAUCUUCUUUUUAACUUGAUUAUGAGACCUGAAGAAAGAAGGUAAAUUAAAGAGCUAGAAUGUGUGUAGUUUCGAUAUAAUUAUAAACUUUAUCUACUACUUUCUCUCACUCUCUAUGGGUUGGGUACUGCUGGCUGGGACGUGCCCAUUUCAAGUACAAACGUCCAACAACCAACUAUUCUUAAAGUAGCUGACUGCUGCGUUCUAAAGACUCUAUUCGAUAUAGGUCAAAAGAUUGAAUUUCUUGACCAGCAUUCUAAAAAUUCAGAACUUGCUAGAAUGUUUCGCUGGUGGGUGCGUAGGCAUUCAUCAGGACUAAUAAUGAUUUAAUCCCCUUGAAUUCUCUCCCGUUGGGUCAUUCCCCUUCUCAUAGUAUGAAAUAGAAAUAGGCUCCUUGUUACAGUAUAAAAUAUGAAUAGGUCUAUUGUAUCUAGGAAAAAAAAAAAAAAAGGGGUAUGAACGUCCAGCAGAGGGACUCAUGCAAGUAAUUUCAUCAGUCCAACAUAUAUAUUUCUCUCGUGGAUGUAGCCAUCGGAUCGUAAUCUCAGUCAUGUAUCGUUCCAGAAAAUCUCAACAAAGCAAUAGCGACUCUUCAGAUUUUGAAUUUAGAAAUGUACUCAGUCCGUCGUCCGCCUUGGGAAUUAUCAAGCUCAUCUGGACUUUUCUUGUUUAGCAUGUACGGUGAAUCUAGCCAAAAAUGUGACCUUUCUUGUCCUAACUCCUAACAUUUCAGGUUUCUUCAUCCUCAGACACGCGGUGGCUUCCAAUGCGAAUAGCGACCCUACCAUACUAAGAUUCUAUUCAUUUUCUAUGGGAAUUGAAAUUUCACCUCCCGCAAAAAAAUUCAAGAGUGAUAUCAAAAUAUUCUUUUGAUCUAAUAAAGUCUAUAUACCUGUUAAUCCCUUAACACAAAUCUCUUUAGGUUUCUACUCUCCUCUAAAUUAAGAUAGAAUAGAUUAUACAAUUAUUGUUGUCGAAAAAAAAAAGAGAUAAAAUACUAGAAUUCGAAUUCUAAGAACAUAAAAAAAAAUUGUUUUUGGGGGAAAGAACAUAAAGAUUAACCAUAAAUUUUGCUUACAUCUUUUAACUAAAAUUAUGUCCUUGUACAUUUCUUUAUGAAUAUCAAAAGAAAUAAUAUUGAUAAUAAUGAAAAUUCAAAGGAUGUUCCUACAUUGCCUCGGAGUGUCUGUCAUACGUUAAGAAACUUGAGAAAUCUCGGAAAAUAUACAAAUUCAUAAACCAAAAAAAAAAUGAAAAAAUAUCGAAAGAUAAGAAAUGAUUAGAUGUCCAACUUUUGCGAGCAAGUGCUAGCAUAAAAAUUGUGUAUAUAUGGUGGAAAUUUGUGGAUUCCUCCCGACAUCAGCUUCGUCACAUUCAGCCUAAUUAUCCAGAUUCUUCCUCCAUCGCUUGAUGGCAUCGCCAGGAAUUGAGUUGAUGAUAACUGAAAUCAAUAAUAUAUACAAAAAUUUUAGCCGCUAAACACUCUCUGCAUGUACAACGAAUUCACAUGCAUGCAUUGAAGUGUUAUUAUUAUCUAAUCUCAUAAUUGAAAAUUUUAUUUACAAUGACUACAAGAAUCCCACUUUCCAAGAACAAUUCUCAUUGAGUUAAAAAAAAAAAAGAAAAAAAAUUAAGGGAAAACAAUAGAAAAGCCGAUCGAUCGAUUGGGAGGUCAAUGAAUCCAGACACCCCCAUGGAACUGUGGCAGGCAAUCACGCCUUGAUAGAGUGCAUGUUCAUUUGACUCUCCUUAGUAGUAGUAGCAUUAGAAUUAUUUUUCUGAUCGUGUCGAAACUCGAACCAACAAUCUCCAUCAGGUGGUGGAGGAUCAGGAUCGCCCAAAUAAUCCUCCGGAAAACCAAGCGACUCCAUCACAUCUUCCCCGCUCCACCCCCACGCAACAACCUCUUAGACAAUACCUUCACGUGCCAGACGAUCCCUUCCUUAUCAAUCAACGCAGCGUUCUUAUCAAAGCCAUUUCGUCCGGUGCAGUGAUCAUCAUCGGUCUCAUCACAGCCGUCCAUCAUCAUCAUCUCCCUUACAUCCUCUUCUUUCCACCCUCCGUUCCUCAAUCUCCAAAACACCUCCUCCAAGCACCCCCCUAACUCCCCACUCCACCACCUGCGCGUGCCACCACGCGCCGCCAGCCUUUCCCCCUCUCCACCAACUCCGACCAUACCUCGAUCCUCCUCGGCUCAGUCGCGGCCCAGGCCGGCGUGCUGAAUAAUUUGGACAAGGUGGGCCUUCUCAAGAUGUCCUCGUUCGUCGUGAAUUCCGCCUGCUGGAAGAAUCCGGCUAUAUCGAAACUCCACAGCUGAACAUUCCCUCCAUGCACGUAAAACACGGGAUUCCCCGCCAUACACGGCGUCGAAGGAACGUAGAAAUGCCGGUACACCGGAACAAGAAACGGCGCAUUUCUCAUGAAUCCUUUACCUAAAUUCACAGCUUGAUCAUCAUCUCCUGGCCUUUCACCCCAAGAAUCGAGCCACAAAUGGUUUCUUGAUAUUUCCUUGCAUACACCUGAGACGGGUAGACUGGUGAGGGCCUGAAGUUGUUGAACGGAGGAGGAUGAUCGCCAGUUGGGGAAGCGGGGCCCACAGGGAGGCCUUCUUGGAGAAUAGAACGUAAAUCGGGGGGAAAUGUGAAAUUGAAGGUGGAUUCAAUGGAGGAUAAUUCGGCGUCGGUGAGGCCUUCUUCAAUGGGAAUAUCGGAGGAUUUUAGGUAAUGAAUGAGGUUCUUGGUGUAGGCUGCAAAUGAAAAACAAACCCGCAUGGUUUUGGAUCGGUGACCGCCAUGGUUAAUGGGCUCAGCGGUGGUUCGACGAGUAGUGCUGCUGCCAUUGAAUACGAGUACUUGGGCUAAUAUUGAUUGACAACAACAACAACAACAGUUGCAGAUAACACGUGUUAUGGAGUAGAUAAUGCAUAUGGAAGCAAGCCAGUAAUGGUAAUUCAGAUUUGAGUUUCGUGUUUAUCCACACUGGCAGGCCGGGAUAGAGUAGUUAGAGCAUAUAAGGGAGGAAAAAGUGAGUGAGUUUUUACGGGAACUUUUGAUGCUCUAUUCUCACAACUCCUCUCAUCUGAUGUCGGGACUCUUGAGACUAUUUCAAAGUAACAAUGAACUGAAGCGAUUUGUUUUGGAAUUUUGAGGGCACAAAAAUGCAAAAUGGGGUCUCUGACUAAUCAUGGAAUUGAUACGUGAAGUCUUUGCUAACUUGGCAUGGUUGUAAUGCACAGUCCAAAUGUCACUUCUUCCUGAUGAUCCAAUAUUUUGUAGGAGAUUUGGAGUCUGGCUGAAGUGCUGAACCAUGCGUUGUCAAUCAAGUUGGGGUUCUCAAUUGUUCUUUCACAUAUUUCCUUGCUUAUGGUCAGAGAUGCGGCUUUACUAAUCAGUACGAGGGCGGCCGGCAGCCUAAUUCAGAUUUAUAAGAAGAAAUUUUGUGCUAGUAGUUUAUAUCGGGAAAUCAAAAGGUUCAGAAAAUUCUAGCCGUCCAACCAAUAGUAGGCUUAGUCGCUACAGAGAAAUAUCAGGAAUUGUUAAUUGGUAUCAGGUAAGCAACUAAUUUAUAGAAAAUGUAGUUGGCUUAUGAGAAAUUUUCAGUUGCAUAAAAAAAUCAACCUUAACAACAAGACAUUUGUUAUUUGUUUCACCAGCUGUUAUAAUACAAAUGUUCAAAUUUUAGGCACCGACCGCCCUUCUCGAUCACCUUCCCCUUCGUCCGCCCUCUCCUUGCUGUGAGGGAUCAAGACCAUAUUAGUGGUGGCAUACUGCUUUAUAACGUAAUCUUUUAUAUUUGGAGGAAAUAGAGAUAAAAAAAAAUGUUAUCAAGGAGAAUUGAUGCAAGUGCUUCUAUAUAUUUAUGCAGUCGUCGAUUAACUUAGAAGUAGCACCUAUUCUUGCGCAUUUCGUCAUUUAGCUUCACUUUGAAUAAGAAAAAUGAAAAGGCAGUCGAUAUUAAUUUGUUACAAUUCAAAUCUGAAUGCCAUGAGCAUUCCUACACCAUCCAUCUCCUCAAUUUUUUACUACUAUAUUUAACUUGACUUUAGAAACAUUUUAUGGUAAAUUACUGUGACGUUAGAACUUGAACUUUGAGAAUAGCACCAGCCAAAUAAAAGUCGUCCGAGACAUCUCAGCUUCUAUCACAUUUAUAAUUUCCUUCCAUCCAAAUGAAGAGAAUUUUCUUGUCAUCUGCUCCUUGUUGGAAUUACUAUGGAAGCAACUCAGAAUUGGAGAAAAGGAAUUCGCCUAAAAGGUUCCUAACCACCAUAAUCUUGUCGAUAGCUUGUCUAUUGCUUUGACCGUUUCUCCUCCUUCUUCUUCUUCUUCGUAUCCCCUUUUGCGCGACACGUUAUUUCUGAAAUUGGGAGUCUGUUUCUUUCUUUCUAGAUAAAUUGAGGACCGUGUUGAUAAUUACGUUUUGGCAAUCCUGAUACUUAACCUAUACAUAGAACCAUUUAUGUGCUCUUACUUUUCUAACAUUCUAUACAGAUCUCUUAAAGAGCCUGGAACACGGCUUUUUGACGAAUGACUCGAUGCUUGGGAUUUUUUUUAGGACACGGUGGAAUCUAUUUUAGACAUGCUCCUACUUUAUACUAGAGGGAAGGAAGGACCCGAAGAGAUCCGCUAGGACACGAUGGAAUCUAUUUUAGAUAUACUCCUACUUCAUACUAGAGGGAAGGAAGGACCUAAAGAUAUCCAAGAAGAACUUGGAGGGGACUAAUUACCGGCUCAAAUGGGUAUCUUCUCCGUUUGACAUGCGGCUGUGUUUACACGGAUGCUUACCUUCACAAGAUCGAGUUGCUAAUAAGGCACAAAACAUACAGGUUAAAUUUAAACUCAAUUCUAUCAGUAGUUCUUCAAAUGGAUGCAAAAUUUUCGCACAAGUAUGUCCAACAUUGUCAAAUUUCAAGGACCUUUCACUGGUCAAGCAUUAUCUUCUGCCCCCGAGCUCUUGUCAUUCUCCGGUUCUUGUUUUUUCAUCAUCAACUAAUUCAGCUUCCACAGUUUGAACAACCGAUCCAUCCUCUUUGUUCCCAAAGUUCCAGCCAACGACAGCUUUGCUUUCCUGUUCUAGAAUAUUCAUGUUGUUAUGGGAUAUUUGAGCUGUAAAAUCCAGCAAAUCUUUUCCACAUUCUUCAGGGGAGGUAGUUGAUGUCCAGAGCAAAUUUGCAUUACAGGUCAUCUCCACAAAGUUUCCAGAAGAAUUACUUUCUCCAGUCCUAUAAACAUUCUGAGAUGAAUUUGUAAAAGAAGUGGAGCCCCCGUGUCAUAAUUCUUCAACUCAGGCUUGAUGGAAGCCUUGCUAAUUAGGACUGCAGAAUGAUGAUCGGAAAUGGUGUCGCAUAAUCCGCUGCUACAUGGAAUCUCAAGACUGCCACUAGAAUUGAUGAAAGGAAUUUUAACCUUUCCAUCGUUUGUAUACUGCACAGAAGGCUCAUUUUCCACUUUUUUUAAAAUCACUUUCUCAUAGUGUAGUUUUUCAGUCUGACAAAGAGUUUCAAGUAGUCCAGACUUCCUAUUCCAAAUUCGAGGGCAUGAAGUAUCUGUUGAUGGCAACCUUCCAUCUGGGGUUACCAGUUUCUCCAGCCUUCCUCUCUUUGAAGUCUUUGCACCUGAAGAAACCCCAGUUGCAGUAGUUGUUCCCUCUUUUACAACAGGUUUUAGGCACAAUACGUCUUCCUCAAGCUUUGUUAACCGGCCCUUACAAUCUGCCAGUUCAGAUUGCAACUCACCAACAAUCUUCCGUAGGUGAACAUUCUCCAAAGGCUGUUGCCCCAAACACCAAAGAGCAAAAGGAAAAAACAAACAAUGGCAUCAAGGUAACUUACACCACAGAGUAAAGAAUGGGCCACAAAGAAAUGUAUAUCCUAGUAUCUUACUUGAGCUUCCCAUGGUUGCUGGUGUAUCAGAGAGAGUUUUGCGGUUGGUCUCAUCGUACUUCCCUGGUUUGAUGUGGUGGAAGCCGAUGAAGAACCGGGUAUUGGUGGCUGAAUUGGAGAGAAAUAAGGACAGUGUCCAGGGAAGGCACUGCUAUGAGGAGGUAGUAGAUGUUGUGGAAGGCUCAACCAAGAUGAAGGAUCCCAAGGGCCUAUUAAAUAUUAACAAGUAAUAUCUUCUGCAUUAGUGGCACAUAUAGCACUACAUCAGAAUUAAUCAGCUAUGAAUGAUCAAAUUUAACUAUGUUUAUUCUUGAACUACUGUUAGAAUGUAUAUGGCAUAUUUGCAAAUAUGGCCGUUGAAAACAGCAAACAAUUAGUCAAAACACUCCUCAGUACUUCUUUGACACCUCAACAGACUUGAUCCCAAUACCACGACCUUCCAAGCCACAUUCUCUGGGUAAAUCAAAUUUGUUCUGGAGAACUUGUCAGAAACUUCCCACAAUGUCAAGCGUGAAACAGAUUGAUUGUGACAUUAUACCUGGAAAGCCUGGAUAUGGGUAGCCAACAUGGUAACAAUAGCUAGGACUCUGCUGCUGGCUUCUUAGAGUUGCUCCAUAACCAGGUCCGCCCCUAAUGCCAGGCGUUCCUGCAGGAGGAGGGACAGGCUGAUAGAGAGCUGGCAGACUGGCACCCGGCAAAUGUUGACCAGGGAGCAGGGGAAUCCAGGAUGGCAUGUUGAGUUGUGUAAACGGGGGCAUUGGUUGUUCCUGUUGGAACUGCUGCAUAGUGCAAGUUUGUUGCUGAUUCUGCGGUUGAUGACACUGGCCUGGGAUGAGUGGUGGAGGCAACUGGUUGAGACUGCAGGAUUUUAGGAUCAAAGGGGACUUUUCACAAGCAGGUUGAGAUGAACAAGGAAAUUGGACCCCAUCUUCAGUAUGCUCCUUCGGGGAAGUUGCAUUUUCAAAGUGAAGAGCCGCCGACCGCUGUACUAUUAUUUUGAUUUUGAUGUUCAAUUAGCUGUUCAAGAAUGGAUUCAUUUAUCGGCGUAAAUAACACGAGGAAAUUAAGCAAUCAAGAGUACUAAUAAGUAGUUAUAUUCCUGUAGCAUUAAGGAUCUCAAUAAAAUUAAUUUCAAUGCCAUAAUGCAGGAGGACAGGCACAAAUCAAGUACUUUGACAGUGUCGAAAAAUGAUCUGCAAGAACUGCUGCUUGCUUGAAUAUUCUUUUAGAGGUAACCUUGAAGCACCAAAAGUAAGGGGAAUUGAUCAACUGGGAAAUUAGGGACCGGUACAAUUAUUUGCGGAGUAUUCUGGGGGAAAAAAAAUCAAAUCGGUCCUUCUAUCUCUCUCUCGUUAUCUGGGUACAACUCCCAACACAUGCAGCAAGAAACAAAACAUCAAGACGAAAAAAGAAAAAAGUGAAGAACCAAAAAAAACUUACUAAUGAUUUUUAAGUAUGUUGUGAAAAUAACGGGGAGCCCAGGAGUACUUUUUAGCAGGGAAACUUGCAUAUGAAAAAUCCACCAAAUAAUGGAGUGAGGAGAUGCAUUACCCGUUCUCCAUUGAACCACUAGCAUCUGGAGAGGUAGAGUUUUCAUGUUUUUUCUUUUUAUUCUUCUAAUUCAUGGUUUUUUGCAAAGUGAUUAUUUCUUUCCCUACAUUUUGAGAAAGGGGAGCAAAGGUAUAAGUAAAGAGGGAGUAGAGCAGUGGCCUCCGCCGGUAAAAGCCUGCCGUACAAGUGUACAACAACAAGAGAAGUGGUGCGUUGGAAUUUUAAGCCCCAAAGCCAGAAACAAGGAAAACGUGCGUGGUGCGGGAGCCGGGGAAUUUCUACUUUUGGAGCACCAUUUUCUAAUUUCUACUCCAUUGCCGCCCUGCCGCAAAUUUGUCCUCUGUCUGGUCCAUCACAGCCGUUUUUUUUUUUUUUUUUUUGGGUAAUAAAAGAUUGCAUAAAUAAAAAUUUUAAGUCCGUACAUCACAUAUUUGUUUGGGAUGGAAGGACCCCUUAAAUCACCACACAAAAUAGUUCGUAGCUGAGGAGGACAGUUAUGAUAAGAGUGAAAAAGUCGACAAAAAGAUUUCCAUCCUCAAAUCAUCACAGCCGUUGCAUUUUGCAUCAUUUUGACCUUUCUUCCUCAGCUCAACUGCACGAAGAACGAAUGAGCAUUGUAUUUGACGAUAGCCAUCUUAUUUUACCGGUUAAAGAGUCAAAGAACAAAAAAUAAUAAUAAUAUAAUAAUAAAAGACAGAGCAAGGCAAACACUUGUCGAGUUUUAAAGGUGUUGAAGGCUUGUUUGGGGAGUUAUUAGUGUCAAAAGCUCUUAUUAUUAUUCAGUACUAAUACACAAAGGAUGGUCCUCGAUCUUGGUUUUAAAAUUUCUCAUACAAAUUCUAUUAAUCUUUUUUCUUGUGCACCAAUUUUAAAAGUAUCUGUUGGUGUACAUUAUUACCUUACUCUUGGAAGCCCAUGCGCAUAAAAAAAAAAAAAAUUUUUUUUUUUGGAGCUCAGGCGUUCAACAGUAUCCUCGAAAGAAUUGAUUGUAUAAGAUCAGUAUUUUUGGAGUAGUACUUACGUAGACGAGAUAUAACCAGCAGAGCAGAGAAGAAACCAAAUAAAUAAGAUAAAGAAAUGAUAUAUAUAUAUAUAUAUAUAUGCAGAUAACGUUUCAGUAAUAGAAGGAUUUGAUUUAUUAAACGAUCACAAGAAAAAUUAACGUUAGAGAGUGAAAAUAUCAAGGCAACUAACGAGGUUGAUAAUUCCAUGUGCACUAGAUUCAUGAUUCUCGCAAGACAUAUUGGAAAAGGACGAGAGGGCACUGAUCGAUCGAUCGAGGAUGUUAAAUAGAAGCUAGCAAUUCCGAAAGAGAAGGCCUAUAAUGAUGAGAAGCGUCUGUCAAAUGAGCAAGGACGACUUGCCACCAUAUCAAAAUCAGAAAGGCUUUGAACGUACGCAGGCAGUAGGAGGCAAGUCAUCCUUGUUGGCGAUGAAACCAGAGUCUCCUCCCCAUUUUAGGCCAAUCAGAGUCUUUCUACACAAAAUGUUGAUCCAAUUAAGCCAGAAGAAGUACGUCUAUUUUCUGAACGCAAUUGAUCGAAUUGCUCAAUAUUCAAGACUGUACCUGAGGAGGCGAUUUUUGGUUGGUAACUAGACCGACCUGGAUCAGUCCUCUCUGAGAUGAAGUGAGGUGAACUCCUGUGUCCGAAGUGAACCUCCUUGUCCGAAGUGAGUGGCGGGGCUUCUCCCCUGGUAUCACUCCGACGAUCAAGUUAGUAUGAGAACGAGAAUAAUGAGAAUGAGUUAAUGAACAGUGUAUGCUUACUUGUUGGGAGUGUGAGUGAGGUAUUUAUAGAAGAGAGGUGGUCAAGACGGAAGGCUCAUGCUAGCGGGACCCACUCUCUGGCAUUACGGCUCUGUCUCCUGUCAGGAGGUCUGACUCUGACACUGUAGCCGCCUGGGAGUGAUGACGGAGGAUAUGGUGCAGGUGCCAUUAAGUGCCUCCAGUGCUUUUCAGAUAAAGUGCUGGUCCUGGAUGAUGUCAGGUGGGUUGACAUCAUCAGCGUGCAGCCGAGGUGGAUGUGCCGAGGUCACCUACACGGUGGACUAGGGAUGAAGCCGAGCUCUGGGGUUGUGCUCAAGACAGGGAUGAGCUCCGGUGAGGGACGAGACUUGUGUUCACCUCGGACACCCGCGUGUCCGAGGUGAGCAUCCUCAAUAAGCCCCCCAAGCCUCGGGAGCUUCGGGCCAGGGAGGUACCGAGGCUUCCUUCUGCCGAAGUCGUGAAGAGUCGGUGUCCCGAGCCUACUCCGGAAGGUGCGGGGACGUGACACGUGGGCAUGUCAGUUGAAGGGACCUGGAGAGUGAGUCGGCACGUAACCGUCACGUCGUGAAGUAGUGGGACGUUUCGUGCAGAGAGUGUCAGUUACAACGAGGACUCCAAGGAGUUGUGCGACCGGAUGGCUGAAGGCCUCCAAACUGGAAGGAACCUGGCCGAGGUCCUGGCCGAGUUCAACAAAUGGCUGUCCGAACUCGACGAAGUGUUCGAGGAGGUUGAAGAGGAAGAAACUGGAAGAGAGGAUGCCGAGGGAGACGAAGCCGGAGGGGGCGAAGUCGGAGGGGACGUCGUGCAAAGAGCCUGGAGAUGAAGUUCACCCCGGCGGAAAGGAGACCGAAGAGAAAGAUGCCCAGGAGGGAGCCAAGACCGGGAUUGGAGCCGAUACGGGGAUGUAGGCUCGUAGGCUUUAAAGGGGUGGCCGAGGUGAAAAGUGUUUAGUAGCACUCUGACCUCGGCCUUGUAUUUUUUGUAACACUUCUGUUGAAUGAAAGUCUAUUUCUUCUCAUCUCAGCUCUUUAAUUUCUUGCUUUGCUUUGACUUCAUCCCUUGCUUGUCCCCCUUAUUUUUUGAUAGCGUAAUAACCCUAUUGUUCUCAAGUCGUUAGCCGAGGUGGUAAAACGGGCAGAUACCACCUUGAUUUAUAAUGGGCCGAGGUGGCCCUUCGGGAGGUGCCACUGAGUAAGGUCGAGGUGGCCUUGCGGGAGGUGCCGCUGAUUAAGGCCUAAGUGGCCCUGCGGGAGGUGCCACUGAUUAAGGCGAGGUGGCCCUUCGGGAGGUGCCACUGCACUGAGGAAGGGCCUGCCACUGAGUAAGGCCGAGGUGGCCCUUCGGGAGGUGCCACUGAGGAAGGUCGAGAUGGCCCUUCGGGAGGUGCCACUGAGUAAGGUCUAAGUGGCCCCACUGAUUAAGGCCGAGGUGGCCCUUCGGGAGGUGCCACUGAGGAAGGUCGAGGUGGCCCUCGGGAGGUGCCGCUGAGGAAGGCCGAGGUGGCUCUUCGGGAGGUGCCACUGAGGAAGGCCUGCCACUGAGUAAGGCCUAAGUGGCCCUGCGGGAGGUGCGCUGAGAAGGCCGAGGUGGCCCUUCGGGAGGUGCCACUGAGGAAGGUCGAGGUGGCCCUUCGGGAGGUGCCACUGAGUAAGGCCUAAGUGGCCCUGCGGAGGUGCCACUGAUUAAGGCCGAGGUGGCCCUGCGGGAGGUGCCGCUGAGGAAGGCCGAGGUGGCCCUGCGGCUCAGCUCGGCUGACUGAAUUUUUCCUCAGAACCAAGUCUCCAGGCUGGAAUUGAGCGGUGUCAGCUCAGCGUCCGAGAGUGGACGAUCUUCCUUUCACUAUUCGAUCGAAAACACUCCGGCGGUCCCGGAGUUGGGUUGAAGUGCCACUUGGGCCGAGUUCACCUCGGCCGGUGUCUCCUCCGUGGAUCUGGCCCCGUACGAGAUGCUUGGGCUUCUCGCUUCAUGCGGUUCACAUCCUCACUUCGGAUUCCCUGGUCCACUCUAUCCCAGAGUUCCCGAAGUGUACGGGGGUACUCCCGAUGGAUUUCAGUGUUGAAGAUUCCGCACCAAUCCGUUGGUAAAGGCCGCGAGAGUUACCUGCUCAUUCUGAUCAGGUAUUUGCACAUUCUCCUCGUUGAACCUUUGAGCAUACGAGCGAAGAGACUCGCCCUGACCCUGUUGAAGGUUCAAGAGAUAAGCUGAAGUUUUCGUGAUUGAUCGAGACGACACGAAGCGGUGGAUGAACCGAUCUAUCAGCUCAUCCAGGGAGGAAAUGCUCCCCGGUUCCAAACUCCAGAACCACUUCCGGGCAGUCCCAUGUAGGAAAAUGGGGAAAGCUCGGCAGAUCACAGCGUCGGGACGCAGCAGUAGAGCCGGAAUGCAGAGAUGAAGGCGCGGAGAUGAUCCUCGGGGUCACUUCGGCCGUCAUAGGUGGGCAAGUUUGGAAGCUUGAAGUUCGGGGGUACCAUCUCCCCAUUGAUGUCAUCAGUAAAGGGCGGAGCCCUCAUGUAGUCAGAAGCUAGGCCCCGGGCGCCGAGGUGGGUCCUCAGCUCGUUUCCCCAGCAGUCCCCGAGAAAACGUCCGGGAGAUGGAGGCAAGUUUAGACGUCGCCUUGGAGGAGGCGCGCCUGGAGGUACUUCGAGAGAGUCGCCCCUCAUCUGAGUCUUCACCUGAAGGUACCUCAGGGGACUUCGUCGGCCUCCUCUUGGAGGACUCGGCCUUUUCUUUCCCCUGUCUUUUGAGGUACCUUCCUAGCUCCUCAAAAAUGGUAGGGUUGUGUGAUACGAACUCGGCCAUCUUGGCGAUGGCCUCCUCGUUGUUAGGCUGGGUCCUCGGGGACCCUUGCUCUUCAGAGAUGCGAUCUUGCUGGGCUCCGAGGUCUGCCCAGCCCCAGUUGAGGGAACUCGACCACUUCUGGAGCGCGUGGAUCUCAUUUUAGUAACAGUAGUCUCGUUCCCACAGACGGCGCCAAUUGAGGAGGCGAUUUUUGGUUGGUAACUAGACCGACCUGGAUCAGUCCUCUCUGAGAUGAAGUGAGGUGAACUCCUGUGUCCGAAGUGAACCUCCUUGUCCGAAGUGAGUGGCGGGGCUUCUCCCCUGGUAUCACUCCGACGAUCAAGUUAGUAUGAGAACGAGAAUAAUGAGAAUGAGUUAAUGAACAGUGUAUGCUUACUUGUUGGGAGUGUGAGUGAGGUAUUUAUAGAAGAGAGGUGGUCAAGACGGAAGGCUCAUGCUAGCGGACCCACUCUCUGGCAUUACGGCUCUGUCUCCUGUCAGGAGGUCUGACUCUGACACUGUAGCCGCCUGGGAGUGAUGACGGAGGAUAUGGUGCAGGUGCCAUUAAGUGCCUCCAGUGCUUUUCAGAUAAAGUGCUGGUCCUGGAUGAUGUCAGGUGGGUUGACAUCAUCAGCGUGCAGCCGAGGUGGAUGUGCCGAGGUCACCUACACGGUGGACUAGGGAUGAAGCCGAGCUCUGGGGUUGUGCUCAAGACAGGGAAUGAGCUCCGGUGAGGGACGAGACUUGUGUUCACCUCGGACACCCGCGUGUCCGAGGUGAGCAUCCUCAGUACCCUAAGAAGAAGACAAUAAAAAAAAAAUGCAGGGCUUACGUGAAGCACAAGAGACAUAAAUUAACUAGUGGAGUGCUACGUAACUUGAAGCUGCAUGCCAAGCUACAGGUGAAGAGAGUGCUGCUUCAUGUGAGACCUCCCUUUCAAAUGGGAUUCCAUGAAAUUUUCUUGUGCUUCGAUGAUGAUCAGUUCAUUACAAGUUAAUAUAUAUAUAGAGCUACAGAUCGAAAGGAAGGUGGGGGUCGACGAUCUCGCAGUUUGAGCUCCCCUAACCGAGAUUUUCCUCAAUAAUUAUUAUCCAAUGAAAGAAUAUAUUCUACCUGUGCUACAGGAGAGGAGAGUAGGGGCCCCGACUUAUCUUCUUCAGUCUUCAUCUCUUACAACUUGAUACGAUGGAGAACAGAAUUUCAACGUAAAGAUGCCCUUCGAUCACUUUCUUGCCUCUGCUGCUCUCGUGAAACUUAGAUGUUGGCAACUUGCCCGGAAUCAAUUUCCCUACAAAUCAAAUGCUUAACAGAUUUGUUUCCCCCCCCCCCUUUUUUUUGUUGGAUUAAAGAGGAAAGUAAACGUUAUAAAGAGGAGUACAUAGUAACGCCACUGACACAACAUCUGCUAGGCGACUUAGAGUCAACAUUAAAAUUGUAAUCAACUCCCCAAUGUGCUAAGAAUCAGCACAAUCAAUCAACUCCCCAAGUGUUUUUACAAUAACAUCCCUAAAAAAAAUAUAUAUAUAUAUAUAUAUAUCCCCGAGUGCCAACUUUCACAUUUGAGUGACAUUUUUUCUUAAUAAGAAGAAAAACUACACUGAUAAUCAUAUGUAAAUUAUUUGCAAAUUCAAACUGAAAUUUCUUACGCCAAAAAAUUUAAAAAAAAACACUGAAAAUGCAGAAAUUUGUUAAUAGUAUACAUUCAUGUGAGUCUUGACAACAUUGCGUGUUAAUAUUAUCCAGAUUUUGGCUUUCAGAUAAUUUGUUCGUUUUUUUUUGUCAAAAAUAAAGAACAAAAGAAGGAAAAAGCAAAAUGUUAAUCAGUUUGUUCUCAUUUGCUAUAGUUAAAAGAUUAGACAACUGUUGUGGUUUUGGCGCGGUUGGUUCGAACUUUUCUUUCUUUCUCUUUUUUUUUUUUUUCUUUUGCAUUAAAUUGAAAAACAAACUUUUUUUUUUUCUUUCUAUAAGGGCCUUGCUGUAUGUUGUACACGAAAUUAAGGAACUAAAUUACUAGUAUUACUCAGUUUGUUUCGUUUAUCCUUAGUUGAGAUAUUCCUAGAUAGCAAAGUGAGGAGUAUUUUCAGUUGGAAAUCUAAAUUUUUUUUAACCCUCCCUACACCCUUUCCAUCCUUGCCACUACUACAGCUACCCAAAAUAUGAUCGAUCUUCUGAUCGAGAACACCAUUUCUUAUCAAGAUCGUUCUGAGUUCCCUUGGUCUUCCUUGUACCAUUCUAAGAUGCAUCUACAUAUAUCUUAAUGUAUAAUUAGCAACAGCCUUCAAGACUUCAAUGGCUGAGUUGACAAAAGAUUGAAAGCUUGCUGCUUUUGUUGCCCUGCUGGUCUUCUAAGCUGGCCAGAAAGGGUGUCUUGACAAAAUCAUCAAGAAGCCAGAAAAAAGUUCGUCAUCCCUUGGCAUAGCACCUCAUAAAUUAGUACACAAUGUCUGAAUUUUCUUCAGGCCUUAGGAGAGGAGUACUAAAAGCCAACCAAAAAGUCAUAAAUUUAACCGAUGGUUACUUGAUUCCUCGUCAGACUUACACAAGAGCAAUAGACGCUUAUUGAUUUUCUCCGGGAAAACAGAUCACAUGUUUUUCAUGUUAUUCGAUUUGGAAUGAUAUUCCAUUAAGUCAGAGUUUGAGUCUUGCUGAUCAAAAUCGUCGACUAAGGUAUUUUUAAGGUUAUGGACAAGAAAAAAUACAGGCUAGUUUUUGCUUUGAUGUUGUAGAACUAAACUUGUACACUAGUUUUUCUUCAAGAAAGCCAAUGAGAUUAAAAUGGCACUGCCUUUAGAGAGAGUAACUAAGUACCAGGUUUCAGCAUUGUCAAGGAGUGAUGUACUGUUGUGACUAGAGCAUAUUUGUCUCUUUAGAGAAUAACAAGGAUUAAUUCCAUUUUGCAUCCUUCAACUAUACCCAAAUUCUUUAAAAAAAAAAAAAAAGCCUAUACCCGAAUUCUUACUUUGAUACCUGAACUUCAAAUGGAAUGCUUUAGUCUCUAAAGUAUAAAAUUUGUCACAUUUUAGUUCAAAAGAAGAAAACCUAUCCUAUUUUAUUUCUUUAAAUACAAAGUCAGUCCACUUUAGUUUCUUAAAUUAUAAAAUCUAUACAAUUAAAUAUAAAAUUUGUUCCAUUUCUCUCAACGAUUUUGCUUAAGUGGGACAAAUUUUAUGUUUUAGCGAUCAAGUUUUUAAUUUUAAAAUUUAGGGAUCGAUGUGUACAUCUCAUUACUUGAGAGGUGGAAAGUGAAAUUAACCCAAAAAAAUAACGAUGCAAUCAUCAUCUGGCAAGUUGGUCGUGAGUACGUGACGUAGCGUUCAUAUAAAUAUGGUAACCUGAUUACAGCUAGUUCAGGAAGUCGCCCCAAAAAGAAAAGAUGAACAAAUUAAUGAGCAUGUAUUUGAUAACUACAAGAAUCUGAUCCAAAGCGCAAAACAAAAUUACAGGUAGAGAAUGAAAACUUCCAUAUUUUAACUCAGCGCUCGAGAACUUUAUAUUCAUCGUUAAAGAAAAAACUUUAUAUUCAUCUAUCCAAAACCUAUAACAUCAAUGGAUUCUUUUUCUCUUAGUCCAGGAGGGGAUUACCGAAUCGGCUUGAUGGAGGGUGCCAGGUAGUAAAAAUUCUGAAAGAGAAUGCCAAGAAUGACGAGGAAAGCCUGUCAAGUAGCCGGACGACUCGCCUGCAAAUCCAUUAAUGAAGAAUUUACACUUGUACAUGGAUGGAUCUUGAAGGAUGAAGAGGCAAGCCAUCCUUGGCUACGAAACAGGACUCUCAGCCCCAUUCCAGGCAUUUCUUUCUAUAAAAUGUUAACCUCGAAUUAUAUCGAAAAGGUAUACAAGUGCACUCUUGACUGAUAACGAUCCCCGAUAACUCAACGGAAAAGGGGUCUUGCGUGAAGAAAAAGAGACAUAUUAGUCAAGUGGCCGCCAAGGCCAAACAGCACGAGGCUUCUUCACGUAAGACCUCACUUUGGAAUUAUUGAGUUGGUCUUUUUCUUGUAUAUAUGCUGAUGAUCGUCUGUUUCAAGUGUCUAUUUAUAGCGACAGAAAAUGAAAGAUGAGAGGCUUCGGAAUUAGAUGAUGCGCAAGUUAGAGCUAGCUUGCUUCCCUAGCAAAGUAACUUUCUUCACUAUUAUUUUCGUGAAAGAAUAAAUUCUCUUCCUGUUUCAGGGGUGCAGAGGACCCCAACUUAUCUAGUACCUCAUGUUCGUACAGCUGAAAGAUGAUAGGAGAGCUAGCCGAAUUUCAACGUAAAAGUCCCAUUAAUUCGCACGUUUUGUUGGCAACUUGCACCGAAUCAUUGCAAUAAGUGCAAUGAAUUUCCUUUUCCAUAUCUGGUCAAUGUUCAGUAGAAUCAUUGCAAUUAGCGCAUGGCUUGAAACCUGGGACCUCUUCAAAACCCGAGCAGCCAAAUAAGAGCCGGGGGGGGGAGGGGGGGUGGGUUUUUUUGGUGUAACUUUUCUUCCUUCGGCUAGUUCACUAAGUAAUGUGUAGGAUCAAACCAUGAUAUUAUCUGCUGUCAAAUUCCCAGUCACCCAGUUAUAUAACUUCUCAAUGUCCUGGACAUAUUACUGGCACUUGCAAAGUCACACUAAAGCCUUUCUACCCAAGAAAAAGAAAACUAAAGCUUUUCUUUUUCUUUUCGCUUUUUCCACUAAAGUUCAUGUUAAGGAAGAAUUUCAGUUGAAGGAAGAAAAUUCAGCAAAGCAGUAGCGUUAACUCGGAUGGCAAAGUCGUUCAUUUUUUAUUAUUUCGGUGAAAUGUCAGUCAUUUGUGAACUUUUGGAGUUUGGACUUUUUUUUUUUUUUUUUGGUAAAUAAAGAUGCAUUAAAAAUAAAAUCAAGUCAACAGAGUGCAAAUUAAGGUACAGUCAUCCGUGGGAGGAAACCCCCUUUAAGUCUUGCAAAAGUAAGGGAAGUACAAAAUUAGGACAUAAUUCAAAAAAAGUGAAGUCUUGAGUGUUGCUUCUUCCCCAGUUGGCAAGGAUGUCUGCACAUUUGUUUGCUUCUCUAUAAUUAUGGUGAAAACAUACUUUCUGGAAUGUAGUCAAUAGCUCCCUGCAAUCAAGAAUAAUAGGUGCAAGUUCAUGAGAAAUAAGAUUAUUUGACUUACACAAGGAGAAUAUAAAGGCAGAGUCCAUCUCCACUUCGAGAGAGUGGAUGUUGAGAUUUUUCGCAAGUUGUAAGCCUUCUCUAAGAGCCCAACAUUCAGCAGAAGGAACUGAACAGAAGCCUAAAUUUCUUGCAAAGCCCGCAAUCCAUAUCCCAUUUGAGUCACGAAUUAUGCCACCAGCUCCUGCCUGGUUUGUUGGUCCAGAGACUGAACCAUCAGUAUUGAGCUUGGCGAAACCUAUAGCAGGGGGGGAUCCAUCUGAUGAAUUUUUCUUGUCUAGGGGAUCUGGAGAUAUGAGAACCAGGCCCUAGUAGGUAAAAUUCAUGAGCAUGGUGAAGACAAAACUUGAUAGGAUCAUCAAUUUUGUUUUUUUGAAAGAUCUUGGCAUUGCGAGCUUGCCAGAGGCUCCAACAACCAAAGCUAAAAAUGGUUCCCCAAGGAAUAAGGUUGAAAGGGGAAGGAAUGUUGGACGAGCAUCCAUCCUUGAUCCAGGAAUAGAAAUCCGAGCUGGUUUGGAGGGAGUUUUGGGAGGAUGGGUGAGUUUAAGCCAGAAGGAGGUUGCUUGGGGACAAGAUCUUAGUAUGUGAUUCGAAUCUUCAGAAGGAGCUUGACAAAAAGGGCAAGAGGCUUCGGAAAGAAUUGUGCGAUGUGUGAGAAGACUUUUUGAAGGGAGUCUAUCCUGGGAUGCUAGCCAAAGGAAAUGCUUGACUUUUGAGGAGUAUUAACUUUCCAAAUCCAGCGAAAAUGGGAUGGAGCUCUAGAAUCAACUGGAAAUAAGGGAGGAUUUUUGCAAAGGUUAUAAGCAGAUUUCGAGUUGAAAACCCCAUUGCUGGAGUAAUUCCACCUAAAGAAAUCAUGGGAUGGAUUGAGCUCUUGUCUUGGUGUACCCUUGAUCUCCUUCACGAGCUGGAGAGGAAGCUGGAAGGAUAUUCUAUCAAGGUUCCAACUGGUGGGGAGUGAAAAAGUUGAAAAACUCUUAAGUCCUCUUCCCCCUCAGUUAGAGGUCCUUGGAUCUGGCUUCUGAUAGAGCCUGAUUGAAGCCAUUUGUCUCCCCAAAAUCUGACUAAAUGCCCAUCUCUGAUAGACCAAAUUAAACCUUCAUUGAAGGUUUUGAUCCCAAUGUUGGAGUUUGGACUGUUGAAGCCUGUCGAUGCGGUUGGAUUUGCAACGUUGUGAGUUUGUUUGGACAAAGAUAAUUUGAUUUGCAAAAUUUAUUCUCACAAAUCCCAAUCACCUUUUUAUCUCACAUACAUCACAUCACAAAAAGUGCUACAGUAAAUAUCUCAAAUAAAUCAUCCAAAUAAACUCUUAUCCAAACAAACUCGUGCUUCUUUUUCUUUUUCUUUUUUCUUUACAUGCUUCGUUGAGAUUAUCAGAUAAAAUUCUCUUAAUUUGCUUUUUUAAUUAGCUGGGUUGACUUUAGAUUAGACUAUACCCAACUUUACCCAGUGGGUCUGAACGUUCACAUAAGUGCUGCUAUGCCUGCAGUCCUUUGCAUAAAUAAAACUGACAAUACGAAUCACGUCUGUUUUCUUUUCUCUCUGCCUGCUUUAUCACUGGAUUUUAUCCUAACUUUAGGUGGGCUUGAUUCGUAUUAGAUUGGAGCGAUAAUGAGAUGUAUUCGAUAUUCUGUACCAAUAAAGAAGGUUAUACUGCAACAAUAGACACCUCAGCUGAUCUCUCGUUUCUAUUUCCCUAAUUCAUGCUUCUAGACGUCGUUGACUAUGGGGGCAUCCUGUCCUGUCCUGUCCAGUUAGUUUCCGGUUAAACCUCUCUGAUUCUAGCUCAAUCUUCAUGCAUUAUUAUUAAGUACGAUUGCAGUUGGAGAAAGUUCUAUAACAAAUUCUCAGUCAUCAAGAUGAUUUUAACAAUUCACUUGAUAAAAUCAAGAAAAUUUUCUAAGAUUUUAGAUGGGGCAAAAUAGCGGCUGUAAAUGAAAUUACCAGAAGUCCUUCGGGUUAAAAAGCAUUAGCCAAAACUUGGGGCCGGCUGCUACCAACUCCUGCCGCAGUGGAUGUGUUUAUUUUGUGGUAACUGUCAGUUCUAGGAACGCUGGUCCGCGGGCCUUGCCUCAAAUGACUCCUUCAUAUUGUUUUGAGCCGUCAUCAAUAGUUUGAUUCGCCAACCAACCCAUUAAUUGGGAUCGUUCAUGCCUGAAUUCCAGACACCUCUAUGCCUGUCGACAUGCUUGCCAAGGUAGACGGAGAUGGAAUUCCUUCGAAGCACCGUAUCAAAGAGUGUGACAGCAUCAUGCAGAGACAGCCGCGCCGAAAAUGCGAGUGGAACAAAUACCCAGCUUUAGCACUACUACAUGCAUUUGUCUCGAUCAAAAGAGUAGAGAUUUUACAGCAAUCCAACUCUGGUACUGAAUCUUCUAGUAUUACAAUUUUCAGUGCUUCUAUCUACCUUUCUAAUUCACAGCGUACAGAAGUAGAGCUAGUCAACUUUUAGCACUUGCUACUGAAUAGUUUCUAGGACUUUUUAGACAUUGUCAAGCAUCUGCUUAGUGCUAUCCAGUUGGUAUUGGCACAGUCUAUACAUUCUAGAACAAUACCGAGGCCAGAUUCAAAACCGCAAUGAUUCUUCUUCUUCUUUUUUUUUUUUUUUUUCCUUUUUAGUGAUACACCAACACUGUAUGUGCUAUAUACUACAUUACUAAGAACGGGCCCUGGAUUUGUCUUUGAGCAAUUCUACCACUCUUCUCAUGGAGGGCCUGUUCAUUGGAAGAGAUGAAACGCACUGAAGGGCGACGUCUAAGACCACCCUAAUCUCUUCAAGCUCAGAUGUUGAUGGUUUCAACCUUGCAUCUACAAGGUGAUCCAAAUAGUCAGCACAAAUUUUGGCACUAUCGUUGGCUAUUGGUUGUUCUGCAGAUGACAAUGCCACCUCCAUUACCCACUGUACGAUAUCUUUAUUCUCCCAAAAGAGGGAUCGAUUGGCCGUUUACCAGUAAUCAGUUCCAACAGAACCACACCAAAGCUGUAUACAUCACUCUUCUCUGUGAUCUUCAGAGUGUAUGCAUAUUCUGCAGAAACAAGAAGACAGCAAAAGCAUGUUAGUUAGCCACCAUGGCUUCAGACUCAAAAGAUAAUCACAUCAGGGAAAGAACAUUUUAAAUUUGAGAGAAUUAAUAUCACGAUUACAUUAAUCGCAAUCUAGCAUUAAUUUCUAACAAUCUCCUUAAUAACUAAUAUGCACCCGAGGGCAAAGAUGAAGUAUGUCUACUUGAUGUGUUCCUUUUCCUUUCAUUCCAAGCACAAGUAAACCUAAAAACAGCUUGAAACCUAUAAUCAGAGUAUAUAACUGGUCUUGCUCCCUUCAGUAGAAGUUCAUGUCCAGCGAAGGAAAGCUAAUAACAAAAAAUGGCAUUCGAUAAAUAUAGUUCAACAUACAUUUUUAUAAUAAAUAAAAAAUGGCUUUUAACCCAGUCACUCUAACUGGUUGGAGUUGAAGCCUUCAAGACAAAAGAAAGGAGGUUUGAGAUAAACACACCAAAUAAAACUUGACUAAACCCCGGUCAAACUAAGCUCAGUGUCGCUACUAAUUCAACUAAAAUCAACUUUCUUUCAGCAAGAAUUGGUUCAAAGCCAAUUCAUAUCUUCCACUUCAAAACAAUGGGCUAAAGUUGCUAGAAUAAGACUAUCUUCCCACCAAUCUUAGUCAUAGACUAGUUCCCUCAUGCGAUUUUCCAACUGGAGCAAUUGUUUAUGUGUAAUCACGAUUACGGGUGAAUAGAGAAUUUUUAAUCUUUGUUUUUGUAUUAUACAAUUGUAUCUUACUAUUUGUUGUCCUUGGAACAGAAACUAGAUAUCUCCAAGCUCCUGUGUCUCUUUUUUUGGUCUUGCAGUCAAAUUCGCUUUUGGCCACAGACAAGUACAUGCAAUGAUUUGAAGCGAUGUCGCAACAAAGACAAAGUGACAAAACCAUCCGUAAACAUGAGGCAACUCUCAAUUCCAAUCAAAUGGAGAACUCAAAGCCUAAAACUAGUCAAAUUAAGAACUGAGAGCCUAACACCAUAUGCCGCUUGCUUGCUGGAACAAAAUCAAGAAUAGCCAUCCCCACUCUACACCCAUAAUACCCUAAUAAAAACAUAAUUGCUGCAGGGGAAACUAAAAAGAAUUACAUUAAGCCAAAUCUAUCAUAUUAAUGAAUGAAACAAUUGAUAAUUACUACAAAUAAAAGGCCAUAAUAUAGACAGAAAAGUUAUGCCUCACCUGGAGCAAUAUAGCCGUAGGAGCCAGCAAUCUGAGACAUGAGUUGGCCGCCCUCCUCCAUAUUUUUAUGCAGAGUUUUUGCCAAACCAAAAUCAGCGACCUUUGGCCUGAAUUCCUCAUCCAACAAUAAUGUUGUUAGACUUCACAUCCCUAUGAACAAUUGCGGGUACGCAAUCAUGGUGCAAAUAGGCCAGUCCUUGAGCAGCCCCAAUUGCAAUCUUGAACCUCGUAUGCCAAUCCAACAAUACCCCACCUUUCUCUCCGUGUAGUACAUCCCCAAGCUCCCAUUCUCCAUGUAAUCGUACACUAAUAUCCUAAAGUUGUCUCCAGAGCAACUGAACAACAACUUCACUAUGCAACCAUGCUUGAUUCUGCCCAAAGUCUCCACCUCUGAUUGGAACACCUCUUCAGAUUCUGGUCCACGUUAGCAUCCCAGAGUCUCUUGACUGCGACUGUCGGCCCGUUCUUCAACAUGACACGAUAAACUUGGCCCGACCCGCCUGUUGCAAUGAGAUUAUCUUGACUCAGAAAGGCAACAAUAUCUUCCUCGUUGAACCACAGUCGCUGAAAUGCAGUCAUUUUCCAUGAUUUUUUGCCCCGACCUGCAAAUAAAUUUAGCUUCUUUGACUUGAUCAAUAGCCAUAGAAAUGAUACGACGAGUAUUCCUGACAAGGCUGAUAAAAUUCCCACCAAAACCAAGCUUAUGGGUCUUCUUUUCUGGCAUGAAGGGAGAGGUUUAAGAUCAGGACUGCACAAAUCCGAAUUGCCCACUAAGCUUGAAAUGAAAAUUUCAUUGUCGAAUGCACUAGGUACUCUGCCCUGAAGCCUAUUAUUUGAUAAAUUGAACAUAUUGAGCUUGAGUUUUGACAAAUCCGAGGAAUCUCACCAGAAAGUAAAUUCUCGGAAAGAUCUAAGUAUGUCAAAUCAGGCAACUCCCCGAGCUCAGCUGGAAUUGUACCAGAAAAUUGAUUGCCAGAUAAGUUCAAUUCUGUUAAAUCAGUCCAAGUGGUAACAGAGGUCGGGAUUUCACCUGUGAUUGAGUUUUCUUGGACAUCAAGCUUGAGUAACUUGUUCAAUUUGGUAUGCACGAGGGCAGUUUGCCUGAGAACCGGUUGCUGCUAAUGUCUAUAAUUUGAAGCUGUUCCAACUCGCAUAUUCCCUCCGGCAACUGCCAGAAAAGCUGUUGCCCGAUAUCAAAAAUCCUGUUAGAUUACGGGCAUUUGAAACCGUAGGAGGAAUUUCACCCUCUAGUCUAUUGUUUCGGAGUUCAAAAAUCGUAAGCCCAGGAAAACUCCAGAAACUAGGAGGUACAACUCCAGACAGCUCAUUACUGAAAUCCGGACGUACGUUAACGAACUGCACUCACCAUACGACUCAGGGAUUGGACCAGAAAAGUUAUUGUUAAACAAAACUAAUCUGUCUAGCUGCUUCUUGAAACAAAGAUUUGGAGGCAAAGGCCCUUCUAGAAAAUUCCCAGAUACAUCAAAAUCUUCCAAGCCUGAAUUCCUUCCCAAAUUAACCGGUAAAUUGCCGGAUAAUCUGUUAUUAAAGAGCUUGAGCUGAUAAAGAUAAGGAUUUAGAGCUAAAUUUUCUGGGAUUUGGCCUUCCAAAUUGUUGUCAUUGAGAUUGAAGGAUUGCAGAGCUAAACCGGUUAGACUUUCUGGUAUUCUUCCGGUGAGAUUGUUCGAUGAAGCAUCGAAAUUAUAUAAGAAGUCAGGUUCGAAAAUGUAUCUGGAAUUUCACCGGAGAGUUGGUUUGAAUAGAGCUCUAUCUGUUCGACAGCAAUUAGUCCUCCGAUACUUUCUGGGAUCUUUCCAGUGAGGUUGUUGACGGAGAGGUCGAGGUUUUUAAGAGAUUUGAGGUUUCCAAUUGAGUCUGGGAUUGAACCAAUUAUAUUUGAAAAUGGAAACCAGAGAUUUUCGAGUUUGGUGAGGCGGCCUAUGUCGGCCGGAAGUGGGCUUGGGCCGAAAUUGUUGGCAGCGAUUUCUAGACGAGUUAACUCGGUGAGAUUGGUUAAGAAAUCCGGGAUAGACCCGUUGAGUAAGUUGGAGAGAAGACGGAGAGACCUGAAGGUUGGGUAAGCGGGAACCGUAACUCGCCGGAAUCUCACCGGAGAAAUUGUUACUGACAGGUCGAAGGUGGUGAGGUUGAGGAACUGAGUUUGAAGCUCCGGCAGCCCGCCAACGAACAAGUUGGAGGACAGAUUGAGGAAUUGCAGGUGGGAGCAGAGAGUGAGCGCUUCAGGUGAGAGGGUUCCGUUGAAGUUGUUAUCGGAAAGGUCCAGAAAGCGGAGAGUCUGAAUCCGGCAAAAGUCCGCCGGAAAAUAGCCUGAGAUGCUGAGCUGGUGAGAUUAACGGAAACGACAUCGUUAGUUUGGUUGUCACAACCAAUGCCAGUCCAGUUGCAGGGAGCAUUGGGUGCGGACUGCUGCCAAUCAGCGAGAAGACCACUGGGGUCUUGCAGUUCAUUGGCCUUGACUCGAAGCAAAACGACGACGUCCCUGUUCGAUGAACUGGUACCAGGAAUUAUCAGAGCAAUGCAGAAAAGCAGUUUGAUGAGAUAGAGAUAGAGGGGCAGAGGUCUGCAGUAAAGCAAAAGCACAUAGUACCGGCCAUUUUCUUCUGUUAAUUAAACUACCACCCCGCAAACCGCAACUACUAGAAUGUAUAAUGCAAUCUAUCUAAAGAAAAUUGAGUUUGAGGAAAUGAUGGGCUAAUUCGAUGAUGAAAUCGUGAAAAUGAGAAUUAUUCAUGAUUUGUAUUUAGCCAUUGGAUUUGAAAGACAGCAGCAGGCAACUGGCAAGUAGUGCAUGGCCAUGGACAGAGUAACAGUGCAGGCAGAUUGGGAGAACCGCUGGAAGGGGGUGGAGGUAGCGUGAGCUAAUUAGUCUACUCAUUCUUGACUUAGGAUUCUUAAUUUAUGGUGAAUCUUGAUAGACUAAGGUCAAAAUAUCUUGAUAGACUACAUCGAUACUUUGUAUUCUGUUCACAUGUGAAGGGCUGGUCAUAGAUGGCAUUUAGUGUACUAAAAAUUUCCAUGUGGAGAUGAGAAAGUUAGCAAUAAUAUGAUAAAAUCGACAAUGAUUGUCAAAGUAGUUUCCAACGAGUCGACUCCCGUCGAAUUUUCAUUUAAUUGAAUUGAGUCUCGGUUUCAUUUUAUCAAAUUCGAUUAGAAUUUAGUGUAAAACUUGAGCUCGACGUCAAAUUUGCUUGAACUAGUUUGCAGGAUUCACAAUAAUUAUCUUUUUUUUUUUGGAAGCAAAUGAUUGUCAAAGAUUGGUGGGAGUGAAUUAGGCGGAUUAAAACUGAAAGGUAAGGAAGUGAAUUUUUCCAGAAACUCACUAUUCAUUAUUUGGUCAUAGACGGAAGAUUGAUGGUUUUAUAUGCUUUUGUAGAUAGUGUAGAACAUAAGAGGGGCAUACCAAAGAGGGAAUACCAUAUUACUUGUUUGGGGUGGAUAUUAACCACUGAGCCAACCUCAGUGGCCACCAAAGUGGGAAAAAAUCUCAUCUGUUUGGGUUAUAAGUGGGGUUCAAAUCACACCUGCAAUUAAAAAAAAUCAAAAGUGGUGUCAAAUCACCCUUUUAGUCUAGUCUCUAACACAAGCCUAUUUAGAUUCUCCUGAAAAAAAAAAUUUAGGAUGGAUAUCAUUAUUAUAUUUAGAUCAUCCAUGAACCAUGGCUCCGUUUGAUAAAUGAGUAUUUGGAUAUUUGUCUAAAAUUUUACCUUCUUGUAGUAGUUGUAGGAAAAAUUUGUAAGAUGAAAUUUUUUUUUUUCAUUUUCUCUCUCUCCCUCUUCCCCCCUUCCCAUGCCACUAUCCCCCUUCCCCCGACGCGAUCUGAUCUCACGACCAGAUUGAGCAAAGGGGGAUAGAGAGGGAGAGGGGAGGAGGAAGAUAGUGGGGAGGAAGAGGGGUAGAGAUAGGUGGCAGAGGAGAGGAACGGAGAGGGUGAGAGAGGAGGAGAGGGGAGGGAUGAGAGGGAGGGAAGAGGAGAGAAAAAGAAAAAAAGGUGGUCGUCUGGCCGGCGUCAAAGGUGGUGGUCGGUUGAGGUGGAAGAAAGAAGAAAAAAAAAUUUUAUGUGUUUUGAAUAUUUUGAAUUGUAUAGUUUAAAAUUUUUGAGAAAUUUUUUGAGAUUAUUGUAAUUAAAAUUAUUAAAAAAUUGAUGUGAGACAAAUUUAGCAAAAACUCACUUUGCCAAUCAGGCCCGUAUUUCACCACGUAACGAUGAUGAUUUCCUUCUCAAUGAUUUACUUGUAUUAUCUUCUGUCUUAGAAAGUCUUAUCCUUUUGCUACUGGUUGGCUACCUUUCACAACCACUGUCGUUGUGCGUACAGGGAUUACUCGUGUAUUGAGUGUGAUGCCUUUGGAGUCUUCGCCCAUGCCUGAAAAACAAACGAGUAAAGCAGUCAAAAAGGUUCUCAAGAGGUCAUACAAUGCAGUUGGCCGAAAUUGGUGACCAAUAUAUAAAUGCAAGGGUCCAUCAUUUCUUUUCACUUGAUUUGUAUUUUUCUUCGGAGGGUCCAUCAACUCUAUGAUUUUUUUUUUCUGAGGUGCCUAUCAACUCAAUGAUCUCAAUUCAAGACAAAAGGAUAAGUUAACAAUAAUCGAAGACUCGGGGAUUUGAAGGUAUGCGAGUGUGGAAUUAUUCCAGAAGCAAAGAUAAUAAAUACAUGGCUAAUUAUUUUAGUGCGGAGGGUCAAAAAAAAUGAGUACCAAAAAAAUCUACAAGUUGGUGAAAGCAAAAGGGGUGCAAAUGGAUGUUGUUGCAAGCAAAAGGUGUUUGCAACCCUUAAUCAUGAGAUUUCGAAUUCAAAAUUUAUGAGAAUGAAAAGGAUAACGUUGAGAAAAUUUCUCCUGCAAGAGACUCGACUCGGGUCGAACAAAAUUAAUCACAGUACAUGAUUAAUACCUGUGAAUUAUAAAAAAAAAAAAAAAAAUCUACAAAUCCCAAUAGUAAGGGCGCGGCGAAUGGAAACUCAUUUUCUACAUUGCUGAAUUUAACACCAGUGUGGGACACUAAAUUCAUAGUCGAAUCUUUGACUGUGAGCUGUAAACUAUGAAGGACAGCUUCUAGGAAUUGAAUUGUGUUCGAAAUUUGGGAAAAAAGAUGUACAGUCGCUUCAAUUCGAAGCAAAGUAGUAGUCAGCAAGCAGCAGUCCAGCCACUAGUGGAAAAUCGUAUCGUAUUGUAUCACUUUUUCUCUGGGAAUGUUUACAUGAAAGAAUUGAUGCGUGCGCAAGGAUUGGAAUUUAUUAAGAUGGAAGAGACCGUGCGAAGGAAGCAUAGAAUAUAAAAGUUCGGCUUAGUUGGUUCUCGUUCUGUUUCUUUUUGGUAGUUGUGGGAUUCUUUUAGCAAGUUUCUGAGAUUCUAAGUGGAUUGGUUGGAUGCCGGUUCUAGAACUAAUAGAUUUACCCCUCAGUUUUAGUUAGAUAACUUGUACUCAGCCGAAUGUUCUUUCAAUGGGAAAAAAAAAAAAAAAAAAAAAAACAAUUCAGGUUUGAUAUUACUAGUAAAUUAAAAGUGCUUCGUAGCCUUGACCAGGGAAGAGCUAAUAGUGGCUCCCUCAUAGUAAAAUUUCUCUAAGCAACUCAAAUUUUGGUGUUUGGAGGCUUGGAAAGAAAUUUUCAACAGAUUACAGAAUAUGAUAGGACAUCCCUUAUAGAGUGGUACUAUAUAAAUUUUUUCUUGCCCUCUCGUUUAGAAAUAUGCAGAUGCUUAAGACGGUACUUUGCAGUCAAGAAACAAUAGAAAACAAUUAUAGUUAUAAUUGGCUUUAUUAAAACUAAGUAUUACUACUACUUUAUUUUGUUUUGCUGUCCUCGUGCUUUCCCAUUUUGCUUUUGCUUUUUCCCUUCUCUUCUUUAGCUCCGUCAAUGUUGUAGGGUCCCAUAAUUAUGGCUGUUCCAUAAUAGCGUACUCAGAAGUCAAAAUUCUGUUCAUACAAAUGGAAAUGCUAGGACCGCAAAUUUGAAAUUAAAAGGAUCAGCCAAUCACAAUUGCCAAGUGCCUCGAGGCUGGGGACUACUUGCUUGACGUUUUGUCAUGAUAGUAUAAAACUGAACCACUGAGCUUUUGGCUGUAAAACCACCGGGGUAAGGGCUCAGCGGUGAUCGGAGAGGGGCUUAAGUUCCUUUUUAGGUUAUAGGUAAAGGUUCAAAUUUCAAUUGUAGUGAAAAAAAUUUAAGGGUGUGUCAGAGCAUUUUCUUGAUUUAGUUGAGUCUAUAUACUCACUAGUCUCCUAUCACAGCCUCCGUAGGCUUCCCUUCUCCCCUAGAUUAGAAUAAAAAAAAAAAAAAAAAAAAGAGCUUUUGGCUGUAAGCGCCAAAACUGCUUUUGGUUGUAAGUCGGUUCGAACUUCACCGGCGGUGAAAAAAUAUACCUGUUAGUCUCUUAUACAAUCUCUUUAGGCUUUCCUUCUCUGUAAAAUAGAAUAGAUUAAAUUAUAUAAUGUUAUUGUUGCUAUAAAAACAUAAUAUAAAACUGUAUCCUUCAAAAAGUAUCAUGCAAAAGAAAGAUGAUGACAGUACAUGUCAUGCUCGUCUAUAGAUCAACAACUAAUUUUAACUUUUAUUAUUUUCUCUUUUUUUGGUUCCCCCCCCCCCCCCUUUUUUUUUUUUUCUAAUUACUAGUGACCAAUUUUAUAUCUGAGAUAGUGGUACAGAGUAAACUUUAAGGGUAUUGGCCUAGGAUUUUUCGAUGCCUAGCUUUCUAGCAGUACUCAGAGAUUUCAUUCACCGUAUGCCAGUGGAUAACUUCUCAGUCUCCAUUCAAGCAUGUAGUAUAUCUUGUUCUCUCCCUUUGUUUGACUUGAUUUAAAUUGAAACAAAAUUAUUAGGAAGUCCAAUUCAAAGACCAAUUAAUGCUUCGAUAACGUCGCCCGCUGAUGCUAACAUAUGUUCAGUUUCUGGAAAAUGAAUAGAGUACCCAGCUCCAAUAAACUAUUUGAAUGGCUGGUUGGUAAAUUUUCUUAAAUUCACCCUACGCCCGAAAGAGAUAUGCGCAGGGAGGAACGUUGUUUGGACUCGUACAACUUUCAAGCAGUCUUCUUCAACACUUGAGUCAGUACUGAAAUAUGACAAAGAAUAAUUGAAAUUCAAAAAGAUGACAAUAAUUAGAAAAGCGUAGAAUGAAUAAACUAAACUUGGUGCUCAUAUAUAUAUUUUUUUAAGUAGUUAAAGUAGAGAAUUUAGAGGACUUCUUGCCAAGUUUGCUUACUAAAACUUCACGGCCUUGGCCCGGACCAAAAUACAAGGGUCCAACGGGCUUGAAGCAUUGCUUUCCCCGAGAGAGGAGCAAGAACGGCCGCAGCAAGCAAUCGUGUAUGUACAAAGUUACAUCUUAUAUAUUUUGUACAAAAUCGGUUCGGACAGUUUUCAUGACAAUUGUUUGGCUCCCGUGUUCGGGAGACUCUGAUUGGCACUCAAAUUCGAGCAGCGAAGGAUUUCUGGAAUUUUUUUUAAAAUUUAUUUUAUGUGGCGGAAUGCACAAACUAACUGGGCCGGGGUGCAAGAGCCAAGAUGGAAUAUCACGAAUACUGGAGAUGGAUAGCUUCGGGUUUCUGUGUUCUGCGAGAAUUUGAUAAACAAAUUUAAGAAGAAGCUGUCUGCAGGGUGAGGAACGGACAAAGCAACUCAAAGUCAACGUCGCCGUGAAGCAAAAGUUGUUCUACUAAAAGAACCCGACCGACAAUCUUCCGCGUACUAAUUUUGCGCUUUUCAGCUCCGCCCCAACAAUAACAUGCGUUCUAAAUUCUAAUCUACUACUCCCAGUCCCAGUAGUGAUUGAUGCUCAGCACCAGUUUUUGUUAUCUUUCUAAACAUGGAUAGACCGUCCAAGUAACUCGAAAAACCUGAUCCUCUCUCUUGUAACGUAAUCAAUGGCUUCUUGAUGAAUUUACUGAUACUUUGAAGAAGCGUGGGAAUCUGUAUAUAUAUAAUGAGGAGUUUGAUCAAAUGUUCUUCAUUCGAAAAAACAUCAGGACUGACGUUCUUUCGAGUGUAUAAGAUGGUGCGGUUAGGCAAGAGAACACGUUCAGUUCAGAUGGUCAAAAGUGUUUGGUGCAGUGGGUGAAGGUAAAUCUUGAUUAGCACGAACUUCAAUAAUGAAAUGAUCAACCGCACCUGAUUCAUUUUUGUGUGUGAGGUGGUUUAGUUUGGAAUUCAAUUUGGAACCACACAGUAUCACACGCUUUUACGCUCAGCACUAGUCACCAUUAGAGGUGGUAUCGAGCCGAGUCGAGCUCGAGUAGCACCAUACUCGAGCUCGAGCUCGAUCAAAAUUUGUACUACUCGAGCUUGAUCGAGUAAAAAAAUUUGGACUCGAGCUCGACUCGAUGAAAUAAAACUAAACUCGAGCUCGACUUGUUUGAGCUCGAGUAAAUAUCAAGCCUGAGCUACUCGAGCUUGAGCUCGAGUUUUGAAAUAAACCUAUAAUUUUUUUUAAAAUAUAUAAUAUAAUAUAAAUAAAAUAUGAAAACUCGAUUAAGCUCGACGAGCACUCGAAUAUUUAUUUCUUGAGCUCGAACUCGACUCGUUAAAUUUAACGAGUAGCUCGAGCUCGAUUUUACCGAGCUCGAGUCAAGCUUUUGAUCAAGCUGCUCGCGAGCUACUUGAUCAAGCUGACUUGCUAGCACCCCUAGCCACCAUUACCAAACAAGAUGAUGAUGCAUCAGUUUUAUAACUCAUACGCGAUGAUCAUGGAUCUCCUAUAUUUGUGUUUGCAAAAGGAUUGGAAAUUUAAUAAUAGCAUCAAUGGAACAAAUGAUGGGUUAGGUCUGACGGCGAUUGGCGGGUGAGAGAAAGGGUUGGUCGUUCCUUGAACAAUUGUUUAAAAGGAUAUGUAUCAUCAGAUCUGAUUGAUGAGUCAUACUAAGACAAUUCGCGGUUCGGUUAAGUAUGAAUUUUUGCUAAUUUAGGGAUAAAAAAUUGAUCCGUCUUAAGAAUGAGUUUAUGGGCCAAUAAAUAAAAUGAAGGAUUUUUAUCUUCAAACCCCGUUGCAUUGGGGUGGGGCAGUGCAAGAGAAAUCAUACAGAAGAGAUCAAAUGCCCUUCUUUUGAUAGUUAGGAGUAGGAUUGUCUUCAUCUUCCAUCGUUAAACUCCGUUCUUGCUCUUACAAUCAUAUGAUUUUAUUAUCUAAUUUUGCAGAAUUCAAUACUGGUUUUAAAGUUUGCAAAAUUAUAAUUAAAUCAAUUCUGUAGAUGUAAGUACAUAAUAUAUAUAAACUAAGAGAUACUUUAUACUUCAUGAAUUUAGUUUGAUGAUUUUGGUUUUAAAAUUUAAGUACAUAAAAUAUUGAUUUUUUAUAUCAUAACUUUCAAAACGAUUCAAGGAGGGAUACCAAUCUUAAGAAUGUUGUUUCUAGCAUAUAAUGCUAGAAAAUAUUAUUGAGAUUGAGGACGACAAAAUCACCAGAAUUUGUGCUCAGAAAUUUAAGUCGGGCAUGGUCCGGUAGUAGGAAAAUGCGCAGUCGCCACUGGUCAAAUCCAUACCCCAAUUCAAAGCGUCUGGGCAGCUUCUUAAUUUUUGGGCCCAUAUUAAGCUAACCGCAAAAUUUUUUUAAAAAAAUUAUUAUAAAGACGAGAGAACACGACGCGAUGUUAUUAUAAGCAAGACUCCAAGGAUCUGACAUCUGCUCCACAUGCCGUUGCAGCACCGUCACUGAUCGCCUGUCGUCUGCUACUAAAAAUGCAUGUUGUGGUAACAUCUCUUUUCUGUUUCUUUUUCUGGGUUACUCAAGUAGGUGUAAUCUUUUCUCAUUAUGUGGUAUAGAUCCCUGACUCUCUCAGAAAAACUGGCGGGUGUAAUGAUGGCCCGACCUAUCAUCAUAGUAUGACCAAGAACUAUGGUCUAAACCGAUGUGGGGAAAAUAUAGGAUUAGUUGAACUGAAACCGACCUAGUUAAGCUUCUAAUCUAGCAUUUGAUGAAAGGACGACAGUUAUGCUUCAGAAACUAGUCCUGUUUAAAACAAUUCUCCUCACAACAACCAUGACAUUUACAACAUUCCGUUUCCACCUGACAUGUCCUCCAUUCCUUGCCUUGGAAAUGCAGAAAGCCAAAGCUAGCAGGGCUGGCAGCAGGAAAAAGUUCCAAAUUGAAUGGUCUCGGCCACAUUAUUUGACAUUUGUCUCUAAUGAUGCUAACUACUUAAAGAACCAAUAAUUGAUCUUCCCUGCCCUGGACUUGUUUUCCACAUUCAACAAAUUAUCGGAAUCUAUUCAGCAAAGCAUUUGAUCAUGCUGCUUUUUUCUUCUUUUUUUUUUCUUUUUUCUUUUUAAGGAAACAGACUCAUGCAAUGGGAUCAAAGGAAAAUUUUGUCGUGUCGUUGACCUAAGAGUAAUUAUGAGGUUCUUAUCUAAAGUUACUUCGUGAAUGUUGCACCCGUAUUCCUACCACUCCACCACUUAAGACUGCAGUUGAAGCUUGAGAAUAUACAGAUCAUGAAGCAACACAUACAAUGUAAUACACUUUUCUUGGUUUAGAAUGCGAACAGGCAGUGAUGGAUUAAUAUUUAUUAGUCGCUAUUUCCUAAUAAACAUGGGAGACAUAAGUUUGUGAUGACAGCAUUUUAGUCGACACCGGAAACGACAUCAGUGAACAUUUUUCCUAAGCAUGCCAUUAUAGUGGCGUUUGACCCACAUAGAUCUGGUGCAUAUUAGCUUUUAGAUUUUUUUUCCUAUUUGAGUUGCAUGUUUAAUGUAAAAGGUUAAAGAUUGUCGCGUGCCCCGGAUUAAGUUGAACCAGACGCGGGUUGGCCAAAAAUCUGCGGAAGAAUAGCUUCGAAUUUGUUAUGAACUAGCAAAACACGAAAUUAAUUUGCAUGUUUGUUCUGUCCCAGGGUAGAUAAAGAACACCACCUCAUUACUUGCUAUUAUAUAUUAUUGGCUUCGGUAAAGGUACUGGGUCUUGGUAUUCCGAGUGAUGACACGGGAAAUAAUCUGAGAAGUUCAACACAAGUACAUGAACACGCAGGAAAACUUUUACUUCGCAAAUGUAUAAAACCUUUGAAAGAAGUUCUUAAUACAUGUCUCGUCAUGUCUUAAGAACUUGCAUUUCUUUAUAUGCUAACUCUAGCUUAUAGCAAGUAAACUCUUAUAUCUGAAUCUUUCGAAGACAAAAUGUUGAUAUGCAAAACAAAAUUGCAAACUUCUUGAUGAAUGUGAUAUGGAGCAUGAAGAGAAAGAGGAUUUCACAAGCAAUCAUGAAUUUCGAUAAACAUUAACAAUUAAACAAAUUUUUGCCCCACGAUCUCCUUGCAGUAAUAGAGAAAAGCCCUGAAACCAGCGCAUGGCCUAACGGAAGAAUGGAAAAAGUAUUUCUAAUAAGCUCAGAAAAAAAAAAAAAGAAAGAAAGAAAGAAUAAAAGGUUGUCAAGUACUCCCAUGUCAAUCUUAUAACACGGCAUUUCCAGAUUUCCCGAUUAAGUGGGAAAAAAAAUGGAUGACAAAAGCUAAUACCUAUCUUUGUAUAGAAUUAGAUGCUUAAACGUUCAGCGGGAAAAUAACAAUACUACUAAACUAAAAACAUAUGCGACGGCAAAAAGUAGAAUGCACAGGCCAUAUAACCGAAUUAAGAUGAAGGUGAUAUUUCUCUUUUCAAUUUUCCUUUUUGUCAGAGUAAACGGUAAGCUUUGAGGUUGCUGUUCUACAACUGUAUUUUCGAUCUUUUAUUGUCAGUGUCCUCGCCCUGUCACGAUACGUAUCAUGAAAAUCACAAGCAGAAAAGCAAACAUUAAAAGAUUGGCAGUUAAAAGCAAACCCUAUACAUAAUUACAUACUAAAAUGGCAGAUUCAGAACCAAAAGUCUACGAAAUAAAAUUCCAUUAAUAUAAUAUGCCAGAAAAAAAGUAAGAAUACCGUAUAUAGUGUUGAUAUUCUUAUAGGAGUCUAUCUUUGUAGGAAUAUCCACUACUCAGUACGAUCUGUUGCAUAACCAAUGAUCGAAAAUAUCAUGAUACUCACACAAAGCAAAGACUCUCAAGAACGUUAAUUUUCUUUGAACUUAAAAAAACUAAAUGGAACUAGGGGAGUAAUAUAUAUGUGCAUCUGAUCAAUAAAAUAAAAUGACGAUCACAUAAAGGAAGUAAGAGAGUAUUGUUAAGUAAAUUAAUUAAGAAAAGAAACCCAAAACAGUAUUGCCUGGCUCCGUUCUGUCUGCCUCUUUCUUUAGCUUGGGAGGUUGCAGAGGCCUUAUAACAACAAAGAGCCCCCUACUAGAACUGAUGAAGAACCCUUCUUGGACUUGUUGAUGAGUUUUCCCACCAACUUGAACGUCCUCGACCACCAGAAGAGAACUUUGCUAAACGUUUUAGUGGUAGUACUACCAGUUGUAAAUCCUUCUUUUUCUUGAACCAGUGCAACAAGUUGGCUUCUGGGAUUAGUAAUAAUAUUAGCAGUAAACAAGUAAAUGGAUGGGAAGCGAAAUUUUCAUCUUCUUCAACCAUCUUUGCAUAAUUAUUUAAAAUGCAACCACCAACCACCCUCCCUCUUCUUCUUCUUCUUCUUCUUCUACUGUUACACAAACCCCUCUUUUCUUAUUUCUGUUUGUGGCCAGCAGCGGGAUUUGAUAUACAUCACGCAAAAGGAUACAUAUGUGUUGCCUUGGAGAAAGAAGAGAAAGAAAUGGAGAGUUAAGAGUAGAGAGGGGAAUCUAUGGGAUGGUGAAAAUGAGAGUGGCUGAGAGCUGAAGGAGGGAGGGCAGAGACAAGGGCGGGUUCUUAAAAGAAGGGUCCCAGCCCCGGAAGAGGAAUAGACAUUUUGUCCAUGCGACUUGUUCUAUUUCACGCUUCUUGUUUGCCUUCCGGGUCGGCCAGUUGAAUUCCCUUUCAAGUUUUGUCCACUCGCAGAUGCAGUACAAAUCCGUGACCGACUCCUGCCAAGCACUUUGGGAAUUUUUUGCAAUUUCUAUUUUAAAAAAUAUUCAAAAUAUCUCUAAUAUUUUGUUAAAUAAAUAUAUUUUGUUUUUAUUUUUAAAAUAUUAACUUUACGUUUCUUAUAAAUUUUAGUUUAACCUAAGUUUUUGCCCAUUUUUUAGUCCGAAAUCAUCAUGUGACGUAUAUUCAAUAUUUUUUAUGUAUAAAAGAGUUAGAUUUUACCUUAUUAGUUACAAAAAUGAAUAUGGAUUAAAUUAGAUCUCACUUUUUAGAGAAAAAAUAAACAUAGAUUAGGUCAAAAUUUACUUUUCAAGGGGUAAAAAAAAUUAUGAAUAAAGCAAUUUAUUUAAAUAUAAAUAAUUUUUAAUCAUUUUAUCGUUAAAAAAGUGAUUAUAUGUGAGUCAUAUGAUGAAUUUAAAAUAAAAAAUGAUAAAAACUUAUAUCGAGAUUAAAUUUUAUAGUCUUGAUUUUAUAAGAAACAUAAAAUCACCAUUUUAAAAGUAAAUAACAAAAAAAUUUAUUUGAUAAAAUGUGAUGGAAAUGAUUUGUCCUUUCUGUUUUAAGGAAUUAUUAAUUGUUAUUAUUGGUGGUUGGUGAUGUAAUAUGGUAUACUGAAGGUCUGUAAAUAAGCGGCGAGUGGGAUCGAUAAGUACGCGCGAAGGAAACGAGUAGGAGAAGAAAAGGGCAAUGGAAGGCCGGUGAUGGGCCCUUUUCAACUUUCAUAUUGGUCCGUAUUCUAGUGAAUGGGCGAGACGCAAAUUCUUACCUUCGUGGUCUCAUUCAACCAAUCGAUCAUAAUAUCAUCUGCUCAUUAUUCUCCCUUGUCCCUCUUCAACACUUCUGGACUCGAAACUUUUUAGUACUACCAGAUGCUAAAGCUGAAUGAAGCUGGAGUUUCAUGCUACUCUCCAUUCCUUCCGUAUGUAUUAGCUGUGUUUUAAAGUGUUUUUGAAAAAUUUUAUUAUAACAGUGUAUAUGAAAAUUUUUUUAAAUAUUUAAUAUAUUAUAUGAAUGACAUGUUUUUUGAGUUAUUAUGUAUUACUGUAGCAUUGUAUUUAAAAAAUUUAUUUUUGAAAAAAUGACCAAUCCAAAUGAAGUGUCUAAAAGGUACUCUGGGAUAUAGUUUCGAUUUUCAUCAUAUUCCAAAAUUGAGCUUAACGUUAUUUCCUCCAAAGUUUCACAAAUGAUAUCAUAUUAGAGUAGUUUUUAUUUAGUUAUAUUGAGUUGCAAGCCCUUCCCUUUCUAUUUUUGUAAGGUUUGGAGUUUUCUCUUAAAUUUAAAAAAUUUAUAAUUAACAUAAUAAAAAAAGAAAUAUAAUUUGCACUCCAUUUUUUUAUUGGCUCUUCUAGCAUUUGUUUUAUCAUAUAGCCUAAUAAAAGAAAACUAUAUGAUUAAAAUGAUAGUGAGAAUGUGAUUAAUAAAAAUGAAAGUGCAAAUAACAUUUCUCUUAAACAAAACCUACAGUAAGGGUACGUUUGAUAAAAUUGAAAUUUGAAAACUAAAAUCUGAGUUCAUUAAAUUGUUGACUUGUUAAGUAUUAAAUUUUGAUAUAUUUGAAUACAUAUUGAAUGAGUAAAUCUUAUAUAUACUGACAGUGUAUACACUAUCACCGUUUGAUUCAUGACAUGUGCGAAAAGUUGAAUUUCAAAUUUAAAUUUUGCAUAGUUGUCAUUCAUCCAACAAUGACAGUGUAUACACUGUCAGUGUAGGAAAGAUUAAUCCAUAUUUAAAUUACAUGAUAAGUGAUAUCAUUUGUCACUUUUUUUUGGAGUAAGUUUUGUUUAGAAAAUUCAGUAUCAUUUAAUUAAUUUAGAUGUUCUAUUUUAGUUAUUAAUGUAUAUGAACAUGUUAACAUCUGAACUCAUUAAACUUAAAUGUUAAAUUGAAUCAUUAAGCAGGGUCUAAGUUGAUCAUAAUGUUGUUAGCGUGGCCAAAGUAAAGCUAAGUUGCUAAUAGCUGAAAAUUGCGCCAUGUAUAUAUGCUGUACCCAACUACCCAUGACCUUCAUUGAAUGUCAGUCGUUCUCUCAUGGAAAAGUAGAGUAACGUAACUUCGAAAUUUAAAGUCAGUCAGGAAGCAAAUGCGCACAAAAUGCAGGCUUUCAGUUGUCUUGUUAUGUCGAUUACUAUUCUUGCUUUUAUAUUCCUUUAUAACACGACCAUGCUUAAUUGGAUUCUUGAUUUAGAAAGAAGAUUUGAUUGGUUAUACUAAGGUCUACUUAGUAGGGUUGCUCUGUUCAUCCUCAACGUCUAAUGAAAUUUUUGCUCCAGUUACUAGCUAAGGAUGAAACCACUGGGCCAAUGGCUCAGUGGCCACCAGGGAGGAGCUUAAGUCCCUCCUUGGACUGUAGGUGAGGGUUCAAAACUUCACUUGCAGCGAAAAAAAUUUAAGGAUUGUGUUAUAGCACUUUCUUGAUCUAGUUGGAUCUGUAUACCCACUAGCGCCCUACUACAACCUCAUUAGGUUUUUCCUCCCUCUAAAUUAAGAUAAAGUAGGUUAUAUAAAUGUAUCGUUGCUAACAAAAAAAAAAAAAUACUAGCUAAGGAUGAAAUUUUGGAUCUUGAAUCAAAGGAAAACCAAAUCUAGCACACGACGACACUAUUGAUGCAGCCAAUUGCAAAAUCCAGAAUAUAUAUAUAUAUAGAGAGAGAGAGAGAGAGAGAAGCAGGCCAGGAUGCCACGUCGUCUACGUUGUGCAGGAAAUGACUUUGGAAAUCAAGACAACCAGGGUCGGCUAUAUUGACUUGCAAUCCAUCCAUAUUUAACAUAUUAUAUUACAAUGCUGUGAAGAUAAUAAGAAAUUAAUUGUUUUACAUCAUGGUAUUCUAAUCAAAAUUAAAUCUAAAUCAGUUUGAUGUUAUCCCAUGAGACAUUGAUUCAUUCACUAAUCACGUGACGCGUUUAAAUUGGACCAUUGGAGAUCGGGGAUGACAAGAUCAAAAAAAAAAAAAAAAAAAAAAAGAGGGAGAAAGAAAAAGAAUAUCCUACUGUAUAUAUACAGGAAAGCUAUUAAUUAAUCACGUAUGGAAGGACUAAUUGUUUAACCAAGAAUGAGCUGGUUGUAGAUCUGAAUUAGAAAAUAUCAAGUGUAGAUGAAGCAGCCACCAUCUUUGACAAAGACAGAAUGGGUAGUGUGCCUUAGACGUCAAUGAUUCCCUGAAUCGUCUGAAAAACACUCAUCAAAAGCCCCCUUGAAUUGCACCACCAUUGUCGACACUUCCCCUUUUUCUAGAAACUCCCCACUCUCUUGUGUCUUCCUAUCUUUUUUAGAUAAUAAAUCAGUAUUAUCAUUGUAAUUGAAUAAAUGUUCCCAACAUGGCUGUAUUAGUAUCAAAUAAUGCUGAUGUUAGAUAGUGUGGCAAGCACAAAUUAAAAUCUGCACCAUAUUUGCCCCCCUUGAAUUUUAUAAAAUUCUCUCUUUUCAGUUGUAUUGCCUCCUCUUAAAUCAAAGAAAAUUCCUUUCUCUAUAUAGAUGAUCCUUUGAAGUUUUAUUUAUUCCCCUCUUAUUCUACAUUUACUCCCCCCCCCUCACAAAAAAAUAAGAUUUUUAUUAAUUAUCUCUAAUAAAAAUUUUAGAUCUAUUUCAAAUUAAACAUUAACGACGCUCUAAUGGGAAAAAAGUAUUUGGCCUUUAAAUCAAAAUACAUAUUAUAUGUAUAUUUUUAUAGAAAUCCGAGAGUAUGAUUUAUGUUGAAAUUGAUCGUUGCAUCUCUUUACUAUAGGGUCUUAACUCAGCUACUGUGGAGGAAAGAGGUGUUAGUGAGAGGUCUGAGUUUCGAGACCUUAUACUUACACUACUAAAAAAAAUCAUUAAACGAGCAACCUAUGAAAGAAUCUUCUAACAUAUAGAAUGUCUAAAUGGCAGACACUUAUGCAGACUUGGUGUACGAAAUUAUGUAAUUUAUGCAAUGAUAUAUGAAUUUUCUUAUAUUAACAUACAUUACUUACCAUCAUUUUUCAUGUAUGAUCAUACACGUGUAAUUAUUAAACGUACCAUAUAAAGUUUACAAGUAAAUUAAGACCAAGCCUAUAAGUAUUUUUUUCUAAAUAAUUAUAUUUGGCAUAUUUGCCAAUUUAAUUUUGCCAUAGAACACCAUCUUCCACUAUGUUUUGGAUUCACUUGUCAAUGAAAAUAUAUAGUGUGUCAUGAUAAAACUCAAUCAUCUAGAGAGAUAAAUUUGUUAAUUUCGACAAUUGUAGAAAUCUCUUAUAUUAAAAAAAAAUUUGUAGAAAUCUUGUUCAAGUUUUAUACGGGGAGGAAGGAAAGAAAUGAACUUGCCUUGCCAGUCGAACCCAAGACGUCACUCAUCACCUGACCUUGUGACCUUUCAGUGAUACAGUAGGAGGCCAUUGUGUCCAUUUCAGCAGCCCAAAUGUUUAGCCACUGUAGUUCCAUUGGGCUUAUAUUUGCUGAGGUCCAAUUACAAAUAUGUCCAGAGAAGGCCCGCUUCUGUAGAAAGUUCGCGUUACAUCUCUUUCUUUUCGAAGUCAGACAAUUUGCUUAAUUUUGCUGCAAGAAUAGUACUUUCACUGCAAUUGGCAAAGCUUUGGCUCCAUGUAUCUGUGUAAACUAAAGAAUUAACCACUUUGCACAUUGUGUAAUUUCAUGGAGAGGGUUAUGAUUUGGGCUAAGUAAGAAGCUGAACUCAGCUAGUAGAUCUUCGACAUCUCAUUGCGUAAAGUAAAGAAAUAGUAUAUACACCGUUAUUCGUCUUAAAUUUAAAUUUGAAGUCUAAAAAAAUUUCGUUCAUAUGUCAUGCACUUGAUGAUGAUAUUGUAUAUAUUGUUAGCUGCUGUUAGCGUACGUAAAAUUAACUCUAAUGUCCCGUUUAAUAACUCAAUUCAAUAUUUAAAUUUAAUGAAUUCAAAUUUUAAUAUAUUAAAAUACGUUUGAUAACAAAAAAUAGAGCAUUUGAGUUAAUUGAGUGACACUGAAUUUUUUAGAUAAAAUUUGUCUAUAAAAUUAAGUAUAAAUUAUUCACUUAUCAUUGAAUGCGAUAGAUAUUCAAAUAUAUUAAAGUUAGUACUAAACAAUUUAAUAAUUUAAUAAAUUCAGACUUAAUUUUAGAUUUUAAAUUUUAAUUUUAACAAAAGCAUGUAAAUAAGUGGUGUGUGUAAUAAAAGUACAGUAUCUUCUGCGAAAUAAAAUGGAAAUAGUCUCUAUUAAUUAACAGUCACAGGCCACAGCCCAUACAUAAAUGAAAAUGAACACUAUCUGACACAUAUCCAAUUUCACACAUCCCAACAAGCACAAUCGUGAUCUUAUGCGUUCUCGGCCUCAAUUCCCUUUCUCUUCUUCAUUGGAUAUAUCUCUACCAACUUCCUUUUUCCAUUCCGCUUGAAUUAUAUUAUUGAGUGCAGAAAUUUUGGCCUACACUCCACGACUAUUCUCUUCUUCUUCUUCCAAAUUUGAUUGCGUAAGAAACACGCCAAGGAGCUUCUAGUCCUUCCCCAUCGUGCACUAUUAACGAAAUAGAGCAAAAAACGAUACCAGCAUGGAGUCUGGUGCAAGUGUUAAGCAAAGAAUUGCCAGAAUUUCAGCCCACCUCAACCCUCCAGCCAUUUCCCAGGUGUUUUCUCUCCUUUCCUCCUUAAUUAGCUUUGGUUUUAUGAAUUUUUUGGCUUUAGCUUCCGCCUUUCUUGAUAGGUCGUUGAAAAUUGAUUUUGAGAAGUCGAUUUUUAUUUUAAUUUGGGUUUUUAAUGGGAAAAAUUUCUCUUGGCUUUUGUGGGCUAUAAAGGUGGAGGGAAGUUGUGGGUUGAGAACAGGGAAUUGCAGGGCAAAAGGGGGCUCACCUGGGUUUAAAGUUGCGAUCUUGGGAGCUGCAGGAGGCAUUGGGCAGCCUCUCGUAUGCUCAUGAAGAUGAAUCCAUUGGUCUCAGUUCUUCAUCUCUAUGAUGUGGUCAACACUCCUGGAGUCACCGCAGAUAUCAGUCACAUGGACACCGGUGCAGUGGUAAAUUUCCCAUGUUAAUUAAUAACCAAAUUGCUGAUUUGUUAAUGUGUAUCUCAUGUACCCGCUUGUCAAAGAAAUCAUGUUAAUCGUUAAUGGAAAGAGAGAGAUGAGAUGGAAGCUCUUGAAUGAGUUGUUCCACCGCGGUACUUUGUAGAGUAAGGAACUUUGUGUCAGUAGAAACUUGCGUCAGUUUACAGAGUUGCAGUUGAAAUCAGCAUAGGGGAAGACGAGUUAACAGAUUGUCGUCAUUGUACAAUGUUAAAAAUGUGAAAGUUAAUGAAGAAAGAGAAAAUAUGGGUAAAUAUUCUGUGUCUCGUAUGUUUAGCAAAUAUCCACUUUAUGAUUCUCCAAUGCCUCUUCGUCACAUAUGUGGCCUUAAGGUAUGGGAAAAGACUGUAACAUGGUAGCAUUGUCUCAUGUAUGGUUUACUUUGUUGGUACAACUUAGUUCACUUCAACUUAACUUUGUUGGUACAUCCAGGGAUCAGGAAUUUGAUAACAUGAAAUUCAAAGCAACGAUGAGUGAAAAUUGAGAUGUCCCUUUUUGUGCUAUAUAAGUUCUUAUGUUCUAAAUUGUUCAAUUUGGCAUAGACUGCUAAUGUUUGGUUUACAUUUCCAGGUGCGUGGUUUUCUAGGGAAAGAGCAAUUGGAGGAUGCCCUUAUUGGCAUGGACCUUGUGAUCAUUCCUGCUGGGGUUCCUAGGAAACCAGGAAUGACUAGAGAUGAUCUUUUUAAUAUCAAUGCUGGAAUUGUUAAGACUCUAUGUGAAGGAAUUUCAAAGUGCUGUCCGAAAGCCAUUGUCAACUUAAUUAGUAACCCGUUAACUCCACAGUUCCCAUUGCUGCAAGCCUAUAAGUAUUUUUUUUCUAAAUAAUUAUAUUUGGCAUAUUUGCCAAUUUAAUUUUGCCAUAGAACACCAUCUUCCACUAUGUUUUGGAUUCACUUGUCAAUGAAAAUAUAUAGUGUGGCAUGAUAAAACUCAAUCAUCUAGAGCGAUAAAUUUGGUAAUUUCGACAAUUGUAGAAAUGUCUUAUAUUAAAAAAAAAUUUGUAGAAAUCUUGUUCCAGUUUUUUACGGGGAGGAAGGAAAGAAAUGAACUUGCCUUGCCAGUCGAACCCAAGACGUCACUCAUCACCUGACAUUGUGUCCAUUUCAGCAGCCCAAAUGUUUAGCUACCGUAGUUCCAUUGGGCUUAUAUUUGCUGAGGUCCAAUUACAAAUAUGUCCAGAGAAGGCCCGCUUCUGUAGAAAGUUCGCGUUACUUCUCUUUCUUUUCGAAGUCAGACAAUUUGCUUAAUUUUGCUGCAAGAAUAGUAGUUUCUCUGGCAAUUGGCAAAGCUUUAGCUCCAUGUAACUGUGUAAACUAAAGAAUUAACCACUUUGCACAUUGUGUAAUUUCAUGGCGAGGGUUAUGAUUUGGGCUAAGUAAGAAGCUGGACUCAGCUAGUAGAUCUUCUACAUCUCAUUGCGUAAAGUAAAGAAAUAGCAUAUACACCGUUAUUCAUCUUAAAUUUAAAUUUGAAGUCUAAAAAAAUUUUGUUCAUCAUCUGUCAUGCACUUGAUGAUGAUAUCGUAUAUAUUGUUAGCUGCUGUUAGCGUACGUAAUAUUAACUCUAAUGUCCCGUUUAAUAACUCAAUUCAAUAUUUAAAUUUAAUGAAUUCAAAUUUUAAUAUGUUAAGAUGCAUUUGAUAACAAAAAAUAGAGUAUUUGAGUUAAUUGAGUGACACUGAAUUCUUUAGAUAAAAUUUGCCUACAAAAUUAAGUGAUAAUCUAUUCACUUAUCAUUGAAUGCGAUAUGCAUUCAAAUAUAUUAGAAUUAAUAUUUAAAAAUUUAAUAAAUUCAGACUGGAUUUUAAAUUUUAAAUAUUAGUUUUAUCAAACGCACGUAAAUAAUAAGUGAUGUGUAUAAUAAAAGUACAUAAACCACGUCUUCCGCAAAAUAAAAUGGAAAUAGUCUCUAUUAAUUAACAGUCACAGGCCACAGCCCAUACAUAAAUGAAAAUGAACACUGUCUGACACAUAUCCAAUUUCACACAUCCCAACAAGCUCAAUCGUGAUCUUAUGCGUUCUCGGCCUCAAUUCCCUUUCUCUUCUUCAUUGGAUAUAUCUCUACCAACUUCCUUUUUCCAUUCCGCUUGAAUUAUAAGGAGAAUUAUAUAUUGAGUGCAGAAAUUUUGGCCUACACUCCACGACUAUUCUCUUCUUCUUCUUCCAAAUUUGAUUGCGUAAGAAACACGCCAAGGAGCUUCCAGUCCUUCCCCAUCGUGCAUUAUUAACGAAAUAGAGCAAAAACGAUACCAGCAUGGAGUCCGGUGCAAGUGUUAAGCAAAGAAUUGCCAGAAUUUCAGCCCACCUCAACCCUCCAGCCAUUUCCCAGGUGGUUUUCUCUCCUUUCCUCCUUAAUUAGCUUUGGUUUUAUGAAUUUUUUGGCUUUAGCUUCCGCCUUUCUUGAUAGGUCGUUGAAAAUUGAUUUUGAAAGAAGUCGAUUUUUAUUUUAAUUUGGGUUUUUAAUGGGAAAAAUUUCUCUUGGCUUUUGUGGGCUAUAAAGGUGGAGGGAAGUUGUGGGUUGAGAACAGGGAAUUGCAGGGCAAAAGGGGGCUCACCUGGGUUUAAAGUUGCGAUCUUGGGAGCUGCAGGAGGCAUUGGGCAGCCUCUCGUUAUGCUCAUGAAGAUGAAUCCAUUGGUCUCAGUUCUUCAUCUCUAUGAUGUGGUCAACACUCCUGGAGUCACCGCAGAUAUCAGUCACAUGGACACCGGUGCAGUGGUAAAUUUCCCAUGUUAAUUAAUAACCAAAUUGCUGAUUUGUUAAUGUGUAUCUCAUGUACCCGCUUGUCAAAGAAAUCGAUGUUAAUCGUUAAUGGAAAGAGAGAGAUGAGAUGGAAGCUCUUGAAUGAGUUGUUCCACCCGCGGUACUUUGUAGAGUAAGGAACUUUGUGUCAGUAGAAACCUUGCGUCAGUUUACAGAGUUGCAGUUGAAAUCAGCAUAGGGGAAGACAAGAGUUAAUAGAUUGUCGUCAUUGUACAAUGUUAAAAAUGUGAAAGUUAAUGAAGAAAGAGAAAAUAUGGGUAAAUAUUCUGUGUCUCGUAUGUUUAGCAAAUAUCCACUUUAUGAUUCUCCAAUGCCUCUUCGUCACAUAUGUGGCCUUAAGGUAUGGGAAAAGACUGUAACAUGGUAGCAUUGUCUCAUGUAUGGUUUACUUUGUUGGUACAACUUAGUUCACUUCAACUUAACUUUGUUGGUACAUCCAGGGAUCAGGAAUUUGAUAACAUGAAAUUCAAAGCAACGAUGAGUGAAAAUUGAGAUGUCCCUUUUUGUGCUAUAUAAGUUCUUAUGUUCUAAAUUGUUCAAUUUGGCAUAGACUGCUAAUGUUUGGUUUACAUUUCCAGGUGCGUGGUUUUCUAGGGAAAGAGCAAUUGGAGGAUGCCCUUAUUGGCAUGGACCUUGUGAUCAUUCCUGCUGGGGUUCCUAGGAAACCAGGAAUGACUAGAGAUGAUCUUUUUAAUAUCAAUGCUGGAAUUGUUAAGACUCUAUGUGAAGGAAUUUCAAAGUGCUGUCCGAAAGCCAUUGUCAACUUAAUUAGUAACCCUGUUAACUCCACAGUUCCCAUUGCUGCAGAGGUUUUCAAGAAGGCCGGCAUCUAUGACCCCAGGAAACUUUUGGGAGUGACAAUGCUUGAUGUUGUUAGAUCCAAUACAUUUGUGGUAUGCAUGACUCAGUAGCUAUUCCUUUUGAUAUAUAAACCAACCGUUUAUUCUCUCUGUCUCUCUCUCUCACAUAUGUCAUUAGAUUUGUAUCAUUCUUAGGAUUCUCUAUCUUAUAUUGUAUCUUUUACAUCAUCUGAAGGCCGAGGUUUUGGGGCUUGAUCCUAGGGAAGUUGAUGUUCCAGUUGUAGGGGGUCAUGCUGGAGCUACAAUUUUACCUCUGCUGUCACAGGUCAAUAUAACUUCUUGAAUAGCUUAUAAGUUCACUUAAAUAGCAAUAACUCUCUCUCUCUCUCUCUCUCUCUCUAUCCUUUAUUAGCCCUUCUUAUGUUAAUGGAACUUGUCUCAUGUAAAACAGGUUAAACCUCCUUGCUCUUUUACUGUAGAAGAAACUGAGCAUCUGACUUCUAGAAUUCAGAAUGGUGGAACUGAAGUUGUUGAGGUAAGAAGGUUUCCCAUUUAUAUAAUGUGAAGUCUGUGCUUGAGUUUCUAACUGCAGCAGUGACGGCUGUUAGAUGUAUUCGUAAAAAAUGCCUAGUACUCCAGUGCAUCAGUCAUUUCUAUGCUUGAUACAAUGUUGUUCAGUCAUACUUGCUCAUUAUGUUUUGUCAUAAAUGAAGAGCUUAGGUUUAACGAGUUCAGUUUCAUCUGUUGCCAUAUAGAAAUUCAUAAGCUGUGGAGCUGGCAUGAAGGGAGAGUUGCAUUUAGGUUAAAAUCUAGGAGAUGCCACUCAGAACCAUAGUCGAACCUCUUUGUUUGCCUUACUUGCCCUUUCUUCAACUGGAUAAUCUUGUUUGAUUGACGUAAAUAAGAUGUAUAAAAAGCUUGGUCCUAAGUGCCUUUAGUUGGAAAGUGCCAAAGUCUGGGAUAUGCAAAUUGUUGAUUUCAGUUUUUAUUAGAUUGGUGUGCCUGCGUAAAGAUUUUGUGUAGACAACGAUUUAAAAAAUGAAAAGGAAAUCUGUUAAGCUGAACAGCAAGCUUGGGAUUUGUUCAACUUCCCUGCUAGAAACAUUGUGGGUUCAUUUUGGCGCAUUUGAUACUUAGUUAAUCUGGAGAGCACACAACAUAAGUUAACUUGUACUUCUGCAUUCUAUACCAUGCUGGAGAGAGCUAAAAAUUGACUGUGUUAAUGUGGAGACUGAAUGCAUAUAGUUGUAGGACCUAGUCAAUUUUCCGUGAGGUUAAAAUAAGGGAAGAAAACCCAAGAGUAAGGAUAUGGAAAGAAGCAAUACCUCACUUACACAUCGUCCUCAAAUGAACUGUUGAAGCUUUGUCUAAUAAUUACACUUCUCUACAAGAUGUGUUUUGUGAAAAUUACUUUUGAAUAAUUGCUGAAAGUUCUUUAAGGUGACGUUACUAAAAUUUCGAAUGACUAAAUAUAUAUAGGUGGAUGUCUCUUAGUAAUGGCUGGUGGCGCGAAAUUUUGGAAAUAGACUAAUUAAUAUUUUAGUAUUAAAAAGUGAGAAAUUUGUCUCUGUAGAAUUUUGGCUGCACGGUUUUCAACGAAUAUCUAUACUUAUUUUUCGUUUGGCAGCCAAGAAACAAUAGUGAUAUGAACUGUUAUAUAAUGGCAUGAAUAAAUUGUUCCAUGUACACAAUGGACGUCUGUAUGUAUUUUAAUAUAAUUGUUGCAUCCCUUUCAGGCCAAAGCUGGUGCAGGAUCUGCUACUCUCUCAAUGGUUAGGCAUUGUUAUCAGUCCUUGUUUUACUAACUGUUAUUCUGUUACUACUAAACAACAUUGGCUCUUGAGAUAGUGCUGAGAAAGGCCUGCUGGUUAUUUUCAGGCAUAUGCUGCUGUUAAAUUUGCAGAUGCAUGUUUACGGGGGUUGAGAGGAGAUGCUGGUGUUGUCGAGUGUGCAUUUGUGUCAUCUCAGGCAUGUCACUAUCAUCACUUAUCUAGGAUUCAUAAACACUCUUCAUGAUGUUAUUGUAAUUGAUUGGUUGAUCAUUCUCUUUUCAGGUGACUGAGCUUCCUUUCUUUGCAACCAGAGUACGGCUUGGUUGUAAUGGGAUUGAGGAGAUAUACCCACUUGGUCCACUAAACGAGUAUGAGAGGUCUGUAUUAACUAAUAUUUUAGAUUAUCUUCCAUCUUUUUGUCCUAAUGUUCUUUCUAAGCUGUGUUAUCAGCCCUCCUACCCUAUGGACUGCUGAAGUUUUUAACCUUGUCCUCCGACUAAUUCGUCAUCUUAUAUCACUUUGCCAAACCAAUUAAGUAGACCUAUCUCAACUCAAUCUGAUGUAAGAUGGCAGUUCAUUGUUUCAAUGUGUACCCUUCAGUUCCCCCCCCCCCCCCCAACCCACAAACCAAUUUCUUGUGUGAUAUGUCCAUUCAAACCACAAAGCUACAGUAAAGACGCUUAUAGAGGAGAAAUGCUUGCUUUUUUAAGCUAAGGUGGCAUUUAACAGUAUUAUUAAUAAAUACUUGAUUCUCAUAUUAUUGGUUGUUGAUAUAAUUCAUGAUGUUUUUUCUGAAUCAUUGGUCCUUCUGACGUGCUAAUCAAAGUAGUCACCACUUGCACAAGCUCAUCAUCUCAAAAUAAAGAUAAUAUAUCUGCACAUUCGAAAAUUACAUUUUACCUUUAUUCAGUGCUUGUCAGCCUAAUUUAAGUAUACUUACUAUCCAAUUAUGUAAUGAGAUAAUGUGCAUGCUGUUGUUCUCUCCAAUGUAUCUCCAUGCCUGUGCCAGUAUGGUGCAUCGGAUGGGUCUGACAUUUUCAAGAGAUUGCUUGUCUUUACCGUCUUCUGAUUUUUGCAGGGCCGGCUUGGAGAAAGCAAAGAAAGAAUUAGCUGGAAGCAUUGAGAAGGGGAUUUCAUUUGCAACGAAAUGAAACGGCCAACUAAAUUACCUUCUUCAGGAUCGUUAUUACCGUGGUGCCUCUUGUUGUUCAGUCAAGGCCUCGGUUUCUGGAAUAAGUUGUUGAAUCCGAUGUUGUAUCAGAAGUGCAUACAGCCUUGCAGUGUACACAAAUCAGAAAAAUAAGGCAAAGAUUUUGUCCCACCUCGCUCCCUCAUAUUUGUUCCCUCCUACCAUAGAACAUGAAAAUUAAAGGGGGGGAAGUGUGUUCUUUAAGAUUUUUUUUUUUUUUUUUUUUUUACAAACGUGUUCUUUAAGAUUGAUGGAUGGACUUUUGGAGUACUGGCCGGGGUAAUUGAGAAUGAGCAUGUUAGCAUAGAUCUAAACUUUCUUCAUCUUCAAUAUAUUCUUGGUAACUUCUGAUGGAUUUUCAUCAGUUCAAUUUCUCUUUUUUUUUUUUUUCGGAAACGAUAGAUGGUAUUUCAUAGAAAUUUGAGACUUUACAAUAUUUGAGCAACGGCUCGACUACCUGUACCAAGUGUACCAUGACACUUAAGGAAGAACAAAGGUUCUCUCCUCGUCCAUACAUAUGCUUAAAGCAUAAAGACUAAUCUGAUUACAUAGAUUCAUAUUACUAGUAUCCCUUUCGACAAAGGAGCACACUUGAAACAGCUUAGCUAACGCUAAAAUAUCUUCCACCAACGUGACCAUAUUUGGAUGAUCUCCUGCCCCAUAUUUUAGUAAGGAGGUAAGCCUUUUGUUGGUAGUGACCACUUGGAUCCUUGGCCAUCUCCGCUGACUUGCUUUUAUAAGAGCCAAUCUUACUCCUAUGGCUUCAUCUUGGAUAGUCACUGAUGAGCUCCUGUCUACUAGCGCCCACUCCACUAUGUUUCGUCCACCUUCCUGCUGAGCCACAAUUCCUAUUCCUAACUUAUGACCCUCCCCUACCUUUUUUGUCACAACCUGGACUUCUGUUAUUCCAUUAACCUCCAACACUUCCUCCUCCAGGCUUGGAUUAGCUGCCUCUGUUUCUGGUGUGCUUCUGUCUUCCUUUCCACUACUAGCCUCCUCAAACUCCAGCCACUCUGAGUUAGCCUUGUGAACAACUCUUACUCUUUCUCUUUCCUUCCCUUCGAAUUCCAGCUCAUUCCUGUCUUUCCAUAGUUGCCAGAGGAUGUUUGCCGUCAGAGCUAUGUGCUGCUUUCCUUCUCUCCUAGCCUUGGCUUGUACUAAUGUUGCCCACCAUUGUUUGAAGCAUCCUGUUAGAUUCUGGAUUCCAUCCCAUUGCACAGGAGCUAACUUCCAUACCUGUUGAGCCUGAGUGCAGUGGAACAAAAUGUGUUCAACUGUUUCCACCUUAUCCCCACAUCUUAGACAAAAUGGUGAUCCUUGCCUUGUUCUCCUGAAUAUUGUCUCCCUGGCUGUUAGAGUAUUGGUUAUACACCUCCAUAUGAACAGUUUUAUCUUAUGUUUGAUGUUCAGCUCCCAUAACGACUUCCACAUCUGUGUGUUAGAAUCAUCAAAGCUAGAGCCGGAUUCCCCUCUUACUGCCAGUUCCUUGCUUUUUUCUUCAUUUAGCAGAGCUUGAUAACAAGACUUAACUGAGUACUCCCCUUGUUGACUAUAGAUCCAAAAGUGCCUGUCACCCACUCUUGACAAACUGAUAGGAACCUUCAGAAUGUUCUCAGCAUCUUCUUUGUUAAAUGCUCUGAAAAUUUUAUUUCUGUUCCACCUGAAGUUGGUAAUCAACUCAUCUACUGUGCCUUCCUCCCAAUCGUUUGGUUUCCUUGUGGUAGGUACUCCAUUAGGACUAUUUGGGAUCCAUUGGUCUUUCCAGAUCUUGAUACUCUUCCCUGAUCCAACUCUCUUCAAUGUACCUUUCUUCACUACAUCCCUCGCAGACAUAAUGCUUUGCCAGAACCAGGAAGAAUAUUUGGGGCAUUCACCUUGUAGUAUGGAUGUCUUGGGGUAAUAUUUAGCUUUGAGCAUUCUGCUUACGAGCAAGUUUGGGUUUCUUAGGAGUCUCCAAAUCUGUUUUCCCAGUAAUGCUAUGUUGAAACACUGCAGAUUUCUAAACCCCAGUCCUCCAUCCAAUUUUGCCUUCAUCAUUUUUGUCCAUGAACACCAGUGCACCUUAGCUUUCCCUUCUGAGUCCCCCCACCAGUACUUAGCCAUCAACCCCGUAAUCUCCUUACACAACUUAGCAGGUAAUUUGAAGCAAGACAUAGAGUAGGUUGGCAUUGCCAUAAUGACAGCCUUUAACAUAACCUCCUUUCCUGCUGCACUUAAGAAUUUAUUCUUCCAGCUGCUUAGUUUAGCUUUGAUACUGUCCUUUAUGAAUCCAAAAACCUGGCUUUUUGUUCUUGAAAUCACCAUGGGGAGACCUAGAUAUUUGCCUUGAUUCACUACCCUUACCCCUGCAAGAGGCCUACAUGUCUCCUCCUUGUCCCUCUCCUUUGUAUUCUUACUGAAACAAAUGGAAGAUUUCUCCAAAUUAAUCACCUGCCCAGAUCCUCUCUCAUACUGCUCCAGUAUUUCCUUCAACUUCCUUGCUUCUUCCCUUACAGCUUUAAUUUCUCGGUAUCAUCUUUUCGGUACCUAUGGGAAUUGAUAGGUGGUUUCUAGCGCAAGCCCGGUAGAUUUUUUAAUUGGGAUAAUUUCAGAUACCUCCCCUAAGGUUUUUAACAAUUUCACUAGCUUCCUUUUAGGUUCGCAAAAUUACAAGAGCCUCCCUUGAAGUUAAUGAUGUAGUAACAAAAUGAUUCCAAAUCCGAAAAAGUAACAUGAAAAAAAUAUUUUAAGGAGAGAUGACAUUUUUAUUCCAUAACUACCCCUUAUACAUAUAUAUAAGUUGCAUUAGUAAAAAUAUGAAAACAAGUAAAAAUUAGAAACAACUAACACACAUUUCAUUACUCAAAAUAUUCACAUUCAAUGCAUUGGAUAGCACAAAUAAAUGAUAAAACUACAGUAAUGAUCACAAGAUUCGGUAAAACAGACAAGUCAUCAUUCUUAACAUCAAGUUUGUUAUGAUUUUUGUGAUUUUUGAACAGAAUGAAUUUUUAAAUUUUACCUUUUUUUUCUUCUUUCUUCUUUAUUUCCACGAAAUUAUUUUACAACUAUUACAAUUUCAAAAGUUCAAAAGAAAAUUUUCUCACGAAUAAUUUUUUUUUACCCUGUGUUUUUUUUCUUUUACCAAACCUCUUUUUGUCAUAGUGUGUUUAACUGGUUUUUGAUCAUUGUUAAAGUUUUAUCAAUCACAAAAUAGCAUUAUUUGGUAUAUCGAUUAGCCUUUAUUUUAUAAUUACAAGUCACUGUUCAUCAUUAAAGAAAUUCUCAAUAGUUAUUUUCUUUAAUUAGUUAUUAAUAGUUAAUUAGUGCUCUAAUUAUCGUUAGAUAGUAGUUUCUAUAAGACAUAAUGUCUUAGAGUAUAUGGGUAAUUUUUUCCCAUGUGAUGAAAGUAAUCAGGCCCACAAUUCUACCAAGAGAGGUAAAUGUAAUUUUAUGAAUCUCAAGGAGGUCAGUGAAAUUGUCAAAGACAUCAAGGGAGGUUUUUGUAAUUAUACCUUGCAGAUUAUAUGUAACUACAUUUGAGAGAUCAGUACUUCAUUGUAACCGAAAUCACAAAUACGGUUGAUUGUUAAAGACUAAUAUAAAACUAAAUUACAUUUAAAGACUAAUAUAAAAUUAGAUUACAUUUACAUGUAAAAUAUGAAUUCAAAAACUUCGCUCUUCAAAUCUCAAUCUUAGUAAUAAACGAGUUUAGGCGGGAGACCUGUGACGUUUAGACUUCGACCGUGUCCUAUUGAUUGAUUUUCCUUCUUCUUUAAGUUUUUAGGUUUUGAUACGACCGUAGUACAGGUGCUCACUUGCCCACUGACCCAAUCUCUUGUACGAUGAAACUAAUUCCAUCAACUAUAUAAGAAGAAGAGACAAAGAGGUAGUAAGUUGCCUGCUUGUAGCAAGUUUUUACAGGACGUAGCUAAGCCUUUCGGAAUCUCAAUCUUAGUAGUAAAUGAGUUUAGCUUCAAACCUUGUGUCUCUUGACCUUCCCUCAUGAUUAGAACAUAUUAUUAAUUAGCAAAAAAAAUUUGCAUAAGAGAUUACAAAUUAUUGAUUUUGUGAUACAACAAAGCGUUAUGGAUUCAAAUCUUCUUUUUUCCUCUUCGCUUUUUAAAUCUCAAUCUGCGUAUUUUUCUUUCUUUAAAGUAUAUUUUGAAUGGCCUGAUUGGGCUUAUCCAAAUACGACAAAUAGAUGGACCAAGUGGGUUUACCCAAUGCUGAUGGGAACCCAAAUAGGACAAUACUGAUCCAAUCUAAACCAAGGUAGGUAGCAAGAAGUCCUACAUGGUCAGCAAAUGUUGAAAGGUGCAGCUCAACUGGAGAUUACUCAUAGAAGAAGGUCCGCGGGUACUGCAAGAAAAUCCGUCCAUUUUUAGUCACCUUCGUAAAGUCCCAUAUCUGUUUAUCCAAGUCCCAAGCGAGCGGGGUCUAAACAUAAUUGUCGUGGGUAUCAUUACCAUCAACUAAAAAUGAUGAGAAAACGUGUACUUGAGAAUUUCUAAGCUUUUGACUCAUGAGCGAUCUGCAGUUAAUUGCCCCUUGAAUAAUACUACAUGCGAAGCUCAGUUCAUGAUAAACUCUGGCAGUAAAAAGCAAAGCCCCCGAGUCACGAGUCACCAAAUGGAAUGAUUAAAGCUGCUCUUAAUUUGCUUCUUUCAUGAUCAGUGUAUCCCAGCCAUCGUGCACUUUUCUCUUGAAUCCCUCUUUUUUCUCGACCCCACAAAUGCCCAUCUUUUCUCUGACUUUUGUUUUUCAUCCUUUAUAUAUAUAUAUAUAUAUCUGCAUGGGCAAAUUCAAAAUGUAGAUUGGCCAUCUGGGCUCCUUUCCUAAUCAUUCUAAUCAGCAUCUGUCAUAGGUAAUGGAUCUAUUUACGCAUCUAAACUUUAGUCUACCGUCACUUUAGGUGGUGCCGAAGAGUUCCUGUGUCACAAUCUUUUCACGGACAUGAUUAUGGGCUCGAGUUCAUCAUUGACUAUCAAUGCAUAUUUUGUCCACAACCUGUUCCAAACUACACGUGGAUCUUGUUUAUUACUAACUCUCUGUAAAAAGUGUGAUUAGAAGUACUUAGUGGCAAAAAAUCUGGCUUCAUUUACUUUACAGCUAAUUCAUUAGUGUGAUAUUUGCGCCCCACCCACCCCCAACUUUUUUUUUUUUUUUUUUUUGUUUUUGUUUUUGUUUACGUUGAAUGUUCAAAGUUUGGCAAAAGUCAUGUAUGUCGCCUUUUUGGCCUUUCCGACAUAUCAAUGGUGUCCGCUUUUCCUUUUGAUUACAAUAUCAAAAUGCACUUACCGGUGUUCCAAUUUACUACUCCCACUGCUGCAACCACUCAAUCUUUUAGUAAGAGCGAAAGCUAGCUAGCAUUAACGGUCUUGUUACAGCAUAAACAAAUUUUAGUGGAUUUGUGCAUAACAUUCUCGAAAGUAGGAAAUGAAAUUAUUCCUUUUGACGCAAGUGAAAUAGUGUGUAACGAACGAACGGACUCAGUAAAUUUUCCACAUGUACUGUUCCUUUGACCCCUUUGAGUUUUGGUGCUAAAAUAUUUUUGGCCCUAAAUCUAAUUAUUGUCUUUCGUUCUACGACCAUUUGAUUUGGGGUGAUAUCCAGUCCACUCACUCUUGAAACCCACCUUUCUCCAUGCAAUUAAAGUGUCUCUUUAAUCUCCAUGCACAUUUGUGAUAGCCUUUAAUUUUCGGGGACAUGUUCUACCAAAUUUUGCCAUACUUUGCACUGCUCUAUCAUGUGCAUUGCUCCUGGAGUACUAUACCGUUUCCCGUCAUAUCUUUUUCUGUAGGCUCCUCCUCCGUUUCAUUUGGAGAGUGACAGCGAUUCCGAUUGGAAUACUUUCGCUGUGCUUUUUAUGCACAGCUUUUUUGAUCUGAAAGGAAAAACCAGCAAAUAUAUUUUCUUAGGAGUACUUUUCUUUACUUGCUAAUGGUCCUACACCAUCCCGAUGAAUUAUGAUACACACAGGGGAAAAGAGGGGGUAGUCGGUCGAUUUGAUCCAUUUUGAGACACAGAAUAUAUAUAUUGUCAAGAAAAGCUUCGAAACACUUGACUAUUGGAGUUAAUCAUUCUUGAUUUAUCAAAGGCCACAACGUUUUACAAGCGGUGGAAUCCAAAGUACCUUUAAUUGCACCUUUUUUUUUUCCCAAGUGUGCAACCAUCCUUGAAUCCAUUAAUAACCAACUAAUGCCCCAUGAAAGUCUACAAUUUUGGUUGCAUGAUUUGAGGAAGAGGGGUUGAUCGAGAUUAAUGGCCAUUGAUUACUUCAAAUUAAUAGUCGAAGUCGCAUCGUAUCUGAUCUGAUCUGAUCAGGUUUCAUUGGCGACAGUAACACGGGACCAAGUAGUAAAAGCUAAAACACAAAUGUUAUCUGUCGGUGGUGCUGAACGUCCAGACGAGUAAAUUAACGACAACACAUAGAGCAUUGUAAUCUCAAAUCUGUACUGAGUAAAACAUUGAUCUGGUGAUGCAACGCAGAGCUGGAAAAAAUAAAAAGACACUGAUCAUGACUACCAUGUACCAUGUCCAAAGAAAACGUUAACGUUUGACAUAGACCUGUUGUUUUGUUUCAUCCCCAGCUGCUCCACAGCCAUAAGGCCAACUGGCCAUGGACUCCAACUAGGAGGCCCUUAGGGGACGCAAUAAUUUAUCUCCCGUGGCGACCGGUGAGAUUGAGAAUGACCAUUCUCUGCUCAUAUUGAAUGACUCUGCAAAUACGGCUGCCAAAUUCGUUCCCAUGCAUAUGUUGUGCUUUCGGACUUUGUAUGCCUCUCUGACCCAUGCGUGUUUGGAUAGAAGAUUAUUUGAAAAUAUUAUAAUAUUUUUAUGAUGUAAUUUAUGUGAGAUGAAAAUGUAGUUAGAAAUAAAAAUAGGUGAGUGGAGAAUGUUCUUGUGAUGCAAGCAAUUUUUUUUUUUUUUUUUUGCCAAUUAAAACUUGCAUCUAAACAGAGCUGUUAGUGGCAAACAAGAUGCGAAGUAAAAUAGUAAUGGGAAAAUGUGUCAAAGAAUAUUUCAAAAAAAUUUUUGCCAAAAAAAAACUACCAAUUCAAAGAAUUUCUUUUUUUUUUUUUGAUAUGUCUAGAAUAAUAAAAGUAGAGUGGGGCUAGUGUGGCAUAAACCGAUCGCAUUUCUAGGGUGAUAUGGAAUUUAUAUUGUUUUUGUAAGGGAAGACUAGUCAUUUGCAAUGCUAAUAAUUAGCGUUCAGUUAGCCUAACACUCAGGAGUGUUCAAAUAAUGCGUUGUUUGAAACAUUAUUUGAAAUAAUUAUUACAACACUCUUAUGAUGUAAAGUAUAUGAGAUAACAGGAUAAUUGAUUGAGAGGAUAAACAAGUUGAUUGAAAAAUGCGUUUUUUGAUAGAAGCACAAAUAUCGUUUCAAAUAAUACACAUGUAUUCUACUGCAGUUAUUGGAUCUUAUUUAAGUAGAAUGAGAAUUUCUCAUCACUAAAUAAAUUUGCUUAAUUACCAAGAAAAGAGAAGAGGACUUUUUCUUUCCUACCCCCCUCGAGAAUUAUACGAAAAUGAAAUGAAUGGUUGCGGUGGUGGGGCUUGAGAGUUGUACAUUUUGCAUCUGCCGGACAGCCGAGGCCAUUUUCAUGCAGGGCGUGCUAGUCAUCGGAGACGUGCACCUAAUCAAGAAAACUGCAAAACUUGCGCUCGUAAUUGUAAUACUACUUUUGCCUUGGAAAAUAAAUUUAUACCAACAGUUUGUCCAUUCCGUCUAUUGGCUCUUUCUUUUGAAACACCCCCCUCCCCCAUAAAAUCCCAGAAAAAAAAAAAAGAAAAGAAAAAAAUUUAUUGGCUUUUUCGAGGUUCUCGUUUUUUUUUUUUUAAAAAAAAGAAGUUAUUUUAAUCUCUUUUUUGACGGAGUAGUAUGUAUAGUACAAAUAUACUGUAUUGUUCUUGUCUAUGAAUCAUGCUGGUCACUAGUGUAUACAGAACUACUUAUCAAUCAAUCAAUCAAUCAAAGACAGAAAAUGCACGAUGAUUUUUGUGUUCCCGGAAAAAACGACAAAGGGCCUUUCACCUAUUCCUGGCGUUUACUGCUGUACGAUGCUCCCAUUACGAGGCAUAGGCAAACAAAACCCAUUUCUCCUGUUCCUUUUUUUAUUUUUCCCCUCACAAGCAAAGCAAAAUCGGUUUUGCAAUUUGGACACCAAUAAUUUACGAAUCUUCUCCCGCUAUAGGAUAAUCGAGUGACGUUAGGUUUGGUGGUGGCAGGGCAGGGUUCCAUUAUACAAUAAUAAUAUAUUUUAUUUUAUCUUCACAAUAAAAUAAAUAGAAGGCUAAAAGCUACACCUGCAAAUCAAUCACAAGGGGGAAUUCAACGCAUUUUGAUUACAGUCGCAGUAGUGUGACGGUGAGAAGAGAAGAAAUAAACGGUUGAGAAGAAGAAGUUGCAUCGAGUCACGGGGUGCCCAGAAAAAGGAAACAGUAGUGAAAACUGCAGAAAAACAGUUUUAACCUUUCCAAAAUUCCACGGCGACCAAAGGAAACGAAUGAAGUAAAUACUACCGGCAUUGCGCACUCUCUGAGGAAAAAGGGCAAAAAAAAGAUGAAUCGUCGAUCACAAUUUAUAGGCUGGCUGAAAUGUUUCCGUGUUAUCUAGAAAAAUAUGAAAGGUUCGAAGAAGUAAUAAUGAUCGGUCAUAAUAUAUAUUAAGUUAUAAAAAUAUUACCGUUAUUAUAAAAAAAAAAAAAAAAAAACCGUAGUGGCCAAGGCCUACAUUUUCCUGAAAAUACGGAAAGAAUGUGGAUGAUGCAACUUCACAAUUUUGGCAUUUACUACCAUUCAUAAUCCAAUGUGUAGUUGUAGCAGUGGUCGUACUUAGAAAGAAAGUAAGAAACAAAAAGAAAAGAAAAAAAUCCUGCAUGGGAAGUAGCAACGUCCUUAAUUGCUAGUAUUUGAUCCACUCUAGACUGCGGGACAAUUCGGAUAAAUGCUUUCCCGAUAAACUUCUUAUCCAAUCAAGUACCACGAUGGUCAAUGGCGGAGCCACGUUGAGGUGAACCUCCUCACUUUUCUAAAAAAUUUAAUGGAAUAUAAAAAAGUUUAAAAAUUACUCUCUCCCUUUUUCUAUAACCGACGUUUAAGAAAUUUACUCUUAUGUACUUUUAUCUGUCAUUUUAUUAUUCCCAUACAGUAUUAAUUAUUUUUUCACAAUUUUACCCUUUUAUCUCUCUUUUUCAAUACAGGAUUCUUAAUUACUACUCCUAGUAAUUAUUGCAUUGCUUUUGGCCUAGUAAAACAGCACCAUUUAGUACUUCAGUGAGAGAAAAUAUGGGUGAAUUGAAUAAUUAAUGAGGGUAUAAAAGAAAAGUAGUGUACAAAUUUAAGCAAUGAAAAAUUUUUUAUAAUUGAUGUAUAAAAUCUUAAACGUUAGUUAUAAAAAAAGGGAGGGAGUACUAUAAUAUUGCCUCACUCUUGUCUUGUCCCUCUGAGUUGAAAUAUUACACGUCUUGUCCUCAUGUCUUUCAUAAAAGACCAACAAUUACCUUCAUCCCUUCCCUGCCCAUUUCUGCGAAUCAACGCUUGCUUCCAAGUACAAACCCAACUUCAACAAAAGCAGCAAAUAUUCUGCUGUCAUAUUUAAUAACGCAUACUGAUCAGUGGCUUCAUUUUAUUUUAGGGAAGGAAUGAAUGAAUAGUCGAUAUUCAUGAAUGUCGUUGCAUUGCGGGUUGAAUCUUGAAAAACAUAGCCCAGCUUGGAAAAUUUUCACGUCUAACAUUUUCAACCUUCAUCACAUCAAAUCAUUCAGUAGCCAUUAAAACUCUCUAGUCUGUCUAUCCAGGAGGAUUCCCACCACAAAGGUUUCGAUCUAUCCUGCUAGUCUUCAAUUACGUCUCAGGGGCCCCCCAUCAUCCUCCUGACCAUAAGCUGCCAAUCUGUAAUAUCAACGAUUUCUGCCAUGCCAAGUCAUCAAAAUUAUGUCUUCUAUCGGCCUGCCUUUCUUGUCACACCAAUGCAUCAACGGACAAGAGAAGCACUCGCAAGAUUGUGUCCCUUUUUUUUUUGUAAAUGACAAUAAAAUCCUCCGAUGACUCGCUAUAAUUACAGACACCUCCCUAAGCUGGUGAGGUUUGUUUUGUUUCUGAGAGCUUCUCCAGGGUUUUUCCCGUACAGGCAUAAAUGCGUCCAGGUUUGCAAAAUUACCCAACAAUCAAGGGAGGACACCACGCAUGAGUUUACAAGCAACUAUGCUAAAAGGGCUGCGAAUCUUCUGUUAUACCUAGUGUAUAUCUUGUAAUAUUUGGUGCACCGUUCUAGUGAGUUGGUGUACACCACCCCAGUGGAAUGUACAACAAAUAUUGCAAGGUGUACUGUGUACACCAACAGUAGACAGUUAGGACCUCCGGUCAGGGGAACAAUUUUCAAUGUAUAAAUUUGUAGUAAAGUUAAAUCUCUAGUGUGGAUGAUUAUAUACCUUGAUAUUUAAAUUGUUGCUGCUGAUAUUUAAACUUGAGGUGGGGGUAGUGGCAAUUGCCAACGCUCUGUACAUGUGGCUCCAUCACUGUACACCAAUUUAAUGUAACGAUAUACCAAAUAUUACAAGAUGUAUAUACACUACUUUUAUAUAUAGAUAUACUCACCGAGUAUAUACACUACUAGGUGAGUAGACUAUAGGUGAGUGUGGCUAGGGAUGGCAAUGGGGGCGGGUGCCCGCGGGUGCCCGCCCCGCGGGGGGCUCACGAGGCGGGGGUUGGGGCGGGGGCGGGGGGAAUUUUUUCCCCCCGCUUAGAAACGGGGCGGGGGUAUACUCCCCCGCCCCAUCCCCCGCCCCGCCACCGGCAAAAAAAAAAAUAUAUAUAUAUAUAAAUGACUAUAUAUUAUAUGUAAGUUAAUUAGUUAUAAACUUAUGAUAAUGAUAUUAUUAGUUAGAUGUAUUAUAUAAUGUAUAUUAGUUUAUGUAAUAUAAUUGAUAUUAUCAAUUAUAUGAAUAAUUAUACAUGUCUACUAAUAGAAUUUAUUAAUUAGUUAUACUAAAUUUACUAAUACAUUUAUACUAAAUUUCUAAUUACACUUAAUAGAAUAACACUUUUUUCUCAAAAAAAAACACAAACACAAUGAUGAAUUAGUGAUUGCAUUUGUACUAAAAGUGAAAAUUUGACUAUUUUAGUUAUAUUUAUUUCAUCAUAUUGGAUUGUAUUCAAAUAACUUCUGUUUGAUUGUUUUUAUGAGUUUCAAUUGUAAAAUUACAAUGAAUAAUAAUUUGGUGAUGUGUUGAUAUUUUAGUACUUGAUUAUUUAUUAAAAUUUAAUUAUAAUAAAUUUAUAUAAUAAAAUUUUAUUAACCCCGCGGGGGAAGCGGGGCAAGGCGGGGCGGGGCGGGGGACAGGGCGGGAGACGGGGGGACCUAAUAGGCAACGGGGCGAGGGACGGGGGAGGGGUCCCCCGCCCCAACCCCGCCCCGUUGCCAUCCCUAAGUGUGGCAGCCCCUUGGGCAACAGAGGAUCGGCUAACAACUAAAAGUAGUCAAUGAGAAUAGUAAUUUUUUUUUUUUUUUUUGUUUUCUCGAUAGGAUAAAUUCAUACACUAGGGGAAGGGAAGGAUUUGUAGAGGUCCAAGGGUAACAAUGAGAUAAUUGAAUCAUCACCGGAUCAUACGAGUGUAUUAUGCACCCGUCUGAAUUUUUUAAACAGAGUCACUUUUUAAGAUGAAGAAUUAGUCGGAGGUAAGGUUUGAAUGCAUUGAUGGUGGCCACCAACUCAAAGGCUAGUGGUUAGUCCAUGAGAGUAGUAAUUGUUAUAUUAGAGCUUAUCUAAUGGGUGCUUACUUGGCUAUAGUUAAUAAGGAAUUUAUGUGUUAAUUUUUUAAUAAAUUUUUUAACGGAUGUCUAAUAUACAUUCGCUAGUAAAUUACAUCUAAUUUACUAUGCGAAUAUGUGUAUUAUGUUUAUCGUUCCCUUUGCGUUUAGUCGCUUUGAAUUAAUUUUUUAUUUUUUUAAAUUAACAACUAAUGUCAUUUGUCAGCCAAAUCCAAUUGAAUAUAACAAAAAAUGUACUAAUUGGUACCCAUUGAGUUCUCACUACAUAAAUCCUUACACUUUGAAAAUUUUGGUGGGGACAAAAAUAAUCGGAGAAGAAGUGACAGGUGCUAGUCUUUGAAGUAUUAGAGAUUCUAAGGCUUUGCUCGAAUCGCUAGAUUUUAUAGACACUGCAUAUAUAUUUCAUAUACAUCACAAUGACAUAUUUCAGAAAUACAAACAACUACUACUUUUCUACCCAAAAAAAAAAAAAACACUCCUGAAACUUCUAGAAAAUGCAAUCCAUACCCGCUCCAACUUUAUCGAAUUCAUAAGCGAUUGCUGAAACAUUUGACAGUCAUCCGGCUUGGUUGAGGUUACAACACCUGAAGCGAUUGCUGAAACUAGUUAGCACGUUAUCUUUUUCUGUCAAGAUAUCCAUUAAUCAUUAAGAACACGACGAAUGCUCAUAUGGCAAUGGAAACAGAGUGAAUUAAGAGGGAAAAAUGAAAGAGUGGCCCUCCCCUCCCUCUGGUGUUUUAGAUCUGAGGUUGGAGAAUGGCUUGGAUGUACACGGCCAAUUAAAACAGCUAUCGUAAGGAUAGUUUGGACAUUUUGAGGACAGAAUCUCCAGUUCUUAAUGCUCAAAUGUUCAACAAACUUUAGGACAGGCAAAGGCUUACGUUGUUGUGAGUUGUGACAACCAAAAAGCUUAUCGUAGAGUUGAGUUGCCAGCAAAGUGAAUCACGUGCUGGGCAAAUGGCAAGCAUCAUAAAUGCAGGAAACCCAUCAGGAUCGAUCCCCAAAUUUUGACCCAAUAUUUUCAGACCAGAGAGAGAAAUGUACUAAUGUAGGGAACCCAAUGGUGAUCCUGCAUUUAUUUCCAAUACUGAUCAGGUCCAAGAUCAUUUAACCGGAGUUUGUAUAAAUGAGGAGAGAGUUGUUUACUUCCUUUAAAGGCAAACUUGCACUCAUUGAUUCAUCUCCCUUCCCAACGCAACCCCUUCCCCCUCCCCCAGUUGAGUUGAGUACUUGAGGGUUGAAUUCAAUAAAAAUGAUCCCGAAAGCGGCAGAACAGAACCACCCCAUUUGCCAAGAAGAAGAGUUUUCUCUGUCAAGCAAAGCCAAACCCCGCUGCCCCCCAACUGACCACCCAAUGCCCCCACUCUCCACCGCACGCCACUAGGUUGCCUGCCAUCUUUCAUCAUCGGCCUAAAACAAAAUUAUAACUAAUUAAUUCACGCUUUUAUCCGACCUCUUAACCACUCACACUGGUCACCAGGAUCCACGAAGAAGCACAAACAACUCUUUGAUUUGCACGCCCGUGCUUUUUAGGCAUAUAGACUUUUCUCUCAGGUUCUUUCGUGGUAAAAAUAAGAAGAUUUUGCAAUAAAGUUGUAAAGAAAGAUGAGCAGUAGGAAGCUACAUCACAUGUUCAAGAUAAUUUUUUGCCAACUCCUCCCACUGUACACGGAAAAAAGAAAAAAAGCACUUUCAAACUUACCGAUAGCUCCCAUUUACCUUCAAGGUUACAGAGUCAACCCAGGCCCUUUUUACCCUCCUCUUUCCUCCCCAACUUAAAAAGGAACAAAGCAAAUGAUCACAAAAAGAAAAAGCUAGGCCAACCCCAUUCCGGGAAACUUAAGAUUAAAUAUGGAAAAAGCUAAAUCCUACAAUAAACUAAACAAUCCAACCAAGCCCGUCCAACCCCCUCUCUUCCCCCCCCAAAAAAAAAGGAAAAAAACCAUUCAGUAGAGAGCUCUGCUUAAAUGCUAAGGAGAUCAGGUGGAGGGGACUGAGGUGGUGGUGGUUGCUGAUGGUCUUUGGAGUCCACAGGAGUUGUGCUUGGAGACUCCACUGUGGACGCCGGUGGGGGAGAUUCCGUGUCUGUUGAGUCUCCCUGUUUGCCGUUGGCUGGCUUUGGUAGCUCAGUCAGUAUUUGCACAACCUCCCUCAUUGUGGGCCGCUCCACUGCCUGUUCUUCAACACAGAGCAUCGCCACAUAAAAUACAUGCAUCACCUCAUGAAGGGGAACUGUAGGGAGUCUUGGAUCAAGGAUCUUGAGUACUCCUUCCUUGUUCCCAUCGGUCAUCUUCCUCACCCAUUGUACUAUGUCAACCCCAUCACCAAAUUCCCCUACUGGCUUUCUCCCACUCACUAAUUCCAAGAGAACUACACCAAAGCUGUAUACAUCGCUUUUCUCAUCAACUUUGAGCGUGUAGGCAUAUUCUGCGAUUUAAAAAAAAAACAAUGAUUAAAAACAAUUAAUCUGAAACACAUUAAUGUAAUUAUUGCUUGCAUAGACCAGAAUUGCAACUCUAAGUACAUCUGACAAUAAUUAAGAGAUUAUUUUAACACCAAUGCUUUGACCAAAUAGCAUGAUAUUCAUACCUACCAGAAAAAACAAAUGUUAGCAUGCUAGCCAUAUCCUGUAGACUCAAAUUAGUCUCCGAGACAAUGUUGGCUUUGAAUUUGCCAUCCAAAUUACUCCGUAGAAUAGUAAUAAACCCACCACACCAAUAUAGUACCUAACUAGUUGGAGAUCAAAUUGAGUCCUUUCAAUGACUUUCCUUAAUAAAUUAAAGUCAAACGCUACAGGACCAUUAAGUUCAUGUUCAUUUCAAGUGUUUUCCUCCAGACGUUAACUGUCUAAAACAGCUAAAGGGACUGAUGAGUAUUGAGCCAAUAUUCUCAAAGGCAAGAAGGAAGUGUAUAGUCAAGGUGACAAACUAGUACUUGGAAAUACAAUAAAGGCGCACAUGGUAUGUAAAUUGGAGAAUCAAGUCAAGAAAUUCAAGAAACAAAUCAAUGUCAGAUCUCAACGUAAAGAGUCUUACCAGUCAAAAGUCAGUGCAGUUCCAAUUUCAAAAAGGGAUUACCAACUUCAUACAGUAAACAAGAUAAUUAUGAGCAGAAAAAUACCAAAAUUCCUCUUCCAAUACUACUAUUGAGAAAUCGUGCAUUUGAGCAGUACCUGGUGCAAUGUAACCAUAGGAACCAGCUAUAGCAGACAUGCAUUCAGAUGUUCCUGAAUCUUGCAAGAACUUGGCAAGUCCAAAAUCAGCCACAUGAGCCUCAAAGUUAGAAUCCAAAAGGAUGUUAUUGGAUUUCACAUCACGAUGGACAAUCAAAGGCGAGCAAUCGUGAUGAAGAUAGCAAAGGCCCUUAGCAGCCUCCACAGCAAUUUUAUACCGUGUAUCCCAAUGCAAAUGACCCCCUUUCUUGCCAUGAAGCAUUUCUCCCAAACUCCCAUUAGGCAUAUACUCAUAAACCAAAAGAUUAGUCUCAUGGUUAGAACAGAAUCCCAACAAUCUAACAAUGUGCCUGUGCCUAAUCCUCCCAAGAGUCUGAAUUUCAGCAUUGAACCCAUGAUCAUGGGAUGAGCCUCGGCUCAUCGCGGGCAACCUCUUCACAGCAACAUGUUCUCCAUUAGGCAUUGCCCCUUUGUACACAAUCCCGGCACCUCCUUUCCCAAUGAUAUUAUCCUCCUUCAAGGAAUCCAAAACAUCAUCACAAGUAAAAUCCAGGCGUUGGAAAGCCGUAAGCUUCCAAGCACGGGCCUCACUCGCCUUCUUUAGCGAACGUGCUUUGAUAAUUGCAGCAACUGCGAACACGAUCGAGCAAACAAGCAAGCCAAUCACAAGCAAAAGCUUCAUAGAGGGCGAAAAGGCUCCUCUCUCAUGAGGUUUAGUACUUCCAUUAACAAUCCCUUCUUUGCAGGGUCCCAAGUAAGGGCCACAAAGAUCAGGGUUGCCCAAAAACGAAGUAUAAUUGAAAUAACUAAACUGACCCGUCCCAGGAACCAUCCCAGACAAAUUGUUGUACGAAAAGUCAACAGAAGUUAAGCUCUGCAUGGAUGCUAUUGGAGACGGAAUGCUUCCAACUAAAUGAUUUCUUGACAAAUUCAAAUAGUUCAAUAUUCUCAUACCUGUGAUCUCAGUUGGGAUUUCACCAGCGAGCUGGUUCCUACUGAGGUCGACAAAAGUCAAGAGCUUGCAUUCGCUGAUUUCAGGGGCAAUGGGGCCUGAAAAGCUAUUGUGGCUGAAAUCAAUUUUUGAUAGUUGCUGCAACUUUCCUAUUUCAGCCGGAAUGGGGCCAGUAAACUUGUUCCCAUCAAGCAAAAACUUUUGUACACCCACGAAAUUCCCAAUACUCGGGGGCAGCGGCCCAGAUAAACGAUUGUUUGAAAGGCUAAUCUGGCCGAGAGCAGUCGAUGUUUUAUCCGUCUCCGGAAAUGAGCCUGUUAAAAGAUUGUCCUGAAGCUCAACUUGAGUAAGCUGUGGCAAACUCAAGAGCCCUUUUGGGAUCGACCCAUUGAGAUAAUUCUCACCCAUCCGAAGUCGACUCAGCGACUCGCAUUGGCCCAAGGAUUCAGGAAUCGUCCCAAAGAGAAAGUUUCCCAGAGUAAUCAAUGUCUGUAACUUGUUUCCGGUACAAAUAUUUGGGGGCAAAUUUCCAGUCAAUUUGUUCGAACUGAGGUCCAGAUUUUGAAGCUUCCCAUUAGUCCCCAGCCCUUGUGGGAUGCUUCCAGUGAAAUUGUUAUCCCAUAACUGCAACACCUCCAGCUCCGGCAAGUCUCCAAUGAAGUCCGGUAUCGACCCGUGAAGCUGGUUUCGGAAAAGAUUCAAGAGAGUGAGAUUUUUCAGCUGGGCAAACGAGGAAGGUAUUUCGCCGGUGAACAUGUUGUUGGACAGAUCCAUAGAUUUCAAGCUUUUCAAGUAUCCCAGCUCCGACGUCAACGGCCCAGAAAGCGCAUUCACUUGAAGAAAGAGGGUAUCCAAGUUCUGCAGCAUCCCAAGCUCCGGCGGAACCUCGCCGGAGAGGCCACAGUUGGCGGCAUCAAAACGCAGAAGCUGCGAUAAGUUACCAAUUUGGGGUGGGAUCCCGCCGGAGAAAGUGUUGAAGUAGCCAAUGUAAAGGUGUUGAAGCUUGGUCAAGUUUGCUAUCUCCGGGGGGAUCCUACCGGCGAGCUCGUUGCCGGAAACGGCGAGGUAUUCGAGAUUAGGAAAAGAACCAUACUCGGCGGGAAUGCCGCCGGAGAAGUAGUUGCCGCCCAAGUGGAGAUGCCUGAGGUUGGUUAGCUGGUAAACGUCCACAGGCAAAGGGCCGGACAUGUUAUUAUUGUAGAAAUCAAGCACCUCAAGAUUUUUGAGGCGAAUGAGCUGCCGGGGGAAGGUGAGGUUAAAGAUAUUGUUGGAGAGGUUAAGGUAGCGGAGAGUGGAGAUGGAGGAGAUUUCAGGAGGGACAGGACCACAGAACUGGUUGGCGGCGACGGAGAGGUUGAGGAGAAGGCGGAGAUGGGAAACGUCAGGGGAAAGGGAGCCAGUGAGAUUAAGUCCGGAAAUGUCAAGAGCAGUCACGUGACGGCCAUAGGAGUCGCAGGUGACGCCAGACCAGGAGCAAUGAGUAGUGGAGUCAUUCCAGGAAGCCAAAGAAGAUUGCGGGUCGGCGGUGAUGGCAGAUUUUAUGGAGAGUAAUGCCUUGUACUCCGGCAUUCGGGGUGUUCUUGCGGCAAAGCAAGAAUGGAGAUGGAGUAGGAGAAAGAGGAGGAGAACAAAACGCAUUUUCAGUUUGCGGUAGGGGAAGCGUAGAAGAAGAGUGGGGAGGGGACUGGCUACUGUGUACUGAGUUGAGGAGGGUGGGAAAACUGGAAUACUUGCCACUACUGCUAGAAAGCUAUAAGAAAGAAGGGUGUGGGCUUUAUUUUAAUGGGUAUUUUUUAUUUUUUAUUUUUUUUUAAAAAAAAAAAAGAAGAAAAAAAGGUGUGUAGUCUUUCCUUUUGGGUGGGUAUUAGUUAAGGAUUUGGUGAUUUUGCUUUUGGAAUUUUUGUGAUGAGAAGGGAAGAGUGGGGAUUAAAAGAACAUUUUGAAUGUCCUGACUGCCUAAAAUUGUACUGCUGAGAUUGAUUAAAAGGUGGGGGCGGGGCCGUACGUAGUUGGAUCAUUCAGGGGCCGGGCACUCAGUACUCAGUACUCAGUACUCAGUACUGGCGCCGUAGGCCUUUGUGAGACGACACCGGGACCGGACAACCCAUCCCCCACCGCACCCCACUCCCCAUCCCAUCUUGGAAAUGGCUGCCUUUUUCUCUUUUCAAAAGCCUUCUUUUUCUCUUCGAGGUAUAUAAAAGCCAUCUUUUUGGCUUUUGGCUGUCCAUUCGAUAAAACGCUUCAUUUUGUUUGAGAAAUGAGACUUGAAUAUAUAAUUUCUUUUGUUUUCAAACGAAAAAAAAAAAUUAAUAAUAUGCUAGGCUAUAAAUGGCUAAGCAAGAGACAGCAAGCCCUAAUUGAGCUCUAAAUAGAAAAAUUAUUAGUAGCUUAAAAUCUCCCUUUUUUUUUUUUUUCCCUGUCCUAGGGAUUAUUUACAUUUAACGUCACCCUUGUCCUGUGGAACUAUUAACAGCAGCACCCUUUUCCCUCCCUCUCCAUGAGUUGCAGAACUCAGAGAUAUAUCACUUAAUUCAUGGGUUAAACAUUUGAUAUACUAAAAAGCAUAUAAUAUCAAAGAAGAAAUGUUUAUUGUUAAUCAAAUAAAUACGAAGCAAAUCUGACUCUAUAGCUUUUAGAGUUUGAGUUUACGUGGAUAUAUGAGUUUAACGUUCUAAAUAGUAAAGGGAUUAUAAUGGUACAUAUGAUACCAUUCAUGGCUUGGGAGUGUAUUAAAAGGAGUCUCUUUUUUUUUUUUUUGGGGGGUGGGUUUAAGUAGUAUCUUGGAAGCUACGUUGACUUAAUUUACGUUGUAUGACAUUAUUGUUUAGUGAAGACGCCAGACUACAAAUUGGCACUCUCCCAUAAUUACUCCUCUCUUUUAACUACUCUUUUUCUCUCUCUCUCUCUCUCUUUUUUUUUUUUUUUUUGAAGAAACUACUCUCUGUUUUGAUUAGGCAUGUUAAUAGGUGCAAAGCUGAGUGUAAUCUCUUUUAUCCAAAUCUAGAUCUAUUAAAUUUGAUUAAAUCCAAACUGUUAUGGGUCUAAAAAGCAAAUUCAGACUCAAACCUUAUAAUAUCCAAUGGAUAUUCGUCAUGUUUUUCUAAACAUACUGAAAUAAAAAAUUAUUAAAACAUGUAGAGUUCAAAAACAAUAUAAAUAUCACCCAAUUUUUACUUUCAAAUAAUAAAAUUAAUAUUCAAGAAGUGAAGUGCAAUAUUAUGAACUAAAUUAACUACUUCUCUUUAUUUUCAAAGUUUUAUAUCAAUGUCCAAUACUAUUUUAUAAAUUUACUCGUAUAUAUGUAUAGAUACACACUAGUAUUUAAUUAUAUAUACAUGGUUUUGGAUUUUGGUAUGGAAUUACAGGGGUCUGGGUAUGAGUUUAAGAAAUUAAAUCGAAAUGCAAUCCAAUUAUAUUGGAUUUGGGUAAGAUCUGGCCCAAUAAUAUGACUAGUCUCAAAAUCGACUUACUAUUACAACAUCAAAUCAACAUAUAUAAGAGCUGUUUAGGUUGCUAUUUUCUAGGAUUUUUUGAGAAUAAAUAAAUUUAUUAUAAUGGCAUGAUGUAUGUAAAGUAAAAAGGUGAUCGCAAAAUAUAUUCACAAAAAAUAUAAAAAUAUUUAAAAAAUGACAAUUCAAAUAAUGUAUUUCUAAAUUGCCAUUACGUACAAACUAGAUUAGUAAAAGGAUAAAUGUGUAAACAAAAUCUUAUGCCAGUAAUAUUGUAAAAAAUAAAAUAGAUAUGUCAUUUUUGCAGAUUAAAAACGUCUAUUUAUGGGGUAAACAAAAAAAAAAAACAUCUAUUUAGUUGUAUCAAGCAAAAGGCCACAAAAUAAAUUUGACGGGAGCGCGCGUGAUCUAUAUAUUGCCAUUAUAUAGCAAGAGCGGAUUAUAAGAAAGCCCCAAAACCGUGCCCAAAAUUUGGCUUUCGACAUCGGUUAAAAAGGGUAGCACCGAAUGGGUACGUUAAAGUUCAGCCUCAACCACUAAAUGCCCGUUCCUUUCAGUACAAUACCUCUUGUUUUUCUUGUUUUAAUCUCUGAUCAUCCACGGCGAAUUGGUGAGCAACUUUGUUGUUUCGUUUGAGCUCUCUCUCCUUGCAACUGUUGAUUCAGUCAUUAGACACGCCCAUGCAAUGCAAACCUUGUGACCUUAUUGACACAAUCAUCAAAUUGUAUCAGACACCUCCCCCCCCCCCCCCUCCCUCCAAAAAAAAAAAAACUCUCCUUUUUCAAUUCAGUUACGAAAAAGUCAUUAAAAAGGCACAAGAUUGUCAUGCUAUAAGUACUGGGAAUAGCGAAAUUUUAAAAAAAAAGGAUAUACAAGAUAUAUCUCAUCUUUAUCAUAGUGUUUUUUUUUUCCUGCUUGAUUGAUUAUAAGUUUAUAACUACAGAGCGAAGACGACCUAUACUACAGUAUUACUUCGAGAAUGACGUCAAGGUUUAUCUCUAAUUCAAUCCGAUAUUUUAUAUAUAUAUAUAUAUAUAUAUAUAUAUAUAUAUAUAUAUAUAUAUUUUUUUUUUUAAAAAAAAAGAAGAAAGUAAUACUCACUAGCUGAUACGGAAGCAUUCAUUCGUGCCCACCUCGCAAUCAAUCAAUAAAGGUUCCAAAAAAAAAAAAAAAAAAGAACAUUAAUCAGGUACUGCUCAUAAUUACAACAGUAAUGAUUUUGUUUGUUCUGAUAAAGCAUGGUCAAACAUGGCUGACUGACAAAAUGGGCUGAGAUGCUCUUGGGGAGGUGGUGGGGUUGUUUGCUAAUAAUCUAUCACAUUGCUACUGUACCCCCUUCAAAUUAAUCAUAGUAGACUGGAACCCCCUCCUUCGUCCUUUCCCUCUGCUCCUUGCAAUUCACAAGUUAUUUUACAGAAGAAGACAGAAGGACGAAUUUGCAAUAUCUUGGAUUAUAGCAGAUAGUUCUCGCUAUGGAGGAUACGCAGGCAACAACUAAUUAGUGGAGUGUGGACCAACCUAGCCAUAGAUAAUAUAUGGGUGAAACUGGGGCAGAACUGAGGGAAAAUUGACCAACCAGUCCCCCGAUUUGGACCCCCCACCCAAGAAGCCCCAAUCCAGGGAAAACGAAAGUGACCGCCAGGCGCCAGCAACAGCGGCAGGAGACGAUAUAGUUUCUACUUUGCCCCCCCCUCCACCUUGUGCCAUUUAAUGACUUCCAAGCUACUGUCCCUUUCCCAGUGCCAGCUCAUGCAUGAGGCCUUGGGGCCCAAAGCUUUUCUUCUCUUUUUUCAAAUCUAACGUAUCUAUCUAUGUGCUGCUGGGGGACUGGGUUGAGAGAAUUUCUUUUCUGUUUUUUUUUUAAUGGAAAAUAAUGAAAGGGAUGAUCAAUAAUGUUGUUAUUAAGCAAGCUAAUCCAAGCACGCAUUAAUUGAUGUCUUAACGAGAUUUCUGACGACGGCUAGCUCUAUUUCUUAUUUCACGCAUGUUAUGAACUAGUAGAGUGUUAGUUAUAGUAUCAGGAUUUUAAAUCAAUUAUUUUUAUUCACUAUUUUCCUCAUUAAUACUACUACUAGAUGGUCCAUUCAAACUAGAUAAUUUAUAUUACCGAAUUAUUCUUGAAACUCUAGUUUUUCAAUGCAGUGUCAGCUUAGUCAAUAUUAUAAUAUUUGACUCGAUAUUAUUGUAUUUAUUCCCCCAACUAAAACGAUUAACUAAUGAAUUACUACUAGCAUAUUUUCUGGUAACAAUACACAUUAAAUAUGUGACAGAAGGAUUACUACUUUCACCAGAUAAAAUCAAUAUGAAUUUGGGCGAAUUUGGAUGGUUUCAUUUUUUUUUUUCUUUUGUCUGUGUGUGUGUGUGUGUGUGUGGGGUGGGGCGGGGGCGGAAUUGAGGGGGACAGACAGCCAUGGAAAGGCUAAAAGAUUUAUUAACAGUUGAUAGUAGUCAUUAAGGGGGAGAAGGGAGUGGUUAAUUAGAGAGAUUCCCCGAGGUUUGAUACUCUAAACUUAGUAAAAGCAAAGACUCGGGACUCGCCUAAAAACGCCAAGUCCGAAGCUCCUCCACCGCCAGAAGACACGAUUUAGCCUUUCAAUGAACGGACCUUAAUUUCCAUUAUAAUCUGUCUCGAUCCCUGUUCCUCUUGUCCCCUUCCUUUUGGAAUCCCCCCUCUCUUUUCCCUGUUUCUUGCGCGUUGCAGCUAUAUCUAUUAGCCCCUUAUGCACUGCAGUCUCUUUACAGGCUCAUUUUCCUCCUAAAUUAGAAUGAUAGAUUAGAUUAUAAAAAUGUUCUUUUUAUUGUAAAAAAAGAAAAGAAAAGAAAAGAAAAAGACCGUACCUCAGAAAGUCCAAACCCCAAGCCUGUAGCAUAUCAAGUCUAAAGUAUUCUUCUUGUCAUUUCAUUUGAAAACAAGAAAAGAUUAAUCGAAAAAUAAUUAUAACCUUAUAUUAGAUUAUGAGCUAGCUUCAUCUUAAUUCGGUUUUAGCCGGCCAAAUCAAGUGAACUGACCGUGGAUGGAAAUUCUCUUCUUCUAAGGAAUUAGCCAAUAUAUAGAGACCUGUGAUUUGUACCAGGCUGUAGUGUAUAUAGUGACCGCCACUUUUGGUUAUGGUACCAAUGCAAUGCAUACAAUAAUACAAAAGUCCCUGAGCCUUAGUGUUAGCAUAAUAAGCUGUAAUAUGCGGAUUUUGUUAUUUGCAUUUGUCCAUUUGCCAUAAACCGAAAUUGCUAAUGACGCCAAGCUUCUAUCUUAUAAUUUAUAUUAGUGCAAGUCGUUUUCUCAUUUGUAUUGCAUGUGUCGUUCUUUGGAUGUGAUUAGUAGGAGCUUCAUGCGGACGCCUAUCUGGAAGCUCGUUAGCUGAUGAUUACUGUUAAGUUAUUGAAAAGAAAAAAAAAAAAGGCAAUACUAACAAAAGCUGUUGUGGGGGGUGGGGAAGAGCGAAAAAAUGUCUACUAUAGUAAGUAAUAUCUAAGAAAAAACCGUGCAAAAAUGAAGAUGUGAAAGGAGUUUUUCUCACACAAGACACAACAACGUUGAAUACUCAGCUGGUGACAGAGUUUGAAUGCCACAGAGCUUUACUUGAAAAGAAGUGGAACGAAUUGGCACUCAGGUCCUCAGGACAGGACCCUUUUCAUAGACAUUAUUGAUUCGCAAAAUGGGAUUCUUUUUCUUUCAAUUCACACACACACUCUCUCUCUCUCUCUAUAUAUAUAUAUAUAUAUAUGUUUUUUUUUGUUUGGGGGAGAAGAGGGGAAGGGCCGAAGGGGGAAGGGACGUUUAAAGAUCCAUACGAGAAUCUAUCAAAGUCCAUUCCGUUUGACCAUAGAGUAAUGGGCAUUGGCAAUCAGUCUUGUGCAACUGCAUAAUUAAAGAUUGGACAUCUCAGGCGCGCAUGAGAUAUACGUAGCUGGAGAGAAAAAAAAAAAAAAAAAGAAUCAAAUUCGAGGCAUGAGUUUUGCCAUGCUUCUUGAUUCCAACAGGCGCAUUUCAUUUUUUUAUUGGUUGCUAGCACAAAUUUCCUGCAUGCAUUUUCUCAAGGCACUAAUUUUUUUUUGUUGUUGCAAUCGUUCGGGGUACUGUGGAAUAGUAGUUAGGAGUAGAUGUAGGUUUGGUAAAGUGUUGAAACUCCUUUAAAUUCAAAAUGUUUGUUUGUUCUUUCUUUCUCUAUCUAUGUUGCGAGUGACCAAUGUGAUGAACUCAUCAAGCAUUUUUCUUAAAAAAAAAAAUUUAUAAACUUAAUUAGUGAAUCUUGAAUUUCUAAAUGUGAUUUCAACGUGCAACCAUCAUAUUUCAUCCAAUUACAUUAACAGUAAAAGUUGUUCACGGCCGAUCACUUGCUCUCCCAGAGUUAAACUCCUCAGGCAAAUUAAGUGCAUACUUGGAAGUUCAUCUUUGAUUUGAGUCUGACUCUCAAAAUGAAAUUUUUUUUUUCUUUUUCCCCUGUGCUGUGGCGUGGAGCGGUGGAGGGCAUGCAGCCCAUUACGAAGAUAUUUACUGUGGGGUGCAGCCCUCACUCAAAAGACUUGCAAGAGAAUUCGGAGUAUCCUGAGAUGAAGAAUUUACUGCGGCAUACGACGAGAUGAAAGCAAUUUUACAUAAAACCACAUGUUGAAGCUAGCGAUACAGUAAUAUUCUCAGCCCCCCACCACCAACCACGCCCCACCCCCCCAAAAAAAAAAAAAAAAAAAUAUAUAUAUAUAUAUAUAAUAAACAAGAAGCUAGUUUUAAGUAUUAACUAAUUGAUAAUGUCGUGACAUUUUGUUUUGUUCGUUUGAUGGAUAAUGAUUUUAGUGCAUGAUUGAGGAAGUCGGCGCUCCAAGUUCUCGCUGCAGUCCUCCCACUUGACAGCGCGAAGCGCGAUACGCGAUAGAGAUUAAUUGCUAAUAGCAGUAUUAGUUAUGAUUUUAAAUUAUUAUUUGCAUGAUUUUAUUUGUUUACAUGUAAUCAACGCGUUUUUCAAUCAUCUUUUUAUCUCACAUGUAUCGCGUAAAAAAAAAAAACGUUAUUUGUAGUAACUAUAUAUUCGCUUUUCAUUAUCUGCCUGGUUUACAAAAUGUUACAAACUAAUAGGCAUUAUUAUGCUAUUCUUAGUUUGCUCUCUUAUGCUGCGAGAGACAAGCAUGCAAAAUAAAUUGAGAGGACGUGACCGCAUAAAUUUUGAACACUAGUUAAAAUUAUUUUCUAGUGUAGCUUCAAUUAUUGGUUGUUAACUUUAGGAGAAGCGUCUCACAUAAUUAAUCACCACUUUUUCCUUCCUUCACUCUCAACGAGUCUCUCGUCUUAGCCACCACUUGCAGAAGAUAGGCAGUUAUGUACCAAGUUUAAACUCCAAAUUCCAGUUUAAAAUACAGUACUACUUAUGCUUGAAUAACUUUUGGCGAGUCCUCUUUAGAAAACCACAGCGACUUAUUAAUUCUGGCUUUUGAAUAAAUUAAGCUAAUUAAUAAGCGUUGAUAAAAUCCACAAUAAAUUUGAAACGAUUAUUACAACUGAUAAUAAGAUGUGCAGUAAGCAAUAAACAAGUAAUUGUACUCCACGUCACUAUAACCAAAAAAAAAAAAAAAAAAAAGAGACGAUUUUUGAUUUUUCUGGUCCAAGCAUUUAUGUUACGGGUAAGGAUUGGGGGGGUGGAAACAAUUUCACUUGCAACAGCUAAAUGGUCGCGGGCUAAUGUGUGGUCUUUGUCUUAUCUUUCCCCGGCCGAAACAAAAGGCCCAAGCUUUCUUUGGACGCAUUUGGGCGAUUUCAAAAAGAAGAAUCUAAUGUUUGUUGGUUGGUCGUCACGGCUAGUCAUCAUUUCAGGUUAUUACUCUGACCAUUUUCCAUCUUCGCUGCUUCAUUUUUUUAUGGGUAUUUCUGCAAAAAGGCUGCUGAAUGGAGUACUACUUUUUUCUUUUCUUUUCUUUUUUCCCCUUCUUUUGUGGGGGGGGGGGGGGGGGGGGAGGGGGGGCUAUUUCAUCUUCUUGCCAGUUAAAUGAACAUAAAACUACUGUAUUGUGAUUGCAGAAGAAAUAGAAGACAAUGAAUGAGACGAUGUUGUUUACUGUAUUGUGUUUGCACCUCUCAAGUCCUUUUCAAACUCUGGCUUACUUUGCGUGUUUGAUUUGAUAGCAGUUUUGUGCAGAAUCUUCGACACACACUGCUGCAAGAUAGGCAGAUACAAUGCUCGCUCUAUUAUUAUUUACUACUACUAACAUGUCCUCUUAUUUUUUACCCACAAGAAAACAAAAACUUUCGCGCAAGAGAAUGUCACGUGCUGACAAGGAAACUGGAUAUAAAUCAAUGUUUCAAGGCUUCAAGCUAAAGGCCUUUGAGUUUCUUUGCUUUCUGUUUUACUUCGCCACUCGCGUGGGCCGGAAGAACUCCGAAAUUUUUCAUGGUUCGUUCUUGGAAUUGAAAUCCAUUCUCGAGGAGACUUAGGAGUAACCCAAUUUGAAGUCCAUCUGCAAUUGAUUGGAGCUCCAGAUACUCUGUUGGAAUUUGAUCGAAUCAUGAGAGUUUGGUGCCUUCUUAGCCAUAGCUUAGGUAUGGACAAGACCAAUGAUACAGAAUCGGACGAGCCCAAUUCUAACGACACGGCCAAGUUGAUCCAAAUUAAACGUUGCACUUUUAGCGGCCACCUUUUUUUUUUGGCUGCUGACUCUCUGUUGCUUGGUCUGAGUCGUAAAAAAAAAAAAAGUCUUAACAAACGGGGAUGAAUGAACUAAAAUUCCACAAUCUCAAUAUCAGAUUACAAUAAUAUAUUAUUAAGGGCAACAGGAACAGGGUUCAAAAUGGUGUGCCUAGGAAUCUGCAUCUCGCGUCUGUGAAGCAGCAAUAAAGAGAGCCCCAGCUCCUGAACCUCCGUGAGAAUGCUCUAUAAUCACAUUGUCAGAGAGGUCACUCCCCAGCAUCUCCCAAACACUGCUAUGCAGAUAGUUUCUAAAGAUGCGAUAAUGCUCAUACAGUCCACCUUCAACCGUAAUUACGCUCUUCUUGUUAGCAAUUCUUCCGAGUUUUUUGACAAUCCCCAUUAUUCCAGCUCCCACAAGACGAGCUCCGCGCUCUGCAACUAUGUCACAGACCUCUGCAACGAUUUCUCUCACCACUGGUGUAGUGCUGGAUAUCUGGGAUAGAUUGGUGGUGCGUUACUAAGAGCCACUGUGCUUGUGCAGACCAGCAGUUUUGUUUGUGUAAUCAGGAUGCAAGUUUUAACCAGUUUGGAUGACAAUGAUAAGCACCAAUUGCUUGUGGACUGAUGGGCAGAAGGUGAAAGAUACAGCGACUAGUGCAAUUAUGCAUAUGACAUGGUAACUAAAUUCGCAGACAAAUACUACUCUCUAUUGUGGACCGGCAAAGUGUGCUUCUGAAUUUUGAUUAUGUCCGGAAAAAGUGUUGUCAGUGGUCAUAAAAACAGAGUUAGCAAAUUUCUACAUGAGAAGAUGGUUAAAGUUACCUCGAAUAUUUCCUUUAGUUUUUCAUCAACCAUUUCAUAAUCCUCUGAUGUGUCCUGGUGCAUAAUAGCCACAUCAUGUGACCUGUCAAAGCACAAGACUUAUGCAAUACAGAUGAAAGAAUAAUUCCAUGAACGAGUGCAUAGAAAUGGCUUGUAGUCUAAUAAUCAAAUGGUCUACCGUGAACUCUCUUCCUUUCCAGUUUCCACCCAAAAAAAAAAAAAAAAAGAAAAAUAUAUUGAUUCUCCUACUACAUUCCUUCAAUUCAUAACCCCACCUCUGCAUCAAUUUCGAUUGCUUCAAAUAAUUAUGACAUCAUAGGGAAAAAAAAUUUGAUCCUGCUCAACGUCAAAGUUUAAGCGUAGUUUCUUUCCUGAACUGUACGGGUAAAUUUACAAAACCAUUAAUGUCAUACCAACUCCAAGUGUCUGGUUUUCUGCUUAAUUGACAUGAAGGAAGGAAUGCAUCUCAGUUCUGGAAUUGCUACCGAACUUAUAUAAUAUCACAAAAUAUUGACUUCCAUUUACCUCAACAAGUAUGGGAUGGUGAGCUUGAUUGGGAGGUUAUCUCCAAAUAAAGCUGCUUCUUGCGCCAUCUUCAGUAGGACUUUUCUAACAAUCUCUCCUAAAUACAUCCCUGAAAUAAGCUUUUCAAAUAUCUGAGACAAAACAAAACAGGAUUCAGGAAGGGAUUCGUAUGACUUAGAAUGCGAAUUCAGACACCUGAUAUCCAAGUUCCCUACCCCGCUACCAGGAUUUGUGCUUUCAGAAUCUAAGGAAGCAUCAAACUCUGUCAUUGGAAGGUGAAUGGAACUAAAAUUUCCCCAAUUCACACUAAUAGCCUGCAGAGUUAUAAUAAGCACGUCAACAACUUAAAUGAUAUGAUGCCUAUAUAAUCUGAAUAUGUGCUUAUACAACAUAUGACAGCACAACCAUUUCUCCGGAGUUGGAUAAUUGGCCCUGCAACUUUUGAACUUCUUGUACUGAUUCUAUAUAAGCAGCAUUAACGGCCAUCCCUAAACUAAGUGCAGCGACACUUUCUCUACUGUAGUACCUUGCCCCAGCCAAACAGCCAAUGACUUCAUCCACCUGGGAAAUCGCCAAGCUAUUUGAGUCAAUUCCUAGCUUGGAGACGCUACACUCUCCUCAAACUUGGGGUUUACUUGCACAAAAAUUACAGAAUCCCAGUUACAACUAACCACCAAAUUGAGGAUCUUACCAUAGCAGAAACUUGCAUUUCCACACCAUGCUUCAGCAAAGCCACAUUAAUUUCAGUCAUCAUCUGUGUCCUGACCUGAUGAAUUUGUUCUGAACAAGAUUACUACACAAUGGAGUCUGAGGAAUCUACAAAAAUUCAUGAAAUCCUUUCAUGGGAAUCAAAUUGUGGCAAUCCUCACACUCCUCUGCAAAUCAUGUAUAAAUAAGUGAAAUCAUGGAAGCCAUUUCAGUGGAACCUCAAUAAUUAGAUUAAGGAUCUAGAUCCUCUUAUCACUCGCAGACUCUGAAAGGUAAGCUCUUACAUCAAUGUGUCAUUUUCACUGUAAAUUUUGAAUACUACACAGUAGUUUCUUUUUUGGCGAGCCAUAAUUUCUAAAUUAGUUCUAUUGCGAUAAAGCAGGUUUUCUAGGAAGGGUAAAUUUACAAGAUUUUCACGGCGACUUUCACUAAUAGUUCCCAACAUAUGCAACAUGUUAACCGGGAAAGCUUCAAAUCAAGGAGCAGACUUAACUGUGUCAUCUGUUAACCUCCUCCAAUCGAUGCCUCUGCACGAGGAGGCUGCGGCUUGGUCAACCGGAGGCGAUAUUGUAAAUCCUAGUUUAAGCUUCUCUAGUUUUGUCUUUCCUGUAAGGUCUUCAUGAAGAGAAACAAAUUUUGAAAGCUCCAAGGCAAUUAGAUCAAAUAAUUCCUGCAUGAACAAGUGGACUUGAGUAGAGAUUAGCUGAUGAAAAACAUUCGACAAAACCUUGCCUGAUGCCUUUAUGGAAGAUUCAUUCUAUUAAGUUGAAAUAUUAUCCCUUAAAUAUUUCUUCCACACAAUUAAACAAUGGAAAGCGAAUGACUUUUGACUUUUGUACUACUCCUCCCUCAAGCAAUGUUCGAGAAAAUCAACAAGCAUAGGCCUUUUGAGUUGUUUAAUUUGAAAGUGAAGACGACAGGCAUUUGGGUAAGACGGUAUUUAUUUAUUGCUACUAAUCACUGCCACCAUUUUCUUUUUCACUUUAUGUUCUAGAGUUGCCAUGUCCACAACCUGAGGUUUAAGCACUUACAUAAUUGAGAAAUGAAAACUACUGCUAGUACUUGCCUUGGAAUCGGCAGAAAUUACACGGAAAGGAAUUUGAACCUCCUCCCUCUGGAAUUCAGAUAAAAUUUCAUUCUUCCCUCCAAGCUGCGCUCUUAGAAUCAAGAAAUUAUCACCGCGAAGGUUUAUUCCAUAGUAUACCCCUUUCUCAUCACUGCCACAAUAUACGUGUAUAUAUAUAUGUAUGUAAUUUACACAAUGGUGUGAUUAUUUACUAUAGCGUCUAAAAUCAAAAUUUUGGAAACAGAGGAGAUUGAUCAUUUGGAGCAGUGUAAAUUACCCAGUGGGAAGUGAACCGGAGUAGAAAGGAAACAUGCCAAGUUUGGAUUGUUCAGAAAUAAGGCCGGUUUGCAUGUCAACCGCCAAGUCAUUAGCCACAAGCCAAAGUUCGGUGACUGGAGUAGCACUCUCCCUCGCAAACUUUCGCAAAAUGCGCUUUGCAUGCCUCCAACUUCGCUCGUUUUGGCGCUUCCAGUGCCUCACUAACACCAUCGCAGCAACAGCAGCAGCUGCAGUUGUUACAGUUACUGCCGCCGCCACCACCUCCUUCCUCAUCUUUUCUAUUCCGGAAUUGUGAAAUGUUUGGCGCGAGUCUCUAGUGGGAAAACUUGCUGUGGAUUGGAUGUCAGAAAGUGGUACCAGAAUAGCAGCGCUUAGGGAUUGUGACGUUUGCUCCGAGUCUUCAACGGAAAAACUUGAGUGGUUGGAAAGUACUACUGCUACCAGAAUAGCAACGUUUGCGCAGGGAUUGAGCGAGUAUGACGGCUUGAGAUCACAUAUGCUAUUCUGGUGAGAUCACCAAAGCUGGCGUUCAACUGAUGGAGCACGUCUUGGGAAAUGACGCAUCAUAUUAUUGAAAAUCUUCUAGAAUAUAUAUCAACUGGUGAAUAGAACAUACUACUGAAUUAUAGCACAACUAAAUUGAAUUAUAGCACUGAAUUAAAUAUUGCACAAAUAUUAUAUACUCCCCCCCCCCCCCUCUCCCUAAAAAAAAAUUGUCCUCAUUUGUAUAUUUGGAAAAAAAGAAAAUUCAUGAGUGUGAGAAAAAAUAAUUGAACAAUUAAGAGAUAGUACUUAAUAUGUCUAUCUGUGCUGAGAACAAAUAUAUACUUUGUGGGAGAGCAUAUGUGUACAAGAGUGUACCAUAUGUGUAAGGGGUGUGAUAUGUACAAGCAAUUCACAAAAUUCAAUAAAAAAUUUUCACUUGAAAUCUUAUCUGCAAAUUAAGAAGUGCUUAAUAUAUUAAGUGCAAAGGAGAUGCCUGCAUUUCAAUGGCAUUCAAGGAUGUCUCUAAUACUACUUUCUCAAAAGGAUUCACUACUGUUACCCACAAUUCUAUACACUACUUGCCGUGUAGAAUCCAAGAGUCCAAGACCAGUUCUUUUCUUUUUAUAUAUAUAUAUUUUAAGUUCAAGUUGAGAGAUUCACAUAACAGAGGUUGCUUACAAAAAUGAUAGCAACAUCCAAAGUUGCAAUCUCAAAUCUCAGUUCAUCAGAGAAAACAUUCGUCAGCAACAUACACAUCUCAAUGUCUAACUUCAUGUACCGACAACCACCAGAGGGUCUAGAUGAUGAAACAAUUCACCCCCCCCCCCAUGUUUUGUUAACACAAGAUGCAUAGUGAACGGGGGAAAUAGAACACUGUCGUUCAGAUGAAUUAACCAUUUUGUCCAUUCAGCUCCCAGAAGAACGACACUUUCCCCUCACACUAAAUUACGUAUGAGCAGAAAACAAACAAUAAGGCUACAAUAGACUAUCUUGAAUAACUACCUGCAUCUACAAAUAAUCAGAGAUCCUUGCCACGAGCAAUCCAUCUUCACCAACUGGGAAGUCAAAUUUCACGACCAGGAGAGAGGACUUGUCAAUGUUACUAAAUCCCCUAUGCUGGUCACAAACUCAGUCCUCCCGAGUCCAGAUUUUGACUGUCUUGUCCUCUCCGAGAGCACCAGAUGCUAUCAUGUUUUCGGUUGGGUGACAUGAUACAGAUACGACAGUAUCAGUAUGACCUUCCAGUUUUUGAACAAUCUUCCUUGACUGAAGCUCCCAUAAGUAGAUAGAAUUAUCCUCUGAACCGCUUACAAUGUACUUGCCAUUUGUCACCGAAAAUGUAGCAGAGAUGCAAUACUUUGAAUUGACAUGGCCUGUGUAGGUUUUCAGAUAUUUUCCAGUUGAGAAGUUCCAAAGCCGCUGCAACCACACCAAAAUGUUUUACAUACAUGCAAAAUAAUCCCCAAAAUUCAAAACAUCUGCGUAGUAUGAUAACAGUUCAGCAUUUCUUGAACCCAAGCCCCAAAAACUACACCGUUGCACUUAUGUCAGUAUGAAACAGUGGGAACGGGACUCCGCAAAUUACCAGAAACAGCAUAUAGUGUGGCACCAUGCAUUAAAUGGAACUAUACCAUUCUAAUAAAUCUCGGAAAGAAAUUUAUUCCCUGGCAGAAAGUACCCAGAGGUGUUCAAGCCUGUGCCCCCUAGAUGAUAAUAUAUGAUCAAAUGCAGAAAGGCAGUGCACAAAGCUUGCGAUAAAAGAUCAUCAUAUUUGACAACCACAAAAAUCCAACACUCGCGAAAAUGCAACAUUCACCAUGAUGCAGUCUCAUAUCCACAGUCUGAAUUAUGUGUUGUACACACCAAGUGACAUUUUGGAUUGUUGUAACCAUGCUGACUCUAAAGAGCAGCCAAGGAUAGUAGCCAGCAGAAGGAAAUCAGAAAAGCAGUAUUAGCACAAAGUGAAUGAGAUUGAAUAUGCUAAAAAGUACUAGCACAAAAUGUCUGUGUCUCUACCUCAUAAUCUAUCAAUUAUGAUUGAUCAUAAGAUAAGCACCUCUUAUUUCCUUUGCACUCGUUUUAGUACAUUCAAACAUGUCAAAAAUCAGCCUGCUGCACCACGCGUAAUCAAGAAGUGGGCAUUGGAUUAUAUUUAGUAUGUGCCACAAUAUUUAGGUUCAGUAUAUUUUUGACGCUUUUUUUGGCGUCAUGCAUGCCUUGAACUGAAGACUUUAGAAACUCAGCCCAAGACAUAUAAUCACAAGGCUUGAAUUUGCUUGUACCACCGUCACUUAUCCAAACUAAGGCAAUGUUUGGUAUUCUACUCCAAGAAGAUUGCAUUGCAAUCUCCCCUGCAUUUUACAUGAAGGAUUUCAUCAAAACACAGACUAGGUCUCUGCUCAGGUUAACAACAGAGCACAAUCAGUUUUAUUACCAUGCUACUACAUUUACAAAUGGCCAGCAUUACAAAUUUUCUCGCUUUACGACUACUAGAAUGAACUUGAAGCCCGUGAUGAACUUCUCAAAUACCUCUUAUAACAACAAGUUCAUCCAUAACAAGUCCGAAGAAAUUAACAAACGCAAUAACAACCAAUUGAAGAACUGAUGCACCAAAAAAAUCGUCACAACAGACUAUUAUGCUCAGAAACUUUAAAAUCCAAUCUUGCACUUAAAAGACACCAGCAAUGCAACAUAAGAAAAGAGAGGAAAAAGAAGGAAGGGCAAAAAAAAUAAAAAAGAAACACAGAGCACUUACAAAGGUAUUGUCCAAAGUUCCAACGAGGAUAAACUUUCCAUUGGGCGAAAAUCUCACAAAGCUCACAGGUGGAUUCUCAUCAUCAAUCAGAGUCUUCAUACAAUGCCCAGUUGAAGCAUCCCAAAUCCUACACAAUCCAUCAUAACUACUAGAUACAAUCAGCGUCCCAUCCCUGUUAAAAUGAACCGCCGUCACAGGGUCUGAAUGCGCCGGCAAAACCUUCAAGCACUUCCCCGACUUAACAUCCCAUGCCCGAACAGUUUCGUCGAACGACCCGGAAACAAGCAUGUUGGACUGAGGAUUAAAGUUGACGCAAAAGACGUAAUUGGUAUGGCCAGAGAGGGUUUUGACUAGGCUUCCGGUGGCAACGUCCCAGAGGCGGACGGUUUUGUCGUCAGAGGCGGUGGCGAGGUACCGGGCGUCGGAGGAAAAGGCGAGGUCGGAGAUUCCUUGGUCGUGACCUUGGUAUUCUUGGAGGAGGGAGCCGUCGGAAGGAGACCAGGUGCAGGCGGUUUUGUCGGCGGAGGCAGAGGCUAGGAGUCGGCCGUCAUCGGAGAAUUUGACGCUGGAGAUGGCUCUUUUGUGGCCACUUAGGUUAUGUUUUAGCUUGUAGGGCUUGAAGGCUUCUGCUGGUUCUGUUGCUGCUGAAGCCAUGCUCCCAAAAACUAAAUCUUCUUCUGCCCCUUGUUUUUAUGGGUGGUGCUGGGUGAAACUGGAGAAGGAUUUCUGGCCGGAGUUGGUGUUUAGAAGGGGUUUAAGGAAUGAGACUUGCCCGUAGUAUGGAUGUGGCAUUAAGUGAUUGAGUGAGGAAAUCUAAUGACCAGGAUUUGAGCUCCAAGCCUGAGACUCACCGGUAACUCGUGCGGCAAGCGGGAUUCCCGGAGGCUCGGCCAGCCUGAGACCACGCAAUGAGCCAAAAGCAAAAGCUAUGGAGAUUGCUUGCUGAGAAGUCUCGCAAUAUAAUGUUGUGUGAUCGACUUGAAUUUGUACUCGGACAAAACUUCUGGGAAUCUGAACCUUGGGGGAAUAGGGAUUGACCAAAAUUCAAUUUUAUUCUAGUAGUAAUAACUUUUAUUUUAUUUUAUGCUUUUUAGCACUCGGUAUCCUUGCCUUUAGUAAGAGGGAAGUGCCCGUGCAUCGUGCGGGUAUUCAAUAUCUGUGAUUAAAGAAAAUUUUUUAGUCGUUGAAGUGAAUAUUAUUUCCAUAUUAAUCAAGAAGUUAUUUUUGAUCAAGAACCUAUCAGUACAUAUCAUCCAUAUUGUUGCAAGGUGAGCAUGUGAAUAAAGAUAACAGUAGGAUAACAACGCAUAUUAAGUAAUAUUAAUAAAAUUAUUGUAGAUAAUAAUGCGUAUUAACCGAAUCCUACUUAAUAUGAGUAGAAGGAAAUACAUGGAUAAUGGAGUAGUUUAGAGGGCAUUAAACCUAAUCCUAGAAGCCGAAAAGGGAACAAACGGAAGAAUGUGAAAGAGGAAACAUCGGAACAACCAUAAUCGAUACUUAGACAUUAAAUCAUCAACAUACCUAUGUUUUUUGCUGUUUAAUUGAGAUGUAAAUAGUGGUAUAUUGUUGGUGUGGAAGCUGUUUCAAAGACAUGAUUCAGACAUAGAAACUCAUGCAUUGGUAUUAUUAUGAGUUAUUUCACAUAAUUGAAUGAAUAGUUGCAAGUCUCUUUAUUUUAAUUGCAAUAAGACACCAUUUCAGUAAAUUACACCAAUACAUAUGCUUAUAUAAGUUGUACCCAAUGCACUAACGAUUGCAAAAUAAUCUCUCAGUUCAAAAAUAUCCAGAUGUCCUUAUACUAUAUAAGAAUGAGUUUUAGUCAAAUUUGUCAAAUGCUACUGUAUGAUAACAUCUAACAAUCAUUUCAUUUGGUGCAACAGCUAAUAAAUUAAGUAGGCAAAGAUUUUACAAAUUAUUAGAAAUUGAAGUUAUUAACUUAUACAAAUUAAGAUACAUUUUUAUCUACUUUGGGAGCUUUGUUUUUGGUAAAAUUGUAAUAAAGUAUUUACAAGGAUCUUCAAAAUAUAAGAAUAUAUUUGUCCGUAUAAUUUUUUGGUAGUACUAAAUUUGAUAUAGUUUCAGACAAUUGGUGAUAAAACAACUCCAACUUCAAUCGAAUUUUGGAACUAUUUAUCUGGCAUAAUUUGUGGUGUAAUACUAAUAAAGUAUGUAUCUAAAUUUAGGUUGAAUUCUAAUGCUUUGUGAAGAAAGUCAGGAAUGAAAGCUUUAAUGAAUUCUAUUCAACCACUGUGGACUACUCAAUUACCAUAAGUUUAGCAAAAUAUAAGAGAAAAUAAACAUAUUAUCAAACAUAAGUUUAAGACAAGUCAUAAGUUUCAUAACAGAAGAUCAAACUACCAAAAUCAGUUAUCAUAUGAUCACAUAGAUGAUUCAACUUUAUCACCAUAACAAAUCGGCAGUACAAAGGUCAAACUACCCACCAAAUGAAUCAAGUAUUCCCAAAAAUCAGACAAUCAUAUAUAUAACCAAAUACAUAAAUGUACGAGCUCUGUCACCAAACUAAAUUAGUAUCACUAAGUAUACACUCACACCAAAAUCAAUUUCAGAACUAACUACAUGUAUAUCAAAAGAAUUUAAAAGAUUCAGCAGAAAGGAUAAAAUUUGGAUUACCUUAUUCCAAAUAUUCCCUACAAAACUUUUCCUCACACACAUGAGGCUGACAUUGUUAAUUCAUUAGUAUGACCUAAUUAAAUAUAUUAACAUGUGCAUAGAAAGCAGUUAUACAUAUAUCACAAGUUAUUUACAAAUUAUGACAAAUUUCAAUGUAAAAAAUACCGCUUCAACAUACAUUGGCUUGGAGAUUCUGAUUAGGAGAUGUAAGUAUGUAACACUCUUCCUAUGAAUCCUGUUUCUACCACAAAUACAAGCAACGCAAAAAAAUACAAUUCAAAAAAUUAAAAGUCAAUUGAUUGUUAUGAUUUGUCUUCAAAUGGAUGAAAAAUGGUUGCAAACAAUAAUACCUUUAUUGAGCAAACCCAAAAACUGAGAAAAGAGGAUGAACAGAUGUCUAACACUUGAUACUUUAAAUUUUUCAAUAAUUAGCAUUAAUUUUUUCUUAACCAUCCUGGUCUUAGAAUGGUUGGAAACGUUAAAGAUCUUAAGCCAAAUACAUGAAGUUGAAGCAGCAGAAUUUGAAUAGUAACGCCUAUCUAGCCAAUUUCUGCCAAUUAUCCCUAAUGAUUGUGUCUAAUAAAUCAUUUGCAAUAAACCCAUGCAAUGAAUGGAAUUUAGCCAGUCGAGAAGUCUAAUAAGUUACAUCAAACCAUCAUGUUCUCCAACCUUUAAUUUGCAACUCACCACCUUUAUGUAAUUACACCAAGACAAAAGUUAUUAUGAGUUGUACCAACUGUUAAAAAGAGCAAUACAACAAACUCGCAUUUCCAAAAUACCCUUCCCUCAUUAAUUCCUUUCACUAAUUACCUACUAAAUCACAUUCUCCCCAAUUUAAUUAGAGACUAAGGACGUUUAGCUAAUUAUAGCCACACAAAGGCUAUUAUCACUUGUACCCACCGAUAAAAAAUAACCAAAAUAAUCAUACAUUCCCAAAAUACCCAUAAAAAGACACAACCCCAUUUUUGGAAAUGUAUGACAAAAGAAUUCACCAUAAAUUGUACUCUACUUACAAUACAAACUUUAAAUGUACAACAUGAGGGCAUCUCUGUAAACAUAUCCAAACACGUGCUGCCAUGAAUUGUACAAAAAACUUUAAAAAAGCAACACAUUAUUUCACAUUUUCAAAAUACCCCUACCCAUGCGGUUAAAAUUUAAAACUCUUUUUGACCAAAACUCAGUCUUAUAUAGUAUAAGAAAACUGAAUUUGACUCGGAGAAUGCCGUAAAGUUCGGCUCUUACUCGAAAGUGGAGGUUAGGUUCAGAACUUUUCAAAGUGAGUUGAACUUGUGACCUUAGCAACCUACCAUUAGCAUUAGCAACCCGUCAUUGGCAUCAGCAACCUGCUUAUCAGCUAUUUCAAUAACCUGCUUACCAAUUGUCCCAAACUCAUGGUAGUAAUAAUAACUGUCAUAAUUAUUAUGAAGAGCUCGCAUGGCUCAACGAUCUUUUAUAUAUUUUUUCAAUAGUAAUUGUAGGUACUAUUUUAUGUAACGUAGGUUUAGCGGUUCUAGAACUAUCAAUGGUUGGUGAACCGGCAGAUUCAUUCGCAACUCCCUUGGAAUUAUUACCAGAAUGGUAUUUCUUUUUCGUAUUUCAAAUACUUAGUACAGUACCAAAUAAAUUGUUGAGUACUCUUUUAAUGGUUCCAAUACCUGCGGAUUAUUAACAGUAUAUUUUUUAGAGAAUGUUAAUAAAUUUCAAAAUCCAUUUGGUUGUCCAGUAGUGACAACUGUCUUUUUUAUUGGCACUGUAGUCACCCUUCGAUUAGGUAUUGGCAUAACAUUACAUAUUCUGAUUCUUUCUUUUUCUCUUGAUUUUUUUUUAUCGAGAUAUAUAGAUUUUGUUCAUAGAUUAACGAAAAUGUGCAAAAGCUCUAUUUGUCUCUGUCGUUUUUUGAGUCUCUUUCUUUUUGUGUAUGGCAUCGCCACUCCCUUUGGCAGCAUCCACUAAUAUGAAACUUAAUUUGAAAGCCAUAUUUCGACUUGAAUGUUUUCGAGAUGCCGCUAAUAACCAAUGAAUGGCAAGUGCUUUUCUAGUGAAAGUAAUACUUGAAAUGGCAAUCCAUAAAAAAAAACACCAAUAGUAAGGCUAACUAGAACAAGUCAAUAACAACAAGGAAUUGCUAGAUAAUUUAGUAAAGUUGAUAUGACUGCAAUGGAUGGUCCAAUAUUGAAGAAACGAGCAUCCCUAGAUGGAAGAAGAUUUUUUAUUCAAGUAGUUUUGUACCAUCCACUAGAACUUGAAGACAAAAUAACCCAUGAGAAGGGCUGAUUUGCGGAUGAGGAAUUAGUGUAUCAACUCGCGUUCAUCCUUUCUGGCUUGGAGUCCAAGAGAAACUAAGCAGUAAGCAUUGAUAGUUCACAUAACUUGAAUACUUUUCAAUAAAAAUAGGAAAAGGAAACUAAAAGAAUAAAUAAAAACGAAGGGUGAAAUGAAACAAAAAGAACUCUAGUCAAUUUUGUAGUCUAUUUAUUCCUAUAAAAAAUGUAAUCAAUUCUUUCUUAGGUCGCGAACAGUGAUUCAAUUGAUAAUGAAGAUAGAGAAUUCUUGAUUCAAUUCUCUACCUUAAUGACAGAAUAAACCUCCCUAUCUUGAAAAUGAGAAAAAGAAAGGUAAACCUUUUACCUUGUAUUUAUUCAUUUGUCAACAAAAUUUUUAUUUUUUUGUCAAUAAAAAGUACUAGGAUUUUUGGAAUAAUUCAGUAACCAAAAAAUUCUUAUUUUUAAAACUAAAAGAAUGAAUUUAAUUCCAUCUCAUAUUGAUUACAUCAACUCAAGAGAUGAUGAAAAUUUUCUAUUUCAUAGAAAAUUGAAAAUGGAUCGAUUUUUGAGUGUAUUCCGAUUAUUCCAAACUUUUAUUACUUAUUUAUUUGUUUGUUGAACAAAAAAAACUUUUUGAAUUCCCAGUAGAAAGAGAUUUUCUUAAGGAAAAAACUUUUAAAACUGUCCAAUAUCUUUGUUUUUCAAAUAUUUUACGAAUACGUUUUUUUGAUGAAAAAUACACUUCUUUAAUGAAGAAUUUUUUUGGAAUUGCCAUUUAAAGGGAAUUACUUAUUGUUCUAACUAGAUGUGAAAGACAUCUAUUGUUCAAAAUCAAUCAUUUAGACUAUUUAUUAUCGAAAUAAUAAUAAUAAUAAUAUCUUUCUAGUUGGUUUGGAAGAAUUAGGAGACUCUUUAGAAGAAAUAUGGUUCUCCUUCUGGCGGCGACAUAGUUGGUACCGCUGAUGGGUCAAAUCAAUAUCUUCACCACUUUAGAAUGUGAGAAAAUAUUGUGAUAAAACCUUUAUUGAUAUGUUGCGAUAAAAGAAAACAGAUUAAUCCAAAUAAUCAAAACAUGAAAAACGAGUGAUUCAGUAAAUGUUUUUGGAUAGGAGAUUAUUUAAAAUAUUAUCAGAAUAAUUAUUGUAGGACUUUUUACGAGAUAUAUAUGAAAUAAAAUAGUGAAUAGAAAGAUAAAGAUUGUAUUAAAAAAUGUGUUUGUGAUGCAAAUAAAUAUUUUUUUAAAAAUGAUUUCUGUCUAAACACAAACACUAGCAUUCCCGUUCAUGUUACUGAUUCAAUAGCAAAAUAAGUAGUAGUAAUAGUUUGUUGUGAUGAUUUGUAACUAAUGCUAAUAAUGACGCCUUCAGGCGCACAAUCAAAUGCAUUGUACAUAUGAAAUCUGUAAGGGAAGUAGCCCAUAAAAAUUGAAGCUGCAACUCGAGUGGCAAAAUAUUCUUCGAGCUUUGCAACAAUGUUUGUCAAAAAUUCUACGCUAGAAGAAACCAGCCUCUAGAUUUCUCCGUUUUCUGAUGGAAGUUUGAAGGAGUGCCUUUACCGCUGCUCCAUUACAGAUAAUUCAGGGGCUGCUGCUACUACUACCCUCUGCCACAUAUAUGUACAAUUAAAUCCCAUUCAAAAUCACGAGCCUACGUAGUUCAGGAAACAUUCUGAAACAGAGAGAAGGUAAAAGAAUGAUAUGAAUCGCAGGGGACAAGAAAAGGGACAGAAUAAGGACUCGGCUGUUUGCCCUUGGCUACAAUCAUCUCUCGAUGGUCCUAACUCCUAGUAUAGUCAAAAUUAUGUACAAUCCUCGGGCGCAAAGACAUGAAGAGGAGGCUAAGAGAUUAGGCAGUCGGCAUAAAGUUUUUUGAACUUUGGAGAGAUAAGAAUCAACAGUCAGGGACUAAAUGAACUUUUUCUCGAAGUAACAAAAGAAGGUAGCUGUGAUGUCUCUGGUGGAUUAGAGGAAUUGGCUUUUGCAGAAACAAGUUGAGGACCGGCAGGAAUAUUCUCAAAUGGCCUAUUUCUAAACACAUUAUACAUGUCGCUAGCACAAGUCAUAUUGGUUCUUCCCUGGGUGUCCUGACUAGUAUGCAUUCCCACUCCCAGAGUUGCUUGAUUUUGUUGACUGAUAGAGUUUGUCCAUAUAUCCUGCGAAAGAUUCAAUAGCAACUACAUGCAGUUACAAAAAUAAGAAAGGAAUGGUAUUAAAAAAAAAACGCAAACUAUCUAAAGGACAUAACUUGUGUCAUUUCAGGUUGGUGAUUAAUUGAUAGAUACCUGCUCCUGCUCCUGCCUACUAUUGCUGUAAGGCGAGACCAUGGUUCUCAUCUGUGGGAAUGAGUUACGCAAAUAAAGAGGAGAUCUAUCAGGGGUGCAGUACUGUGAGUUAGGCCCAUUUCCAAACCAGUGCUGACUACUAAUCCUCAUGUAUGCUGCCGGUGAGUGAUUGAGAGACAUGUAAUAAUAUGAACUAUGAUGCUCCUCUCCGCAAUAUGUACCAGGCGCUGUCCAGUUGUCCUUGGAAAGUGACCUGACACUCAAGUUUUGGUGUUGUGGAAAACCACAGGGUGCUCUAGUGUGCAACUUAUUAUUCGUGGAACAAGAUGAAGGUGAGUAUCUUCCACAUCCCAUAUCUAAUGAAGGCUGAUAGUAUCUUACUCCAACUUGAGGCGUUGGCAUAUAGUCUUCAAUUGUAAUCCCUUGUUUCUCGGUAAGCUCCAAUAACUGCUUCUCAUCAAGUCCCAAACUCAGCAGCAGAUUCCACAUAUUCCUCUGUGCUUCCCUCUGGCUGCAAAUAAUUUGAUCUCUCAUAGCCAUUUCAAACUGGAGCUCAGUGUUUGCAAUUCCCUUUACAUAUCACAAUUCAAGGAUUGUUAGGUGCAGCAAACAAGUUCCCAGGCCCAGAAAAAGCCCUAACAAUCAUUGGCUAUCCAGCAUUCAAAAUUCCCAACCAACUUGUGCCAACCAAUAAGCGAAGUUGGAGAAAUACAAAAAGGGCAAACCCAUUAAGCAUGCUUGAAGAAAGGUACCAGCUCGACAAAUACUCAAAUAACAGAAGCUACUAAGUCUAAUUUAUGAAGAAGGAAAAUGUUUCUAACAUUUUAUGUUGUGAUACAGAAGCUAAAUGAUGCAUGUAUGAUGUAAUACCAGGAGUCUGUAUUGACUCAGAACUCGCAAAUAGGUUUUGUUGCCAUUGUUGCUGAUUGCAUCUUCAAUCAUUUCUUGUAGCUGAUGCCUGCGCUUCUCAUUUGCUUCAAUUUCCUGCAGGAUAAAGACUUGUUAAAAUAAGAAAGCCACAAUAGAAGGAACCAAUUUACAAAAACAGCUAUGUAUGGUCACCAUCUGGUAAUGGACACCAAGUUCAUCAUUGUCACGGAUAUUGUCAAGAAUCACUUGCCGCCUCUGUCUCAAAGCCUGCACAACUGCUCCAUCUUUUUCAAUUUCCUGUGAUGCAAAUAGGAACUCAUUUGGACAUGAUUUUCUGGCAUAUAUGUCUAAUAUCAACAGUUAAUCUGGACUUCAGAUGCCUUUGUAUCCGCAGGAGGUUUGGAAUUCAUCCUCCCAGAAUGACAGAAGAGGGGAUUUUCGUUGACAAGGUUCACCUACUUGUUUUGGAAAAUGUUUUUGAGUGUAAAAUAAACUCUCACUUUUUUCUACCUGCUGUUUUGCAAUAGCGUCAUCAAGUUGUUGGAGUUCAGUGCGGUUAUGAAGGUUAGUUUCCUCCAGUUCAAAUAGAGCCUUCUGCAAGUUUAUCCUUUCCUGAACAUUUUCACUGGUUUCUUGGCUCAACCCAUCCAACCAUGACAUUUCAUCAUCCACAGAUUUCUCAGCAGGCUUAGCACUCAGUUGAGAUUCUUUUUCUGAUAACUCCUUUCUCAACUGGCUCACUUCAUUCUGCAGAUAUUUCAUUGUACAUGGAAGUGUUAAUACCUGACAUAAUACUUUCAUGUUGGUAUAUCAAGCAGGUUACCUGUAGAGUGUCGAUCAUCCUUUGGUAGUCUGACACGUGUGUAUUUAUGGUGCCGAUAUUUUUCUGACAUGGGUAUGGACAGAUUAUCAAAUCUAUGACCAUGGUUAGAAAUUGCAUCAAUUGAUUAAGCAUUCAGGAUACCAUUAGACAAGGAAUGAGGAAAGAGCACAAUAAACAUGAUGAAACCUUCAAGAAAUUAAAGCAUUGUCAUAGCAUGUUUUGGAGAAAGAAAGAUACCAUGCAAUUAUGGUAUUCAAAAAGAUAUAGGACAACAUGAGGACCCAAAACCGCAACUUGCUUUCUGGAACACAACAUACAAUCUCUGAAUGUAAUUUUAUUUCCUUGGAAUCACUUUUAUGAAAAAGAUUCAAUUUGCAUGCCUGAUAAGGGCUUCUUAUGCGGUUUGGAGAUACCACUAACAUUCAGCAAUAGUUCUUAAAGUGAAUCUUUUGUGAAAAAUCAUCAAAUUUAUUAGGGAAGUGACUCUUUGACAGCUCAGCAGCACACCCUUACAGGUUUUUCAUAUGAUUCUCCAAUCCUUAAGAUCACCAGCAAUAAAGCUUAGCACUCUGACCAUUUGAUGGAUCAUUGCCAAGAUAUUUGUGGUCAAUCAUCAGUAAGUUCAAAUAUGAAUCCAUAAUCAAAGGGUAUUCUAUUUAAGUUCACCAAAACAAGAAGAUAGAUUCUGUCAUCUCCUCAUGCCACAAGAAUUUCUUGAUGCAAUGAGAUUUAAAUACCCCAUCUUAAUUUUCCUCAAAACAAAUGUGAACAUAUAUACGAGUCUCACCUGGAUGUGUGUCCGGAUUUCUUUUGCUCGGUCAGCAUACUUUAACGUAUUAACUGUGUGGUGAUACUGACUAUCGGCUGGUGAUACUGUAGCAAUCAUUAUUGUUUGGGAAUUACCGCUCAGACCAUCUUUAAGAAUCCGUGUCAAUUUGCUGGAAAGGAUUUACUGUUAGAUAUAAGAACAAGAGAAACCAUAGAACCAUGAGUCCAUGACAACUGAAAGCAUACCUGUUUCUAUAAGGAACAUAAGCUAGACCCUUUUUCUGUUGCUUGCCAAGGGCAUUUAUGCAGUUUGCUAGUGCAAGAAGAGAUCGAUUAAUAUUGGCACCAUCUCUCAACUUUUUGCCUCCACUAUUUGUUUCAGAUGCUCGUUCACUGCAUAAAAAAGUUUGCAAUGAUAAGUAAUUAACACCUUUGAGUAGAGCAGGAUACCUAAAGUGCAAACAAACAGAAGGAACCAAACCUGCCAGCAAGAUCGACAAGGGAAAGUUUUCCCCUAAUGACCUGAUUGGGAUACUUCUUACUCUGUUUCCUUGUCACAUUUAUCCCCAAAACUGCAUGUGAUCUGGCCAUUGAAAGCUAAAAUUAGUUCGACAGAAAACUCAGAUGAAACAUAUUCUACUCAAAUAAGUGAAAUAACAGGUGACACAAGACUCUCCACUACAUAAUUGAGAUUUUAUGCUUCACUAUACCAGACAAUGCCCGGUUCACAUACUAGUGGAAGUGUUAAUUUCCCAGAAUUACUUAAACUAGAGAAAUGUUUAUUUUAAAAAAUGUUGGUAUAUAGUUAAAGGAAUAACAAAAAUUAGAGGAAAAUUAAUGGGCUUAAAUGGAAUCUUUGUUCUCAAUUACUGCUGAUAAAACCUUUGCGAUAAUCACCCAAAACGAAGAAUAGCUGGACCCAAGUUUCUCAGUAGAAACGGAGAGAGAAAUUUGGCACUCAGAAAUCUGGACGCUACAGGGUUUAAGAAGAGUCAACCAAUUCAGCCAUAAUCCCAGAAUUAAAGAGCGUUCUUCAUGCUUGAAACCCCUAAAAACCCCAUCAAAGUGAAGCUUUCUUAUGGCCAUAAAAGGCCUGGGCUAAAGUACAGUUAACCAUAUAUCUAUUACUCAGAAAAUACAAAAGUCUUGGUUCCAGUCAAGAACACCAUAACAUGCCACCAGUUAACAGACUGCAGCAACUUAAUUCAACUAGAUGCACAAGAAGAAUAUAUUGCUAACCUGGAUGAAGUUUCAUUAGCUUCAGUGCUUUCAGUUUUUCUUCUACUGUUCCCCAAAUUCAAAAGUUCUAGAAUCUUAUCAGCUGAGUUUACCUGGAAAUGACAAAGAAGAAACUUAGGAAAUUACACACACACACACAGAAAUUACAAGGUUGUUAAGGCCUGUGAGUUGUCCUAUUGUACAAAGUAGAUGAAUCCAAUAUUUAUAUGUGCAAAAGACUAACAGAAACCACAUAACAUCAGAUUCAAUAGCAAAAGGAUGGUUACUCCUCAAGACUUGCGGUAGUUCUAGUCAAUGUAAUUAUAAGGCCAUGAUCCCCAGACAUACCAAGACAUAUCAAGAACUAUAGGGAAUUCUACUAGCUAGGUUUGCAAAAUUCAAAAAGGAAAUGUAAAAUCAGUAGCAUGUUAACGUGUGAGGUAUCAAACUGAAACAUUUAUUGGGCCUACUGUCUUAAGAGUCCAAAUCGAGCAAAGAAUUGGAAAAACAAGAAAAAGUAUAAGCAUAAGAACAGAGCAGAACAUGAAGCUGCAUCCUAAAUUGAAAACUCUGACUUUAAGGAUAAAAGCGUACAGCUGCUCGUGAAUAUUUCUGCUCUUGACAAUCCACAAGUACACGGAUAAGGCGAGUACUAAGACUAUUUUAUUAUGUCCUUAGCUCUAGCUGAAUGUUAUACUUGGCGUGAGUGACAACCCAUUACAAAAAUCAAAAUUGGAAACAACUGGCAUGGUUGACUAAGCCAAAUUAAGAAAGUGGAAGUCAUAAGAGCUAAUGAGUAACUGAAGUGAAAUAGAGUGCUGAUACCCUUUGUCCAAUAGACCAGCUUAAUGAUACAGUUUUAUACUUUGAACAUACACUUCUUAUAGACAUACAUGAGCGUAUCUCACACAUGCAUAAAUGCAUAGUUUAUACUCAACACUUAAAGCAGUAAAUAUAUCGAAUACUCUGAAAAAGAUCCUGACAGUCAUAAAUGCUGGCAUUUAGCAUGACACUAUGACCUGAGUUUUACCCCAGGAAAAAAUGAACCUUGAUGCAUCUAAGGCCAGCAACAAUUAUUCCUUGCUCUGGGUCUUCUCUGAGUUCCAGGUGACCUGAUGACCUUUCAAGCAAGUCAUAGAUAACCUGUACAUUUUAAUUGUCAGACAUGGACCAAUAUGAUUAAUCAUAAAAGUCAAAAUGAAGAUCUUUUCUUUUGUUCUUUACACAUGGGAACUCUACCUCAUUGUAAACUUCAAGAUAAGAACAAGUAACUUCAAAUUGAUCGCAGCUAUUAUCUUUCUUUAUAAGAUCAAAUAUUGUUUUAAGACUGAGAACCAUAAGUCCAGGGUCAUCUUGAGUCCCUACCAUUGUAUAUGUUUUACCGCUGGAAAGAAAAAACCAUAUUAGAUGAAGAAAAAAAUUCACAAGGUGCAUAUUAAUCACACAACCAAAAAGAAUAAAAUCUGAUAAGAUCCUCUUGUGAUGAUAUGAGAAGAUGUUGCCUACCAAUCAUUUGAUUGCAAAAUACAGGUGAACGAAGGGCAACAAUAUAUGUACCAUUACAUAAAGAACCAAAGGAGGGGAGGGAAGGAUGAGAAGCUGAGCGAAUUGAAGAGGACAAAGUUUAAGGUCUUAAACCUACUUUGCUCUGGAAAAGAUAAUGACAAUGUGGCAUCUCCAAAUAAAUAAUUAAUAUAUUAUUCCUUCAAAGGUAGGCUACAACUAAUUGCAAGACUCUUGCAUUACUAAAACUACUCUUUUGGUAUCAUGCAUUUUGUCACUGCCAUUUCUUCUGCCAGUUAUAAAAUGAGAGAGAGGCAGUGAUACUACUGCAGUUGGGGCGAAAAAUUUUUUGAUCCUUAUGAGGAAAAGUUUGAAAUGUUCACGAGGCCUCUGUCAGUGAUACAUAAGGCCUUGAGAUCAGAAUGUCUUAGGCUACCAGAAAAUGCACAGCAAGUUUUUAGUAUACCUAUACCUUACCAUGUGUUAACAUGCAUUUAAUUCCCCUCACGAAACUAACAAAUUUGAAACCAAAAGCAAAAGAGAAACAGGCAAGACAAAUAAAAUCAUGAGCUUAAGAAAGCUAUCAAUCUAUCUUGAUAUUUCUCAAAGUGCAAACGUGUCUGGUAAGCUCCACUCACUGGCUACUUGCAAUGCUUUUAUUAUGUACCUUCCUGUUGAACCAUAAGCAAAUACAGUUGCAUUCAGACCUUGAAUCACCCCUGCUAUUGUAGAAUGUAUGCUUCUUUGGUAUACGUCCUAAAAUAAUGCAAAGACUAUAUUAUGCAGAGGAAAAGAAAUUUAAAUAUUGCAUAUUUGAGCUUUCUAAUGCCUUUCAAAUUUUAUCAGAGGGCUAUGUUAUACCACAAAAUAAUUGAAAGCUACAUAGAAAUUAGAGAAGACAUACCAAAUUCGUUGAGAUAGGGCCGAAGACGUAAUCAAAAUUAUAUCUGCGUUCUUUAGUUCUAUUCUGUAUGCGAUCCAGAUAGUCCUUUGAUAGGUCAGGAUCCAAAACAAGUACUUCCUAAAAUUUCCAUAGUUUUCAUUACGGCGCAUUACUUAAAAUAAAAGUACAUGACAUAGACUGAAUUACUCAAACAAGAAGUUAAACUAGAAACUGAAAUUCCCUAACAUUCCACCAAACUAUAAUCUGAUUAAUUCCGCAAAAUCUGAGCAGAAAGUAAGCACAAAAUCAUAGAGCAGUAAAACGAAUAUACCUUAUCGUUAUGAACUCUAAUUAUAUUUCGGCCACGAUCUCUUUCUGUCAAUGGCCGACAUUUCACAGCUACCUAUAUUACACACAACCAUACAGAAAUUCAAUAAUUCAGCAGACUAAAAAUGGUGAACCGCAAUUCCGGUUAAAAAUGGCAAAGACCAAAGCAGAUAAAUAAGCAAACCGUGAGAGUCGUCGUCCUCUUGGCAGCUGGAGCUCUAAUGCUUGGCAUCUUUUGACACCAUUCAGCUAAGAAUAAUACUCCGCUUGAAACUCUCAGUAUCGACGAUUCUACACCAGGAGGGAAACCAACAAAAAAAAAAAAAAAAAGAGCCAAGUUCUACUGAAAAUUCGUGCUCUGUUGCGGUAGAGAUAAUCGAAAUAACGAGAAAUGAACAGUAGAUAUCUCUCUUCAAUCCGUCAGAAUAAGAUGUGUAAAAUCAAAGCCUAAAAAAAAAAUUUUCCGGUUCAACAUAUGCUUCAUGGUAGUGUAAUCAACAGCGAAAAUGAUUAUCUAAAAACUUGUAUCAGCUGAAAAUCUCCGGUUAUUUCAAUGAGCCUUAUUUAAAGACAAAACAAGGUUGUUUCUACAAGAAAACGACAGCGUAUUGAGGACCUUUGUGCAGAGUAAUUCGAAAUGGCAAAACGAGGCCGAGUGAAGGUGAUGAAUGUAAUAGAGAACACGGUUUAAAAAUUAAAAUUAAAGAGAAAGGAAGAGGAGUAUUAUUUAUUAUUAUUAUAACUCCUGCAAAGUGUUCGAGUAUUCAAAUCUUUCCAGCUUUUCAAUAUUUGUAGGAGUAAUUGUUCUUUCUUCCAUUUUUUUUGGGUAUCGGUAACGGCAGCGCAAAAUUUUCAUUUGCAUUGAAUGUAGCCGUAGAAAAAUUAUAAUACACUAAAAAUUAAAAGGCUACAUUUCGAUAUCAGGAUAAGAGGCGGGCGGGUAAUCCAAUUGCAAUUUUGUAAUUUACAAAUGGUAAGCUGAGUGCGGAGAAAGAAUGAAGACAGAAAUUUUGAGGGGAAGUUGGUGGUGGUGGUGGAGUCCCUUGUCCGCGUUGGUUUGUAUCAUUUAUGGUGUCGCCGUUGACGAUCCCUCCCCUUCUGGGGUUUCGGUUGCUUUUUGUGGUCGUGGCCAUUUGUUUUUGUUUUUUUAUUUGCUCUACUAAUCGGGAAACUUGGAUAAAAUCAAUCAUUUUAAUAAUCCAUUAGAAAAUUAAAUCCAGAUCUGUUUUUUUUUUUUUGUGUGGCGAAGUAUUAUUCUCCACAUUAAUCACGAAGGACAGAAAAAGAUUUCAAAACUUUUCAGAAAUUUUAUUAUCUCCAAAUUAAAAAAGCGAGGUUUCCAAGACAAAACAAACGUAACUUUCAUGCCCUACCCUAACUAAGAGUUACCCAAAUUGUAGGAUACCUCAGUCCUAACCGCACAUCAAUCAACUUCGCUUUCGCUCGUUAUCCAGAAAAGGUGCAGCUGUCUGACUAACAGGCUUUAACCUUUUUGGUGUUGGUGAUGCAGUAAGUUGACAGUUGAAAUCCAAGUACGUGAAACAGAGGACAGCAUCAAAAAAAGAGAGUAGGAGAAUGACGUGGCAAGAAGCCGCAAUUUCACGUAGGCCGUAGACAAUUCCCCAUGCACGCCACCCGUCUAAUACUCUACUAUUAACUCAUGUUAGCUCAAUUGAUAAAAGAAAAAAUGAAUUAUUUUUUCGAUUGUGGGUUGGAAUUUCACAAUCAAUAUGAGGAAUUUAUUGAUUUUUGGUGUUUCCUAUUAUCAUACUUAAUUACCGAGUGAGGAUUCUGUAGUGUAGAUAGAAGGGUAUCGCCGUCAACUUUAACAUAAAUUAAUACUAUUAGAUUGAUGUAAGAAAUAUCCAUGCUUAUUCAUUUAAAAAGGACAAAUCCAUUUUUUUUCUUUUACAAUGACGUCUAAUGGGUCCAAAAAUUUUAUUAGCAAAGAGAGAAAAGAAGUGAAAUAAAAUAAAAAAAGGAGGAAAAAAAGAAGUGCCAAUGUAUGAUGAGGAGGGGAUAUAUAGAAGUCAAGAGGCUAAUUUAUAUAGAGAAAGUAAUAUUUUUAUGCAACUAAAGAAGAUAAUUUUAUAAAAAAAAGUCUAGGGAUGCGAGUAUUAUGAUUCGAACUUACAAAUAUUGAAGAGUUUUAAGACUAUUAUGUAAUUUUAUCAAAUUUGAGGGAGGAAGAGGGUAAUUGCCCGCCUUCACUCCUAUCCAUGCAACUCCGCCACCGGCCAUAUCCAUGGUCUCGAAGCAUGCCGUGAUCGAUGGUGAUGGUGGCUGAAAACGAAAUUACCCAAAAUUUUAUUCCAAAACAUAAAGAGACCGCUCUACUUUAAAAUGUUAACAUGCAAAAAUUCAAGCACUGCGCCGAACUCAGAAGUUACUGGCAGGAGAGAGUUUACUGCAGUAGCUGCAUGGGCAUGACAGAUCACCAAAAAUAUCGAAGGUUUAAGAGUAACGGACGGAGGGUCCGCCGAAUUAAAACCCAAAUGGCAAAGCGUAAGGGUUGGUGAUGACAAUCCGGCGUCGGCUGCCUUUCUAAGAAAAGAACCAAAACUGUGUAUUUCAUAUCAGCGGACGUCUUGUCUGGAAUUUAGUCAUUAUUUGUUUGGCAGGAUUGUACUGUGAUUAAUUAUGACAUCACUCUGAAACCUCAUUAACGUUGGCCCUGCAUGUUUUGCAGCUGUUCUUUCGCUGUUUGGGUCAGGUGGUCCAAAUCGUGAUAGAUACUAAACAAUACUGGACUUGGCGCUCGGGCUGCCCAUUCUUUUUCAUGAGGACAUUGAUUUCCUUGGGCCAAUUCCAGCUAAACAGUAGUAAAGGCUAUCGAAAAUAUUGUUGUCCACGAACCCUUGUAGCAGCUCAGAAAUCAGGUGAACAAUCAGAGGGGAAGAUUCCACUCUUUGGGACAUCUGAUAAAAGAGAAAUUUCGGACAUCUCAGAAUAAUUAAGGAGCGGCAAUCAUCUGAAAAAUAAACAAUGAGACGGACAGGAGUGUUUAGUUUAUGAGCACAAAUUGCCAACAUGCCCGUGAAAGUUUAUAUGCACAAAAAACAGAAAGCCUCCUUCGAUCUCUCCAUGGACUUGCGUAUGUACAGUUCAUCAAGAAACGACCUAUUACUUCAUAGAUUCUUUAUUGCUGCAUAUGCCGAAACAUGAAUAUCACAACACUCUGCAUCCCACGAGAAAUCCUUUGCCAUGGCAUCUGUGAUCUUUCUGUUCCACUGAGAUGGAUCCUCCUCCUGCAAACAGGAAAAUAAGAAACUUAAAUAUCUUUGAAGGUUUUUUUUUUUUUUCAAAGCUUUUUGAAGAAUUCUGAAGCUGUGAAACAGGAAAAGUUUAGAGGGAAUGCCCACGAUUUCAUUGAUUGCCUGGCUUAAUGACAUAUUUCCAAAGGAAUUGCUGAUGUACUUUGAAACUUCCGGACGCCCAAAAUCAUGAUCCGCAAAAUUCCUGUUGAACCAGUAAUUGCAUAAACAUUUUUCAGCUGUUUGACAAGCUAAAGAGCCAAAAGAUAUAGGAGUAUUCAGACUAACCCAAAUUUGUCAUCAGUAAAAUUUAAUGCAACAAGUCCAGCUCCAUAUUUUAUGGCCUUCAGCUGCAUGAUUUACCCCAGCACAGAAAAAAGCUUCACCAUUGUAAAUACCCUUUUGUCAUGAACGUAUAACCAGAGAUGCACAGGGAGAUAGACAAGGUGACCAUAUAGGCACAAUAAGCUAAUUUAAGAAAAUUUGUCAAGAAGGGUUAUCGGGAGAAACCAAAAAAAAGAGCCUUAGCUGCUUGAAAAAUAAACAAGUCUAUUUCAGUUGAGAUAACAAAGACGAAAUAAAAAGCAAUUCUAUGCAAUAGUAUUUAAUAAAAGAAAAAGGUAAAGCUCACCAAUUUUAGUAACAAAAUUGUAGUACACAUACCGGUACUUGAAGCACUGGAUCGUCCAAAGAUGGGCACAAAAUAAUGUCGCAUCCAGCUAAUAUCAAAUGCAGUAGGGGUUCGUCAUAUUUAUCAAUAAACUUCACAUUUCCAUCCUGCAUAGAAGAACAUAUACUAGAUGAUUUACAGAUCUCCUUUAUUGGAUCUAACUAUUAGUCAUAUUCGCUCCAAAUCAAAACACAAGUUUGCAGCAAUGAACUUCUUUAACGACCAGGAAACUAGCUUUUAGCUGAAGAUCUUCAACCAUAAAAAACACAGAAGCAAUCUUUUCAAGCUUCAAGUCAAUCAUUACAAUUGAUCUCCAAUAACAGCAUAACACUUAAUCAACUUCAGCUAAACCAUUUCAACCUUCACAGAAUAAAUCAUGAAACUGCUAUGCAACCACCACCAUGACAAUCAUAACAGAAGGUGCUGCCUGUAUCCAUACGUAGACAUCUGCCAGCACACAACACAGCUAAGCAAUUGGAGACAUGAAACAGUCAAGAAUGGAAAUGGAAAUACGGGGCAUGACAUUAAGCCAUAGCUAGCAGUUUUCUUCAAUAAUUCACCAUGAACUACCUUAAGCCAUAGUUAGCAUUAAAAUCAUUUUGAAGGUGUUUUUAGCAGGAAAAUUUCUAUUUCUCCCCUAAAAAGUAAAGAAAGAGUGCAACCAGAGACACCAGAAAUAUUUAGAUAAAGACAGGUGCAAAAUACCUUGAGUUCUAACAGCAAAGAUUCCACUUCUCUUCUUAAGCCUGGAUUUUGGCUACACAACAUGAAGACAAACUGAAGAGGAUAAUAAGAGAAUCAGACGUAGGCAAUAAAUAAAUACAGAAGAAGAUAAAAGGACUUUGACUGCUCAGAAGCUGAUCAGUUAGUUAUUCAGCGCGGUUAUCUGCAAGUACAUUAGGAUAAGCUGUUAAAAACAAACAGAAAAAGAAAGGUUCAGAAACAACCUGAAUUCCCUUUCUGGAAGCCAUCCAAACAAGAGUCUUGAGGUUCUCCAGGUAAACAUCUGAAACUUCUGUUAACAUGCAACCAACCUGGAAUUACAACAUUUCUAUUUUUGGGUUGGUAAGACUUCAUAUGCUGUACAGGAUACAAAAAAUUUUGUGGAAACACAGAUAAGUACAUAGAAUACAUGCGAAAGGAAAGACAUUUUUAAUGUGCUUGACUCUCCAGAAAGGUUGCUGGAGGUCGGCCUCACAGAUGCUCUUUUACACAUAACUAAAGGUCGUCAAGGAUGAAAAUGCAAAGAUUAAACUCUGUUUUCCUCUUUAUCCUUCAGCAUACUCUAUCGCUGGCUAUUCUCCCAGGUGAAAGAAAGGUCAGUUCACCUACUCCUGAGAUUCCCCCUCUCCCGAGAUUCCCCCUCUUAUCUUUUAUUAUUGGGGACACUUCAAGAAUAAGAUUUUCAAUGUACUUACAAGAAUCAUGGAAGCAUUCUUUGUUAACCCAAGGUGCUUCUGCAAUGAAAUUUUGCAUACAGAUUUCCCUUUCAUAUCUUCUUCACUGUAACUCUCUGGAAGAAAUUUGUCCACUGAAGGAUCCCAAACUGACUUGUCAAAUCCAUAAGGAGCAAUCAGCAGCUUGUCCCUUCAAUCAGAAUCAGGAGUAAGGAAAUGUGAGGACUAGUUAUCAGAUUACCAUGACCAUGAAAUAAAUAAUGAUGGGUACAAAGCUUAGAUUCUAAAUUACAUUUUAUUGAAUCACCACAUCUGAUGUUCAACAAAGUUACAAACACCAUGCCUAUUUCGACAUUUUAAGGUCCAAGUUCGAAGAAUGCCUCGAUGGUAUUACUUACUUGUGGAUGGCUAAGGUGGGUUCCAUUCCAUGACCCAAUUCAGUGAUGAGAUGGGCCUUCGUUUGCAUGGAUGCAAUCACUAUCACUUUAUUGGAGUAAACAACUCCACCCUGAAAUUUAGCAAAGAGAGUUCAAAUCAAGUUCACAGCAAAUUCAACGAAGCAUAAAUGCAACAUCAGUACUUUGUAGUGCUUUCAGUAAUCACAAGAGAACCCACAUUUCCACUAUAACUGGACCAAUGGAGAACUACCUCUCUCUCUCUCUCUCUCUCUCUCUCUGAUUUCAUCUUCCCCACUCUGAUCUCUAUCAGUAAAGCACUUUAGAAGAACAAAUUCGUGACCAGAUAUUUUGUUGCCAAUGAAAGAGAUACUGCCUGUGGGAUUUUUAACAUUUACAUGGGUCAGAAUUCUUUGAACAUUAAGACUCUGGAAGCUAGCAGUACCUAGUAAAAUACAACUUUUAAUUCAUAUCUGAGUUCAUGCGAUCAUCUUCACUUCCAAUUAUUUGAUGAUUUUUGGUUGCUUAACAUUAUUCUUUUCCUUUUCAAUGUAGAGCAGUAAAUGCAGAUGGCACUCAGCUUUUAUCCUCAACUGGAGCAGAUUUAGCAAAUGUCCGGGAAGAGAGGGCAGGAGAAACACCUUUUUCCCUAUAUGAGCACUUAUAUCACAGAAACAAUGAUUGCACCUUCGCAUGAUGCUCUUCCGAAGACUAGCAUUGGCUUGAUCUCAAACCUUGAGAUCAACCAUGCAUCCAAAAUAGCAAACAACACCAAUAAGAAAGGACCUACUUUCCUGUAGAAUUCUUCCAGAGCAAGGUAAUGUGCCCAGAAGCUCAGAAAGGAGAAGAAUACCUUCAAAAUGUUGACCAUAUGAGUCUUGUUAUUAUCUUGAAGGCGAUCAGGACGAUGUAGUCUUGAAGGAUCAAGUCCACACAGAGCAAGCUUCUCAGGUCGUUGAAGACACUAAUGAAAAAAGAAUCAUCAGUAUAAUUGCUACAAACAUGGAGAUAGUGCAAUAGCCAUCCCACAAUUCAAAUAUAUUUUACAUCUGCUAAGCAUAGAUACAUGCCUGUGAAUCAAAGCCCUGGCAUGUCAAUAAUAUUCUAGUACCUUCGAGUCCCUGUGUAAUAAAAGCUCAGAACUGUUAAGGUAACAUCAUGAAUUAGUAUGCCUAAUACUUAAGCUAACUUGUUAUAAUUAGUAGUACAAACAGACCAUAAGACUAAUACAGGGAGGGGGGAAAAAAAGAAAAAGAAAAAGAAAAAGCGUAUAGUCCAUUCAACCAGGAAACAUAAAACUGGAAGCUUUCCAAUGCCAGUUUUAGUUGUUUUAACCUAAUACAAAUGGAUGAAGUAAUAACAACCUAUGACUCAUGCAAAAGAAUCUCUGGUUCCAUGUUCAUAUUCCUAACAAAUUAAAAUAACAUUUUGUUUACUCCAUUCACAAAGCAAGACGCACCACAAGAGUGCUACACAUAAAUGUGUCACCUUCCCAAAAAAAUUAAACUACUUUAUUUGUAUUCCUUGUGUGGUCUUGAAGAGAGGGAAGAACCAAUGAAACCUGAUUGACAAAAACGUCCCAAAAUAGGGGCCCAACAAUUGAUGUUUCCCAAUUGUGUAUGUGAACAAUAUCGGGCUUCUUUCCUGAUUUCACUAGAUAAUCCAGCGAUGCACGAGAAAAAUAGGUGAAUCUAGCAGCAUGAAGAAGUUGUUAGAAGACCACAACAAAAGCUUAUGAUUGUAAUUAUCCAUGAUACAAAAUAAACAAGAAAUAAUCAGCUUAUGCUCAUGUAUUAGGGACAAAAUGAAAAUAUUAGGGUCAGAAAUAACUGAUUUUCCAGAAGAAGACUUCAAGCUACAUGAGUGUGUCACCAUUAGAAAUGCUCAACAUAUGACCAAGUGAACAAAUAUUGGAGAUGUCUACAAACCUUUCAAAGUCAUUUCCAUAUCCAUAUACUCUCUCAUGACUGAAAAAUGCUGAAUAGUAGACUGGUUGUAUAAAUGUAACUCCAAUGCCAAAGACAACCCUGUUUUCCAAUCACUUAAUUGAUAAAUAAGAGACUAAAACGGAAAGAAAACUGUAGCUUCUGUGUGUCUGUAUAUUGUUUUGCAGAAUUUCUUUAGCUCCCAAUAAACACAACCCCACUUCACAGAAAGACAACUAAACAAAGACAAACACCAUAAUUCCAACAGACGACACAAUAUAAGAUAAAACACUGCAAAAAUUCAUACUCACCCAGUCCAGAUUCUGUUUUUAUGCAAUUGACCAUUAAAAAAUGAAUAGACUUCUGCUUCAACUUCUCGAAGACCUUGAACUUCGUCUAAAUUUAGGCAUGCAUACCUGGUUGAAGCAUUAUACCAAGAAUUGAAGCAUUAUACCAAGAAUCAGAUGCUUUCAGAUGAGAAUUAAGAGCAAGCAAAACAUAAGUGCUCCUUUUUCAUUGUAGAAACUGCAUUACUUAAAGUUACAUCGUCUACAAGUCGGUGCUUGUUCAACCACUCUGUUUUAGGUCCUAGUGAUGAAGAGAUGCAACAGGUUUUCUACAGCAUGAGUGCACUUAAUCAGUUAUGAUUCCUUGUUCUGGCCCAAAUAAAUUCACAUAUGCCAACAAGGACGUAAAUCUUAAUCUUAGUGCUGAAAGUUGCCAACUGAUCGCAAGGGUGAUAAACUUCAUGAAUAUACUUGUGCAAGGGUACAGAAACCAAAAGUCACAUGACACGAUUUUUUAAUGCAGAUAGAAAUGUAAUUAAUAUUUAAUACUAUUAGGAACCUAAAGCAAAGACCAAAAAGUUGUUGAAACAGACAUUUAAGUAAUCUAGAUUGCAAAACAUAACUAGAAGUUGCAAAACAUAACUAGAAGUUGGUCUACCUUUUAAUCAAAAGAAUGUCUCCAGCAAUGGAUAAAGGAGGUUAAAUGAAGCUAGUCAAUUAUUGUUUUACUUGAACAUCCGCAAUAAGAAAUGUAAGCAAAACUUAAAAACUAAGAGAAUGCCGUGAUUACUUGGGCAAAAUGACCUCGACCACAUGUCCCUUUCUCUGCAGAGCACAGGAUAGUCCUGUAACAUAAGAUGCCAAAGAUCCCACAGAGACCACUGGUGCCAUUUCAGCAGAAAUGUGAACUAUGUGGAAACCCUUCCUGGAUUUGAAAAAGAUGAGGAUGCAUAGAAAUCAAAGAAUAGCAAAAAAAAAAAAGCAUAAAUGAUUAGGGAUAAUAUAUAUUAUCCCCUAGGUGGAUGUCUUCAAUGUGAAAGUGGCAAAAAAAGGGAGAAGGGGGAGGUCCUAUCCCAUAUGGGGAAACACUGUAGAUGUGAGAUGCAUGGCUUUUGAAAACAGGAAUCCAAGAGUUAGAAUUAGACACAGGAUCUAGAAGAAUACCUUACUUUUUACUUUUGCUGGAAAAAUGGCGCAAUUCCACCAGAAGUUCAGAAUCUUUCUUGUGCGUGUUUUGAAACAAAUUAGCUGCUAUACUCAUUCUUGAAUUCAUGACCAGCCUUCUCAAGUCAGAAGCCUCCGCAUUAUCAAUCAUUCCACUUAGAACCAUUGAAUCAAUCCUAAGCAGCAACUCAGAGCUAAUAGAAAGUGUAUCCAUUUCUGGUCACAAGAUUAACAAACUGCAUUAGAAAUGUUAAAAACCUGAAUAAAAAGAUAUCCUGAGAACUCAUAAUGGUUCAUAACAAGAAUAAUCAAGCAAGAUAUCCGACAGAGGAGAAGACUCCAUUUGGUUGGUCGUUAAACGCACUCUGAAACAUUGAUUGAGAAAGUUACUCAAAUAAAGCACCAGAAUAUAUGUUCAUGUGGAAAGCAGUUUGAGUAUCAUCCCGCAUUUAAUUGAGCAUCUUUAUGAACAGCACCUACUUCAGACAUCUAACCCUUCUGUCAGUGGUCCUUUCUUGAAUAGGCCAUUCCUAAACCCAUCAAACUGAUCAGAGAUGGUCUACCCAAGCAUGACCAAUUCUCUAGCCGGGGCUCUGGGCUGUGUUUAGGCUGCUCAAAAUUAUUGUGGAUCUAGCGGGUCUAGAAGAGCAGAAUGAAACCAAACUUGCUAUGUUGCCUCAGUUUCUACGAGUAUAACAAUAAUAAUGAGCAUGUGAUGUAAUGACCAUUCAUGGAAUACAAGUGGAGAAUUAGUUUCAGAGUUUCAUAUGACUGCCAAACGAACGAGGUCAAAACAAUUUUUACGAGAGGAAACUUUUCAGAAUAGCAGAGAACCAAGUAUUAAUCCUACAAGGAUUGUAAAGCAGAAAUUCAGGCUUUACAGCUAUAAUCACCUUUUUCGGUGUUCAACAGCAUUUUGGCCUCCAAUUGCUCUAUCCUAUCAAGCAGUGCCGUGUUUUCCCUCUUCAGUUCAUCCAGUUCUUCCAAUGCCGUGAGUCGUUGUUUAUUCAAAGACAAUAUAUCUGAAUUGCGUAGCGAAUCAGAAAAUUAAGAGUAGAAAGAAACCAAUAUGUGGCACGCAAUUAAGGAUAGCAAGAAAAAGAAUAGCAAUUGAGUACUCUGUUGUGCUUCUGUGAAGAGUUGCCAUAUAUCAUUCUGCUUCUCUUUUGGUGCAUGAUCCAUAGACUGCGGAAGAUCCUGCAAGGGAAUGAGAAGCAGUCAUUUUUCUAGCUACACUUUAAAUCUUUCACCAACUCAUGCAAGCAACAAUUUCUUACCUUAUGGACAUCCAUGUCAUCAUGUCUUUCCACCCUAAAUUCCACAAUGAAACGCAGCAAGUCACGUAACAUAAAUAAGGAUGCAAAAUAGUAAACAAAAGAGAAAAGCUAAAACAGACCAAUAUUUUCAAAAAUAGAAAAAGAAGAGAAGGAGCUCCUCCAAAAAACGUGCCUUUUUGUCUUGCUUUUCCGAUGUUCAUUACGUCAUUUUCCCGGGGGCGGGGGGGGGGGGAAUCAACUUAGUGCAGUGACUGUAUAAGAGGCCACCGAAGCUGAACCUUAGGUGUUCUGGAAGCAAUCUCGAAGUAAAUUAAUUACUAUUACUUAGGCUGUACUCAAGUUAACAGAAGCCCCAACAACUAAUCACGCUCUCGCGAACUUGUAUAUACAUACUCUAUAUCGAUGCUUAAUCCUCCAGAAUAUGUUAAUGUGACGCCCGCAUAUGCGCUUAUAUGAACGUUAUCAACAUGUAUGAUGAGUGAAUGAACGUACGUGUGUCUGUGUGUUUGUGUGUGCGAGAGAGAGAGAGAGAGAGUGAGAAUCUAUAUCAAGAAGGGAGUUUGACGAGAGAGUGGUAGUAGUAACAAGUACCCCAAGCAAGAGGGAAGCCGAGCACCAAGGGGCUUGCGCUUCGUUGCACAGAUUUUAGGCAAAGGAGGAAGCUUAGAUAGCGGAGCAUUUAACAGCAACUCCAUUGCAGAGCGCCAGACUGCUAUUAUAUUUCAUUUAUUCCGACCCCGAGCCAUGGGACUACUGAUAUCACCGGAUGGUAGAUAAUUUGUUUGGUCGGGACGUGGACAUGUUGGUCACGUGAGUUUUGAUGACAUGGCAGGUCGAUCAUCACUUCAUAUCCCACACUUUAUGGAUAACAUGGCUGCAUCUUGGAUCAUGGAUGUAAUAAAUGGGGCAACAAGCGCUCCUACUUCCUCGAUGAAGAGUACAGUAUAUCCGAUGUUAUGAGACACGCGUCGCUGCGCCGAAAGGGCCACUUUUAACAAAUUCAAUUACUCUCUCGAGAAUCCAACCAAAUCAAUGCCAAGAAGUUUGGUCUUCCCGUGAUUUUUUAUUCGUGCAGAAACUCAGAUGGAGAUGCUGCUGUAGGACUUCGGAAGCUUUUAACAACUAAAAAUUUCCGCGCAUCUUGCCCAGUACAUUCCAACCAUUUUCCAGCUCCCUCACAACGUUCCCAAAAAAUAAAUAAAUAAAUUUAGGAGCAACAUAGCAGGGCAAAGGAGGACUUGCAAAGAACAAGUAAUUCUGAGGAUAAAUAUACACCUCUGAUCAAAUGAUUUGCUACACCAGGAUUAAGGGACCCAAAAAAGAAAAAAAAAAGGGAAAAAAACCUUGUAAGUCUAUCUUUUGACAAAAAUCAUUCCUAAUAACUAAUAAACAAUGGAGCCCUACAUCGAAACCACCACGUCGGGCUUACAGAUGAAAUAUAAAAAGACUAGUAGAGAGCAAUUUUUCUCUACCCCUCUUUUCUCCUUCCUCUCGCUUCACGUACUUGGGCUCUCAGCAAAGCAACAAUUACACAAUUCCUGUCAGAUUAGCGCAUUUUCUGGUCAUCGAUGGCUUAACUUGCGUUUUUUGGCUUCCUUGCGCAAGCGCUCCCUUCUUUCUUCUUCUUCUAUCUUGCGAAGCUCUUCUUCAUCCUCUUGCCGAGCAAUCCUCGCACUGAACGGUCAAAAACCAAGAAAAUUUGCGGUUGUCAACCUCAACAAUUAAAAAACUAGAAACCCGUACCAGCGGGAAUAGGAAUUCUCAAAAGAAAACCAUGGUAAUACAUCUUUAUAUUCAUCAACCACUGGCAACUAACAGCAAGAGAAUAAAUAACUAAAAAGCAUGCUAUUUCAAAGGCCUACUAACCUUCUCUUUUCCUCCCUCUGAAUGUCAUCAAAAUUAGCCUCCAUGUCACUAUCAUCGUCAACAUCCUCAUACCUACUAGGAUUAUAUCUGAAAGAAUUCACACAUAAAUAUCAAACUGAUAUUUAGUCACCGAAACAUAGAACUUCUGGGCUUGGGAUAAGGUAAGCCCGUAAGGAGGAGGUAUCAUAAGGCAAGUCUCUUUAUCCAAAUCAUGGUUUUGAAAGAAAAUGUUAAAAGAUAUGCAAGGUAAUAAGACAAUCUAAUAGCAAUUGGACGAAAAUUUUGACAAUAGAAAAGGACAAAAAAAAGAAUACCCGAACAUAUUCCUGAUCAUACGCAAAGCAGUUUCAGGAUCAUCUUCAUCAUCUUCAUUGUGUCUUGCGGGCCUCUUCCUUGGCCAUUCACCUCUUGAAGCAUCCCGAGCUGAAGGUUUUGGUGCUGGUCGCAAUACUUGCUAUAAUUUGGGACAAUUAAAUAACAGCAAAAAAGUUAGCCACCCAGCGUCUAGGUUUUGAACUACAGAAAAUCAAACAACUUAUUCUUAAAUACAAGAAUGCAGUGCAGAAUGCAGUGCACCAGGCAGUUGAAAUACAGCAUUAUUUCUUACUAGAGAUAAAGAGUAACUGACCUUAGGUUUUAAGGGUGGGAUGGGUUGUUUUGGUAAUAUCUUUGGCUUUCCUGGUGCCUGGUGUUCCUCCUUCCUCGCAGAGGACUGCUUUGAAACAGAAGUCGGCACUUUUGAAGGAUUUGGUUUGUGAAUGCCAGGAGCAGAGGUUCUUGCAACAGGAACCGAAGCCUUCUUAUCUGACGUACUUACUGAAGGCUUUGGUGGCACACUCUUUGACACCAAAGGCCGACCUGGCCCACUACCAUUACUGUUGGGCUUUGUUGGCACACUCUUUGACACCACGGGCCGACCUGGCCCAAUACCAUUGCUGAUGGAAGGCUGUUUUCUAUGAUCUGCUAACACACCAUUUUUUCCACUGAGAUGUUUCCCAGACUCUACUGAUGGCCGAACCAGCUUAUCCCUGGAACCAAAUUUCUCUGACCCUACUUUAGGCUGCAUUCGGUUAACAGCAGCUGUAGGUUUCUUAUCCUCGCGACUGCUGGAAACUUUUUGUCCAUUAAUGCUUAAAGAGUCUCUGCUUCUUUCUGACAAUUGUGCAGAGCGCGCCUCUUCAACAUGAUCAAAAAACCUGUAUAAGUUUUCCUCGUGAAAGUACAAGUAAGGUUUGAUGGAAACUGCUAGAUACGUCAAAGAGCAGCAAUGUACCAGGUUUUUGGGCAGAAAUACUAUGAGGAACUUUUUUUGGCACAGGAAGCUCAGCAUCAUCAGCUAAUAGAAAUGAGUAAUCCCUGGUAUUUUUUAGCAUCUCGACUUUCUUUUGUAGCUGCGAUGAUAAAAUUUUCAGAUGCAAAGCCUCCCAAAUAAAAGAGCACAACAGCACAUCAUACAAGCGAAGGGGAAAGAGGAAGCAUAAAUGCAAAAACCAAAAUAUUACCCCAUUUGUAACUUUUGCUCGGGGGCCAGCACCAGCUUGAGACUUUGACACAGAUGAGGCUGAACCAGAGCUCUUGUUUCCCUGCAGGGAGAUCAUGGCCCAUCCACAGCAUUAAUUUCUUAAAGAAGGAUACGGAAGAAAAUUUUACAUCAUCAGCAAAGUCACUAAUAUGCACCAUAUCAGUUUAGUUCACUAACAGUUGGUUGUAUACUGGAAUCUAGAUUUAGUAAGCUACCAUAGAGUACAAGUCAUGUGCAACUAGAGGCUGAAAAUAAAGGUUGCAUCUCCAUUCAAUGAUGAGAUAUGUCCUUCAACACAUUUAAAAGUCAACCUUUGCUAAAUCCGACAUGAAUUAUAACUUCGAUGGUCUUAACCCAAACUAUGGCAGAGCCAUCUCUGUUAAAUUGUAUGCUAAUCAUUAUAAAAGCCAACCUAGAAGUUCCUUUUAGGAUAGGUAAUAACCAUGCACAGCAAUUUCAAACACUAGGAACCAAAGCCAACACCAAGUUCUUAGCUGAACAAACUUUCUCGACAUACACUUUGAUUAAAUUUAAUGACUCUAGCUGCCAAAUCCGGGUUCUCAAGUAAUGACUUGCUUUCUUCGAUCACUCUCUGAGCAAUAACUGGUUGUGAAGGUCCAAAAAAGGAACCAUAACUGCACCACAAGAAAAAUUAAAUUAAAUUAAAAAAAAGAUCAGUUAAAACCUUGCAGCUCGGAAUGUAUUUGAAUCUUCAAUAUUGGAGAGCAAGUGAGAAGUGUAAAAUCAUUGAAACUGCCAAGAGAUGCACAAUUACAGUAGGUGUCAAGAAAUACAUUGAUCAAUUAUAAUUUAUUAGUAAUUAAAUGCCAAGCAAAGAUCAACAAAAAUAAACUGUAGGAUCCCAGCAUUCGUCAAGUUCAGAAUUGCACCAAUUUCUUGCAUUUCAGUCGUUUUGCGCACUUUCCAACACAGUACUUCAGUCUUUCAGUAAACAAAGUAGUAGCAACAAGGAACCGAUGGCAACUAAAUCAGAUACACUGCAACAAUUGGCAGAUAUCCUAACUUUGCAGUUGAAAAACUCCACUAUAUAAUUGGACACAUACGCAUCUUAUUUUGCCAAUUCUGUUCAUUGUUAUUUAAAGCUCUACCUGUUUAAAUUCUUGAAAUCAGAGAAUACAUGCAUUCCAGCAAAAUUAUAUCAUGCCUACAUUUAUUUCUAUAGUCACUGCAAGAGAAAAAUUUUAAAACGAAGGAUUGUCUCUACGUUCUGUACCAAUUUGCAAAUUUUCCUGUUUAAGUAGAAUAGGAAAUCCAGUGGUAAGUAACCCUCCAUCAUUACUGUCUGCUAUUAAUGUUAGAUGUUAUGGCAAAUAUAUCAAAACUUCCAUUCCCAGAAAUAUAGUACUUACGUAUCCUUUGAGAUCACAUCCUUUGAGAUCACAUUCUUUUUCUCACGAGAACUGCCAUUAGCAGUUCCCAAUUCCUUCUUCAACUUCUUUCUUUUCUCUUCUUUUAAUCGUUGCCUCAGUUCAAGAUAAUUCAACACCUCCUUGGCAGGCUUAGGAUCGUCUUCCUCUUCAUAUUCAUCUUCACCAGCAUCUUUCUCUUCUUGCUCAUCACCAUCCUCCUCAUACUCGUCUAAAUCUUCAUACUCCUGCAUUAAUAAAACUUCAUUGAACAUGCUACACACAUCCAUUAAUGCAAAAGAAAUGUGAAGGAAGUCAAGGCGAGCUUUCAUACAUCAUAUCUAUCAUGUGCUCGCAUUGCUGCAUGAACUCACGAGGCAAGAUUUUCCAGACGCUUGCUCCUUAAAAACCUGAAAACAGCAAUGCCCAAUCAGAGUAAAUAAAAUCAGGGAAAGCUGAAUUUUGGAGAACCAACACCAAGAAACCAAAAUGUAGCAUACAAAAAAAGAAUUAAAACUUCCGAGCUUCUUAUCCGUGUAAAGGACAUAACAAAUUCGACAAUUUUGCAUAUACAACUUAUCAAACCGUAUUCAGAAAGGAGACUAUACCAAAAACACCACCUAAAUUUGACAUUUUCACUACGUGGAUAAAUUUCAAAUUUUCAAAAUUGCAAUACUUGAACAAAUUUCUUGGCCUUCAUCAGGUAAAAAAUAGAAAUACUUUUGAGGUUAAAAAUGUUCCGCAAUCCUCUCACUCUAAAUCAGCCGUGAAACGAAAGAUUCCUUGCCACUGUAUCAUUUGCGCAAGGAAUCCGAAAAUUCAAUUUCAGUCAGAAAACCAGAACAUAGGUCCAAAACCCUAAUUACCGAUAAGAAAGUUGACAAUAGAAGUAUUUUAAAAAAGAAUCAAAUCCCAAUCAGCAUUAGAUUUCAGAUCCAUGAUCAAGCGUUGACGUACCCAAAAAUUGAUAAAGGAACAAUCGUGUGCCUCUGAGUCGAUCAAAACCAAUAUAAAGCCCUAAAUUCUCUUAUAUUUUGGCGGAAAAGAAAAAAGUCCAAACCUUUUAUCUAAAUCAGUCGGUUUCAGGCAAUUCCCAGCUGAAUAAAACCCCAAGAAAGAACAACGAUCUACAAUCGGUCAGCAAGACGAGAAGCCCCAUAUGAAAAAUCAAGAGGAAAAAAAAGAAAAAGAAGAUGAAUCAUUACCUCAGUUGAUCCGAAAAACCUGAAAAUCGGGUGGAAUUGAUCGAAAUUGAACAAACGUGAGCAAAAUCGAAUCCAGAUCCGAGGCGGCGAUUGCUGAGAGGGGAAGGAAAGGAUGAUCGUAGAGAGCAAGAAGGCUUCGCCGAAGCAUACAACAUAGAAGACAAGAUAAAGUGUGUAGGGCUAGAAGAAGGAGCAACGGAAGGACCCAGAAACAACGGGGAUUCAUGCUAACAUGCGCAUGGAGCGUGGUAAAUAGUGGCAGCUGCAGCAGCACCAGAAGCCCAAACCCAAACCAGGGUUGGGUCUGAGACCGACUGUGGUAAUGGUAGUUGGACAUUUUCAGUUUUGGAGUCCGCGGGUCGACUCGUGCUUCGGACACAUGUCUGAUUGGAUUUGGCUCUUUGGGGGUUUCUUCGACAAGUAGUAGUGAAUAAAUGGAGCCUAUGGCGGUUGCGGUAACGGAUGGAGUAAUGAGAAUUAUGGCCUCCGUUGACUGUGUCGUGUUUUUACUAAUUAUCACAACCACUUUCCCCAUCUCCUGCCGCAACAUCAGGGCAGGAUUUACAAGUGGUAGCAAUUCCGAAAAAUUUUGUACUCCGGGGUAAAGAGGUGGUAGUUAUUUCCAAAAUUGUAGGAGUAAAAUAUUACUAUAUUCAAAAAGAAUAAUUUUGAUGGAUUUUUUAGAUAAAACUUUUUAGAUAAUCACUAAGAUGGACUCAAUGGUCAAUGAAGUGCAUUUUUCCGUUGUCAUGCUCAGGGUUUGAAUCUUGAAUUUUGAAAUUAAGAAAAUAAAUGGUGUCGACUGAUAAGUACUAGAGUGAAAAAUGGGUGUUGGGAGAUGAUCAGUAGGGUGAAACUUGGAUUUUGGAAUUAAAAAUAGGAAGGGUGUCAGGAGAUCAUCAAUGUGGUGAAUUUUGAAUUUUGUAGUUGAGACUUGAGAAUAGGAAGGGUGUUGAAAGAUAAAUCACUGGAUUUGCUUUAGCGAUCUGCAAUUGAGAAUAGGAAGGAUGUUGAGAGAUAAUGAUUUUAGAAUUUUGUGGCAUGGUGAUUAGUAGUUGAUAAUAGGAAGGUGUUGGGAGAUAAUUGCUCCGUUUAUAUUAGCUAUUUCUUGGGGUGUUUUUCAAAAAUUUUACCGUAAUAGAGUUUUUAGAUUAUAUUUUGGAUAUUUUUUAAGAGUAUAAAAAUUUCUAGAAUAUAUUUUGAAAUGUUUUUAAAAUUUUAAAAAAAUUUAAACUAAUUUUUAAAUGACCUUUUAGAGUACUUUUUAAAAAUUUUUAUUGUAUUUAAAAAACUAGUUUUUGAAAAACAAACCCAUCCUCUCUCUGACUCUCACUCUCUCUCUCUCUCUCUUAAUUGAAAAGUUUACACACUUGAAUUGAUGAAUGUGUUAGGCUGUAUAUGAAAAGAUUUAGUAGAAUACUAAAAGACACUUUACCUUCUUUUUUCCAAUUUGAACUAGUAAUUGUCAGUUCUCACAAUAUUGAGUAAAGUUUACUAGUGUGAGAAUUUGUAUUGUUUUCUCUUAUUUUGCUGCUUGUGUUACAAUUUACGCGUCCUUUACCAAGUGGAUUAGAUGUCCAUCACUUAUAUGAACAGUUGAACAGUGACUGAUUGUUUGCUGAACUCUUGCACACCAUGCUAUGUCUGAUUAUUUGCUAAAGUUUAUUAUUCCAUAAUUCUAAUAUAUUGUAUGCUCUCCACGAAACAUAGGACUAAAACAUGGUACAAGUGUUUUAUUGAGAAAAAUAUGAACUAGUUAUGGAAAGAGGAAAUAAAAAAUAAAAAACACCAUCUUUUUCUUCACUACAAGCAUUUCUUGCCUUUUUUGUGUGUAUUUUAUAUACUUAUUUUUUCUCUUCAAAUAUUCACCUAAUAUAGUAAUUUUAAUAUGCUUAGAAAGAGAAGACAUGUGUUUUUUUUUUUUUUUAAUUUUGUUUCUAUCGCACAAAUUCUUCUAAAUGUAUAUAGGAUUAUCCUUUUUAUAGAGCAAUUCAACCUUAAAAAAUAAUAAAAAAAAAAAGUCUAUUGUGAACAUGGUUAAUUUCUUAAUAUCCGUUGUUUGAUGGUUGCAUUUGGUUCACUAACUACUACGUGAUUAUUUUCGUUCCAUUAGAAUCAUUACCAAAAACAUAAUGCUAUAUAUUCACUUGCGCUAAUUUAUACUAGGAACAGAAUCAGCCAUCCAGUUCACAGGAGCUGAUUUAUUUUAUUUCAGAUUUCACCAAGGGAAUGGCGUGAGGCACUCUUGUCUCACAAAAUGGGAAGGGAAUAGGACCGCUAGCUACUUAUUUGCAUCAAUUGUAGCUUUUUUUCUAUUCUUACAUAUGAGGUUCCAGUACUCAUUUCUUCCAACAUGUUAGAAUACAGGACCAGCAGCCAAAAUCUCUUCUGCCAAGUUGUUAUCUAUCCCGAUCUUGUGGCUUACGAAUACUUCAAAGUUGUUCUUGAAAAGGCCAGCUAGCUUCAGCAGUGUUUCAUUAUAAGCAUCCUUGUCGGACCACUACACCACAAGAUUGAAGGAUGUAACUCGAACAUGAAUGGUAAGCAACAGAAUGAAAGACUGGUAAAAAAUGAGGACAAGUUAGUCAGAAAUGAAGAAUAGAAAUCGUCAACUAACAGUGUUCACGGGAUCCAGAAUAUCAGAAGGCACUCCCUCAAUCUCGGAUGGAAUUUCAAGCCCAAACACCUCAGUCUUUUUGUAAUUUGCAUUCAAAAGACUUCCUGAGUGUAUGGCAUCAAUUAUUUUCCGUGUAUGCGCCAACUUUAUACGGCUUCCUACACCGUAUCUGCAAGAGAAACAAGAGACAAGCAUUAGCAUAAUUAGUUCUGCAACAAUGUUGUAUGAAGUUCUCAGUUAAGUUUACACGUUAGGAAAUUGAAUAUUCUAUUUGUGCUACUUGUACACAUGCAUACCUUCCUCCCGACCAACCAGUGUUAACGAGCCACCCUGUUGCACCGUGUUUCUGCAUCUUUUCAGCCAACAUUGCAGCAUACUUAGUAGGAUGCAACAUGAUAAAUGCUGCGCCAAAGCAUGCAGAAAAUGUAGCCUGGGGCUCUUUUAUGCCAUCCUCCGUGCCUGCAACCUGUAUUUAAGAAUAUUUCCGUGAGAAUAAAGCAAGUUAGAGAUACAAAACGAAGAAAAGAAGAGAAGGGAUCUCAAGAAAGCUUUGUAUUGCACAAUCGAUAUUGAUGAAUUUGCCUUGAGAAAUUAAAGGGUACUCUAUGAAGAGGGAUAGAUACCAGAGCAGUGUAGCCGCUGAUGAAAUGGUACAUGGUCUGUGCCAGGCUCAGCUUGCUCACAGGGGGAAGAACACCGAAGGCAUCACAAGCCAAGAGUAUGACGUUCUUUGGGUGUGGGCCAACACAUGGAAGUUUUGCGUUAGGAAUGAAUUCAAUGGGAUAGGCUGCACGGGUAUUUUCUGAGGAAACAAACAAGCAAGUUUAUUGAGCAGUCAGAUGUUCAUAAAAAUUUGACACAAAUUAUCUUCUACAUCAUUUAUUAAGCAAGUUCAAGAUCUAUGCGCUCAGAUUUUUCCGUCAAUAGUGACUACUUAAAUCAAGCUUCAUCAUUUUUCUAGAACCAAAUCCAACAUUGGGAAUUUAGUCUCCAGGCAUAAAUUGUUUGACUAUUGGCUAGCUAUCCCUCAAAGCAUAAUGUGAUGGAUACAACGACUAUUAGAGGUCAAACUUGCUCACUACACUAACCAUUUUGAACUGACCCCAUCCCACCUAGUGUUUAAUAUUAUUAAGCUUGUAAACAUUGUCAACUAAGGCUUAACUGCUUUCCUAAUAACCACAUAUCUUCUUUUUCAAUUGUUUUCCCCAUUAGACAAAUUUGGGCGGCCAAGAUGAGGAUAUGCUUCAUAUAAUAUAAUGUCAUAAAAAGCAAAAUCCAGUUAAGGACUGGAUCACCAAGACAGUGAAUUUCUUUUGCAUUUAUUACCUGUGACAGAUUUAUCUGUAUAAUCCACUUCUCUUGUAUGCUCUUCGAAUACCACAUUCUCCAGCACUGGAAGCACCGGGUAAUAUAAAUAAUCAUAUAGAGAAUGACAUUUUUUAAGAUAAAAAGAUAGUCGAUAACAAACUAAAUAGAAUUAGCUUACCAUUGAUCUUUUGAUUUUGAAACAAAAUGACGAUUUGAUUUAUUUAGAGGUUAGAAGAGAAAGAGCAGUGUACCAGUCCCAAACUUAAUAGCGUUCCAGAUGUCAGGUUCCUUCUCCCUUGAGAGAUCAAUGCAUUUGGCAUAACAACCACCUUCAAUGUUGGCCACCCCAGUGUCACUCCAACAGUGUUCAUCAUCUCCAAUUAAAAAUCGAUUGUGAUCAGUAGACAGAGUAGUCUUUCCGGUCCCUAGAUGAUGAAAACAACGGGAAAGAAAACUCAGUAACUAGAAUGGAUUACAUAAACAAAGCUGUAUCGUCACCUUCAAUCAGUCGUGAAGAGCUAAAGGCAAGAAGAGAUAAACUAGCUGGCAAAGGAUACCCACACAUCAGAAAAUCGAUCCAAUGAUACCUUACCUGACAAUCCAAAGAAGAGGGCAACAUCUCCAUCUUUGCCCAUAUUGCUACCAGAGUGUAAUGAGAGAAUUUGACGUUUAGGCAUGAGAUAAUGCAUGACACUGAAUAGGCCUUUCUUCAUUUCCCCAGCAUACUGGGUACCGAGGAUGACCAUUUCCCUUCUAGCCAGGUUUAAAUCUAUGCUAGUAGACGAUGUCAUAUAAUGGGUAUAACGAUUACAGGGAAACUGUCCAGCAUUGUAUAUAGUGAAGUCCGGAGUACCAAAGUUUUCCAGCUCUUCAGGAGUGGGUCGGAUACACCUGCCACCCACCCAGUUAUCCAAUUGUAUAUACAUAGAGCUAACGGUAUUAUGACACUUGAGAAACUACAGGCUUUUAAAACUUAAUGACUAUAUCUUAUAGCAGGGAUUGUAACAAUCUAGAAAAUUUUCAACGGUAAUUAAACUUAUCUGGUAGGUUUAAACCUGGUAGAAUGCAACAACAAUAUUGAUAAAUAAGGCCACUUACAUGUUAUGCAUAAACAAGGAAUGAUAAGCUCUGGCAGAAACAAUUCGGACUUUGAUGCGAUUCUGAGGAUCCCAGUUUAGAAAUUGAUCAUUGACAAAGACCUGGAAUCGUUGUCAAAUCAGGAUAUGUGAUGAUUCGGCUCAGCAUUAUAACUCUUAUUUCUUUUUUGAACAUCUAAAAAGCUUGGCAAGUGAUUCAAUCAGUUUUAUGUUGUCUUAAUCAUGCAUGGUGCAAAAAUCGCACUGUGUUGUAGUUUUAGGUGCGUAUGACUAACUAGGAACAUAUUCAAAUGUGGACAACCAACUUGGUACUACUUGACAAGGGAUCAAGAACUGUGAAUAUGCUACCUUAACUCAUGGCAGACACAGAUAAAAAAGUAUUUAUUCCUUAGCCUUUAAAAUUUGGCAUUUUAAUCAUAUUCUAAAUUUCUAAUUGAAUCUAUUAAUUUUUUCAUUCCAUAAAGUUCUUUUUUCUUAGAAAAAAAAACGUUACAUAUAUUUCAUAAUUCUGACUCUAGAGUAGGAUAAAGUUUUAUAAAUAACUUGUCAAAUAGAUAAGUAAACUGAUCUCAUUUUACAUCACCAAAAUCAAUUACGAAGGAAAACUUAUGGAUUACCUUCUCUAAAGAAUUCAAAUAAUCCACAGCCCUUUCUCUAUUGACCAUGAAUGUCUGCUCAUCCAUCUCAAUAUUUGGCGAUCCCCUACACAAAGCACAUGAGAAUAUAACUUAGUUGGCAAAAUGUACCUAACUUCUUGCAUGAACAAGUCAAAAAGUCAAUUCCCAUGAUUGCUGGGGGUAGUAUUAAUUGUCUGUCCACGCUUAAAUUAUGCUUGGGAAGAGAGUAUUACAACAGAGAUAGAAAAGGAGUACUCAACUUACUUUCCCCACCAAAGGUCAUCCUGUGUAGUCUCGUCUUUAACGACACGUUUAUCCUUAGGGGAACGUCCAGUCUUGGCACCAGAAAGCGUUGCUAGUGCACCAGUAGACGUAAUAAAUGACCCUUUUUCAUACUUGAUCGCCUGCUCGUAUAACUCUGUUUUCACAUCAGAUAAAUGCAUUACAAGAAUGUACGAUUAAUGGUUCAUCUCUCAUCUAGUUGAUUUAUUUUUUCAUUAUAAGUAGACAGUAUAAUAAAGAAGAAGCAGAAGAAGAAGAAGAUCUGCAGUCUAUAAAGAAGAAGAGAGAUUAUACCAGCAGGAGAGAGGUUGUAAAGGACGUGAGUGAAUUUCAACGAACUGUCACUAACGCUGAUGGUUGGGGUGCCAUGGGCAGGGUGUUGGGUUACGUGUGAAACCCCUGCAGUUUCGGCCUUUCUCGCCGGGUCUCCUUUCACCAGUUUGGGUCCAUAUCCUCUUGUCAGCGAUGCUAGAGAAGCACUGAAUAAUAAAGAGACCACCCCAAAACAAAAUUAUAUAAUAAAAGAAAAAUAAGAGAAAGAGGAAUGAUAUAUGCUGCACAGAGAAUUUUUGUUGAAGAAAUAGUAAGUGAUAGAUACAAAAUACAGAAAAAAUGUGAAAUAUGAAAAUAAGUAAGUCGUGCAAUAAUCGCUUAAUAAGGAGAAAGGCUCUUAGAGGCUUCCCUAAUGCCACGUUCAGAAAAUAAUUCUGUAGCGGAUAGUUGGGAGUGAAAAGUGUAUGGGAAGAGGCGAAUGGAUAAAGAAAAAAAUAUUUAUGUAUUCUUCUUUUGCUCUAUUAUUUUCUUUGUUUCUCUAAAACAGUAACAUGCUAAGACAUCCAUCCAUGCAUCCUGAUAAAUGUAGUCCUUUUUCUAGUCCUGCAACAAUUUUUGCAUUUUCAUAACCAAGCUAUUUGGUACUCGUACUAGUGACAUGAGUACAUGCAAAGUUAGAAUGUCAAAUGCUCUCCAAUCCAUCAUUAAACUUUCAAAGGGUAACAUCUUCAUCUACUGGUUGCUUUACGUUCUAGAAGAGAGCUUAAAAGGGUAUCAUUUUGAUUUAGUCUUUUUCCAUUAUCGAAAUCAAUUAGUACUUGUUUCUGGUUUCUAGUAUUUUCUAGUAUUGAAUAUUGAUUACCUGAUGGACUGCAGCUGCUGUUUCUGACGUUCUUGGCCAGACGGAGGAGCAAAAGCAACAUCCUGAGUCUUGUCGGGAGUGGGAGUAGAAGGUGCUGACUUCUUCAUCUGCAACGAAUGAAGCUCGUCUAUUGUUUGAGCCUUCACGGUUGGCACGCUGUCGUCGUGACAUAUUUCGUCAUGACUCUUGUCCGUCUGAAUCUUCGGUAAUCCCUGGCGUCCAGCUGCCUCUUCGUUUGAAGUCAUUUUGUCUGCUCUUUUAUAAAUUUACCCUACACCAUAUCAAACCAUCUUCCAUAACUCAUUAAUAUAACAUAUAUAAUGGACCCCCAAAGAAAAAACAAACAAAGAAAAUCAAACAAUACACACCGAAAAAUGCAAGCUGAAGAAGAAAACUACUACGAUAAAGAAUAUGGGCUUUUAAAGAAAAUUGGCAGAUAUAAAACAAACAAAUGACUGAACCAUCAAAAUGGUUAUAAGUGUGAUGUGAUAUCACUGCCUUGUUUUACGGCUAAGCAGAAGGUGAUGAAAUGUGGUGUAGCUCAAAUACAGAGGUCGUAUUUAUAGGACUGAGGAGCACUCUUUUACCGUAGAUUACAGUUAAACUCUUGGGGCCUUGACCGGUUCACCAUGUCAAGCUCCAUGGUCUCCGGACAUUUCAUUUAGUUGUCUUUUGAUUUUUAUCUUAUCCUUUUUCUUAGUUACAACAUCUUUUGAUAUCUUUAUUUAUACUAUAUAAGAAUUAGUUGUGGUCAAAGAGAGAUUUGAAUUUCAACCGUAUGAUAGAAGCUUUUUGAAAAUGUGAAAUGUUGUACAGUUUUUUUAAAAAUUUUUGGUACAACUAAAAGGCAGCAUGUGCUUAUUUAAAUUUAUCGAAAUGCUCUCAUUUUAGCACAUUUAAAGCUUUGAUUUAUGGAGACAUUUGAGUAUUUCUGGAAUAUAGAAUUAUUUUGCAAUCGUUUUUACAUCGAGUAUAACUCAUAUAAGUUUAUGUGUUGGUGUAUUUACUGAAAUGAUAUUAUAUACACGUUGAAUUGAAGUGUAGCUUUUGUUGUGCAAUUAACACAAAAAUAUAUUAACACAUUAUGUAAUUAACACAUUGCUAUAAUUAGCCAUUGGAGGAUAUUCCUUUGUCUGAAACAACUUAUGUUUCAUCUUUGACGAUUUUCAAUUGACAUUUGUAGGGGUCUUUUGGUAAUGAUAAAAUUGUAAAAACAUUGAUAAAACAAAGUGUUUAAGUGUGUGUUACAAUUAGAACAUACUAUUAUUAGUUUUGUAAUAUUUAAUGACUAUUUUUUUAAAUAUAUUAUUAUUUGUUCAAUGAAAAAUUUUAUUUAAUCACAAGCACCAAACACCCGCACGAUACACGAGCAUUCCCCCCUAGUACUACUAGUUUUUCUGAUAGAAAGCGCUGCGAUAAAAGUCCCGAAAUUCAUGAGUUGCUUUAAUGUGUUAGGAUGGUUAAUUAUUUGGAAAAUUAUUUUAGAAUAGCACCAUAACAAAUUUUGUGAAGUUAUGCAUGUCAUGUAAAAAGUGGAUGGAGAGAUAAAAAGAGUGAUUCAAAACCGGUUUAUGAUGCAAACAAAAAGUACUGCCAAAUGACAAUAUAACCAGAUAAUCCAAGUUUAACAGAUAAUGUACAAAAAUACAGCAAUACAUGGAAUGCAAAAUGAGUCCAGAAUCUUUUUUAUUUCCCUCAUCACGAAAAAUCUUACUUCAUUUCGUCAGAACAAAUUCUGAAAAUACUAAAUCAUCGUAAUGAUAAUAACUGAACUAUUGAGAUUUUACUAAAUUAUGGAAGUUAUCUGCAUGUGCCUCCAUGCCAUGGCAUCAUUCGACUACCUUAUGGGGUGCUUCAUUUACAUCUUAAAAAGUAUUGUGAUACAAUCACUGCAAAUUAUGCGAAGUUUUUAAUAUGUCUCAUUGAGCAGAUAGAUUUUUUUAUUCUGUUACCAUUUUCAUUUUCUUUGCUAGUAACCAUAGAUUGGUCCCCAACUUUCUUCAUUCUUCAAUUGUUUUAUAGCUAGUUUGUGAGUUGAGGAUAGAAAAGAAAGGAAGAGAAAGGUUAAGUUACAAGAGAAAAGAAAAGAUAAGAAAAGAAGGGAAGAGGUUUUAAUGUUGUUUGGGAGUUUAUGAAAGAAAAGAAGUGAUUUUGGACACAUAAGUAAAUAAAUAUUUCAUUCAACAGCUUUUUAGGGGUAGAAUGGGCAAUUUAAAAAACUUUUUGCUGCCUUUCCGUGCUUUCCUUUGCUUUCUGCCCGAUUUGGGCCGGAAAUUUUUUUGAAACUGUAGCUAUUUUUUCGUCCUUCCAAUUCCGUCGGUUUCUUUUCCUUUCCUUUCACUUAAAACUCUCAAAUGUGGGAGAUGCAGUCUUUCUCUUCUAUUCCUUUCUUUUCUGUUCAAAUCUCAUCUCCCAAACUAGCUAUUAAUGUCUUUCAAUCCUGAUAUUUGCCUAAUGUAUGGUAUUAUAUUGACUUAAAAAGGAAAUAUGUCAAGUUUAAUAGUAGGAUAUAUUCAUUUUAAGCUAAUCUGUUAGGUGUUUAUUAGUUGAUUAAUCUAUAUAAAUACUAGUAUUAGUUAGAAAGAGAAAAUUCAUUUUAUUUCUAAUAAAUUAUACAUGAUUUGCACCCAACAAACUUAUACGCUAAAUAGAGAAUAAAUGAAUUCGUUAGAAUGGAAGAUUAUUUGAAGAAUUUUUUUUAGAAUAAUACCGGAGCAUUUUUUUAUGAUGUUAUCUAUAAAAAGAUGCUUGAAAUAGUGAAAAAGUUGUUGAAAAAUAUAUAUAUAAUGCAAGUAAAAUAAUUUUUAUAAAUAAGGGCCGUCGAAAUUCGAAACAAACCCCUUACACUUUUGUUUGUCAUAUUGUCUUAUUUUAUUUUGUUAUUGUCAUUGUUAUUAUUUAUUUAUUUUUUAGUACAGGGGGGGAUUACACUUGAAAGCGGCCCCCGUUUAAUCGACUAACAGGCUUUUAUAUUUAAGCCCAAAUUUAACAAACCCGGAUGCCCGCAACCCGGCUGGGUUCUUCAUCAUCAUUCCUCAGGAUUCAACAAAUUUGUCGUCUCCGCGUGACCAGGCAGAAGACGGCUGCCCGAAAAUGGAUUACAGAGACAAGCUAGUUUUGGCGCCUAUGGUCCGCGUUGUAAGUUUCUACAACCUUAUUGUUUUCUAAACUAUAUCUGUUUAGCAUCUUAUGUUGUCGCAGCUCUAAUUAUUACCUAUCCACAAGAAUGAAUUUAUUCUCUGAAAACAAAAUAAAGCUAAAAAGUGAAGACAUUUUACAGGGGACGUUGCCAUUCAGGUUACUAGCUGCAGAAUAUGGCGCCGAUAUAACAUAUGGGGAAGAAAUUAUUGAUCAUAAACUCCUCAAGUGCGAGCGUCGAAUUAAUGGUAUUGAUUUCGUUUUUCUUAAUUAUUAUGACUGUUCUUUCCUUGCACAUUUGAUUCUAUUAGUAAGUUGAGUUAUAUUAUACUAGAAUCUAGCACCAGUAUAACUGAUAGCCGGGAUUUGUGUUUCGAUGGAAAAAUGGGGGAAUGAAGUAUAUGUAACUGUCUAAACAAUUUUUGUAUUGGGUCAGCUUUAAUUAGUCUUCCUCAACUUCUGCCUGUAUAAUUUAGCUACAUGCGACUUAAUGUGAUCGUUUUUGGAGGCUGAGCUUAAAACAAAUCAACUCAAAAGAAGCUUUCUGCCCUUUCUUACCACCUCCUAGGCACCUUAUGCUGUAAGCAUUUGAAUGAUGUUUCCUCAUUUCAAACGUAAUUGCUUUUCGUUGUAGGUGCAUAUCAAACUUAGGUUAUACAUUUGCUGUGUGUUCCAAUUCGUGAAAAUGCAUUGUCUGGUGAGGAAAGGGUGAUAAAUGUCAGAGUUUUUGGAUGCCAGUAUAAAGUGAAGCUAGUGAACAAAUGUUACAUACAAUAAAUAUGGUGCCCCAUAUAAGUUCGCUUAUGGUUGCGGCAAAUGGUUUGUUAAUGGUGGUUUAAAGGGACAAGAGGUUUUGACCAUAAUAAGUACUUGGAAGCUAGUGAGUGGAAAGUUGGUGACGCUGCUUAACAUGGUUACAAGAUAUGUCCUUCCCAAACUUAAAAAUUCAACCCUGUUUGCUUUAGCCAUCUAAUCAUUGCAUGAGAGGCAUUUCUUCUUCGCAAAAUAUAAAACUUUUUUUUCUUUUCCGUCCUACUCUUCUUCUCGUGUGAAAUUUGCUUGCUUUGUGAACUUAAUGGAGUCAGACUAUUAGCUUUAUUGAUGUGUUGAAUAUUCUAAUCCAGUUCUGUUCUUUUUAUAGAUGUGCUCAGAUGCACUGAUAUAGUGGAGAAAGGAACAGAAAGCGUUGUUUUCAGAACAUGCCCAGAAGAGAGAAAUAAGGUUGUAUUUCAGAUGGGUACUUCUGAUGCAGUAAGGGCUCUUAAGGCUGCUCAGUUAGUGUAAGUUUGUUAUUCUUGUUAAGGUUUGGACUUCUCUAAGAAAUUUGGUCGGGUAGUUUAACCUGAAUGAGCUGACAUACUUUGUCUUCGAGACUUUUUUCUGAAUCUUACUUUAUUUUAGGGUUUUCAAGUCAGGUUUUACAGAUUCUUCAGUAUACCAUUUAGCUUUUCUGCUAUAGCUCUUUUUUGAUGUAUAGACAUUGGUAGUAGUGAUUUUGAUGCAUACCUAAUGCUUAGCUGUCUUUAAUAUGCUUUUCUGGAAGAUCCAAGUAAUUUGGCAUCACCCUUAAUCAAAUAUCAUUCAGCAAUGUCCUUUUGUGUCUGGCUGAUUACCAUUUUCAGCUGCUACUUACAUUCUUGGACAUGUGACUCCUUUUACAGGUGUAAGGAUGUUGCAGCAGUGGACAUUAAUAUGGGUUGCCCCAAGUCAUUUUCCUUAAGUGGAGGAAUGGGUGCUGCUCUUUUGACUAAACCAGAGCUGAUUCAAGAUGUUAGGAAAUCAACAUUGGUGGCUAGAAUUCUUGCUCCACCUUCUCACUGUAGAUUUUGCAAUCCACCAUUCUUUGACUUCUCUCUUUCAAAUGCAGAUUUUAACAACCUUAAAGAGGAAUUUGCAUAUGCCUGUGACAUGCAAGAUUCGGCUGUUAAAAUCCUCUCGUGAUACGGUGGAAUUAGCGCAGAGAAUUGAGAAAACUGGUGUUUCUGCUCUUGCUGUCCAUGGGAGGUGAUUUUUACGUCACCUUGCAUUUAAGAAUCCUUUUAAGCAAGUGUAGCUCUUCCCUUUGUUGUUCUUCUAGUAAAAUCUUUAAAGUACCAAUUCUGUCCAUCGCUACUUUUACAUUGGUUCGUGAUAUAUUUCAAUGGUCUAAUCAGUUACUUUAUCUUUGUCUAUGGGUGCCAUUCAAAUAUCCUGCUAAUGCUUUUCUUGUAGCUAUAGGCCAUUGCUUUCUAGAAAUUUUCCUUUAUUCAAGUAUUUAAUAGACUCUUGAAUGAAAGAAUUGCAGUUAUUGCUGUAGAAAUGCUGUCACUUUCAUUUUCAGUUCUACUAAGAGGAGGCAAAGUAUUAAUUCUCCAUAUUGACUUCUUGCCAAAGUAGUUCAUAAAGGAUGCUAGAUGUUGAAAGGUUGUCCUGCAAUUACCUUCUUGUUAAAAUGUUUACUUGAAUUCAAGAACAACUAUUUGGAUCUUUUCAAACUUUUUAAUUGCUGUUUCACCAAUGAUUAUGCAGGAGAGUUGCAGACAGGCCAAGAGACCCUGCUAAGUGGAAUGAAAUUGCUGAUGUGGUAGCUGCUCUUUCAAUACCUGUUAUAGCCAAUGGUGAUGUUUUUGAGUUUGAAGAUUUUGAACGCAUGAAAGUUGCUACAGGUAUGUAAAAAGAGAAUGCGUCAAUCUUUAGUCUUUCCUUCUUGACUUCAUCUAAUCUUUUUUGGGUCGAUAAUUUUUGUAGUCAUGAUAAUUUUUAGCAAUAAAAGGUACUUCUUUUCAUGAACAAUUAUUCCUAAGAUAUAUUAUUUAGCAGUAAUUGUAAAGGAACGGAUGGAUGAAUGGGUUUUGUCAGGAUGCUGAAGACUGCCUCUGUGGUCUUAAUGCUUUAGUCAAAGACAAAUUACUGUUUGUUAAACAACACUGGAAUAAUGUUAUGUAAUCUUUUGCACCAUUAUCUUGUUUGUGUUUUAAUGUGCAAUUUGGAUGUGGUUUUUGUGUACUAACCAAAGAUAUUUUAGUUGUCUAAUGAUUGAAAGCUAGUUGGCAUGUGCAAAAGGUUAUGAUGGAUUAAACAUGCUGGUUGUAAUACAGCCUCUAAAAUCUUUUUGAAUUUUUCUGGUUUUGCUAAUUCCUCUUUUUUAACCAUUCAUUCUCUACUAUGUCGUUCUCCCCUGUUUAUGCUUCCUCUGUGAUUGAUAUCUCCUUUAGUGAUUCCUGAGGUUCAAUGGGCUUUGUUGCCUACUCUAUGGGCACUUUAAUACUUCCAAACUCCUAUAUGAGGUUCUACUUCAGUAAUUGCCUGAUUCGCUUUAAGACAUGCUUGUUUACUGCUUUCCAAAAGCCUGCCUUAAAUUUUUGGCCAUGUUGUGGUUUUAGUUUUUCUUUUGAAAGAGGGUAUAGUUCGUUGGAGAUCUUUGUUUAUGUGGAUCCAAGCCUUUUUCGCUCUUUACCGUCUUUAGCUGACCUUUCUCUUCCUUGAGCAGACUUCUUUUCUAAGGGAAGUCAUCCAACUAGCUGAAGGGGAAUGUGGAAUUUUUAUGCUGGUAAACUCCAUAUUUUUUUGUUGAGAUGCAUUAAUUUGCUAAUGGCAUGCAGUCAAAUCUGGGUUCUGCUGCCUGUUAGACCUAGCUUUUUGUAGUCUCCUGAUAGGGGUACAAUGUAUUAUAGCUUUGUUGGAACAUUUGACAUAAAAUUGACAAAGUUAGGCAAACAUAUUGGGUUCUUUCAUCCACUCUACGUGAUUUGACUCACUUAUCAAUCUUUUUCUUUUUGAGGUUGGAUGUGCCAGUUAGUCUAUGGGAGAUUUUAACUAUUGGAUACAGGAUUAGGUUUAUACCCUGCCUCUGAACCUGGCUAUCACCCUUAUCUUCAGUUUCUGUAUUCAGGGUGGUGUGACUUUUCUGCCUAAUGUCAUAAUAGUUUGCUUACGUAAGACACCCUGUUAUUGAUUUCCCUCCUGACAGGUGCCUCAUGUGUUAUGGUUGCUAGAGGUGCUCUUUGGAAUGCUUCUAUUUUCUCUCCUACUGGCAAACUACCAUGGGAAGAUGUGAAAAGAGAGUAUAUAAGAAAGGUUCAGGCCUUUAGAUAAUUUUCAUUUUGCUUUUUUAUUCCUUGUAUAGUUUUAAAAGUUCAAUGUUUCUGGGUUUCCGAAUUAAGAAUGGUGAAGAAGUCAUGAUCAAUUUGCUUGCAAUUGAUUCUGUUUGAAAAUACUUUUUGCCAACCCUUCGGUCCUUUGUUCAGAGUAUCUUAUGGGAUAAUGACAUCAAGAGCACCAAGCAAACUCUGAAGGAAAUGAUAAUGCAUUACUCUUGCCUUGAAUUCCCGGAGGGAAAGGCUGUGACUAAGGCAGAGACUUUGGCAGAUCUUGCGUAAGUAUCACUUCAAAUUACUUUCUUGUCAUAAAUGUUCUUGCAAACGAAUUGAAGGUGUUACGCAACAUGGCACCGUCUAGGUAGAACUUCUCAUGAAGCUGUUAUUGAGGUCAACUAUUAUAGGUUCUUCAUGCGAGAUUAUUGUGUUGACUUUUCUUUCUUUCUUUUUUCAAGUCAACUUUAUGGGCAAGAGCAAUAUUAUGAGUAUGUCAAAUUGAACCAGCUCUCAUCUACUCGAAGUAGGUGAAAUCCUUUCAGCAGCUUAACCAUGAGCCUAAUUGCAAAAAGUAGGCAUGCUUGCUCUUCAGUCUGAGGAAUGCUGAUUUUUGUGGUUGUACUAUAUUGGGACUGCCUGCAGCACACGUAAUUGGCAGAACGUUUACCAUGUAAGAGCAUAUAAUUUGUCCGGCGAGCUUGCACUGAUUUCAUUCCAAUGAUAAUUUUUGCUAAAAAUUUGAGAACUUCUGGAUGUAUACAUAAAAAUUUAGCAGACCGAAUUUUCCUAAACCCCUUUGACUUUUUGGAUGGAUAUCACUUCAAAUUCUUGGCAGGCGUCUAUUUGAGUACCUGCACCUGGCAUUUCCUUCUAGUUUUUACAUGUACUGCCGGCGGCAUUUUCUGUCGCAGCCGUGUUAUAGCUUAUUAUUGGGCAAGAGCCAAUGAGCCAUAGUCACGCGAGAUGCAAAAUUCGAGAGCUGCAGCUACCCGCUUGUUUUUUUUUUUUUUUGGAUUUCAUGGUGUUUUAGGUGCUUUGUGGAAAUACGUCAGGGGAAUGAAAUAGCGAGGACAAGCCCCCCAUCAAAGACUGGGGAGAGGGUGCUAAUUGUUGCUAGCUGAUUUUAAAUUGAGGAGAGCUCUUUUCUACCGGAGGUUGUGGGUGAAAUGCUAUAAUAUGGUGCAACCACCUAAGGUCGAUAACUUAGUUCAAUACUUAAAUAUAAUAGAUUUAAAUUUUAGCAUAUUCAUACCGUUUGAUAACGAAAAUUGAACAUCCGAAUUAAUUAAGUGGUACUGAAUUUUUUGGGUAAAACUUGUUUUCAAAAUUAAAUGAUAAGCUAUUCACUUAUCAUUGAAUAUGAUAUGCAUUCAAAUAUAUUAAAUUUAAUAUUUAACAAUUCAAUAAUUUAAUUAAAUCAAACUUUAGAUUUUAUAUUUGAGAUUUUAGUUUUAUUAAACGCAUCCUAAAUCAUGCUACCUCAAUAAGUACGUGACAGAUUUAAGGGCGGUUCUUCCCCCAUUUUUAAUAGAUUGGUUUUUGGUUUCAUAAUUUUUGCUUAAUUUGAGCUAUUUUCUGCAAUGUUAUUCCUAUUUAGCUUCAUUGUUUUAUACUCUUGACCUUCCCGCGGUCCUAGAAUCGAAGGCAUACUAUGAGUUACUAUGAAUUUCUUUCUAAAUGCUACUAUCAUAUAUUCGGCCGUAAUGCAAAAUUUUGUUUCGGUUUGAAAUGAUUACAUGACAGGUCUAUCCAGUGAAAAUGCUAUAAAUAAGAUCGUGGAGUUCAAUGAUUAAGCAUUAAUGGAGAUUUUAUUUAAAUUGUUAUUACAUUCUAGUAGGUUUUAAUUGGUCAGAUUUGGCAAGAGUUUCUCACCUAAAUCCUAGAUUUUAGCCUUUAACAACAUACCCAAAAAAAAAAGGGAAAGAAACGGUUGGGAAUAUAACAUUGGCCGCCUCCUCAACAAAACCGCAGACCUCAUUCACUGCAGGAGAUUUGUGGAAGGGUAAAUGCUGAAAACCCCUAAGAAUUAUUAUAGUAAGUGCAUUUUACACUCUAAAUUAUUUUAACAGGCGCUUUAUAGCCUUAAUUAACCAGAAAAUAAUAAGAAAAUUAAUUCCAUCCAAAAAAUUGAAGAAAUUAUCAAUUUAUCUUCCAUUAAAACUUUAUAAGUGACAAAAUACCUUUUUGGUAGAAAAGUUGCCACUUUAAAUGGAUUAAUUUUCACUUCGUAAUCAAAUUCUAACUAUAAACAUAUAACAAUAAAAUAUAUGAUCACUUUGAAUGACAAUUAAAACAAAAGAAGUAUGAAAAAGAAGAAGAAGAAAGGGAACAAAUUUAGUUCAAAAAUCACAACAACCCUAUUUUAUUACAUAUUUCAAGUUAGCUUAGGUAAGAAAAGAUUGCAAUGAAGAAAAAAGGCACGUGAAGUCCUAUUUAUUUCUCAUGCAAGCCCAGUUAGGCUCCCUCUUUAGUCUCUCCCAUAGGAUAGAAGUAAUGUAGAUUGUUGCUGCUAAACUCAAAAAAAGUCUUAUUUAUUCCUCUAAUUUCGAGCUAUACCUUCGUUUUAUUUUUAUAUGCACAUAACAAAUGAAAUAAUUUAGGUGUUUUAUUUAAAAUUUUGAGUUCAAUAUUUUGUUUACUAAUAUUUAGAUUAGGUUUUAAUUUAGGUUUGGCAUUUUGAAUCUUUAUUGCUUUCAUAUGAAAAUUUUGUUUUCUAUGCUAAUUUUAUUCUUGUGAAGAUUUCAAGUGAAAUUUUGCUGGUUAUAUGAAGUAAUGGCAUUAUGAUGGGUCGGAGAAAAUUAUGAGAUUUUAAAAAUUGUAACCGUUGUAUCUCAAUAUUUCCAUAUUUUGCCCCUAUUUUAGUUCUAAUAGUCUUAUUAUUCAAAGCAAAGCUACAUAUAUAGUAAUCUUUUUCAUGAAAAUGGUGGUAUUUUUGUGACUUAAGUUUUUAUGGACAAUAAAUUGGUCAUUCCAUUAAUCACUUGGAAAAAAUUAAUUGUCAUAUUAUUUGUUAGUUGACUAAGGGUGCAAAGUGUCUACUAAUAUUUUAGGGUGCAAAUUGCAACUAGUGCAAAGUUGGUGCGAGCUCUCUGCAUUUAAUUCUAGAAUAAACAACGAAAAACGAGGGAUAAAAGUGGAAUGAAAUGGUUGAGAACCCAAACGUAAGCAAACGGCAAUCUGUUCUCCCUAAUUUAUUUAGAAAAUCUCUGGGCUUCUAUUCUCUCUCUCUCUCGAGCGUUUUCUUGUCAUCAAGCCAAGGUUCCACACAACAUCCGACCCGAACCACCUAACCCACCCUUCUGUCGACGGUCGGGUAUCCAUUUUCAUAGUUUAACAAUCUCCGGUAAGACACAAUACCAGCAUCUUCUUUUCUGUCCUAAACUCCCAAAGUACUUGGUGAUUAUAUUUUCUACUACUUUUGCUGAAACGACGCCGCCAGUGACCGGUGAGUUACUAGCAUAAAUUUGAAGGGGGAAAAAAGAUUAAAUUUUGAUGAGUGCUUAAAUUUUCGUGUCAUGAUUUUCGAUCUGAAUUUGUGUGGUGCAUCAUUAUUCACGCAUCCAAGCACACAGUUUAGUAUAUUUGUUGCGUGGAAGCAUCAUCUAUUAUUUGUUUUUUUUUAAUCUUUCUUCUUUAGAUAUGGAAUUGCUUCCGAGUUACUGCAUUUUGUUUUCUUUGUUUGUAAUGUUUGAUUCGGCGAAUUUGAGAAAUCGUUAUUUAUUUUUCUCCACGUAUUGUUGAUUCUUGAGUGUGAUUAGUAGGCGGAGCACUUCUGAUUGGGUGGGCUUAUAGAUGGCACUGCGGCUAAUUAACAUUCUAAUGCUUGUGUUAACUAAAUUGAGCUGCUUACAGAAAACGAAAAUAAAAAAACUGAAUUGAGCUGGUAUUACUUUUGCUUAGUUGAAAAGUUGCUUAAGAAGGAAAUCUUGCUGUUUUCUUUAUGACAAAAAAAAAGGGUGUUUCAACUGUGUUCUAUUGUUUAUUUUGUUUUAUUUCGGGAGAUAUUUAUUUAGGUCUCUUAGGAGAAUCGGAGGGGAAACUUGAGAAUAGAGUAUAUUACUUUCUCGUGUAGUUUGGGAGUCCCAGAGAGAAAACAGCAAUUCAGAAAGGAGUUCUAUUGAAGUUUGAGUUUUAUGGGUCAUUUUUUGUAGUUUUCUUUCAUCAUCAUCAUCUUCUUCUUCUUCUUCUUUUAAAUCGAAAUCCUUUUUCUUCAUUCCUUUUUGUUUUACUUGAGUAGUGAGUUAUAGAUUUAAAGAUGCAAUAAAAAAUUUGAUUAUCUUCUUAAGCUUGUUAUGCAUAUUUUAUGUUGGUGUUUAAACUUUUUCUCAUCUAUGUCAUCAUGUCUGAUUUAAGUUCAAGUUUUAGUGGUCAUGUGACCAUUGGAAUGAGGCACAUUCUAGGUUUCAUGGAAAAAUUUCCAGAAUUUUUUACUUUUUUUUUUCGGUUUCACCUAACAUUAGUAGAAUCUUCACUUGAAAGCUAAUUUUCUUGCAUUUUUACGCCUGGAGAGUAAAGACUAGCUGCACUCGACAUUUUGUUGCUUGUGUGUGUUUGGGUUGGGGGGGGGAGUCUUUUUUUUUUUUUUUUGAGGACAGAAUUCUCUGUUUUUGAAUAAUUCCCGUGCAUGUAUGUGCCUUUCUUAAAUUGUACAACAUUAACUGUAUUUCAGGUUUGCCCCUGAGUUGGUAUAACACAAAAAAGUUGUUAAAGUUGAAAAGACCCUGUCUUCCUCGGUGCUUUAACAACUUUCAGGUGACUUUUACCUUUUGUAUUCGUUUCCACUAAAUAAAUCUGUAUUCUUCGACUGUCAAUCUCCAAAAAAAGAGUCAUGUGUUUGGGUCUUAAGUUGUUUUUAUCACUAUUCAUUUAUUUUUCAUAGUCUGAUAUAUGGUCCGCUGGGUUGAACCUGCUAAGUGUAUUCUUUUUCGUUUGAAUCCGUGCUGUAGAUAAUCUCAUUAUUGAGCAAUAAAUUCUUCCAAUUAACACUUAAUAAGUUUUAGAUCUGAAAUUGGAUGAAGUUGGAGAGAGAUAAAUAACAGAAUUUUCAGAAUUUCAAAGCAAUUAAAUCUUGGGUGAUUAGCCAUUCUUAUUUGGCAUCCCGGUGCACUCAUAAAGACUGGCCCAUCAUUGUUGAUUGGGUUUUCAAGUUUUAUCAAGGCUUUUUCUUUGCUGAGUGAAGGGAAAUUUGAAACUUUAUCUGAAGUAACAGUCUGGAAAACAUGACCCGGACUUCCAUCUGCCAAAUCCCUCUACCUGUCAAAAAAUUUUAAAAGCCAUUGUCAAGUUAUUGUGGGUCUCAUAGGUUCAGGCUAUAUGUUACUUCACAUUUUUAUCCCAUUUGUUUAACAAUUUCAGCCAAGCUUCCUUUAUUCAUGUUGUGUAAGAGGUCCAAAUAUGACUCGUUUGAGCAGCUUGGUGAUGUUUGUUUUGUUAAAAUCCUACUGAUAAACAUAAGUGAAUCAUCAGCUACAAAUGUCUUAUCUAUGCAAAAGAACACUUUCUUUUGCCAUUUUACUCUUUUCCUUUUUGAAAGGCCUUUACUAAUCUUUCCAGAGCUAGUUAUGGGGCGUCAUUGACUCAUUGAACUCGAGCAAUAUUUUCUCUGUUCUCAUCUGGCCUUUGUCUUGUUGUGAUGUACUUUUGCCUGGUCAAGCCCUUGGAGUCACUUAAAAGAGUUUUGAGACCAUCUUUUGUUAUGAUUUUGAAUUUCUUUUGAUAUUUUGAGUCUCAGUCAUCUGGUAUUAAUUCUGACUUUCACAUAAACUGAAACUUAGAAGAGCAUAAUUAUAUUAUCUCUCUGAGAACCAAUGACCUUUUUGUUUUCCUCUUUUAAUUUCAAUUAUUUCACUCUGGCUGUACUUGUAAAGUACUAAUGAUCAUGUGGUGCAUAUAUAUGGAUUUUCUGUCUGGUUUCAUCAACAUACAAGUAAUUCAUGGAGUUCUUAUUGAGCUUUGCAGUGUUUUGUCUUUUAAAACUGCAGAUGUUAAAGCUUGAUUUUUGUUAUGUAGCUAAAUGACAAGACUAAUUUCCCUGGGCAAAGUUAGAUGACUCGAUAUGAGGCUGUACAUUGUUAAUAAUAUAGUAAAAUUGAAGUUCAUCUAAUAGAAAAAAUAUGCUGGAUACUAGGAUGAAGAAAGGAGCCUUCUUGCUAUAGACGAUUUGAGAGAGCCUAUCUUGGUGGUAACAAAUUAAACAAUAGCUUUUUUUGAUAAUCUCACUGGUUUUGUGAGUCAUGGAUAAAGAAAAGGUGUACCAUUCACCGACUAUUAUAGUUUGAGUAACUCGAGUAUGCCUACUCUUUGUUUUAAUCCCUUGAUAUUUAGUCUUCCAUCUGCCAUAUUUCGGGAGAAUUUCAUGAUGCUAGUUAAGUUGGUGAUCGUCUUUGGUCUUGAAUUGGAAAUCGUACAGGAGAAAAGUUUUAGGCAAUAUUGUUUCUUUUAAUGUGCUUGUUGUAAGUUUUAAUCAAAAUGUUGUUCUUUAUGGAAGUAUUGUACAAUGAGUCCUGACUGAGAUGUAACAUGGUCUCUAACUUUUUGAUUUCAAAAUCGACUAGUACACCUGUUUCUUCUUGAAAAGGGAAAGGGAGAAAGAAAACAAGUAAAUAGGGCGAAGAAAAGGGUAAAAACAAUUUUUUUUGUUAAAUGCAUAAUCACUCUUUUGUGUCUCCCGGCUUAGGGAAAAGCUGCUUCGGAAUAAGUUGGCUGAUCGUUUAUCUUUGAGACUUUAUAGGUACUUGUGUGUUUGUUUAUGAAGGUAGAAUAAUGUUUAUAUCAUCUCUUCUCUAAUCUAGGCAUUGAUAUUUACUAGUGAUGAAAUGUUUCUGCCUACUUUUAAUCUCUUGUAGAUUUCAUUUUUGCUUGCUUUUGCUUUUUCCUGUAAUGAGAGAAUGAGGAUCCUCUUGAGUUUUUGGGGACUCAUCAUUUUGAUCCCUUUCUUUUUGGCUGUGGUUGAUUAGAUUUAGAGUUUAUAAAGAAGGAACUUGAGCUAGUAUAAAAUGGAGUUGAAUACUAUCAAGGAUGCGUUUGAUCGUGUUACGAAGAAGCAGAAACUGUCAUCAUCAAAAUCCCAAGAAAUCAUAGAACAAAUUAGCCAAGAGAUAGAACAAGCCCUGUCAAGAAUAGGACCAGGUGAUGAUAUUAUGACUCAGACUGAUCCUAGGUUUGUGUUAUGUGAACUAAAAGCCAAGUUGAAAGAAAUCGGGCCUCUCAGUCAGCUUGAAGUGACACAGAAGGAAUUAAAUGUGGCAUUAAGCAAGUACCCAAAGCUCCUAGAGAAAUCCUUCAAUCCUGAUAUAUCAAAGGCUUACAGAAAUAUUGAUUUUGAUAUCCACACAGUGAACCAGAUAAUUGCCAGCCACUUUUAUCGGGAAGGGCAUUUUGAUCUCGGUGAUUGUUUUGUACAUGAGGCCCGGGAACCGGAAGCUGAAGCUGCAAAGUCAUCUUUUGCCGAAAUGUACCAGAUACUUGAAGCCAUGAAAUUACGCAACUUGGAGCCUGCUUUGAAGUGGGCUGCUACCAAUCAUGAUCAGCUUAACCAAAAUGGUUCUGACAUUGAAUUGAAACUUCAUCGCCUUCAGUUUGUGGAAAUUUUACAGAAAAAGCGUAGAGAUGAAGCUCUUAAUUAUGCUAAAACUUUUUUGGCUCCUUUUGCUAAGAGUCACAUGGCUGAGUUCCAGAAGCUUAUGGGCUGUCUGUUGUGGGCUGGAAAGCUUGAUGCUUCACCAUAUGCUGAAUUGCUGUCCCCAGUGCACUGGGACAAGUUGUCUGAGGAGCUUACCCGGCAUUUCUGCAAUUUAAUGGGUCAGUCCUUUGAGAGUCCAUUAAGCGUAACGGUUGCUGCUGGAGGCCAAGGUUUGCCAACCCUUCUGAAGCUGAUGAAUGUAAUGACAGGAAAGAAGCAGGAAUGGCAGUCAAUGAAACAGUUACCUGUUCCAGUGGAUUUGGAUAGAGAAUUCCAGUUCCAUUCUGUCUUUGUGUGCCCUGUGAGUCGAGACCAGGCAAGCGAAGAGAAUCCACCCAUGCUUUUGUCGUGCGGGCACGUGCUCUGCAAGCAGUCUAUAACUAAGUUGUCAAAGAAUAACAGUACUAGACCUUUCAAGUGUCCUUACUGCCCCUCUGAGGUUGAGGUAGGUCAAUGCAGGCAGCUGUAUUUCUGAUGUUUACUCCCGACGCAUAACCCUGUUGUUCUAAAAUCCUUCUUUGGUCAUCCUUUUUUUGUUUCACAUGAACUAAAUGUUUUAAUGGCUGUAGCGACACUGGACUCUCGGUAGUAUAGGGUUUGUGUGGCAGGGUGGUUAAAGCGGGUUUCUUCUGGCGGUAUACUGUUGGGCUGGAACGGGUGUAAAUAGAUAGAUAUUCUUUGCACAUUCAUUAUUAUCAGUAAGAAGGCCUACCUUGAUACUAGUAUUUUAACGUUGCCUGAACCGUCUCACUCGCACCAAAUAUUGGUUGGUGGUUGCUAAUAAAUUUUGAAGGCGGAAUCGGACCUGCCUUGUCUUUCCAUCUAAAUCUCUAGUUAGUAGAUCCGUAUCCUGAACAAUGAUUUGAUUUCUGAGGAAUUUCCCCUCCAUAAUCCAAGGGAGGGGCCGGGAUUUGAUAUUGGGGCCUUGUUUAAUCCUCCUUAGUUAAUGGAGACUGAAGCCGCUUUACCACGUCAAAAGCCUUGCACUAGUCUAAUCUUUAAAACGCCCUCCCCGUAGGGUAUUCAAGAAAAUCUUUUAACAGUUUCCUUCUCUCUCAAAGAUGGAGAUAAUAUUAAUACCCCCAGUGGCGUAUAAAUACAAUAACGAUGGACCAGUCCAUCCAUGAUUGUGUUCUACUUUUAAGAACAUCUAUCAACUGGGAUACCAAAAGCAAAAGUGUCGUCUUUGGAUGACAUUGAAUAGGUUUUACCACCGGCUUUGUCAUAUGUCUUCGCUGCCGAAGCUAUCAUGUCAAGAUGGCAACAAUACCAUAAAAUUUACCCCAAAGUGAUCGUCGGGAAUUCUAAUUGGCGUUCUCUGCAUCUAGAAGUUAUCAUCAAAGAGAUAAAAGGUUGCUAGUCUUCAGCAGCUGUUGCACUUGAAAGGCUUUAAAGGUGCGAGAUUCGAGGAAAUCAUCCAACACAACACCGCCAUAAACACAUAAAGCCAAGUUAACUCGUCCUGGUCCUUUACUGGAUUGGAUACAUGAGAAAAGCUUUCUUCAAAUUUCCCACUUUAUUAAUGCAUUGGUUUCUUCUCCAAAACUUUUUUGAUGCCUUCCACGCAGAUGCUGCAGCAAGCUUUCACUUGAAAAAGCUUGCACUCUUUUUACCUUAAUUUUCACAAACGUGUAGCUAAAGUCAUGCUAACGUGGAACUUCUAAAUGCAGAAAAAGCAUCACAUUUCUUCCAAGUUUCCCUAGGGAUUGUAAAUAGAAGAGUAAUUUACAGUAGAACUAAAUGGAACUAAUCAUUUCCAUUUCGGUGGGUUUCCAACUCUUCUUGGUGUCGAUGAUUCAUUUGGUAUGACAUGGCCUGGGUAGAUCGCCGUGUCUCACUUUUUUUCCUUCUAUCUACUCGAAAAUGAAUAUUUUUUCUCCUCGUAUUCGAAAAAUGACUAGAAUAUUAGUAAUGUCUCGUCUGGACUGUGAUUACAUUUUUCAAUCAUCUUUAUAAUUCUCAUAUAUCAAAUCGUUACAAUACCUUUUUUUAAAAAAAAAAAAUAAAUAAAUAAAUGCUCCUAAAAAUAGCAAUUCAAACGGAAUCAAGUUUUAUUCAAGUGCGACGACAACAUUAGUAAUGGUAGUUUGCCCGCUGAGGAUGACAUUGCUUGUUGAGAUGAGUUUGCACGUCUCUUCCCAUUCAUUUGAUUAAUUUCACAAUCCCACAAGAAACAGCCUGUUGUGACAUUAAUCUUUUAAAGAGUAAAAAUGAAGAAUAUGCGUAACCGGAGAGGCUAUAAAUAAUAAAAUUGUGUUCUAGAAAGAAAAAGACGAUCAUAAUAUGCUUUUACUUUUUGCUGCUUCGCACGCUUGCUCUGGUCCGGACGGUUUGGGGUUCUUAUACUUCGGCAGCUGCUGUAGAAGCAGCUUGAACAAUUUUCUCUCCAAAACAAAGAAGAGAAUUACACCAAUUCAACAAGUCUGAUCCAAUUUACACAGAGGUACACGAGACAGCAGGAUAGUACAUGAAAAAUGUAUAUAUAUUUAUUAUUAAGCGGUAGUUGUGAUCUCUUGAGUAAUACUUUUUCUGUGGGUCCCACAGCAGCGAGCCACUAUAUUAUUAUUAUAAUCUUUACGUCAAAGUAAAAAAGAAUGGAAAGAAAACAAUGGUAGGGAAUCAGCCUAGUCUCCCAUAGGAUACUCAUUUAUCAGCUCUGCAGUGGCAGUCAGAAGUACGCAUAAAAACCAUGCAAUGGCAGGGAAUCACGAAACCUUACUUUAUUAUAGAUCUAAGAUUGAAAAAUAGAACUAAAAUUGUCCAUUUUCAUGAGCCAUGGCAUCGCGAAAUUUAUCAAUUAGUAUUGGGCAACGUCUUGUCCAACAGCAAACUGUUGGCUUAUGCGAAUCCCUGGAAUUGGAUACAGAUAAAAGCUCUAUUUCACCACAAAACAAAAAAAAAACACCAAAGCGCGCCCUCUAAUUCCUGACCAUCCGAUGAUCAGAUCAACAUACAAACAAUAAUAAUCAGAGAAAAGCAUUAAUCAUAUCCUAAAUAGUAGAGGAGAGCAACGAAGAUACCUUCCCCUCGGGGCCACACAGAAAUCAAUCAUCGCUCAUUAAAAACUUUUAUUUCUGUUCAUUUCCAUUAGGAACCCACUCAUUCAUUCAUUCUCUACAUCGCAAUUGUUGUAUCACUACACUAUAUAAUUCAGACCAAUAAUAAUAAUUAAAAGAAAAGGAUAGCAGUACUGUACGACCCCAAAAAAAAAAUAAAAAUGGGAGAGCGAGAGACUUAAAAUUACCAAUAAAGACAAAAGUAGCAGAUAGGCCUUCCCCCCCCCCCUCUCGAUUUCGCCUUUCAAUCAAUCAGUACAAUGUGGGGUUCCCUCUCCUUUCAGCUCUCACCGUCCGCUGCAGAAAGCGCCGAUCCGUCGGGUACUCCCUCCUUGUCCCUAUCUUACUUCCUGGGUCCCCCCUCCUAUUUUAAUUCCUUCUUCUUUUUUUUUCCCCCUUCCUUGCUAUAAUGUCCAACAAAACUACUUGUACAUACACGGCACGGCAGUACUCACUCCUAUUUUUCAUUUUAAAAUUUACCAACUAAUUAAAACAAAAUUAAAAUCUGGCAUUCUCAAAGCCGUGCAAGUCGCUGACCCUAUUCAUAGAUUUCCUCAUAAUUGCGACUUUAGCCAGCCUCUCCGCCGCUCUCCAAGCCGAUGUCGGCGUGAGCGGCUCGCUUGAUUUCUCAUCCAAUCUGAUGCUACCGCCGCUGCUGGCGCCGGUAGGAUGCCUUCUUUCCACGUUUCGUCUCCUUGGAAUCUGCUGCACCGGAUUUUGUCUCCUCCAAUGCAACUCCGACAGCUCAGCUUCCAAGCCGCUCACGUACUCCUCGCCCCACUCGCUACUACUGCUGGCUUGCAGUACCAGAGAUCGAGCCGAUGUCAGCAGCUGAUGGGCUCCGGCUAAAUCAUUUCUCUCGACUAAUCUCCUAGACUCAGCCACAGCUCGCGUCGCAACAAACAGGCUUCUCAACCGUUCGAUGCCGCUGGGCGUGGAUGAUCGGAGGGCCUGAGGACGUGGGACCAACAGCGCCUGUUCUUUACCUUGGAUUAGCACCUGGGUUGACGGGUCUUUGUAUGAGCAUCGAACGGACAACGCGUGGUGGGCCCCAGCCGAACUCAUCGACGGGACUUUUAAUUCCACCAACAGUUCUCUCUCUUCCUCAGCGAACAACUCGCCCAGUCGGACCAAACCCGAACCGAGGGCCAUGGCCCGACCCCCGAACGAGUAGACUCCCGCGACCUGGCCGUGACCCGACCCGGAAAUAAAUCCUAAAUGGACCCUCAGGUCCUGCACCACCACGCUCAGCAGUCCUCCAACGCAUUUGGCCAAGGAGUCGUCCGGCGGCGCCCCGUGUCCGUACGCCCCGCAGUGCCUCAGUCCGACUGACAGUACCGGAACUUCGUAAUGGGUGACGCGCGUGGUGCACACGACUGACGACUGCCGCCUUUGAUUGGCUGACCGAUCCUCAAUCGCGUCGGACAAGAGUAUAAUGCUGGCGACGGGGUUUUUUUCCCGGCGGUCCUCCAGAACCUUGGCGGCUUUCUUAAUCGCGUCAUUGGCACUCGCGGGUGCUGUUCCAUCCAAAGAUACUAUGGAGUCCACUAUCCUGCGGGCGGACCGCCGCCCCGCCGCCGUCAUCCUCCUCAGCGGCAGCAGCCGUUUGGAAGUAGAUGAGAACGCCACAAUGGAGAGCCUAUCGGCAGGCGAAAGCGAGGACACCACCAAUCUCAGAGCUCGUUUCAUCAUCUGAAGCUUUUCGUUGGUCAGCUUCCGGCUCACAUCCAGCACCAUUACCAAGUCAAUCGGAGCUCUCCUCGCCGCGUUCGUCGGAGCCGGUGGAGCUCUUAUUUUUAGCACAACCACGAAAGUCUGGCUACUCCGGCCAAUGGAGAUCACGGCAGCCUCUGGCGAUAUCUUCGUUUCGACAUUUCCCAAGGCAGAAGCGGUGCUCUUCUGAAAAGGACUCGUUGUAGUAGGAUAAAAUCCUUGAAAUUCUUCUGUAAUAUUAUCACUAUCUUCUUCACCAUUCUCAUCGGACUCGGGUAUCGGGUUGAACCGAGCUCCACAUGUUGGCGACAUCAGCGGCUCGUCGUCAUUGUACACCUUCAAAACAGGUUGCUUACAACUAUUAGACGAGGGAGGAGGCGGCGGCGGCGUUUUGGGAGAUGACGGAAAUUCCAUCCUUUUCUCUUGUUUGUCUAACCUGCUGUGAUGACUGCUGCUGCUGCCGCUGACAUUGUGGAUUGAUAGUAAGGGCAUUUCGGUCCAUGUAGAGUUGCAAACCGGGCACGCGAGAAUCCCUUGCUUUCUCACGUGACCGGCGACGCAUGGAAAAUGAAAGCUGUGGCUGCACUCCGCCGUGAAUAUGGCCAUCCCUUGCCCGCUUUUUAUGCUGUGUAAACAUAUUCCACACCUUGUCUGCAAGGAAGAAGAGAACAAAAUAUUUAAACAAAUUAGAAUAUGUUUUUUUUGUAAGUUUUUGUUUUUUCUCUAAAGAUAAUAAAGACAAAAAAGAAUUGAUGGUUUACCUUGGAGGAUAUGCGAAGGGUGGAUUUAAGAAGAGAAAGAGUGGAAGGGGAGCGAGGAGAGGAUGGGGUGGAGGAGCGUAGUUGGAAAAAUCUGGGGCUGUUUUUGGCCGUCUUGCAUUGGCGCUUUGGACUUUCAGGCGGUUGUAAUGGUGGUGUGGAUGGAGUACUGGUUGCCCUGGUGGUGGGGGUGGUUCGACAUCGAAGUCUCGGGCUAGAAACAGGCUGAGAUUGUAACCGAGGAGUGGAAGGAAUGGAGAAGAAGCUUAACUUGGAGCUAAGCUUAGGAGUGGUAGGAUUGCUUUGAUGGGCGUCGUGACUAAUUUUGUCUUGCCUGCCGCCGUUGCUGGUGGAGCUGCUGCUAUGGAUGCUGGAGUCUCGAUCCCUAGAGAUCGACGUACAGAAGGCUUUUCGCCAUCCCAAUACCAUUGUGAGUUUUCUGAGCUCCUUCCACCGCAACCGAUCCCGUCCUUGUUUUCCCUUGUCUCGUUUUCUGGGUUUUAUACUGCUAUCUCUAUGUUGUCGUUGUUUAGUUGUUUGAUGUGGUUAUCUUGUAGUGGUUGACGAUGAUGAUGAUUCUGAUGAAGAAAGAAAAGAGCAGAAAAGAAAGAAAGAAAGAAAUUCGUGGUGUAUUAUGGCAUUGGGUUUGGUACUGGAGAAGACGAAUGCGAAUGAUAAUUAAUGGGAAUAGAUAGACAGGCCUACCACUAGCAGAGAAAAAGGGGGAAAUUUUUGAUAGAAUUGACUAAUAAGACAAAAUAUAUUAGCAGUAGUACCAAUAUAGUGGUAAUGCCAAGCGGAAGAAAGUUGACCACCCUUUUUUUUUAAAAAAAAUAAAAAAUAAAAUCUCCUGCCCUCUUCUCCUUGCUUUUACGCUUGUAUGCAAAGUCUAUUCGGUUUUUUUUUUUCUCUCUCUCUAUAGAGUAUAGAACCCUUAAAAAGAUCAGAGCACAAAAGUUAUAGUAUAGUAAACCAGUCGGUAUGAGAUAUCUGCGAGGUCUCGCUUGAUGCCCCACUCUUAUUUCAUUUGAUGAUGAAAAGCCUUUUUCCAAGGUGAAACAGUAAUGUUCAAAUGGAGGCUGUGGGUUUCGUUCUUAAUUUCUUCACCUAGUGACUGCCAAGUGGUGAUUUGUUUUCUAAACCAAGUUUUGGAAGUCAACGGGGUCGGCUCUAGGCUCUGUCCACUGUCUCCUUCUAUUUCCAUACUUCGAUGCAGUAAAUUGCCACCAUAUGAACGCUGGACACCGACCCUCCUGCCUCCUGAGCCCUGCCUGCCGCCCGCCAUGCGAGAUUCUCUGUCCGGCAGUAUUAGGAAGCCCCCAAGUAUGGAGGACUAAGAAGAGGGGGAUUAAUUAGCACUUUCGCCUUACGCUCCUUUCCCAUAAACUAUCAUUACUUUGUUAAUAGAGUAGUACUACUAGUAAGUAAGCUGUUACUCCAUGUCUACAAUUCCCAACUUUGCAAUAGGUUUACUCAAGCCACGUAGUCUACUGACAUGCUUAUAGUUUAACUUUUAAAAAAAUUUGUGCCCAUUGGCUGUUUCUUGCUUGUUGAGCAUUGUAGUUUGUUCCCUCUUGCUGGUCAAUUAAACAACGGGAUUAAGGCUACCUAAGCUGCUCUCUUCAUUAAAUUAAUUAAUCCCCUCCCCCCUCAGAGCUCUCUAUUUUCAAUCUCAUUCAACUACUAGAGCAACGUCAAGGUUGAGUCUUGGGGGGGAGAAUUAAUGGAGUAAGAUGAGCUAAAUCAUACGUGAAUAUGAAGGUGUGGCUUUUGCGAGGCCUGUGCUGAACCAUUUGUAUACGAAAAAUAAAAUAAGAUAUGCAUUCCCUACAACACCAUAGGCAAGAUAUUUAUGAGUAGCAUUUAAUACAUGGGAAUGCGAUUUACUGAAACAAACGUGGAAGAAGACUCUCUAUUUCUUGAUUGUGACACAAAGGAAUGGGAUAUCUUCCUCAAUAGUAAACAAAGUUUGGAAUGACAAAUUAAACCACCCUAUCCUCCUAUUCUGAUUUCUCUGAGAGAGGUAGCAAUUUGGAGGUGGAAUCGUGGAAGUAAAUGAUAAAAUGGGCUAGACGAUGAUGAUUCAUGAUAGCCAGCUUUAAUUCAAUAGUGAGAACAUGGAAGCAGACAGUUACAACUCUGCAGCUCUCCUCUAACUGAUACUACAAAUUAUCCCUUUACAAAUUGCUUUCUGUAUGGGACACGCCCGCCCUGUUUUAACUUUCAUGCAAGGACAAAUCCUUAGCGUAGAUGGGAUUUUCCUGUUAGGGCGUGACCUUUUUUGGCUGAUAGCACAGUGAAGGAAGGCAAGCGAUGGGAUGGUGGGCAUAAUAAUGAAUGAUGAUGAUCAAUAAUUCUAAAAUGUACUCUUCUCGCGAGUCCGUUUCAAUAAAUGUUAAGCUGUCAAUGCCAACGAAUCAAAUCGGAAUCAUUAUGAAAUAUCUCUUCUGCCGUUUCUGCACACAAAAUCAUUAAUGAAAAAGAGGGGAGGCGCAGUUUGACACAGCCCAUAUCUCUUGGGUUGGGUGUAAAUAUAAUUUGAGUCCGCAGUAUUAUGAUUAAGUGGCCGACGGAGCAGGCAGGCAUACAUUUCUGUGAAGCGUCAACGUACUCGCCGGAGUACUUUAACAAUGGCAUACUGUGGGUACUUAACCCCUCUACUUAUCAAAGGGUGGUUGUGCUGCACUUUACUUUAGUCGCAGGAUUUAACGGACCAUGUUAAGUCAGACAGGUGAUUGACGUUUUGUUGAGCAUUCCCGUUCUUAACUGCUCCAUGAUCAUUUGUGGCAACUCUCGUUUGCCCUUUCAUGUACCAUGUCGUAGUUUGAUGCUACAAAUUUGUCAUCAUCGCAAGGUUAAAGACACAAAUGAUUUCACUUGAAUUAUUAUUAUUAUUGAUUUGUGAUAUGAUGUAUGUGAAAUAUAAAUAUAUAAUUAAGAAUACGAAAUGGUGAUUUGAAAGCAAAAUGCUUAGAGUAAUAUUUUGAGAACUUCUGUAUCCAAACACACUAAGCUAACUAGAUAGAUGAUACUACGGUACUUAUCAUCUACGUAAGUUCAUCUGAACAAUGAUGAACAAAAUUUUCCUCAACAGGGAGAUUAAGAGUAAAAGGAUUGAUGGCUUAUGAUGAUGGGAAGGUGGAGGGACCUCUAAGCUAAGCUCGCUUAGGAUCCCAAUCAGAAGUGCUGAAAGAUCGUCCAAACACAUACUUGGCUAAAUUGGCUUUAUUAGAACCAAAAGUAGCAGCAGUACUACUAGUAAUGCUGGGACAAAACAUAUAUUUUUGGUGGCUGGUGGUGGGUAAGAGUACAAGCAGGGUACCAAGUAGUAAUGGAUAGUAAAUAGUAACGGAUAUUAUUGCCUUUUGGGCAAGACCGUGAGACGGACGACAAGAGUACCAAGCAGCAAUAGUAUGAGAAAUCACGGAAUACUUCUUGCACCUUGAUUUUUACGAUGUAUGUGAAACUCAUAAAAUAUUAUUCUAAAAUUACAUGUUACACAACUAAAGUUAUAUCGUGUGUAAAUAAAAUUACGCGACUAACAAAAUAAAACCGUUCCCGCCCGGUUCCGAGAAAUCACUCGCAAAUAGGGCUGCAAACGAGUCGAGCCGAGUCGAGUUUUGAGCUAAUCGAGUCGAAUCUCGACUAAAUUUUACCAAGCUCGAGUUCGAAAAAAAAAUAAAAAAUAAUUAUUUUAUUUUUUAAAAAAUAAUAAAAUAAUAUUUUUUCUUAAUAAAUAAUAAAAUAUUAAGGAUAUAUACGUAAUUUUACUAUGAAAAUAAAAAAUAAAAAAAUAUAUAUAAUAUACGUAAUUUUAUUAUUAAAUAAAAAUAAAAAUAUAUAUAUAUAUCCAAGCUCGCGAGCUAUAAGCUGCUCGCGAGCUAACGAGCUUAAUAUUCUGAACUCGAGUUUGAACUCGAGUUUGACUCGAGUCGGCUCGAACUCGAUUAAUAUCAAACUCGACUCAAGCUUGUUUCGAACCGCUCGCGAACGGCUCGAUUCGUUUGCAACUCUACUCGCAAAGCGGCAUCACUCACGGACUCGGGUGAAGUCCCAAAGUGAUUUGACAAAGUCGCAGCGUCGUCUCGUCUGCAGUCACGUACAUUACGUACUCUACCAGUUUUCUCCGUCUAAUUUUUGGUUUUUCCUUCUCAAUUUCUCCCCCUCACUGUCACCGGAGUCAUGGCCCAAGCCAAAAGCCAAAAGGUCUAAAUCCUUUGACGCCGUUUGAUUCUCUUAACACGCUUUUUUUGGCUCAUGGGAAAUCGCAAACUCGGAAGUCCAACAUCCAUCCAUCCAUCUCCAUCCCCACGAGUGCACGGUCAACGUUGUAUCCGCACCGUUGAGGUUACCAGUAACGUAACUACUCCUAUAUACUACUACUAAGAUUUACUAGUGCUGCUGCUACUCAAACCAGUGCUAAUUAAUUCCUGCUACUCUUUCACCCAAAGAGAUUAGUAUAAUCCACCGUCCCCCCCCCCCCCUUUUUUUUUUUUUUUGGUUUUGGCUAAAAGCCAGUAGUAUUGCUCUAUUGAUUUAUGAUGAAAUUUUAGUAGUCAUUAUUACACUACCAAAAAGACCAAAAAAAAAAAAAAAAAACUUUAGGAGCAAGGCUAGGGCUACCGGUUUUUGAGGUGGGCCCAUGAAGAAUUUCUCGUUCUUGAUUCUUAGAAAAAUUUUUAGGGUUUUGUUGAUUCUGUAGUGAGUGUGACAUUGAUGAGUUUUCGGUUGGACUGCUUUCCUAAUCCCAAAAUCAAUCAAAGUAGUAAUAGAGACAGUACAGCACUGCCACUAACGAAUGGAGUACUGCUUACUACUAGUAUUAGUGAAGGCAUGUGGUAAGCCACGUGAUCGGUUUUGUAGCCUUGUCUUCAUCACUUCAUCUGCCGCUUGCUAGAGCGAGCUUCCGGGAAGUUUUAUAGUACAUCAUUCAUGCUACAGACCGCUCGAAUCCUAAUGAUCGAUCACACCCCAUAUCCUUCAUGUAAAUAAAAUCGAAGGAUGCUUCAUUAGCAUGAUUGAUUGAUUGUUAGUACUCACAUCCUUGACUAAAAAAUUGGACAACCACAUGGAUUUGUCUCCUACAAAUGAACAUAUAUAUCUAUACAAAUAAACAAUUCAAUGUAUAUAGGCAAGUUUUUUUUUUUUUUUUUUAAACAUUUUUAAGAGUCAAACGAAAUGCAGGUACUAACUAAGCUCCUUGCUAUCAUCUGCAUUCAUGGUGAGGUUGGUAGCGGUAUGAAACACUAAUCACGAAAAAUUAGCACCAGAAAGUUCCACCAUUAUUCCCUUCCUGUUCUUCUUCUGUGUGCCCUUUUUGUGUGCUUAGCUAUUCAAAAUUUUGGGGUCAGGGUCAGAGUCGGACACAGAUACAUGGUACGUAUGGAUGAGAAAAGAUGGAAAAGUAUAUAUGAUUGGUCAGGCAAAAAUAUAAAUGGAAAGAAAAAAAAAAAAAAAAGUCCAUCAUCUAUCUAUGAGGCAAACAAAUAUGUACUAGUAGCCAUCUUUGGGUUGGUGCUGGCCAAGUAUUUCAUUAUUGAGGCACAUGCCAUGGACUCCUUUUAACUGCUAGAAUCCUCACCAACAAACCCCAUCCUAAUUGAAUGAAUAGUACUGGUACCAUAAUUGCAUCCUUAUUUAUUACUAUACAUAUAAAAUGAGCAUCUUGAUACCAAGCUGGGGGGACGGACGGAUGCUUCUUUCUAUGAAUUCCACACAAUUUAAGAGCGUCUCGUAUCCUCCUUCACCACAAAUGAUAAGUCCUCAAAUGUGGAAGGAAAAAGCGAUGUAAAAGUGCAAAACAAGGAAUGAAUGAGGCAUCUCUGGCCGUGUUAAAUGAUAACAAACUCCAAAAGCAGAACAUUGAACUUGGAUGUUCACGAUAAAUUAAUAUGCAUAUGUAUACCUAUUUAUGUAUUUAAUUUAAACUGCAUUCCUGCACUUUUGAAAAAAAAAAAAAAAAAGUGUAGCUUUGAUGCAAGAGGAUUGGAGCAUUGGAGUGUCCCUAAUGAAAAGUUACAGAAGAAAAUAAAGGCAUACAUAAUAAUGCCUCCAAUUUCAGAACCAAAAUGAUUACGCCUCGAACGCUUUCUAUUAGAAUGUCCCUCUCAUCCAUUUUCGCUAUAUUUAUGCCUUAGGGGGAAGUUGGCAACAGAGAUGGCUCAUUCCACUCGGAUACAAAAUCUGCAGACGUACGUGCACAUUGUUUACUAUACACUACUAUUCUUAAGGAGUUACAAUUAAAGUCUCGCAAAUACCCAAACCCAGAGAAACUUCGUCUGUUUGAAGUGGGUUGUAAUCGAAUCCAAGCUGCUCUCGACAAGAGCAGCUGGGUCAAAAACUUGACUCAGAAUCGGGUUGAUCUAGUUCGAGUACUUCGAUAAGCCGAUCAAGUCGAAUUCGAGUAUCCAGAAGCAAUGUUCGAACGCUCGUCGAGUCUUAUCGAACUUUUUAAUUUUAAUUCUUUAAUAUAUUAUUAUUAUGAAAUUACCGUUGUGCCAAAAAAAAAGUGGUUGAAUUUAUGAAAUGUUUCAGGUCGUAUGAAAAUUUUUAAAGGGCAAUAAUGUCUUUUUGCUCAAAAUUGUUAAUAAAAUGAAAUUUUCUAACGCGAGCUCGAUAAGGCUCGCAUUGACUCGGACCCAUGUGAGUCGAGCUCGAGUUCUGUAUGCAAUGCAAUGAACUCGAGUUCCAAUAAUACUAUUCAUUCGAACUCGAGCUCGAGUAUCCUUCUUGCAUGUUGAGUCGAGCUCGAGUAUUGCAAUACUCGAUUCGAUUACAUCUGUAGUUUUAGACAUUGCAGAUAAAGGAUAUUUAUUACUGGCGUUAUAAUUAAGAAUAAAUAAUCAGAGUGUACAUUUGAUAAAACACAGAAAUGUCAAUGUGACAACGUGCCCACUUCAUUUAUCUGGAAGUGAUUAAUAAUUUCACGUCAGUUGUAUUUUCGUUAUGGCCAAGUUUCUCUAGGUGGAUGGUGGCCAAACAUGUUUAGCUGUAAUGAUGACAAGCUAUAUAUGGUAAUGUUCACUAAUAGUUAUUUGAAGCUUAAUACUACUAGCAAGUAUGAUUAUGAUGUUGAUCAGGAGGCGAAAAAACAUGAAUAAAGGAGAGGACAGCUAUCGUUUCAAAGGUCGAAAAAAUAUUCUUAGUACAAAACUUUGGAAUAUAUAUGUGUGUGUGUGUGUGGAUAGAUUUUGGCUAAAUCAUGGGGUCGGAUUGAUUCGAGGAGUCCAUCUCAAUUGGGAUCAAUCAUUUCUUGCUAACAAUGACUCCUAACGUUUCUCCAUUUGAAUCCAUGGCCAGCCAUAGAUGUACAGCAAUGUGGACCUCCGAGCUUCGCUUGCGCACGACCAUUCGGGUGGUAGGAGAAACGCAUCGUGAGUCCGUGGUGCAUGAGAAAACGAAAGGUUGGAACAGUAGAUUUUGAGCUAUUUAAUAUGGUCACACCACAAGAUUUUCAAGUGCAACAAUCGGUGCUGAACCAUGCAAUGUGGCAUGUUAGGGCACAUACAUACACACACACAUAUAUACUAUAUAGGAAGCAGCACUGUAAGCUAGUUGUAGGAAGAGGAGGGUGUUAUAUCGUUAUCCAUCAUUAAGGGCUAACCAGAUGGGGGACACAUUUUUGGUGCGACAUUUCCUCCUUGAUUUCAAAUCAUAUAUUGUAAACCUGACUCUUCAAUUCUAUAGUUUGCAACACAGAAAAAAAAAAUUGAAAUAUUCCCUGUGUUGAAAGAAAAAAAAAAGACGUAGAAUGUCGAUUACCAGUUUAUCAUAUGAUAUAUUAGCUGGUGAUCACCCUUUGUUUUUUGUAUUAAGAAAGCGUAAACAUCCGUUGUUAAUAUCCAACAUCUACCCUAAGUUUUACAAUGAUAGGAAUGAAAUCCAUUUUAGGUUUUCUAAAGAUGGUGAAUUUGAGGUCCACUCAUGUACAAAUUAUGACAUUAAACAGAGUAAUUACAAAUCCUAUCACAGCAACAAAAGUGUAACUUAGUUAAAAUGCUAUUUUGCUUGUGACCAAAAGGUUCAUAUUCUGAGUUAACAGAUGAAAUUUUACUAUUACACCUAUCCUAGAAUAAAUAAUAAAUAAAUAAAAAAAAGUUGUGACCUACCUACCGAGUGUAUAUGCUCCUCUGCUCGUCCAUGGUGCUGAUAAGAUAUGGAAUCAUUAAAAACAACUCUUAAAAGUUCGGAUGAUAGCCGGCAACUUCUGUCAUGAAUGAGUCGCACCACUGCUAAGUUGACAAGGGACGAAGAGCAGGGAAAUCUGGAACAUGCCAAAUUACUACUAAUCGUGAGGCUUAUUAGGUAGUUCUCUUUUGCAACAAAAACUUGUGAGGCUAUGGAAAUUCAAGGGGACAAUCAUGGGUUGAAGAAUCAUUUUAUUAUGUACUGUGUUCCUCAAGUGGUUCAAUUCUUUUGCUAGAAAAGAUUACGAUCUUGACUCUUGCUGGAAGAUAAGAUCGGCUUUUGGCCAUGUGAAAGUGCAACCGCAACUAAUUGAAAGCGGAAUCACUUCAUCAGCGAAGCUUUUCUUCCAACUUAAUCAUCGCGUUGCUUCCACUAAACACCUCCCAGCUUUCUUUCACUAAUUGAUCCAUCAUUGUACCUUGAUUUCUCACUGGAUAAUCCAACUUCGUAAUCAUGAACAUUAUAUUUUCUGGGAGGGCAAAAAAAAAAAAAAAAAAACUCAAGGAUGAUGAGGAAGAGGCCGCCCGCCGUCCAUUAACCACCACAAAUAAAAAGUAAAUAUUGCACCAACAGAUUUUUAAUUCCAUUUGCCCACGCCAUCAACCUCCUAAUCCAAAUUAGCGCCAAAGGGCUCUGAAGUUUUGAUUUGGUGCCGCUAAUUUCGAAUUGUAGUGCCACACGACAGCUUUAAUUUUGUCAAAGAUAUUACUUUAGGAGACUGCCGAUUGAAAAGGGUUUUGGAUUCCUUUGACAAAGACAGCACUGAGAUGCUAUUCAACCUUUAUAUGAUUGAUUUAUCUUUAAGGACUGAAUUAGGAAGCGAAUAGCUCCAAUCAACAAGGUUUUUGUACUUAAUGUUGUUGGUAAUGAUUAGGCAUCGCACUAAUUUCCGAAUGAUUAGAAGCCAGAAUAGUCUGCCAGUCCCACUAAUGAGAGAUGCUACCAUAACAUAAUAAAAGCUGACAACUGCAAAAUCCUAGAUUAUGGGGAUGACAAAGCUCAACCAGUUUUUAUGACUCAAUCUUGCAAUUUUAAAGUCAAAUGGUUACAUUAUCAAGAUCUUGUAGCGAAAUACGCACUGGAGUUGUUGAGUUUCUUUCUCGAUAGAUCCGAAUUCUUUGCUUCUGAUACACAUUUCAUAUUGCUCUAUACCAUUAAAAGGGCAGGAGGAAAAAAGAAAAGAAAAGAAAAGGGGUAUUGGUACACAAUCCUGGAGGGUCGGCAGACAAAUUUGAAUUAUUGACCCACUUAGUUAGGGAACUCAACUUUCUUCUGCCUCGAAACACAGAAAGUUGGUUAAUCCGAAGUCAACUAAUCAGGAUUUGCAGAAGCCUUUGGAGUUUUCAUGAUAUCACAGAAUCCCAACUUUUAUUUUCUUUGCAUUGUUUAUGAUGUCGGUGCUGCUACAGAUACUAAAUUAUUUAACAGCCAUAUUUGAGAGGUUAAAAUAAAAGAGAGGAAACUACGCUCUAGGCUAAGUUUUUAUCCCCGACUAAGAGUCGAACUCUGCGGACGCUCCCCGAGUCGAAUUCGGAUUAGUCUCGCUAAGGGUGGGUGGGGACACCGGGUGCUCAAAGCCAAAAAGAAAAGAGAGGAAGCUAACCGCUGUAUCCUUGCAAUAAGGAGACUCUGGCUCAUCAUGCAGCAGGGCAUUAUAUGGCGCUUUUAUGCGGGAUUUCGGCCACAAGCAAAUUAGUAGUAUCUGUAUUCAGGGAGUAAAAGGUGCAAGAAGACGGCAUCAAUUCCACCAAAACUUCUUAAAGCUUUUAUUAAAUGACAUAAUCUAGUCAAAUGCCAAAGAUAUCUAUCCAUAAGAACCCCCGAGAUUUCUAAGAGGUGAGGCAGAAUACACGAAAGAAGCUCCUCAAUGCAUUGGCUAUCAGAGUUUGCAUCUUUUGUUAGGAUUGUUUAGUGCCUAUUUAUACGGGAUCAGCUAUUAAUGUCGACUAGUAGCUAUUACUCUUCCGGUUGAGCUACAGAUUCAAAUUAAUGCAUAUUAAUCUGUCUGAUUACCACUUUCUUAUGCUACAUGGAUCAACUAAAAGUUGAUGGCUGCUAUUUUGAUUGGACAGCCAAGAUGAGAUGCCGUGCACAACCAGUUCGCUACUUCAAUACAUAGCCAAGUGAAAACACAAAUGCUUGCUUAGCUUUAAUUUGUUCAAAUUGCAAACAAACGCCUUCAAAACACUUGGUUGCUCUUAGUAAAAUCUAGAAGCAUGAACUCGUGCAUUUGAGAUUUUUUGGGACGCGUAGCAGAGAUUUAAGGAGCAUUGCAUGUAAAUCCCAUUCUCAGUAGCAGAACGUAGGAAUUUACAACAUUGUCAAGGGUUGUAGGACUUAAAAAGAAAUACAGUACCAUAGAAUCGCAAUCGAAGCAACUAAAGUUGAGCCAUCAAAGACGAAAAACUAGGAGAAAAAACUUCUUAACGCAGAACAUUUAGAUUAGGAGAGAGAGAGAGAGAGAUAAAAGAAUAACAUAGAAGAAAGCUUGUGCAGCUGAAUUAGCACAUCCACAACGAUACAAGCAGCAAGUAAAAAUAAUGUGUUCAAGUCUGGACAAGUUUUUCAAUCACACAUAAACUUGGCAGUUCAAGCUACUUCAUUUUUGACGUCGAAAUAUCCAACUCCACAGUUAUUGGAAUACAUACUAUUGCAUUUAAAAAGCUUUUCAAGGACAGAGAUUCACUUUAACUUGUUAAUCCAACCAAAGCACUGGUAACACCAGAAUUGCGCCAACCCACGAUCUGCAUUCCAUCUCAGUAUGUCCUGUCGAUAACGACCUACACCACUUUCGCGUCUCUCCCUCUUGACUGAGUAGCAGUGAAACCAUACUCACCAUACCCAAGGCAAGAGCUAGUCCCUGUUCUUGCACUUUUCCACAGACCUGGGAGCUGCAAACCAAGUUCAAGAUAUUUUGGUUCAUUAAAAUCAUCAUUUGCUAACUUGAGGAGAAAGAUGUACAAGGGAAAGAAAAUACUAGGAAAAGGAUUUUAUUACACAUUCCCUUGGUAUACACACACCCGUUCUAUUAUUUAGCUUUCUUCGGAUUAACUCGCAAGAUAGUAUUUUACCCAACUAGAUUCAGUCUAGACUGGGUUCAGGUUUAUCUUAUAUGCAAUUGAAAUUUUAAUCCUGUUAUUGACCAAACAAAAGUUGCAAUCUUGUUUCACUCUCUCUUAGCACACAUCUGUAAGUAUGAAGAGCUGAAAAUUAGUUGACAGAACAUACUAACAUAUAAUGCAUACCUAAUCCAAUAGCAUCAGAGCCCUUCAUAAUUUUCAGCUUCCUGCAAGUUUCAAUGAACAUUCUGCAAUAUACCCACCCGUUAGUUAGCAGCAUAAAAUCAAACAAUGAAAUCAAAAACAGAUCAAUGUCAUUGACAUAAAGUAGAUGCACAUAGUUGGACAAGCAAAUGCUAAUUUAGAAUGCAUAAUUUGCUAUCUGCCCAAAAGAUCAAAAAGCAGCUGGGAAAUCAGCAAGUUUCUUCAAUAUACAAAUCUGUUACACCUGUACAGCGUUCAACUAAAACAUAGAUUCUAUGGGAAAAAUAAACUGCUGCUAGCUAAGCAGCUCAUAUAUUAUGCUCUAAACCUAUUUAUCAUGCUUUAGUUUUUGCAGAAUCAAGGAGACCUUCAAAUAGAUAGCAUCUCUCUAUCAGGCCAGGUGUAUCUCUUGACUAAUAUGAAUUCGUGAGGUCGACUAUCUCAAAUUUGAAGAAAGCAAAGGCUAAGAAUUAGAUCUUGGAAAAUCUGUCAUUUUUAUUCUAGCAUAGAGCAAUUGGUGCGGAAGAGAGAAAUGAAUAAUGUAAUCAAGUAAGCAAGUGAAAAUAGAACAAGAAAAAAGUCAAAGUCAAAAGGUUUUGCUUAUUUUGUACUUUUAUAUACCACUUGAUAUCACUGUGGAAUAUUUUUGACACCUAAACAAUAAAACUACAUCCCCAGAAAAGAAAAAAUGGUUGCAAACUAUCCUGAUCUGCUAGACGUCAAGUUUAAAGGAUUUGAAGCCUUGCAUAAACUCAUGAUGGGUAAACUGCCUCAACACAUGCCUUCAUUUCUUAAAGCGGUAAAGGACUGCUGAAGAUACAUUUGUCGCUUCCAGUUUCUAAUGUGAGUGAAGCCAAUAUUGAAUGCAUCAAGAAAAAGGCCAAGAUAAAUAGCCAGUAAAUGGAUACAUCCUAGGUUAUAUUCGAAAGGUUGAGAAAAGCAUUCACAGGCGGCCUUUCUGCCCAUCCUUUCACAAAAGCUAGAAACUUUACUAUGCCAUCUAUAUGGCUCUAUCCUCUAUCCAUGCAUAACACAAAUGAACAAAACGUGAAAAGCAACAUCAUGCUCAGGACAAACAACGUAAAGUUAAGGGUAGUACAGCACAAGCAAGAUCUGUAACUAAAGGGAAAACUGUUUUUGUAGAUCCUUUCAAUGUUAUACUCAUUCCAGGCAUGUAAACAGUAAGGCUUCCCAAGUUAAUUUUAAGAGGGGGGGGGAGGAAUGGAAAUUCUGCAACAUUUUCGGCCCACUCAGCAUCAAAGCUAGCACAGGAUGAAGCUGAAAAAAAAUUGACAUAGGCAAGCUAAACAUGUUAAAUAAACUGAACUUACUCCCAAGGGACGUCUCCCACAAGCAUCCAAUCACCAUCCUUAUCCUCAUAUGUAAGCACAUACUCAGAUCCAUGCAACAAGUCCCUCAACUUGGUCUCACUCAGCAUCUCCUUCCCUGAAACUUCCUCAGCUCCACAUUGUCCUAGAAAUAUUAGAGAGCUCAGUUCAAACUUAUUGUUUUGAUUGCAACAUAAUAAACCAGUACAACCAAGACAUAAAGAGAAGCUCACCUAAGGUAAAACAGCUAAACAUCUUCUCUAAAGCAGAGGAAAGUUCUUGAUAUGCGGAGUAAGUUUUCAGAUCCACCUUCCUCAGAUAAGGAGCGCCAGCCAUACUGACUUUGACAAAGAGAGCACCUGAACUUGGUUUUCCAUCAACUUCAUUAUUGUUCUUUGAUGUGGUAGCAAGUGUAUUCUUCCUGAAUGAUCUGAUAGGAGGCCAACCAACUACCUGUGCCCUGCAGUGCAAGAACAAUAUUAUUAGACUAAACAGAAUCCUUAAUUAUAACAUUAUUUGUUAGCACAGCGCUUGUUGUUUUCCUUUUCUGUCCGGAGCUCAUGAACUUACUUUGCAGCAGGAGCACUGCUGUUGGUCGGUCUAUUCAUAUUGGUCUGGUUCAAUCCAUUUGCUACAUGUGGCCCCUCAACUGAUGGCUUUGAUGGGACCUCACUUGGUUCAUUACCACAUGACCUGCUAGAAAGCACACUUACACCAGCUUUACCGGAAAAUUUUCCUUGUCCAAUAGAUUGAUGAGUUUCAGAAUUGGAACCAGCAGCAGAAAACAUCCAGUUUCUUUCAUUGAAGGUCGAAGCUUUCACAGUUGAAUAUUCAUCAAUGGUGUCUGAGAAUACUCUUUUGUUUCCAGAAACUACAGACUUAUGUAUUGAGGAACAGAUUCCAUCCUUAGAUGGAAGUAAGGGGAACAAGGGCUUCUCAUCAAAUUUGUCUGAGCUCAGCAGGUUAAGUUCUGAUUCCCUUUCCGGGGAUUGAGAUCCAGGUAGACCGAGCCUCAAAUCUGUAGCCUUAAGAUUUAAACUGCUCUUCUUCUCUUUUGACACAGUCGACAUAGAAGUACUCUCCUCAGAGGAGUCUGACAGUCCAAGAUAAUUCCGUUCUUUCAGUCCCAAACCGUUGUUAGAGACACAGUCAACAGAUUUUGAAGAAGCCAUUACAGAUACAUUGCCCUGCCCUUCACCUUCAAUACCCAAAAGCGGUGGAGACAUCAGACAGAAAUGAUUGCCUGUGAACCCGAUGCCAUCAUUCAGUCAGUAACCAAAACAUGUCAAUAACACAAGCACGAUCAAGCCUUUUCUUUUCAGUAAUAAAGCGGAGAGACACAUAUGCUCUAAUCCUAUAUGGGAAAAUUUGUACAAAAAAGAGAAAAAGAAAAAAAGGAGAAUGCAAUGACAAAUUGUAUGCCUCAGUUUUAGAAGAAAAUGGAGCUGCAGCGAAAAACAUCAAACUUUUUAAGGUGAGCAAAGGCCUACUAUGUCAACGAGAAAAGCACAUCACAUAAACAAUUGCAGUUCAAACAGAUGGUACAAAAUACAUGACCAGCAUGGCAACUUUGGCAGAUCAAAACGAAAUGCAGGUUAAAAAAAAAAGCGCGCACACACACACACAGUUUUUGCUCUUUGCAUGGUAUAAUUUAUUUAUCUUCCAGACUUCCAGUUACCUUGACUACGAAUUCGAAAUAUCAAAUAUGCAAAAGUUAUAGUACCAUACAUCAUAACUCAAGCAAAUUUCCAUCCCAGUUUUCAAAUUUAGAAUUUUGCAAGAGCCAAAAGCUAAAAUUUUUUAAGAAAACAACAAAAAAUGGAACAACCAUAAAAGUCCUAAAAUAUGAACAACUUGAAUACCGCUAAACAUUAAUUAAGCUCCUCACCAGACCUCCACUGAAUUUAUAGCCACUUAUAAAACAUUUCCCACUUAUUAAAUCCACAAAGUGUGAAACUUUAAUGAAGAGAACACAUUAAAUCAAUAUUCAUUAAGAAAAAAGUUGAGUUGGCAAAAAGACUGGAGAAGGAAAACAUCAAAGCUUGAGCUAUAAUCUUUUUUUUUUUAAAUAUGGAGAAUUUUACUAAACUACUUCAGAAAAAAGGUGCAGGAUCUCGGCAAGCAACACUAAAAUUCAUCAAAAGCCAGCUUAAUGGAAAGAAAAGUGCACCAGAACCCAGGAUAGAACAAGAAUGAGUACAUACCUGAAACCAAAAAUCUGAGCUUGCAGGUAAAAUUACAAGAUCACAGGAAGGCACAAAGACCAAAAGGGCUAUUUACAAACCUUAAAGUCAGCCAAGCCCACAACCAUAAAAUGCAAAGAACGAAGAAGCUUUAGUGUUUAGAGAGAGAAAGGGUGUGUGUGUGUGUGAGUGAGAGAGAGUGAGCGAGGUUUGGUAUCAGGGACCCUCCAUUAAAACAAGCUCACAGAAGAAAGCAAACAAAAGUGUGCGUGUGAGAGAGAGAGAGAGAGCUGCGUCCGGAUGGUGGUGUUGAAUCAGCCGAGGAACUCGAAGCAGUGAAAACCCACCAAAUAUUAUACAACAGAUGGCCGUUGAAGGGUAAAAUAGUAAUUUAGGAAUUGUUAUGUUGCUUAUUUCAAUAUUUCUCUUGGGACUUAACCUAAUGCAACACUUAAAAGUAAUAAAUUCAGAUGUUAAUGAAUGUGUUUGGAUAGUUGAUUAAUUGGAAUAAUUUUAUAUAAAAAUAUUACAUCACUUUUUAACGUGAAUAUGUGAAAUAAAAAGAUAAUUAAAAAAUAUGUUGAUAAAGAAAACAAAUAAAAUACUAUCCAAAUACAUCCAAUAUGUUCAAAAUGCGUUUGAUAGCUAAAAAUAAAAUAAAACAUCUGAGUGAAUUAAUUAAUUAAAUAGCAUUGAAUUUUUUAAAUAAAAUUUGCUUCAAAAAAUAAAUAAUAAACUAUUCACUUAUCACUUAAUCUGAUAUAUAUUCAAUAAUUCAAUAAAUUAAUAGAUUCAGACUUUAUAUUUCAAAUUUCCAAAUUAAAUUUUAUUAAAUGCACCACCCUUAGUAAAAAGUUGUUAAGGUGUUAAAUUUAUUUUAAAAAGUUAAAAAAAAUGUAUAAAUAUAGAAAAGGGUGCUGCAUUUGUUGGUGCAUGCAUUCGAUCGUACGUUAGCUACUAUUCGAGGGAUGCCCCCAUCGGUUACAAAAACUCAUUUCUUUUUGGAGAUGAGAUGGACGGUUGAGAUUCGAUGAUGGGGGCAAUAGGCAUUGCCUGACGAUGUUAUAGACUUAUAGGUAGUUACAGGGAAUUAUUUUCGUGAAAAGUUUCGUAAAGAGGGAUUUCCGGUUCUUGCUUUCUGGUUCGAGCGGAAGCCCGCGGGAUCACCUUUAUAUUACUGCAAAAUGACUGAUGUAGCCUUGCAGGUGUUUAAAGGACUUUUUAAAGGAGAAUUUUUUUUUUUUUUUAUCAUCUUAUUGGAGAAGGACCAUAAAUACCAAGACUUACGUCUUAAUUGAGAGAGAUACUAUAGGAUAGUAUGAGAGCAUCGAGGUUCUACCCCAAAAGAGGACCAUAAUUUUAAGAAAUAGAGGAAAAUUCACCUUCCUCUGUCUUGAAUUCCAAACCUUCCAUGCAUUAAACAGCCGGAAGAAUUAUACUAUAAUGUAAGGAUUUGGCCCCCCCCCCCCACCCCCACCCUUUGUAUAGUGAAUUAUUUCUCUAAAUAUAUUUAUUUACAUCACCAUUACAAUUUUCAAUAUAGCUUUUUAUCUUUUCAAUUAUCUUUUUAUCUCACAUACAUCACAUCACAAAAAUUGCUACAGUAAAAAUAUCUCAAAUAAUUUACAAUCCAAACAAACUCCCUGCUGUCAAAAUGGUUGCGGGGGGAGAAGAGAAAAGUAAUCAAAAUACAUAGGGAGAAUGCAUGCAUAAAUAUAAAUGAAAGGGUGACAGUACAAAAACAGUAGAGUAGAAUUUUCACGUUGUAAUGUGAACUUAAUUUUAUUUUGUACAUCAUUUGCGGUAGGAUAUGUAGAAACACGAAGUAUUUCUCUCCGGUAAUAUUAAUAUUAUUCAAGAGAAUUCACAUAUCUUUUUAAGAUUUCUUUUCAAGAAAUGAGAUAUCUUAUUCUUUCUCCAUAUUGCGCUCCGAGGGGGAAAAAAAUGACAUGGGAAAAAGUUCGCGUUAAGCACAUCGAACCACAACGAGACACGACGAUUGACGCAAAAAUGAAGUUGCCGUAAUCACAAGAAAUGCAUGCAGAAAAUGCCAAAAAGAUUUAGAAGGAUCUUCCUUCGUCAACGGAAGGUUGUUACGUUGCAUGCGUUGUUUCUGGCCAAAGCAAAGGUUUGGUUUGGACGUUGGAUAGAAAUAUUUUCAUUCCAAAAUCAUCUUGACUCUACUACAGAUGAUUAUUCUUAACACCACAAAACUUGCAUCCCUGGCUUGGCAUGGUAGUUAGUAGUUAUUAUCGCCGCGUCUUACAUUUUCAGAUAAAUUUAUAUGACUAAGAUGAAAACAAAAUUAGGAUGAUGUAAUAAAAUCGGAUAUAUGCUGGGGCAGUUUCCGGGACGACGUCGUAGGUUGGGUUGAGCGGCGAUGGCUACAAUUAGAAUAAUUUUCUACUCAAAUUUUGGGGGUGAAUGCAGCAGAGUGGGUCUGAGACCACGCUCCCGCGGCAACCAUGAUGGAGACGAAAAGGAGGUAGACAAAAGGAGAUUACCAUAUCUUCACUGUAAUGAUUUUUUUUUUUGAAAUAUAUAUAUAUAUUAAAAAAAAAAAGAAGAAGGAGGAAAGAAAUGAAGGAUAAAUCCAGGUUUCCACUUGUAUUUGUCCAGCCAAUUGUAAACAGAAGUUAUCAAAUUCCACAUUUCAACUGAUCCAUGAAUGAUUGAUUGCCCACAAAAGCUUGAUGCUAAAUUUUGUGAUUGGCCACAGAUACCCUCAAUCCCCAUCCCCACGUGGCCGCUUUGAUCCCAGUCCCACCACCACUAACUCCGUCACAGCCGUCAAUCCGGCUCCACUCCCCUCAUUCCAUUAAGACAGCGUGGGAGGUAGAAGAAGCCAGAAAGCCCGCUUUAGGCGCAGAGGCUUUUCUGCUUUUGUUGUAUCAUGUAUGUAUGGGAGGCGCACAGGCUCAGGGGUCCUAUUUCCAACUUAGUUAACUAACACGGCAGUAGAUAUAGCGGGAUACAUCCCCCCCAUUUCGGUUAAGCUACAGUUGAAGGGUGCAUGAAAAUUUUAAUUUCUGUCCUUCUAACAGCCCUGAUGAUAUCUACGGAUCUAGCAAACUAGUAGUACUUCUUGAUUAGUAUUCUUGUAUCCCAUUUUACCAGUACUACUUAUUAUGGUCAAAUUUGUACUUGGUUUACCGCAUUUAAUCUGACUCUUUUUUGUCCCUUAAUUCCGUCCAAGAUGUAAAUCUCAAAACCUGGACAAAUGUUCACCAAACGUUCUUUGGGCCGACCAAAUUCCGCAAAUAAAUGUGCAAGCUAGUCCGGUUUGGAAAGUCAUUUUUUUUCCAAAUUUUUUUUUACAUUUUUUACAAACACAUUUUUCAAUCACCUUUUCGUCUCGGAUACGAUAUCAUAUCGUUAUAAUGCAUUUUUUACGAAAAUUUCAGAAAAUUACAAUUCAAACGGGGCCUUAAUUAGGGAAAUUCCAGCCGAGAACUACCAGAUUAGCUACACUUACUUGAGAGCUGGUUGAUGGUGCUGGAGAAUCCGUGCUGAUGACUGAUGACUGAAACCGUGAAACGCAAGUCACUCGCGCAAGGAAGGGAGGGGGCAUUUGUUGAAAGAGAAGGAAAAGCAGAUCAAAUGUGUGCGACGGGUUAGAGGGGGAGAGAGAGAGAGAUGGGUGGGGACGGAGGGGACAAGAAAGCGGCAAUGGAACUUGUGUUGCCGGGUGGUGACCAGGACAUUUAACCUCCUCACCUUUUCCAUCUUCAUCCCCUCAUCUCCGCAGCGCACCUCUCUAUUAUUCUCUUCUUGCUCGUACCAAAAAUAAUGAUGUCGCUUGGCUUUGGCGUUUAUGCUAAUACUCAUAAACCAAAAGUAAAUUCAAACCCACCAAAAAAAAAAAAAAGAAGAAGAAGAAAAAGGAGAACCGCAAAGAUCAUAGCUAGUUAAAAUUAAGAUCUUGGCUCUAAUUACAACUCUUUUUUCUUGUGGUCGAUCAGCCCGUCUUGAAAGACGAUGGCCUCUUUAAUUAGUUACAUCAAACUCCUUUUUGACCUAAUUAUUCAUUUAUUUCCACUAGGAAAAGAAAAGGAGAAAAUCACAGGAAUUAAAGUAGCUUGGUUAUUAUGGGUCUUCUUCUUCUAUAUAUUAUGAUUAGAUGCUACUUGGCAGUGGCACGCUUGGUCUCAAUUCAACUCUCAAAUGCCAACCCAAGAAUUCAAUUCAUAUUUCGUGCAGGUACUCGUCUCGUAGAGAGAUAGGUACCCAUUCCCAUAAUCCCAUCCCCAGAGGAUAUGGGAGUUUCCUCGCAACGACCCAAGAUUUUACACAUCACCACCGCUCAUUCCAUUUCAAGACCCUAUCCAAAAGUUGAUUUUUGUUGUGCUUAUUUGUAUUGGUUCUAUAAUAAAGACUCCGAUUUUUUUUUUCCUGACACGGUGAAUAUCCGAGAUUCAACGAAUUUUUAUUUCGGACCCGACUAAUCCCACUACCGGGACCCCCACCCUCCAUAAGACACAAGACGUUAACAAGAGUCGAAUCGCGAUCACUCGAUAUCAGAACCUUAAGAGGCUUCCCCAACGCCAGACGAGCCAACCCGGAGUAAUAAAGACUCCGAAUUCCUUGAUGCCUUUUGCUAGCGUUAGAGAGGAGGAAGGGAGGGGGGGGGGGUAAAAAGAGGGGAGGCAAUUAAGGGGGGGGGGGGGGUAAAAAGAGGUGAGGCAAUUAACUUGUUUUUGAAGUUUUGUCAUGUGAGUCGUGGCUGCUUAACGAAAUCAUGCCAUCACAAUCAGCUUUUAACAAAGGAAAGAAGGCACAUUUGAAGAAAGUGUGUGAGAUUAAUAAGUUGGUUCAAACUUCAAACCCAAUGUCGGCGGUUUUUAUGUCAUCUGAAAAGUCUUCUCACACUAGAAGAAAGUGUGAAGCCAGGACUUCGGGUUUAACCAACAUUUUGACAUGGCACUAAAAACCUGAGGUUGGAAUAAUUAAAAACUUGUCUCCAAAACUUGAUUAUCCAUACCUAAAAAGCAAUCGAGACUUGUAGCUUGCUCAAAAAUUACCUUUCCCGUGAACCUAAAACCUUGGGCAUGCACCACACUCGCAAAGAUGAGCAGCAAAGUGUGAGAUUACGUCCAAAAGGUUUUAAUUUGUUUAUUCGACGUCCGUCCUUUUCUUCUAACCCUUUGUUCAUGCUUUGAAGUAGUAAUUUUUUUGCAUCAACCUCAACAAUUAAAGACUGUAGAGAACAUUUUCAAUGAAUGAUUACGUCUAACAUUUUCAAGAAAGUUAAUAGGAAAAAGUAGAAACAAAAUGAAGAAACCACUCAUGCAUCCACCGAAAAUAAAUGUAGAGAUAAACAUCAUCCCCAUCCCAUCCAAGUAUACAGUAUAGGCUCGAAAAGAGAGGAAUUAAUGAGGGAGGGGUCCGAUGGAAGGGAUUGAGGGAUGGAAAGGUGAUCAAAUUCAUGGAGGGAUCUGUGAUCUCGAUUAGGUGAUGCGGUAUGAAGGUUUGAAAGUCAGGCUCAGAAGGGAAUAAUUAAUAAUUGAAGUAAGGAUCAAUCCCUAGUGGAAAUGGUAUGAGCCACAUAGUUUGCGGGGCAGUGCCGCGACAAAGGGACCCAAUGCCGGUAGACUUCCGCUUUUGCAGGUGACUCUACCUACAGCCCUUCAAAUGCAAUAUUAAACCACCAUAUAUUUGACAGCGAGAGCCAAUGGAUGAGGCCGUGCCCCCAAAUCCAAAUGAGCUGCCCUUCCGCACGCUUGGUACGGUUCCAUAUUCGCCCUUAAUCUGCCAAGAAAUUAAUAGACAACUUGUUGGUAUUAUUAGUUGUAACAUCGGAUGCUCUUUUUAAGGUAACUACUCCCUCCGUUCCAUUUUGAUAAUUCUAUUUUUCUUUUUCAUCUGUCCCAAAUUAUAGUUCACUUUCCAAUUGAGAAAUGUAGUUAUAUUUUAAUCUUCCUAAAAUACCCUUAUUCAAUAUAAGUUAUUGUUACUAUAAAUCGACUGAGAGUUGAUUCUUUUUUUACCAUCAAUUCAAGUUCCCAUAAAAUUGUGCUCUAAUUAAUGUGAGGGUAUUUUAGAGAAAUAGUUACCUAAAUUGAUUGUUCCAAUAAAGUUAACUAUUUUUUAUUAAACUGUGUGAAAAAAGAACCAGAACUAUCAAAGUGGGACAGAGGGAAUAUUAACCCACCCAACCAAAACAUUUAUUAUUACAUGUAUUGUCCGACACUUCCGAUUUGUUAUCAGCACCUUCUUGACUAGAUCUACAAGAAGAUGAAAAUUAUCUACCAUUACUUUUUUUUUUUUUUUUUUUUUGGGACCCGGGGGGGGGGGGGGUGUUGUGUGUGUGUGUAUGGGACAAGAACAGAAAACCAAAAUUUUCCUUUCCCUAUUAUUUACAUGUACUGAUAGCCUUUGAUCUAUUACCUGGAUAUGGUUAAUACGAUGAUUCUUAACUGAAUUAGGUACUGAUGAGGGACUUUCAUGCAGAAGAUUGAAGGUCCUUGGCGAGCAAAUACUCGAGAAAAUCAAGAGCUUAACAUUCAUAAUCAUAGAGCAAGCAAUAUUAACCCGGAAUAUUGAUACUUAACCCGGCUAUUAUCAGUUGCUCACUCUUUAAUAUUAAUUAUGUUUUCUAGUCGGGUGGUAUUUUAUAUCGGAUCAACUUACAAUAGCAACCCAUAGGGGACAUUUAGCCAUUAAAAAUCACGCCUAAACAAAAUUGUCCUACCCUACUUGCAUAGUUAAUCUUGAUCAAUAUACUCUAACACUACGAAUAAAACGAAGCGUCUGGCACGUUCUCUCACUGGCCCUGGAAAACAUACUUAUAUAUAUAUAUAUAGUAAUAAUAGUAGUGGUGGUUGCAAACACGUUCCAGCGCAUGGAAUUCCAAAGACAUCCAUGGAAAUGGGAAAGGGCAAUACUGCUGCAAUUUAUUGGUUAUGGGGGUUUUUGUGUGGGCCGGCCCGGAGGGGAUCUCUCCUGUGUACUCUCUUAAGCUGAAUCACUAUUGACUGCUCCUGUUCUGAAGAAUAAAUACACCUGCGAUAUACAGUUCACGUGUGAAAGAUUUGUAGUACACAAGUACAACUGCAACAGGAUCUUCUUUGUGUUCAAACUUGCCAGCGAAUCACUCAGUUCUCCAGUAUCCUUCCCCUUAAAUCUAUGGUUUCGGAACUGGACCGGAUAUCGACUCGAUCGAGAUCAGGAAUCAAGGGUCAAUGGAUUCAACCAAAUUUGAUAGGGGUUUAAAUCGGAUGACGUCAUAAAUAAAAUUUAUUUAAAAAUUAAAAUAUUAUAUGUAAAAUACUUAAUAACAUGUUAAUAUUAAUAAAGAUAUAUUCAUAUAUAUUUGAUGUUUCAAAUAUAUUUAAUAAGCAAAUACAAAUAAAUUAGAGCAAUCAAGUAGCAAUUUAUAGUAUUUAAUAAGCAUUAACAAAUUUAGAAUUAAAAUUAUGGACUUAAUUGAAAAAUAACACCAAACUUUAAGACAAUAUUUAUAAAGUAUGAAAUAUUUGAGGUAUGUUAAUAAUUUUUAAUAACUUAAGGAUCAAAACAUCAUAUUAAAAAUAUUCUGACCUUUCAAAAAAAAGUAAAAAAAAAAAAAAAAAAAACGAGAUCGUGUUCAUUUUUCUGGUCAAACCCAAAUUUUGACUUGGUUUGACCGAGUUUUUGAUUUUUCGAUUUUUAGAAUUAACUCGAACCGACCAACUGAUCGGUUCUCUGUUCGAUCGGUCGAACAGGCCGCCCCCGUCCGAAUUUAAAACAGAGCUUUAGAUUUGAUUCAACUUUCUACUGCUGGUUAGGUCUAUGUUAGUCGAAUUUUGAUUUAAUUGAGUCGAGUUUCGAUUUAACUUUAUCUUCAACUAAUUUUCAAUGUAAAACUCAAAUUUGAACUCAAUACGAAAUUUGAGCCUAGUCGAACUCAAAGUUGAAUCUACUUAAGUUUUCAAAAAUAAAAAAUAAUUAUUAUAAUUUAAAAAAGAAUAAAAUAGUCAAUUUUUUCUUAAUAAAUAAUAACAAUAUUAUAUAUAUAUAUAUAUAUAUAUAUAUGAGCUGAUUUGCAAGCAAGUGAACGAGUUGCAUUUCUCUGUACUCGAUUUGAGUUCGAUAACUCGACUCAAACACGAUGCUUGCGACUCGAUUUGAUUGCAGCUUAGUCACGUUGUAGAUGGGUUACAGAAAUAUCUGGCUAAUUUGCAACUUGUCACCAAAAUGGUGCUUCGCUGCAAGAAGCUCAAGCACGUGCAACUGUGCUAGUUUAUCAUCUUAUUUUUUGUUUCAUGGCUAGGUGACAAGUUUUUGGGGGACCAAGAAAAUGCUUCCCAUCCGGAUCAAGAUUAAUAUGAAGGCUGCCCAGUUACUUAUCCUCUUUCAGUUUUUCUUCUUCUUCAUUUUUUUUUAUUCGCUUUCUUUUUUAGGGAUUCAAGUUGUAGGAUUAUACUAUUGUCAUCAUCCGCAGCUGACUUUAUAGAACUUUAGUUGCUUUCCGAGUAAAGAGAAAACCUGGAUAAGCCAACGGACCUGUUUAAUUGGUUUGUUCCGCCAUAACUUCUACUAUCUAUAGGACCACAAGCUGAAAGAUCAAUCAAUCUUUUACGCAGAUGAUUUCAGUCGAUCAGCGUACCUGGAAAGAUAAGGCUCCGACAACUCUCCAUAAAUUUGACAAGAUUUCUUUUUUCCUCGUAAAAUUUUUUGCAAAGAUAAGGCUCCGACAACUCUCCGUAAAUUUGACAAGUUUAUGAUUUGAUUAUGGCAGUGUGAAGCAAAAAAUCAAUCAGCCAGGCCCAAAUGCAUUCCACCAUUAAUCAACAAUCGGCAAUUGUGACGGGCCUAACAGCCUGAGUUUUGGGCCUAGUAAUUUGUGUCGCUGAUUGGUCCAAUGAUCUGCCUUCAAUUGAAGCCCGCCCAAUGCAAAUGGACAUUUCUUACCUUCGGCCUAAACUGGGGGAGGAAAGGCUGUGGUUUCCUUCCUUUGCAGACAGACACCUGUCCUUUUUUCUUUCCCUUCAUUUCUCUAUUUUUACGUUCUUGGAAGUUUGGAGAAGUUAACUAACAGGAGAAAAGUGUGUGCACGAAAUCUCGUCUCCUUUUUUGUCUAAUACCUUCAGCGUUAUACUUCAUCUAGGAUCAAUGCAGACUUUGAUGGCUAGAACCAUGAUCAAUGUGAGCAAAGAAAGGUGGUAUUUGUUUGGUUUUUUUAACCCCUUCUCAUGGGUAAUGAGAUCAAUGACAAAUGUAUAGGAAAUGCUUCUGUUUUGGAUAAAACAGACGAUGUAGCGCCUUUAGAGUUGAUGAAAAAAAGGGUCAACGCGAUAUAUAGGGAGUAUGGUUAAGAACAAUGACAGCGAGAGAGUUUUCAUUCAUGUACAAAGAUUUGCAAAGUAGAAGAAGAAGAAAGAAAAAAAAUGACGAAAAAGGGUCGCGAGAUAAUUCAGUCACAAUAUUUGACUUUCAGUCAUCAAGGAACAAUUCGUAGGUUUCGUGAAAAAGAGGUAAUUUGCUACUGAAGUAGUAUUACGAUUAUAGCCUAGGGGCCAUUGUGUAGUUUAGCCUAGUAUAAAUAUUGUUUGUUGAAGAAGCAUGCCCCCAUUGCAAUAGAGCAGCAAGAGAUGGUUUUGGUGCAGCUGAUUAGCCUAAUCAACAACUUCAAGUCAAAAGAGAAUUGCAUUUGCACCGCACCUUAGCCAUGCAUAUAUGUCUAGGUGAAUCGCAUAUACAUGUGCUAUUAAAGUCCAUCCCUCAUGAGGCAAAGAUUAAUUGCGGUCCACAAGUGCGCAAAUACAUGAUUGCCAAAGAACAACGGACGGCUGAGAUGACAAGCCAAGAAUCAGAACGCCCAACCCUGUUCAGGAUGUGAUGAUAAUAGUCAUAGACCCCAUGGUUUCUGAGUGCUCUAUUGUUCAGUCAAUUUGCGGAAUAAUGAGAUGAAGUUCUUGUGAAUUGUAUCCAUCAUUUCAUGCACGCUCUCCAUUUUGUCUAUUUUUUCUUAUUGAAUCUGCCUUUCUAGAAUUCCCUAGUGUAAGCACCAAUGCCCCAGCGUCGUUUAUUUUACGUCUGAUGUGUUUUUGGUUAUAAUAAUGCCACCCCAGCAAGCUCUACUCACAGCACUUUGCCAAUUGGGAGCGUUGCUUGAAGCACGAAAAAAGUCAAGAGACAUUAUUCAUAUUCACUUUUGAGCUUUCAAGGUUCAGUUUGAGGAUUAAUUAUAAUGUAAUGAAAUCAAAUCAUGAUAGGGGGAUAUUUGGCUUACAGGAUGCUAUUCGAGAAUGUCUGGAUAAAGCAUAUGCUGCUUCAGAAAUCCCAUUUUGGCAUUGGACUUGCCAGGGCUACUUACUUUGCCACGGUUAUAGAUUGGUUCCAGGACAAGAAAAUAUCAAGAAAGGGAGCAGUGACCUGAUUAGCAUAGUCCCUCGCGUCCUCAGAUAAAACCAAAAAAAAAAAAAAAAGAUUAGAGGAAUGAUAUCAACAGUGAAGACACAACCAAAAUACAAAGAGCAGUCGCAUUAAAACUGACAGGGCAGCCUAUUUUGAAGAAACAGAAUCUUGCAGGAAAAAUAUUUAGACAAGUAGUUCACUGUCACCACGAACAUCAAGUGGAUGAUACUGACAUACAGGAAAAAAAGACGGGGGACCCGAAAAUGACAUGCAUGUGAUCUAAUUUCGUGCCGAAACAUCUUGAACCAAUUUUCAACAUGUAAUUUAAGGCUUUUUACUCCUCCAUUCGGCCAAAGUAUUCUACGAUUUCAAAAGCCAAAUUGUUCUUGACUACGGCUAGUUAGUCUCCGUUACACCUUCGUUUUUUUUUUUUUUUUUUUUUUUUGGAAUUAAACCUCGAUUGAUAGACCUGUAUUGUAUGUCCAAUUACGGCAAUCAGACGGUAAUUUUGAAACUCUAUAGAGCCAUUAAACUUGCAUUGCUCAAACUUUGGUGUUGCAAACUUGCAAUUGCUUUAGCAGCCAGAAUGGAACGCAUUAAGUUAUGAUGACGAGAGGGUAAAGAGGAUCAUAAAUUGAUGAGAGGCAACCCUGUGGCGGCCUUUGCAGCUCCGAUGAUGGGGGACCUUCUUCCCGGUCGCCAGCUCUGGUAUUGUGAUUUGGAUGGAAUGCAGAGUUUUGAGUCUAGUGCUGCAGCUGUUCAUGGCCCAAUUAGAGUUGUCAAUCUCAGUGGCUGCUGAAACUAAGUUUUCAGAUAUUUUCGUUCUUCUUUAUCCGUUGAUAUUUAGGAGAAUCCACUUGCGGAGAACGAAAUGCGAGUGAUUUGAGUCCAAGAAUUGUCACGAAAAAGCAGAAAGCAAAAUACACUUUUGCAAUCGUUUCAAAGUUGACUUCCUCGGGGACAAACCGUCAUUAGAUGAAAGUACUGUAUUCACCGCUAGGCAAAAGGUGAGGAGGGCGGAGAGGUUGAAUUGUUGAGAUUUUUGGUUUAUUUUUGCUGUUUUCUUUGUCUCUGGAAUGCCACCUCUUAUUAGUUUGGAAUCAUUAGGGGUGCAAACGAGCCGAGUUCGAGCCGAGUUUUGGCUAAUCGAGCCGAGCUCGAGUUAAUUUUGUGAAAUUCGAGCUCGAGCUCGAGCUCGACGAGCUCAAAAUAUCGAGAUCGAGCUCGAGCUCGAGUCAAAUUCGAGUCGAGCUCGAGCUUAAAAAAUAAAAAAAAUAAUUAUUAUUAUUUUAUUUUUAAAAAAUAAAAAAUAAUUAUUUAUUUUUAAAAAUAAAUAAAAUAAUAAUUUUUUUAAAAAAUAAUAAAAUAUUAGGGAUAUAUAUGUAAUUUUACUAUUAAAAUAAAAAAUAAAAAAUAUAUAUAUAAUUGAGCUCGCGAGCCAACGAGGUUAAUGUUUUUGAGCUCGAGAUCGACUUAAUUAGCUCGAGCUCGACUCGAACUCGAUAUUGACGAGCUCGAGUCGAGCUCGUAUUCGAGCCGCUCGCGAUCGGCUCGCGAGCGGUUCGAUUCGCGAAACACCCCUAGUUUGAAUAGACUAGUAUUAUUUGAAAUGAUUACUGCAGUACUUUUUUUGUGAUGUGAUAUAUACGAGAUAAAAAGGUAAUUGAAAAUAUAAAAAUGUGAGUUGAGAAAUGUGCUUAUGAUACAAGCGAAAUAUUAUUUGAGAUAAUUGUUGUGUUAUCCAAACACUCGUCGGCACUUCUGAGAGAGCCAUUGGCCGAAAAACCAAAAAGCCUCUAGAGAGUAUUUUUGCUGUUAUCAAGAAAUUACUUGCUACUAUGUAUAUGAAUGAGGUAUUAUUGAAAAUCAUUUUUGUGACGUAAUAAUAUAUAUGUAAAAUUUAAAAAUAUAUUUAUAAUAUAAAUAAAAUAAUAGCUUAAAAAGAAACCCAAACACAACUUCUAGUAACUAGGAAGUUGGGUUGAAUGAGCUCAUUUAGACAGAACAUUUACGAGGUAAAAAAGAAAAGAAAAGAAAAUGAUGCCUUCCCCUGUUUUCCAUUAAUUCUCCUAGGAAAAAGAUUUUAGACUCUCUGCCUGCUCAUGCCGUCCUUUGGGAACUCAAAAGGUCACACACAAGCCCGCCCCAAAAAUCUCUUUUUUUUUUUUGCCUAUCAGCAUCAUAUAAAAUGGAAAGAAAAAAUUUCAGUCAAAGAAGAUUUAAACUAAUUAAUGAUCCCAUCUUACAGUUGUUGCCGGUGAUAAGUAAUCCAACGCUAUAAUGCAUGGACUGCUCAACUUCCGCAGGAGGAGUACCAUUAAUUUUUUCGGUCGUUGAGUGACGGAACAAGAAACCUCUUUCAUGCUCCAGUCAUUAAUAAAUCACACGUUUCCAAGUUAAUUUAUUUAAGUAUGUUUACGAGGGACUCGAGAUUAGCACGCAACGAACAGAAACGAUAUGCUACAUGCAGCAGCACUGCACGACUGAACUAAAAAAAAAUACCUCUCGCAGAGGAGAGGUGCGUGCUGCACAAGUCUAAUGUUGAAUUUGGAAGAGGCAUCUGCGUGAUUAGCAUAAACCUGAGGCGAAGAGGAGGAGUAAAAGGACAGGGCAAGAACAAGGUGGGGCAGGGCGUAUAAGAAGCUGUCUAAAGUGAUCCGGAUCAGCGCCGGCCCUCCAGCUAAACAGCGCAUCAUAUUCAUAUCUCCAGUUUUCAAAAGCCACAUCAUAAUCUUUUUCACGUUCUGACAAAGAGGUGUUUUUACCCGACGGACGCCUCUCCUCUGCUUUCCUGCAUCCCUUCUUCGAGUUUAUUACAGUAUUGUUCUUCUAAAUAUAACUAUAAAUAUAAAUGCCUGCCCGCAAAUUAAUAAGCAUUACAUAGAGGGCGCACUCAGUCAUCGGUUCAUGCUCUCCUCCACCGAGAAAUAGACCACAAUGGGGCCUAAGACAAGAUAGGAGUCAGCAUGUGGGACAGGAGUCCCGGCCUUUCCUCCGUACCUUGACCCGGACAGCAACUGUACCUUUCUUUACCGCUGCUUCACACUUGCACCUGCACCAGUACCCUUCCCAUUUAUAAAUUCUCACCGCCUUCUCCUCUUUGCUCUGCCCCCAUUCCCUACUACUAGCAAGACGCUACUGUUAGGUAUUAGAGAGAGUUGGUAGAACUAACCGGUAACCAAUUCUCUUAUCCAUCCCCACUUUCCCCAAACCUGGUUUAUAAUUAAUUAAGGAAAAUCUUUGUGGUUCCCAGUCUCUUCGUAUCAAAGCUUGAAUCCUUUGAUUUUUUCCGACCCUCGAUGAGGGGAGUAGGGCGCCUAUUGAGUGGCAGUAAAGACAAUUGUUUGAGCGAUGGAAAGUCCAGAUUAUUCACCUCCUCAUGUGGACGCUUCACGGCCGUCUCUGGGAUUCCCUCUUGGCACAGCCCUCCUCCUGAUCGUCAUUUUCAGCUUGAGCGGUAUCUUUUCCUGCUGCUACCACUGGGACAAGCUCCGGUCCUUCCGCCGAUCUCUCCCCGGCGCCACGGAUCUCGAGGAAGAUGGUGUUCAAGACGCCUCGAAACCUAAACUUGCCCACAUGGUAACCGGAAAUUUUAAUUUUUUUUUAUUAAAAAAAAAAAAACCCGAUUCCCCAUAACUUCGCUCUAAUGGAAAAAGAAAUAAAUUUUGCUGCAAUAAAUUGGUUUUGUGCUUCUGGUUGUCGAUGUUACAAAAUUCAAUCAAUUUGCAGCUUCUAAUUGGAUACCCUGAUUUCUUUUGUUGUAGAACAUGAAGCAGAAUCAAAACCAGAGCUUGCCAGUACUAAUGCCCGGUGAUCAAAUUCCGAAGUUCAUUGCAAUGCCAUGUCCAUGCGAGCCUCCGAGACUGGAGAAAAUAGUUGUGGAGGUGCCCAAGAAGCCACGCCAAUGGCGAUCCCUUUGUACUAGAGAGCUCUCUCUCUCUGCUCCUGCCUACCUACGUUUGCGCCCGUUUCAUGUACAGUACUGAAGAAAUUUUACUACUCCAAUAGUAACUAAAAAAAUUAUUUUGCUUACGUUUCAAGUAAUUUAAAGCUGGCAAAUACCCAACCAAUAUAUGACAGAAUUUUCUGUGUUCUCAAGCACGCUUGCUUGGAAGACAUGAGCAAAAAGAAAAAAAACUCGGAUCUGUCCGUAGGUAGCUCUGCUUUCUGUUUCUGGUAUCCAGUAAUCGACAUCCAUCCUAAAACUUGCCAUAUUACUGCGUCAAUCAGGAUAUAAUCUUCUAACGUAGAUGAUAAAUGUGAACCCGGGUAGACAAGAGUUCAGAAACCACAGCCCAUACAUACGCAAUCCUCCUGUUUCCUUCAGUCGCUAAAUUUGUUUACUAUUUUGUUGCUUUUACUGGUGUAAUAUUUGGAAAACAUACUGGUGUAAUAAAGAUGGAAAUCGGUCUAGGACUCUAGGGCGAGAUCUCGGUCAGGUUGACUGUAAUAUUCCCAUUGUCAUGUUUCGUACUCAUCGCCGCUGCUCAGAAAUCCUCAAGGGAAUAGUAGUAUGUUUCUGCUGUAAAUAUACAAUAUGGUAAAACUAAAAAAAAUAAAAGCCAAGUUCACUUUUUUCAAUAUGGAUGCCACCUUUGCCUAAACAAGCCAUUUUUAAUUUUUUUUUUUGGCCUAGACAAGCCUUUUUUAAUUGCUCCAAUCAGUUCUUGAACCUCUUGGUUAGAUAACUUUUCUCCUCUCUCUCUUUCUUUCUCCCCCGGCGGGAAGCAGCACCUCCGUUCUCGGUUGAGCUUCUUGAAACUUGCUAGCACUUGCGUACCAGAGUUUGGAGAAAUGCUACCGUGCAUGGUACUAUUUCUGAAUUUCCAAAACCAGAGUGUCGUCUGCUGGUUCCUGUGAUCAUGCUCCCCUGGAACUGUAAGAUAAGAAGCACGCAUGACGGUGUCUUUUCUGUCAAGCAGCCGCUGCUUAAAAGUUUCUUGCAAUUCGGGUGGCAUGGCCAUUUCGAACCAGGAACGCCGUUGAAAGAGGUUCAAUUCGAGAAGGAACCGCAUGCGAUUCCAUCGUAUUAAAGAAUACAUUUUAUUUGAGAUAUUUGUGCUAUUCAAACACUCCUGUACCAUACCAGGAUUAAUCAUCAAUUUCCACCGCAAGGUCGCAAACGACUUAAAUUAGCAAUUACCUGUUGCUUUUCUAUUGGCCAAUUAUAUGAUUUCAGAAUCGAGGAUUAUGUAUUGCCUCAGAAUAUGGACCUAAUUUGCAUGAUUUUUAAUAAUUAUUUUUUGAACGAAAAAGGAGUGAAAUUUUUGUAACAAGUUAGAAGGAGGGGGCACAUGGUAGGUGGCGUGGAAAAUUAUAUAUUAUUACCUUUGCAUGAUUUAAUUGGAUCAAGGGUUCCACCAUACGAAGCAGGACGUGAUUGAUUAUUGCUUCAAUGAAUUUUUUUUCUAUCGUUUGUUCUUUUCUAUCAACUACCGGCGCUUUCUCUUCGACAUUAUUGUCAUGACCUAAUUUCACUGUACAAACCAAAUCAGGCGAGUGCUUCGCUUUUGCUCCACCAAACACCUUCUCCAGUACGAGUACUAGACCAGCGGGCGUUUUGUACUGAUACCCUGAGGCUUAGUCCGUCCUUUCAGUACAAAUCACUUUUUGUCCUUUGAUUUGAUUGGAUGCUCUUUUCAAGUGCUGAUUGCUGAUCUCAGGAUGGGACGCUGUCCUAAUUUCGGCACAUUCCAUCUACUCAAAGCUCCCUUUGCUUAACUACUUGUAUUCGUCCACCUGGGUAUCUGCAUACUGCAUUUCCAUUACGACCAGAUUCCUCAACCGUCUACUUCAGUUCCCUCCCCGUCUGGAUUUUUUUUUUUCUUCAAAUACCACUGCUGCCUCGACGAAUUUUAGUUCACGUGCAUUAUAGUACGAAAAAAAUCUUUUUUUUUUUUUACAGUACCCACGAUUAGAACCAGAAGUUGCCUGAAAUUUAUGACAGAUCUCAAGCUCCAUUUGGAUUAGCUAUUUUUUCAAAAAUAAAUUUUUCAAAUACAAUGUUACAAUAAUACAUAAUAAUUCUAAAAAUAUCCUAUCCAUAUAAUAUAUCAAAUAUUUCAAAAAAAUUUUAUAAUAAAAAUUUUUCAUAUACACUAUUACAAUAAAAUUUUUCGAAAAUAUUUCAAAAAAUAGCUAGUUCAAACACAGCUUCGGUAUUUCCCAAAACCAACCCCACAUCAAUGCAUCAUCCCAUUCCUUUCUUUAUUUACCGGAAAUGCAAACGCAAAAAUGACUAAAGAAAGUCGCGAGAGACACGUAACUCACAAAGGAUUCUUACCACUGCACAGAGAAGAAAAAUUAAAGUUGGAAACUAAUGAUGAGGUUACCCUACUAUUUCAGCACCCCUUCAUCGUCUAGACAUUGUCCAUUACGUAUAUUUUGGUCAGUCAUCAUCUUAUCAUGAAUUUUGGCCUGUCAUAAAGAGAAAGGAAAGUUCAAUACUCCCUCCGUCCCACUUUUGAUAGUCUUGUUUUCCUUUUUUGUCUGUCCCAAAUUGUAGUCCACUUUCCCAUUAAGAAAUAUAGUAAUAUUUCAAAUUGUCUAAAAUACCCUUAUUAAAUAUCUUGUUAUUAAUACAUUGUUAUUAAAUACUAACCCACUACAUUGAAUACAUUGAGCUUUUCCAAUACUAACCCAUUAGCUGUAACUGAUAUUAAUUGGCACUCUUCGUGAUUAGCAUAAGGGUAUUUUGAAAAAUUAUUAAUCUAAAUUUAUGUUUUCAACCAAAUUAAUUACACUUUCUUAAUCUGUGUGAAAAAAAAAUUAAGAUUAACAAAACGGGACGGAGGGAGUAUUUCACUACUACUCUAUGUAUAAACUCCUGUCUGUCUAUUUCCAAAAUCGCUUUCAAAUUUCAUCGAACUUGAGAUUUCGUAACUCGUACCAUCUACUCCCCCACACUGUUUACUCAUUUUCUCUAUCUAUGGGCACAUAACGUCCACCAAUUCGACAUCCAACAGUUGGCAUCAAAGAGGACGCAAUUAUCACCACAUAUCCUCGAUCUGCUGACCAACUAUUCUACACCAUGUCUGCGUCUGCGCAAAGCAAACAUGGAAUGGUAGUUGUGGGAACUGUAAACCAUGUGAGAGGAUUGAUUGCCUUCAUCUAAGUACUACAGUACCAUGCUCCGCUUUUCAUUCACUUCUAUCUACAACUGCAUCCAUCAUACUACUACUGAUCUUCUGCUGGGGCAGGCAACAGAUCAGCUUUUUUUUUUUUUUUUAUAAUGUAAACUUACAUCGUGAUCGUGAUCGUGAUCGUGAGUGGUUUUAUUACACUAGCAACACAUAAAGAAAAUGUAAAAAAGAAGCCAAAUUUUUCCACGGCGGUAAACGUACGGAUGAUAAGUAGAGAGACCCCUGAUGAUAGGGGGCCCUUUCUUUGUAGAAACCAAAAUACGAGGAGGAGAGAGGGAGCACCUUUUGGGAAACAAUUGUUAGUGGGAAUAUUAGUGGGCUUGCCUUAUCUAUCAAAAAGUGAAAGGUAAUGAAUGUGUAACGUUCCAACGUAACCUCUAAUUCCAUUGUCCGAUUUCGUUUCAUCCCAUUUUCCUUGUACUUUCGUUGCACUUCUCCGGUUUCGUUGCAUCCCAUUUGAGCCAGGAAGAUUAAUGUCCGCAUCAAAGAGUUACUCCAGUCUACACUGAAAUGCCUUUUAUUUGCUGUAAUGUAAACAUAUGCGUACUUGUUUGUUGAUCGCCUGCGUGUCUGUUUUUCAGGACACGUACGUACGGCAUUCGCGACAGUUUCCUUCAUCGUGAGUAGGGGUGCAAACGAAUCGAGCCGCUCGCGAGCCGCUCGAUACGAGCCAGAGUCGAGCUCGAGCUGCUCGAGCCAGAGUCGAGCUCGAGCUCGAGCUCAAAACAUUAAGCUCGUUAGCUCGCGAGCCGAGCAGUCGAGCUCGAGCUCGAGCUCAAAACAUUAAGCUCGUUAGCUCGCGAGCCGGCUCGCGAGCUCGAGUAUAUAUAUAUUUAUUUUUUUAUUUUUAUUUUUAAUAGUUAAAUUACAUAAAUAUUCUUAAUAUUUUAUUAUUUAUUAAGAAAAAAUAUUAUUUUAUUUAUUUUUUUAAAAAUAAAAUAAUUAUUUUUUAUUUUUUCGAGCUCGAAUUCGAGUUCGAGCUCGAGCUUGAAAAUUACCAGCUCGUUGAGCUCGAGCUCGAGUUCGAGUUCGAUGAAAUUAAGUUAAGGCUCGACUCGAUAAGGCCAAAGCUCGACUCGGCUCGACUCGUUUGCAUCCCUAAUCGUGAGGGACGGAGGGUUAUCUUCUUUUAGGCAACAACUUCAUUGGUCCACGGAGAGAAUAGUUUGGACAGUGGAGGUGCAAUUAAACAAAGAAAGAAAGAGGAGUUGAAUCAGGCAAUGAAGCAAUGUCGUACCAUGAAUAGUAUAGUAUACUAAGUGGAAUGGAAUUCCUCUUAAAGCUAGUUUAAAAUGUUAGGUAACUUACCUAUGCAUCUCUUGGUUUAGUUCAAUUUUGGCUUUUGAGGUGGGUCCGCCGCUUUCUCUACUCUUAUCCUUUUUAACAAGGAUUUGGAAUUCUUGAUCACAGUGGAUUUUGUAUACUGGUGAGUGUUGCGAGGGAAAUAGCUUGUUUGGAUUUCGUAGGUUCUGAUCACCAAUCCUUGUUUUCUCUUGUAGUGGAAUAGUUUGUACUAUAAUGAUUAUAGAAUGCUUGGGUUUAUUAGAUUGGAAGUCGAGUCAUUAGUAGUCGGUUGUACGUAUCUUAUUGGUUUGAGGGUUCCGACAGCCGAUUCAUGGAUUAGGUAAUUAUUUGAGAUCCUGAAACACCGUCAUAAGGUUCUCCAAUCCAAUGCGCCCCAGGAUUCAUCUGGUGGCCCAAAUUCGCUUUUCUGUUAUGCUCCACACUUUGACCUAAAAGGUAAUUAAAGUUUCUUUUAAUUAAUAAACUCAGUGGGAUGAUCAUUACCCAUUUGGCUAAUUUAAUUAUUUAUGCCACGAAACUAUGGCUGCCUUUGCUGAUGCUGCUGUCAUUAGUUUCCGUAUCUUUCCAGGACAAAAGCUUCGAUUAUGCCAAGAAACAACAAACAAAUAAAUAAAAUGCUGCCCCUAGGAUCGCUGCGGGUGUGCUUGGCAUCCUAGUUUUUUUUUUUUUUUUGCAUGUUUUUAUUAGACAAGUUUUUUUUUAAUAAUACAUAAAAACACAUAAAAUUUUUAAAAUAUACACCCCAAAAUACUUAAAAAUACACGUUCAUUUCCCUCUUCUAUCACCACCCUAUCUAAUCAUUUCUACACCACCCUGUCUAAUCAUUUCUAUUCUACCCCCUCCCUUUCUUAACCCAUCGCCGUUUGCUGUUGUCGUCGCCUCUCCUCAUAACUUUAUUUUUUUUUCUCUCACUUCCUCUUUCCCUUCCUUUCUUCCUCCUCUUCUUCUCUCAUUUCUUUUCUGUCAUAUUUUCUCCUCCAUCUCCCCUAAUGCCCCCGUGACCCCACCUUUCAUCCCUAAUCGAGAUCAAGUCUAGAUCAUAGAACAAGGGAAGGGGAUGGGGAUCAUGAAUCCAUGAAAGUAUUUCCUCAAAUUCUAUAGUAAAUUAAAAUAAAAUUUUAUACAAACACUCAAAAACACACUAUUCAAAUGAAUGGUUUCAUGACUCUCCUUUGUCUCCGUUACCUUUUCUUUUUCCCUUACCUAGCAUAGAUGAGAUUAUGAUACAAGCUCUUACUUGAAAAUAGGGUAAAAAAAAAAACUCCCUAUAAUUUGUCAAAUGUUCAAUUUAAGUUCCUCUAAUUCGAAAAUCUACAUUAUAACUCCCUAUGAUUUCGACUACAUUAAAAAGUGGACGGAAAGCAUUCAAUUUAAUGGUUGUAUGUGAAAUUUCAAUAUUACCCUUGUUAUACAUGAAAUGCUUUCUAUUCAAAUUCCAAUUUAGUCGAAACAACAAGGAGCUAUAGUGCAAUUUUUUAAACUAAAAAAGAGUUAAAUUGAAUAUUCGACAAAUUCCAAAUAGUCCGUUUUUACAAGGGUAAUAUUGACAUUUCACCUACAAUUGUUAGAUUGAAUGCAUUGUUCAAUUUUCAAUUUAAUGAAAAUCACAGAGAAUUAUAGUGUAGAUUUUCAAAUUAGAGAGAAGUAAAUUGCAUAUUUGACAAACCACAAUAAGUUUUUUUAGUAUUUUACCAUUGAAAGUAAGGCAGCAUGGUAUGACCUAUAAACAUUCCCACAAGAAAUGAUUAUUCAUGAACAUCAAAUUCUCUCUUGAGACAACUUAGAACUUGACAAUAGCUACAUCUGAAGUAAAAUUGAUAUGACCUGAAAUCUAAAAUAAAAAAAAUAACAAACAAAAGUGUAUGUAGUGUUGGGUGCCAACCGUCUUGCUCUAUAGAAGUUCAAAAUUUGUCACAAAGGUAAAAACUCUAAAUGUGCAUACCAAGAAACGUCACGUAAUUUUACCUUAAAUAACAUGUUUUUUUUUUCAUUUUUUUAAAGUGCAAGUAAGAAGUUUCAAAUUCAGAACUUCUUACUUACAUUAACACAUUUAUGAUUCAUAUACAAGUGAUUGAAUAUACCAUCUUUGUUACAAAAAAUGCACAAACAAUUUGUAAUAAAAUACAGCAUGAUCAAGCAGUUAUGCGUGGCCAAAUCUUGUUUUAUCCAAUUGCUACUUCACGAGGCGUCAUGCGUCGCGGAAUGAAUAGUUCGAUUAAUUUUACUCAUCAACAAUAAAAUCAAUAGCACUUGCCCCCCCAAAAAAAAUCCAAGGUCCUAAACUGCAAAUAUCGAAAACAUUAAAGAAAUUUCCGUACAUAUGUCGGUUAAACGCAGAUUUGUACAGCAAGUUCACCAUGGGCCCUCUAGUCAAGCCCGAGACUUUCAAUGUUGUUGCGUAGCCCAUUACUUAACACGAACAUCUCGUGCAUCGAGUUUAGGCUUUGAGCCUUUUUAUUGUAUUCCAUCCCUAUAUCUUUUCAGACUUUGAAUCUUGUGCUUUCCCUCGCCUGUCUGCCAUCAUAAUCUCUGCAACACCAACUGUUCGUUAAAAUGCGCCAGAGAAACUCUACUGAGAACAGAGCGAAACCCGUUGUCGCAAUUCGCAGAUCUCCACGAUUUCUGAAGCCAAAUCAACCCGACUCAGAAUACCUGCAGACUCCGAAUCAUGUUCCAAACAAGAAACGGGUCCCUCUCUCGGAUCUCACACCUCUUAGCUCAAAUCCAAGCGGGAAUUCUUUAAAAAGAGGCCAACUUUCAGAUAAGGCGAAAGAAUCCAAUGUCCGGUGUAGAAGUUCCACGAAUGUGUGUAGCGAGCCCAGAAAAUUGACAGGAUUGAAUGGUGGAGUUGACAACUCUCGUGUUGUUCGACGGUCUCCUAGGUUUUCUCAGAAUGGCAAUGUUAAUAGGAUUGUUUCUGAUGAAUCUAAGCUGGAGCGCUCAUCUAAGGUGAGUAAGAUAGGUAAGCCAGUCUGCAUGAAUGCAAAAUCUGAGACAGAAAAGCGGGUGACCAGGAGUUCUUUAAGGAGGUGUAACAAUGGAGGUGUGAGGGGCAAUGGAAAGGGUUGUGAUGGAGUCACUUUGAAAUGCAUUUCUGAUAACGGAAAAGCUAAAGGGGAUGUUAAUUUGUCUGAGCAAUGCAUGUAUAAAAUUGAAAAGAGGGUUACAAGAAGUGCCACUCGAGGAAUUAAAGAUGAACACCGUGCAAGAACUGGUAACGCCGAGGGUAAUGAGUCCAUCCAGAAUAUUCCCUUUGGUUGUUUGUACAAAAAGGUCCUUUCAGUUGAUGGAGAAGAUAAACAUGGUGCAAACUUACCUAGAGAGCCUAUUAGUGAAAAUGCAACUACUAAUGUUCUGUCCACAGACUUAAUAGGAGGGGAAGGUCGGAGUGUUGGCUUUGAAGCUGAAAAAAAGCAGGUUCCUGCAAAAAGGAAGAAAAUCCAAGUUGAAGAAGAGCAUAGGAUGUUUCAGGGAUGGACAGCAGAGCAAGAACUAGCGCUGGAAAGAGCUUAUUUUGCAGCAAUGCCGACACCCCAUUUCUGGAAGAAAGUUGCCAAAAUGGUAAUGUGCUGCCACUUGAUUAAUUUGGCAAAGAAAUUUGGUUUCUUGUUAAUGGUAUCUGUGUUAUUUUAUUAGAAAAAAUGUACUAGAAUAACUUUUGGCCUAUACUUUUAUCCAUUCAUAGCUCUCAUAAUUAUCAAAUUAGUUACAAGCAAUUGGAAAUGCAUGUUUAAAUUAAUUCUCUUGGUUUCUUUUGAAAAUAUGCACUUGUCAAAUAUAAUCCCUGAAUAAAAUUGUAACACAAGGACAAUUAUAGUUUGAUGGAACUUAUGAUGAACUGAUUUGUGCCCCCAAUAAUAGGCAGGGCUUCGCAAAACUUGAUGUGGUUUCUUUUUCCCUUGCUUCAGUUCAUAAACCCAAUCGCUCUGCUUCUUAGAAGUGCAGCCAGGAAAAUGAAAUCCAAUUGCAAGAACAAAUAGAUUGGUAACUUAUAAUAUGCUUGACCUCCUUUAAUUCUUAAAUCUACGAUUCUCGUUUCGUAUAAGAUUCAGAUACUUGUUCUUAGUCUUCUUGUUGUAUCAAAAUUUUUUGCAGAGUUCACACAUAAGCCAAUGUUGGUCUGAUAAUCCUACUCGUUAUUCACACACUAGAACAAUGACACCAUUGCUAAAACUGCAUUUCCAACUUUGAGGUUUAUACAGAUAGAUGUUCUCUCCACCGUUUACUAGCUUGCAUUUCUGCAGUCUUGAUAUGGCUUUAAAUCUUGGAAGUUUGUUGCAGGUGCCUGGAAAAUCUGCCCAGGAAUGUUUUGACAAAAUCCAUUCUGAGCUUUUGACCCCAGCGCAACAACAACCACGAUCCAGGACAAAAGGAGUGAAUGCCUCCCUGUCACUCUCAGCAAGUAAAUUGCUAAAUGCUUCAGAAUCUGACACGAAGAAGUUGAGAUACAGCAAGCAGAAGAGUCGUGUUACACGUAGAACUGUCCGACAGCUACUACAUAAACAGUAUGCUGCAGAUCAACAUUAUGAAGUAGAUCUUUUCAAUGUUUUGGAGUCAACAUUGGAUCCAUCCACUCAAUGUGUUUCCACCCCUGAAUUGAAUAGAGAACGACUAGGAUUGGACAAAAGAUGCCAGGAAAUUUCUUCAUCAGCCCACGGAAAGCUUCUUUCGUUAUCAAAUGAUUCACGCCUUGCUAAUCUUAGGAACAAUUGAUCGAAGCAUGGAAAGCCGGUCAUUGAGUCGCUUCCUUCGCCUCCUUUCUGCCAUGAGAUUUUUGGACGGUUGCCCCUCAGCCUUCUUGAUCUUGCUCCUUUUGUCUCCGCACAAGCCCACUCUAGAUGCACCGAUGCUGGUGGCGGUUGGUUGUUCAACCUCCACCUUGCAGAAUCCUUUCCCCUCUUGGAGACCACGGAGCCCAAGAUUUCCUCCAUGUUCCACCAUCCCUUCUCCAUAAUCUUGUUGGAUGGGAACUGGAGGUAAACUGUCAAAAUUAGAACGAUCGUACGAGGAGCCCAGUUCCGGUACUGCCGUACUGAAACCAUCACCAACAUGAUCAAGAAACGGAUAGCUGGUGCUUUCAUGGCUAUUAUGCUUCCGCUGCUUCAGAUGCUACAGAAAGAGACACCAAGGAUCUUUUGGCUCCAUGGAUCUGGAUGCCUGAAGAUAGCCAUCCUGUAAGAUAUUUCUCUGUUGCGUCAAACGACUCUGGAAAAUGGGAGUUAUGAGACUGAGAAUAGCUGCCUAAAGCGUGGGUUAUCCAUGGCUGUUUCCCGAAGCCAUUUUGCUCGGUAGAGAACUUCUGACGUAGAUAACAAAGACUUGCCUUUAGUCCUGGGAUAUGCCAAGUUUAUUUACUACUUACUGCUGACUGCUGAAGUAGAGAGUAUCCAACUCUUCAAAUGUCAGCUUACGAAGCUCGUCUUUAAGCUCUAGCUAAAGUAGAUUCUUUCUUUGUUCUCUUGUCUGAAAGCAACCAGACCUACUGCCUCGCCUUUCUUCUUAGUCUGCUGAAAACCCAAUUUCAAUUUCAUCUUUGCUGCAAGAAACGAUAUACUUGUACAAAUAUGAGAUCCAUUUCUGGACUCGAGAGACGAAAAGUUUGAUUAUUGCCAAAUUACUUCCCCAGCACUGCUAUUACCAUUUGUUGUUGGUUAGGUUGUGGAUUUCAUUCUUCAUACCAAACAGGGUCAGCCAGUCAAAAACCAGCCCUAAGUAUAAACUCAUAUUUGACUAGUUUUGGAAACGUAUCAAGAUGUCAAUUUCUGUAUAUUGUUCCAAGGAUCUUUUCACUGCUCGAGACAUUCCUUGCUGACAUAUGAUCAUUGCAUUGGAUAUGUUUCCCAGGAUUUUAUAAAUCCGUUUAUGCUUUAUUUUUAAUCUAUAUAUCUAUGAUAGAAUAGGAAAUAAUGGGUAAUGACCGUAUGGUUCCUCCAUCAGAUCGAUUCAGAAUUUGUAGAUCCAAUUCAUCAUGUGUGUGUGUAUUAUAAAACAUCGUACUUUCAUUAAAUCUCCACUAAUGGCAGAAAUCAUCAUAUACAUCUAAUGAUUUAAAAAUGAACCUCUAGAAAGCCUACACUAUUAGAAACUAAAAAAUUGCUAACACAACAGAUCAUCUUCCAUGUUCCUCGCUAGGCUUCUGAUAAUGUCCAGAUUUAUUCUGCUGCAGCCACGCUCUCUAUAGACAUCUUCCUCCAUAACCUGCAUUCCUAAACAGUGCUUGCUUAACAUCUUCAGAUCCAACAAUUCUGCGAUGCUCCGCCACCUAAUCAAUUAAUUAGAAUAUGAGAUAGCACGAAAGGCUGGAGCAGGUCAAUUACUAAUUUUUUUACCACGCAAUUAGCAAAAGAUGAUAAUUAACGUACUGCCCCCCACGCAAAAAGAACCAAAAAGAGGGGAAAAAGGCGCAAAAGGCGAUUCUGAAGCAUUUACCGAGCAAAUGGUCAGAUGCAUACCUCGGAACAGGAGGCUUGUACUGAGAAAUCAUUGAAACAGCUGAUAACACAUUGUUGAAUGUCAAGCCCCAAAGCUUCCAUUGUGCUGACUGUUGACAACAACAUCCCUGGCUUGGCAGUGCAACAAAUUUCGAUCCGCGUGUCUACACUUCUCCUUUCCACGUCAAACUGAUGCAUCAUUGAAGCCUUAGACAAUUAAAUUUAGCUGUGGAAACUAGGAAUUUACGAUACUGCAGCGCAUAAGAAGUGACAAAUGACAAUGUCCUGGAUACUGGAUAGAGAGUUGCAUCCGUUGGGUGCAGAACUAUACCUUUGGAGGGUUCCUGGCAACUACCUCAUUUGGCUUUAGCUGUUUCAAGUUUCCUAUUUUAGUCAGCUGGUUGAUGUUCUCCUCUGUACUCUCUUCUCGCGACUUGUGGAUUUUAUCCAAAAGCUCCUUCAUGUAAUCUAUGGUAUCUCCAAGUAUGGAUGUUCUGUCCAUCUGUUAAAUCAAGCAGCACUUGUUAAUUUCAUCCUACACACCAAAAAAAGAAAAAAUGAAGCAAAGGAAAAGCAUGUGUAAUGCCAAAUAAACUUCUAGAGACGAUGACCUUGCUAAUCUUAGGAACAAUUGAUCGAAGCAUGGAAAGCCGGUCAUUGAGUCGCUUCCUUCGCCUCCUUUCUGCCAUGAGAUUUUUGGACGGUUGCCCCUCAGCCUUCUUGAUCUUGCUCCUUUUGUCUCCGCACAAGCCUCCUUUCUGCCAUGAGAUUUUUGGACGGUUGCCCCUCAGCCUUCUUGAUCUUGCUCCUUUUGUCUCCGCACAAGCCCACUCUAGAUGCACCGAUGCUGGUGGCGGUUGGUUGUUCAACCUCCACCUUGCAGAAUCCUUUCCCCUCUUGGAGACCACGGAGCCCAAGAUUUCCUCCAUGUUCCACCAUCCCUUCUCCAUAAUCUUGUUGGAUGGGAACUGGAGGUAAACUGUCAAAAUUAGAACGAUCGUACGAGGAGCCCAGUUCCGGUACUGCCGUACUGAAACCAUCACCAACAUGAUCAAGAAACGGAUAGCUGGUGCUUUCGCCAAAAGGGAAUGCAAAGCCAGAUUCGUGAGACCCUGCCGCUAGUAAUGCUGCCGGUGAUGAGAGGAGUCCUAAAAGCGAGUUGGAGUUUGGGUUUGAGGUUAGUAAAUCUUGGUUAUGAUCAUUGCGAUCGAAAGACUCGCAGUUCCAACCAUUUGGGAAGAUUUCGAUCCCUCCACCGGGGAAAGUGGUCCAGUAACUAUCCAACUUUGGAGCCACUAAAAACUCCUCCAAAAGCCCAUUUUGAGUUUGAUCAGUAUGCUCCAUCUCUCUCUCUCUCUCAAUGGAUAAGAAGCAACAAAAGCAAGGGAGCUAGCUAGCUUAACGAUAAGUUCUUGAUGUUGCAUCAAGUAGAAGGAAUAUGUAAACGUAUAUAAUAAGGUUUGAUUUGCAUUAUUAAAUUUCGUUAUGCUAUUGUUUAAGGGUAUAGAUUGUGUGUAAUGAGACUAAUAUCAAUUAUCACCCAGAGCAUGGUCAGAUUGAAAAAGGAAUCUACUUUUUCUCCUUAUACAGUACUAGCAUGCGUGUGUGUGUGUGUGUGUAUAUAUAUUGAAUGUCUUUCUCGCCGAAAUCUUCAAUUGGACAGACAGGCUACAUAGUUAAAUUCCGCGACCCUGAUUUGUGUUUUGAUCCAUCCCACAUCCAAAGAUUACGGGAUCUUUACUCUGGGUUUAAGGUUCAUGGGAGCACCUUCCUGUCAUUAAUUGGUUGGAUGUGUGUUUCUUGUGGGUUCCCGUUAGAUCACCUUUGGAUCGCUCUUUGGGGUUAUUCUCGUGUUUGUUUUGAUUGAGUGCAUGUCUGUGUUUAUUUCAGUUGCUGAAAAAAACAGACCAUUAAUUUGGUGAGGGUGUGCACCGGGGGGUUGGGUCACCAUUCCACAUCGAAAGAUUGUGGGGUCUUUAUUCUGAGUUCAAGGUCCAUGGGAGUACCUUCCUGUCACCAAUUGAUUGGAUGUGUUUGUUUUAAUUGAGUGCGUGUGUGUGUUUAUUUCAGUUGCUGAAAAAAACAAACCAUUAAUUUGGUAAGGGUGUGCACCGGAGGGGUUGGGUCACCAUCUUACAUCGAAAGAUCGUGGGGUCUUUACCCUGCGUUUAUGGGAGCACCUUCCUGUCAACAAUUGGUUGGAUGAGUGUUUAUUUCAGUUGCUGAAAAAAAGAUUUGUGUUUUGACCACUGAUCUGUCUGAACCCAAGAGGACGAAGCUAGCAUCUUGAAUCCUGUCAUGUUUUAGUAUGCUAAUUAAUAUAUGUGUAAUACUAUAGCUUAAUUUUUUGGUGAAGAAUAAACUACAAAGUCUCUUCUGAUCAAUGCCUCUGAUUUCUUUUUUCCUCUUUCACGCUGCGCCGGGUUCCAAAUCAGUUUGUCCUUUGAAUUGAAUACCCUGAUUAGCCUCUGGAUUCGUUUGAUGAUUGAUUGUAAUUUUAGCUUCUUAAUACUUUUCUAUAAAUAUAUGUGUGUUUGACGACUUUUGUUCAUGGCAGUGAGUUGUACUAGUAGUAUAUAUGCUUUUUGUUGGUUACUAUGUCACGAUUAAUUAUUCAUAUAUCCGUCCAAGUGAAUACCGAACGGUGAUGCAAUUGAGGGUAAAAAAGGGUGUGAAAAAGGGUGGAAGGAUAAAAAAAAAAAAAGCAGUAAUGAAAUGUUCACCUACUUUCAUGACUUUAGGCUCCGGAGAUGAAUAUAUUUAGCAUUCGUGAUGGAGGCAAAUUCUUGUAAAGAAAAAAUGUAACAUACAGACUUGGAGAUCAUCUCAAUUUUAUUUUGUAGGAGGGAUGAGUUGGAUAGUACGAGAGAACAGAGUGUAAAAGAGAGAUAUCGGAUUCGAGCCCCUUCACUUGUUAAAAAAAAUAAAAUAUAUCUUUUCUGGAGCUGCUAGGCUCUGUCUCGCGGCAAAAGAUUCCCUCCCAUCUGAAGUUGGUGCUCUUUUUUUUUUUUUUUUUUUUCCAAACGAUAAGAGAUCUGAAGUUGGUACUUGCGGUGUAAAAGUUGUUAGGCAUAGGCAUGCAGGCUCAAGGCACUGCUGACUUUGCCACUAAAUAGAGUAAUUGUUAAUGGUUUUUCUAAUGGGUCGCCUCGCCUGAAGAAAUACUAUUAAGUAAGGUGACUUAAAGAUUUUAGUAUAGUUAUCUAUCAAACACUAAAUAUGACAAUAAAAUUGUGAACAAUAUCUCUACCAGAGAAUCAAAAUACAAAGUACCAACUCAAUAAAGCAAUAAACCCGCCCUGGAUAUAAAGCAGAACGAGUAAACAUGGAGAAAAUGAGAAAACAUGGCAUUGCUUACUCUUAAAGCCAAAAAAAAAAAAAAAAAAAGAUGAAAAGAAAAAACUGUUGCUAACUAAUAUAUAGUCUAGAAGUUGGCCUUGGGAGGAGAAACCUUACAGUGAUCAGCAAACCCUAGAUCUUAAAAGGUGAAAUGGUUAGUCUGAGAUCAUGUUUUUGUUGUCUUAGUAAAGACCAGUAACCUCAAAGAUCAAAAGCCUGGUACAAACAAAGCACACAUCUCAAGAACAAGUCGGCCAGUGUCAGGUCAGGAAAUUAAGCAACCAACUACAAAAACAUAUUAUUAAUUUGCUCCAGAUAGAUGUCAAGCAAAAUAUUAUACAUUGUACAGAACAACAUUUCUUUAGCAGAAUCGAUUAAAUCUUCUUCCUGCAUUCUCUUUACAAGCUGUUCAAACUUCACAGAUGUGAUGGCAAGCUAUGAAACUAUGAAGAAAAAGCAGUUGGUUGUUUUUGAGCAAGAUACUAACAUCCAAACACAAAACGGUGAAGUGGUAAUAUUUUAGAAGUACGAUUACCCAAUAUUUUAACGAAUGAACCUUUUCUUGACAGAUAUAAAUGCAUAGCUAAAUGUGCUUCACCGAAUACAGUAACUAGGAGUGACCAUGCACGUUAUAAGGCAGUGAAGGACACGUCCAUCUCUUUCACUUGGCUGUAAAUAUACCCAUGUAGUACGAGUAAUGACAACUGUCGUCAUUUGUCAGCUAAUCUCUUUGUAUUAUCAUCCAGAUUAGAGGUAACAAUAUGCCACUGCACCAAAAAGUAAGGGUGCUGAUUGCAUGAUUUUGCCAUAUUUGGGGACACUAUAGUCUUUCUGAAAAUUCAUUGAAAGGUUAUCAGCACCCCAAAAAAAGGGUCAAGUUGAAACUACUACUACAAAUUAAGGUCUUCUGGAAUCCAUCAGGAAAACAAUAAUAUAUCAGCGUAAAUCCCUGUAUUUAAAUCCUUAAUUCGAGGUGAUAUUUCACUCUUUACAUAUAUAUACAUAUAUAUAUGUUGUGUAGCAAAUUGAUGGUACUUGGGUUGGUUGUCUUUGAACCCAAAAUACACCAGCUGCCUGUGUGGAUUAGAGGUAACAAUAUGCCACUGCACCAAAAAGUAAGGGUGCUGAUUGCAUGAUUUUGCCAUAUUUGGGGACACUAUAGUCUUUCUGAAAAUUCAUUGAAAGGUUAUCAGCACCCCAAAAAAAGGGUCAAGUUGAAACUACUACUACAAAUUAAGGUCUUCUGGAAUCCAUCAGGAAAACAAUAAUAUAUCAGCGUAAAUCCCUGUAUUUAAAUCCUUAAUUCGAGGUGAUAUUUCACUCUUUACAUAUAUAUACAUAUAUAUAUGUUGUGUAGCAAAUUGAUGGUACUUGGGUUGGUUGUCUUUGAACCCAAAAUACACCAGCUGCCUGUGUGGGCGCGGUGCUUUGAUUUUGCCAGUAACUCCUCAAAUGGUCCAUUUUCACUUCACUUGGUCAAGGGAGAAAAAACGUUCAAAUUCCAAUGUUGAAGCGUAUGAAACAGAUCUGACACAAUAGCAAUAUUCACAGCAACGAAGGGAGUAUACAUCCACCGUCAUCUUUGCCCUUUCCGGCCAAGCGAGAGAGAAGGGAAAGCAACAACAAAACAGAUUGUGAAGCACCUGCACCUUCCAAAGGAAGUGGAACUUUAAACCAAGAGAUGGGGUAACUUCCUGACAACACUGAAGGACCAACGCAAUAAUUCACCAGCUAGCCUGUCAAGCAAUGCUUUUUGAUUCAAUAAAUCAAUGAAAAAUGAAUAGAUCAAUGAACAACAAAUAACCAAGAAUAGAUCAAUCCUGUUAGACAUAUAUUCAAGAAGAAAUGGUAAUCAAUCAACUAUAUAUGUAUCUCAGCUCUUAAGAUAUGAAAAUUGGAAGUCAAAUGCAGUAGUGUGCUAGUUACAAACUACAUUUAAUUGAAGAAGAAGGCCUUUGAGAACGAAAAGCAACAUCCAAAGGUUCACCUUUUCUUUUGGCGCCUCAUUGGUAGUAUGCUCACGGAUGGUGACAAGACUACGUCUCCCAGACAGGAUCGCCAUAUUCUUUUAGAUUACACUUGUACGGCCUUAUUCCAAUUCCGAUUCCAAUCCCAUCAGGCCAAUUCAGAAGCAAAACCACGGCGUCCUACAUUCCCAUCCCAACCUCCCUUAUUCUUUAGAACGGUUUCUCUCCAUCAGGCAUCCACCACUGGCUUUCCUACUUUUUCUUCUUUUCUUUUCAGAACGGAUGGGGUGGAAAAGAAAUGAUAGAGAUGGUAACAGAACAAAAUUCCUAUUUCUGUCGAAUUGUGGGUUAAAUCAGAUAACAAAAUGAGUUGAAAUUCAUGCAUAUGUCAUGUUAUGUUUGUUGCAGUUAUUUCCAAAUUAAAACUUAGGGAAAUUCUACAACUUUUUUUUAAUACCAUCCCCGUUAUUGUAAAAAAUUUAGUAAACGCUUAUCAUAUCAUUCAAUAAUUUAAAUUUCUAAAAUCAUAUGGGGAUACAUAACAAUAUCUCAUUGAAAAAUUCUACCACUUCUUUUGAAAAAUACUAUACCCAUGAUUGUAAUCCACAACAAAUUCUUGCUGUAUAAUUCAAUAAUGCAAUAGUAAUGAUAAAAAAAUUAGGAUUUUUCUAACGAGUGUUUAUUGGGUACUCGAUAACACUAAAAUAUAUCUUAAUGAAUGUUCAAUGGACACCCAUUAGACAGAUCCAAAAAAUUAUAUAAUUUUAGAAAUUAAAUAAUCUAUUGAACCAGCAAAUGAUAACAAUAUAGAAAGAGAGAGGAGUUUUUUUUUUUCCCAUAAGUGAGAGGUUUGGAAUACAAAACCUCAAAUUUACCAUUCUUUCAACCUUACCAACCAAUCCAACACCUCCUCUCUUUUUGUUUCAUUCUUUAUAAUUCUAUUUUUCCCUUCAAAUAAAAAGCAAAAUGGUAUUGUCCUCUCCCAUGAAUAGGUACACUCUAUCACAUGUAUACACUUGUUUUUCAAGUCUAACAAAACAUCCACUAAAGUGACAAAUGCCAACAACUUCUUAUUCCAAUUGGAAGAAAAAAAACACAGUACUUCCAUGCAUAUAUCUGGAAAAACCUACACCUCAAUAACUUUUUUUCAUUUUAAAUCUGCACACAAAUAAGUGUACCGUUCCCAUUAACAUUUAUGUUAUUAACAGUAUAAGUUCUAAUGAUAUCAAGUAAUCAUUCAAUUGGUUCCAUCAUUUGGCAAACAGAAAACAAGAGAGACCAAUAACUCCAGGGCGAGCAGCAGGGCAGUCCGUCGGGUCGCUCUUUCGGGUUACUCCCGUGUUUGUUCUAUUUUUUUUUUUUUUUGUCAGCAACGAUAUAUUUGUAUAACCUACUUCAUCCUAAUUCAGGGGAAGGGGAGCUUAAGGAGGCUGUGGAAGGGGCUGGUGGAUAUACAGACCCAACUAGAUCAAGAGAAUGUUAUGGCACAAUUCUUAAAUUUUUUUCAUUGUUAAUGAAAUUUAAACCCUUACCAACAGCUCAAUGAGGGACUUAAGUCCCUCCUGGUGGCCACUGAGCCAAUGGCCCAGUGGUUCGUGUUUGUUCUAAAUUGAGUGUGUAUUUGUGAGUUACUUUCAGUUCCUGGAAAAAGAGCAGCAGGGCAGCCCACAAUAUUUUGGCAAAACCGCUUUCCCGCUCUCCAUGAUUGUUUGAUGAUCAGCUGGGUCCCGUUUGCCCAUCACGUACGUACCUUCAUUAUCAGAUAGACUAGACUCCGCUGUUACUCGUAUCAUUAUAUGCAUCUUUUUUGGGUUAAUAUCACUUUACCCUUAAUGAUGUUUAAUGCUAUUAUCAAUUUUUUCCUUUAACAUAUUAUUUUUUAGUCAUUUUACCAUCAAAAUUAACUAUUAAAUUUAAUGAAAUUUAUUAAUUCAAGUAAAAAGACAGGUUUAGUUAUUAAAAUUAUUAUCACUUCUUCCUCAUAAACUAUAAUUUUAUUAUCAAUUUACCCGUAGAUUUAUUUUUGAUCAACUUAGUUUACCAUUAAAUCAACUUAACAAGUCAAAAAAUUUUAGAGGAAGUACCCUCCUCUUUGUAAUAAACAUAAUAAAAUUUUAAAGAAUAAUAAAAAAUUUAAAGUUUUAUAAUAAACAUAAUAAAAAUUUUAAAGUGGCUCUUCUCCUUUUUAAUAUCAAGGAAAAAAAUUUAAAGCAUUAAUCUCUUUCUUUUUAGCAAUCUUAUUAAUAUUAAAAAAAAAAUUGAAAGAUAGGGAGAAGAGGGGGAGAGACUGAGAGAGAGCUCAUUUCUUUUUUUAAUACAAGUUAGAAAGAAUUCAAUAUUUUUUAUUAUUUUAAAAUUAUUUUGCUUUUCUGUUUACCACCAAAUUCCACGUUAAAGUAAUAAAAUAAUAUUAUAUUUUUUUUAUUUUCUUUCUUUGUAAAAUUUAAUUUUUUGUUUCCUCUCCAAUCACUUUUUUUUUCUAGUAUUAAUAAGUGUGAAAAGAGGAAUUUGAUUAAAAAAAUUAUUUUUGUAAUUUUGAAACUCUUAAAGUGAAAAAAGGAAGAAUAAUCAUUCCAACUAUUUUUUAUUUUUAAUUAUAUAUAAAGAAGGGUAAAAAGUUUUAAAAUUUUUUAGAUCAUAUUGAUUAGAUUAAUGAUGGGGUAACAUGACCAGAAAAUAAUGUUAGGGAGUAAAAUGAUUGUAUCACUGUAAUUUAAAGGGAUAAAGUAAUAAUAACAAUGUAAUAAUGCUAUAAAAUAAAAGGGUUUUUUUUGUCCAAAAUUUGUUAAUAUGUUGAAUUGAAUUACCUAUGAAAAUGAAAUGACUAAAAGAUAAUGGGUAAAUUGGUAGUAAUGAUAUAGUUUAAUAGGGUAUUGCGAUAAUAACCCUUCUUUUCUUGCUUAAAUUCUUUCCGCUAUCGCAUUUAAUUUGCUUACCUUCAUUAGUUACACAGAUACAUACUACAUUAUCGAUUUUAAAAGCAGGGAAAACAAAAUGAGGAAGAAACGGAAUUGGGACAUAAUUUUGUUUGUCCAUUUUUUGACCAAAUUUGCCCGUAUAAUUAAUUCUGCUUUGAUAUAUAGAAGUUUGAGCGGAGAAUUUACUUGGAUUGCCCGUGAGUGCAAUGGGUAGGUGCUUCCUUCCAGCUCCCAAGCCAUUGCCACUAGUACUGAGUGCAUCGUCAGCGGGACUUUUUAUCAUAGAAUGAUGGAGGGAGGGACUCGGCUGAAACGUCUAAUACUACAUGGAAUAAUGGGAUGUUGCUUCUUUUGUUUCUGGCCAGGAGAAUAUUUCUUUUUCUUUUUUUUUUUUUUUACCUUUUUUGUUUUCUGGUUGGAGCUUUGAUUCGGCCAACAAAUGAAGACGGCUUUGCGUCUUUCACCGGUCCACUCGACCGGCAUCGUGCAAAGGAGAUCUUCUUCUUCCUCCUUUUCGUUCUCACCCCAGCAAGUAAAUACAGGCAAAUGAAUGAGUAAUAGGACACAACGUGGUUGCAUGGAUGCUGAAUGAAUGUGCAGCAGUGCAUUCCUUACCGUUUUAAUAACUGGGCGACCAAUAGUCUUUCUGUUUCUUUCAUGGGAUUAAAUGCAUUCGAUUUACAAAUUAGUGGUAUGACCAUAUAUACUUUACUCUUUGUCGUUUUUCUUUUUCCUUUGUACUUGUCAAGCAAUGCAAUUAUCCUUAAUUUUUUUUUUUUUUGGGGUCAUCUUCGCUCCAGAUCAUCACGUCUAUGUGGUUGGCAGUCAAAAGAAUUUCAUCAAAUCAUUUCGCCAGUUAUCGUGCAGAAUUUCAGUUGCUACUUACUAAAAGAAAUUUUACUCCGCGAAAGAGCCUUCUGACUUGGCCAAAAUGUAAAUCUCUGUUUAGAUUGUAAAUUAUUUGAAAUAUUUUUACUGUAGCACUUUUUGUGAUGUGAUGUAUGUGAGAUAAAAAGGUAAUUGAAAAGAUAAAAAGGUGCGUUGGAAAUUGUAAUGAUGAUGUAAGCAAAUAAAUUUUGGCUAAUAAUUCUCUAUCCAAACAAACCCGAUUCGAUUGAGACUUGCGCUACGACCAGAAGUGAAAAAUUGCACUCUAAGAAUGAGCUUAGAGUUUCCGAGCAAGAUAGUUGCCUAAAAAUAAUUUUAGGGAAUAAAACGAUUAUAUCACUAUGAUUUAAAGAGAUAAAGUGAUAAUAACAAUACUGUAAGGAGGGUGAAAUGACUGAAAGAUAACGUUAGGAGAUAAAUUAAUAAUAUAAUAUGGUUCAGGGGUAUAAAAUGAUAAUAACCCUAAUUGAUUUGAAGGACAGCUAUGAUGUAAAUAAGUUAGCAUGCCUGUGUAGGAAAGAGACGGAAAUAAAAGAAGAAAGUCCUUAAUCCCAAUAAUAAAUCACCAGAAAGAUGAUUUGAGUGGCUUAUUGCUGUCGAAUGCGAAUGUAACAAACGGUCGGAUUUGACGUACCAAAAACUUUAUUCAUGAAUUUGUGCCUGAGGGACAGUUCAACGAGAAAAAAGAAAUUUUUCUUACAAAAGAAACUGCACCCUAAUACCCCCUUAUAGUCUAGUAGAGAGAAUUCGAAAGCUGACCCUUAAUUUGAGCCCAAUGACAAAAAACAAAACAAAAGAAAAAAAAAAAAAAAGAAGAGGUUGCCAUAAGUAAAACUAGCCGACUGUAAUUGUUGACUCCUUAAAUCCUGUAGACUUUGUUGGGCAUUAGUCAGGCUUUUCUAUUAGACGUCACGUAAUAGUGAAGAAAUUUGAGGUACAGAUAUCUCAUGCCUAGCCACAAAAUCAGGGCUAAUCAGUUAGGUCUUUCUUUCUUCUUAACCAACACACAUGAUAUAAUUGAGGGGCGGACAAAGAAGAGGGAAAAAAAAAAAAAAACCAUCCAUCAAUAUCGUUCAAUUCACAAAAAAAAAGAUUUUGUGUUUCCGUCUUGGAUAAGAUUAGACGUGCUGAUGAGCAAUUAUCCAAGUAAAAAAACAAGAAAUGAUCCCCAAAAUUGUGCAAUUAUUUGUGGUAAUGCAGACAGGAUUAUGAAAUCUCUCACGCAUGAGGCUGACUGCUGAUCAUAACUUGACAACAACAUCAUCACCUUUCUCUUAUUCACGUCGAUCGAAAUUUUUAAAAUAUUUUCUUUUGCCGAAAUCACCUAAAAUCACGUAUCCGGGAAGAACAUGAAAUUAAAUCAUCCUCAUGCCAACCCAUAUUUCUCAAACUAGUGUAUAUUUUGUUGAUCCCACUUUCCAAAAAGAGGGGAAAAAAAAAAAUUGCUGAUGCCAGUCGAAGCAACAAAGGCAAUCAGAUGAUCUUAGAUCUACAAACUACUACGCAACCAAAAUUUUGCCUGUCAUCAAUUUUAAUUGAAAAAAAAGAGAGCAAGAAAACUAGUGGAGGGCCUUUGUAUAUAUAUAUAUAUGGUCUGCAUGCACUAAAUAAGAUUUUGACUAGUUAGUGGAUCGUGGCUUUUUUUUUUUUUAUCUCCAGAGCCUCCUGGAAGUUUUAUGCUUCGUUGACUCUCAUGUAACAGGUCAAAUUCUUGGUAAUGAUGGCAGGGGACAAUCUUUUUGAAGUGCAGAGCAGGAAAUUGAAGGUCCGUGGUUGGUUUUUAACACUCCAACGUUUUCAAGGUUUACGCACCUUUUAAUUUUUUUAAACACUGCAGUGGUACUACUAUAAAAAGCAAAAUUGAGCCCUAUAGGCUAUAGGCUAUAGGACCUACUUUCGUCGUUUUAUUUGCCUCUCAUGACUACUUUUUCCUUUUCUCACAUAAGCAAGAAAUUGUUUAAGUAAACCUAAUUUUAAAUUUAAUCUCAAAAAUUGAUAAUUUUUUAAAUAAAUUUGGGGACUUAACUACUCAAUCCUUAAUCCAUAAGAACGAUGUGGGAUAGACAGAAACGGGAAGUCUCUUAUGACUACGUUCUCACAAUUUGUCGAAUUCUUAGGUUGUGUUUGGAUUGCAUUUUCCGUCAUUUUUCAUGAAAAAAUUAGUGUAGCGAUUUGAUAUAUGUGAGGGAAAAAGAUGAUAGGAAAAUGUGAUCACGAAAAAUGAUAAUAUUUUCCGACGAAAACAAGCAAUCCAAGCAUGGCCUUAACCCUUUUUUUUUUUUUGGGGGUGGUGGUGGUGGUGGUGGUGGUAAGCGGUAACUUCCGGGCUUAUUAUCAUGCUCAGGCUUCUUUCGAUAAUGGUUCCAGCCGACCAAUGCAAUCAUCACAAGGCUUAUUGAUCUUGUCAUCUUAUUUUAAGCAUCAUUAAAAAGGUGAAAAUAGUAAUUAUUCACGUGACAACAACACUACGGCUGAAAAAGCCACACUAUAUUUAUUACCAUGUGGCAGCUUAUGUUUUACUAGUAGUAAUUGUAAGCCACAUUCAUCCAGCUCUCUGUUUUCGGUUUUUUUUUCCCCCUUCCAUUUACGUUUUAAUCCUGCUGUUUUACCCCAACAUUGCUUCCAACUGCCCUCGACAUGCAUUCUGCUUUGACCUUAAACCAGAAAUUGCAACGUUACCGCCUCUGAAUGGAUAUCAAACUAUAAAGUUCAUAGACAGAGUCAAUAUAUAUAUAUAUAUAUAUAUAUUUAUUAUUUUGAAGGUUCGAACUUUAAUAUGCCUAAACUUAAACUUAUGAUCCAAAUAUUUUUUGGAUAUUUUGCGGGGGCAAAAUUUUAAAUCGUAAAGAGCGUUUUUUUUAUUUAAAAAAAUUUUAAUUUUGUAAGGGACAAAAUUGAAAAUUAUCUCCCCCCUGGUUGCAUCCAUGAUAAAGUGUAGUUUCUUUUGGAGCUUUUGUCUUGCGGCAUAACUACAUAAUAUUAAAAAUUGAACCUUUUUUUUUGGUUGCAUCUAAAUGGUAAUUUUAGAUGCAAUGAAUAUUGCUGUAAGUAAAAUCUUUAUUCUUCUUCUUCGGUUUUGAACUUCAGAGUCAUUAUUAACUUCUGUAGUCCGCCUCAUAAGCACUAGUGUAUGUUACUAUCGGUUCAAAAGUGAUUCCGAGCGUUGUUUACGGGAAUAGUUGAUUCGUCAGUCUAAAAUCAUGGCAUGGGGCUGAACAUAUUUUUUUUAUUAAGCCCAACGACUGAAUUCCGUUUGGACUCUGAAGAGCGGAAGUUACAUAUCUUGACCAAGGCCUAAUAGCCCAUUGGAUUGGGUGAUUGAGCAACCUAAUAAGUGUGAUUGAGCGAAACAUUGAAAAGUUGGGGAAGCGAUCGCGAAACCAAAACAGAAGGGAGGUUUGGGUGAAAGGAGGAUGAAAUUGAUGAACAGAGCUCUCCAGAGCAAAGCUCAACCGGAGAUACAGGAAUGCCAAGGGGGAGUUGUAUUGCAGAGGUCCUAAGAUUGAAAUAUGCCAGACGAUCAGAAGAUUUGGUACCACUGAGAAGUGGAGCUUCCCGAGUAUGGCAGGGCGUAAGAAAGGGUGAUGAUCUGGUGUCAGAAGGAAUUAAAGUGGAUGCUAGGAAAUGGGCAGAAAAUUUCCUUCUGGACUGACAAGUGGAUUGGACGGAAGACACUGGAGGAACUUUGCAUAAGGGAACUGCCAGAACAGGAGAGGAUGAAGAAAUUAAGAGACUGUUGGCAGGAGGAGGUAGGGGUGGGCAAAAAAAUCCGAUUCGAUCCGAAACCGAUCAACCUGAUUUGAAAAAUAAGAUAUUCGAUCCGAUUUUUCUUAAUGGGACAGAUGCGGGUCGGGUACCCGCAAAAACGGAUACGGAUAUAGAUUCGCAAAAUAAAAAUCCGCGAGUAUCCGACCCGUAGGGUAUAUUAUAUAAAUAUUAAAAAAAAUAAGGGUUCAUUAUAUAAUUUUAUCCUAAGUGUAAGUAAGUGGUUCACAAUCUCAUAUUUUAAUCUCAUAUGAUCCGUCUCUUCUCAUCUUGUCUAAAAAAAGUGAAUAUUUUUUGUGAAAUCUGAAUCAAAUGAAUAAAACAAAGAAAAAUUUAUGAAACUCUAACAUAAAAAUUGUUCAUCCAUUUCAUUCUUUUUCAUUUUUAUUCUACUUCCAUCUAUUUUUUCUGCAAAAUUUUGGUUAAUUCAAUCAAAAAAUUGUGUUUGGAGCUCCAAUUUUCUGUUAGCUAGAUAAUUAAAACAUUUGUGUCUUUCAUUUAUUUAUUUAUUUUAUUGCAAUUGUGUCUCUUAAAUUUGUUUCAUUUAUUUUAGUGCAAGAAAUUUAUUUUCCUUUUUCAUCACAUUUUAUGCAACAAGGUCUAUUCCAAAGAUGUAAGAAAGUUGGGAAAAUUUUUUAAAAUUAUUUUAGUUAUACUUUUUUCAAAAAUUAUUAGUUCUGUUCAAUUCUUUUUCGGAUUUGAUUCCAUAAUCGACUCAUUUUGGAUGCAAUCUUGUACCAUAAUAUCCUUAAGGAAGCUGAAAAAGUUGUCAUAUACUUAUUAUUCUUGUGUCUAUUAUGUUGUAAAAGAAUGAAAUGCGUGAGAAUGGUGAUGUAUUCAAGAUUAUCAUAAAACUUCGUUUUAUCCUUGUGUUUGUUAUAUUUGGAAAAGUUGAAAAAGUUGCCAUAUACUUAUUAUUCUUGGGUUUAUUAUAUUAUAGAAGGAUGAAAUGCGUGAGAACGGUGAUGUCCUCAAAAUUAUUAUAAAAUUUCGUUUUAUCUAUUAGAUAUUAUAAUUUUACUAUGUACUAAAUUUAUAAAAUCGGUUUGAUUAUUGGAUGAAAUGUGUGAGAAUUGUGAUACAUGGAUUUUGAUUAUAAUAUAUCUACCAAUGUUAAUUGGAAAGCAUACUUUUUUUAUUGGAAAACAUGUUGAUAUUAAGUGAAAAAUAUUUUUUAUUGGAACAGAGUUUUUUUUUAGGGACGAAUACCCUAUGACCCAUCCAUUUUUUUUCGGGUACUCGAAAACAUUAAGAGCGGGUUAGGAUCGUAAAAUGGCUGAUUCGAUAUUUUAGGGUCUGGUCAACCAUAUCUUGUUGCGGGUACUCAACCCGUGCCCACCCCUAGGAGGAGGACAGCUGGCAAUUGAGCAUUCUGGAGAAAUACUUUAAAAAGAGGAAGAGCUGCUGAAGCCAAGGGAGGAUGCAUUGAUCUGGGGGCAGGAAAAUAUCAGUUGGUUUACAAAUUGGCAAUGCUUGUUAUGGCUGACCAGACAAGGGAAACUAUUUACACAUGGAGAAAUAUGCAGACGUCACCUGCUGUCCUAUUUGCCACAAUUCUUUGGAAACAACAUUGCAUGCCAUUAGGGACUGUGCGUGGGGUGGAGCAAAUCUGGAAAGCUCCGGUGAAGCAAAAUCAAUGGCAGAAAUUCAAAAGCGCACCUCUUAGAGAGUGGAUUGACUAGAAUCCGAAGGAAAAAAAUGUAGGCAAAUGAUCCCUGUUGUUGGCAGUUACCCUUUCAGUUAGUGGUUCAUCAUGUAUGACUUGCUAGGAAUGAGGUUAACGCAGGGGAGGAAUCUUAAAAAUUAAAGUACCUCUGGCCUGGAUUGUUCAGCAGGUGGUCAAGGCUUAGGAGGUGGUAAAAAAGUGACGCAACCCUAGGAAAGCUGAGUUUAGAUACGUCAACUAGUCCAAACCCCCACUAGGGUAGAUGAAGAUUGUAGAGGAGCAAAUUCACCGGAGCCACGUGUCAGUUUGGACAUGAUGACUUAUCAGUUCGGCCAGACCAGCUUGGACAGGAGGGAUGCCAGCUCGCGCAUGGCUGCCACCUCCCCGCUGGAUGGGCCUGGUAGGCCGCGGCCUCCGAACCUUUCGGAGCUAGCUGAUGGAGCCCUAGAAGGACUCCCUCUCCAGCCGGACUCCUAAUUCUAUAAGGAAACUACUACCCACAAGCCUAUAAAUACAGCACUACAAGGCAACACAAGGUACGCCAUCAACAGCACUCCCCACUGUUACCUUACUCUCAAACUCUUAUUGACUUGACCGUCGGAGCUGCUCCAGGGACCUAGCCCCGCCGUUCAUCCCUUUGCAGGUUGGUUCGCUUACCUCACCUGCGCCUCAGUUCGUAAUAGCUCAACUCGGAUCACAUUCUAGGACUGAGCUCAGUUCACUCGCCUUCCUCCCAUCAGCUCGUCCCUGACCAGCUCAUUUAGCUUGCAGCAGCUCAGCUCGGAUCGCGUUUUUGACAGUCGCAUCAAAGAUAAAUGUGGAUGGGUCUCUAUAGGGAAUCCCGACAGCUGUAGGAACAGGGGGGCUCACAAGGGACAACAGAGGAAUAUGGAAAAAAAGAUUCUGUGUGUCUUAGCUGAGCUGUGGGACAUGCUGCAUGGGUUAGGAUUAGCAUGGAAGGAAGGGUAUAGAAAGGUGAUACUGGAAUCAGAUUCACUGACAGGCAUAAAUUUGGUCAAGAAGGAGCUGAGGAGAGUCCACAUUGCAAUAUUAUCUACAGGAUAUGGCAAUGGAUGAGCAAAGAAUGGGAGUGUAGCUUGACCCAUACCUGGAGAGAAGGAAAUGUGCGCGCAAAGCACCUUGCAAAAUGGAGCCACUAACAAUUCUCAAUGGGCCACUGGAUUUCAGUAGAGGAAGUUUAUGUAGUGAUGUAAAGGGGGUCUCAUCCCCACGUUAGUUGUUGUGUAUUGGGCCUUUGACACUCCAAUGCACCCAAAAGAAAAAAAUCAUUGAAAAGUAACCGAGUCAUUGAGCUAAAAACCAGUUGACAUUAAAAAAGAGAGAGAGAGAGAAAGAGCUAAAUACAUAUCAGACUAUUAGUUCCCUUCUUAAUUUAACUUUAAUCAAACAACACAAAAGUCACAACUGUCCAAUAUAUAUAUAUAUAUAUACAUACACAUACAUACAUCAAAGUAGCCAUUUUAAUCACAGUUUUUCUCACUCCUACAUAAUAUGUCAAAUUGAACAGAAUUAACGGGUUAUGGGUUACCCAUACUAAUCCUAUUCGGAUUAUAUUAUAUGUUUAAAAAUUAUCUCUAAUUUUAAAAUAACUUUAAAAAACAACUAAUCUUAACUAAUCUUAUUUUAAUGAUAGCUGCUUUUUAUCAAAUUAUUAUAAUGAUUAAAUUAUAUGUUUAAUAUUAUCUUUAAUUUUAAAAUAGUUUUUAAAAAAUAACUAAUUUUAUCUUAAUGAUAUCUGCUUUCUACCUAAUUAUUAAAUACAAGUACAGUAAAACUUUUUUAAACCACAGUUAUUGAAAUCUUACAUUCCCAUAAAUUAUUUUCUUUCACGACUAUAAUCUUAUCUUAAUGAUAUCUGUUUUCUAUCUAAUUAUUACAUAGAAGUAUAGUAAAUCCUUUUUAAAUCACAAUUAUUGAAAUAUUAUAUAUCUCAUAAAUUACUUCCUUUCACCACCAUAUCAUUGAUUAGUAUUCAAAUUGUUCAUAAUCUUUUCUCUUAUUUUUGAGUUAAUUUAGUGUAAAAAGGAAUUAGCUAUUACACUUAUAGAUUUAUCAAUUUAUUAGAAACUAAAUAUUUAUUGACAAAGAAGAAUGGAUUGCUAGAUCUUUUUCUACUUAAUUAAAUAUGAAUAUACAGUUCUAGGUGUGUGGUCAUUAUAAAAAUUUAAAUUAUCUGAAAGAAUAUUUAUAAAAAAAAGAAUAUCCACCAAUUUUUGAUAUAGGGUACAUUAUUUGAUGUAUACUAUCAUAUUAUAGUAAAAGUAUGUAAACAAAUUUUUAAAAUUAGUAAAUAAUCGAACAUUUAAUAAACAUUAAAAUUUUAAAAUUAACAUGAAUCAACAUGUAGAAUUGUUUUUAAUUUUUAUAUUUAAGUUACUACUAUUUGUAUAAAUUCACCAGAAAUAAAAAAGUUUUUAAAAUUAGUAAAUAAUUGAAUAUUUAAAAUGCAUUAAUUUUUUAAAAUUAAUAUGAACAAACAUGUAGAAUUGUUGUUAAUUUUUAUAUUUACAUUAUUUAUAUUUACAUAAAUUCAUAAUAAAUAAAUAAAAAAGACCAUGCUAAAGCAGACAAAAUUCUAGUUAUAACUUAUAAAGGAUAGGUCUUCAUCUGAUUACUAUGAUCUCAUCUGAUGGCAUGUAAACAUUCUAUCAUUGCUUCUACUUCCAAAAUUGCUUAUUUAUUCGGUUUAAUAUAACAUAAUCUUAUCCCGAUGCUUUGAUUUCGAUUAUUCAACCACCAUUUUGUAACUUUUUUGUUAGGCAACUGCAAAAAUGUCAAAGAGUAUAGGUGACUGAGAAUUACAAUGAUCUGAUUUCGACUAUUCAACCACCGUUUUGUAACCAUUUUGUUAGGCAGCCACUUGAAUAUUGUGUUUGGCAACUACAAAAAUGCCCUCAAAAAAAGAGAAAAAGGCGAACUACAAAAUUGUCAAGAGUAUAGGCGACUAAGGAGUACAACCUUAGAGUACAUCUCCGGCUGGAAUAUGUUCUACUCUUUCAGAUUCCUCUUUCUUUCAAUAAUCACAUGCUUUUAUGUUCUUGGACCAAGCUGCUCACAACUUCAGUACCCAUGUAAACCACCAUACGACAAGUACCAAUUCUGCGACACAUCUCUUCCGAUCAAAACCAGAGCAAAAUCCCUUAUCUCACUUCUCACUCUUGACGAAAAAAUCCGGCAGCUUUCAGAUAAUGCAACACAAAUUUCAAGACUUGGCAUUCCGGCUUAUGAAUGGUGGUCUGAGUCCCUGCAUGGAAUCGCCACCAAUGGACCUGGAAUCAGCUUCAAUGGCACAAUUCAAUCUGCUACAGGUUUCCCACAAGUCAUUCUCACUGCUGCAGCAUUUAAUAGAACUUUAUGGCGUGAGAUUGCUAAGGCUGUUGCCGUUGAGGCUAGGGCUAUGUACAAUCUUGGACAAGCCGGGCUGACAUUUUUUGCACCUAAUAUUAAUAUUUUUAGGGACCCCAGAUGGGGAAGAGGCCAGGAGACUCCAGGGGAGGACCCUAUGGUGACUUCUGCUUAUGCAAUUGAGUAUGUGACAGGGUUCCAAGGUCAGAAUCAAAGAGGGAGUAAGCACCCUUACAGGGAGAGGAGGUUCUUGAAUGAUGAUGAUCAGAGGAGUGGUAGUUUGAUGUUGUCUGCUUGUUGUAAGCAUUAUACAGCUUAUGAUUUGGAGAAGUGGGGUGGGCAUACCCGAUAUGACUUCGAUGCUAAGGUGAUCUUUGAAAACUUUUUAUUGUUUCCUUUCUUGAAUAGAAUGAUAAUUUUGUGCUCUGAAAUAUAAUCUUGUAUCUGUGUGCGUUUUUUAUUUUUUUCUUUUCGUAGGGAACUCGUAGCUGUACCAAAUAAAGGACUCAUAAUUGAAAAGGACAAAGCAUUAUGUAUUUCGUUAAUUUUAGCUGUUCAUGGAUAAAUGAUUUUACCACUAGAAAUCAAGUUCAUGAAAAAAGUUUAAAUCUUGAUCCAGGAAAAUAAGUAAUUCUUGUUUCUGGUUUAGUGACCAUCCUGGGAGCAAUGUUAACUUCAAGUUUCUUUUAUGGAUAUGCCAUUAACUGUAUAUUUGGCAGUUGCAUUGAACAUAUUCAUUGACAUCAUUUUAGUCAUUGAAUUGGUUAGCAAAAAGACAGAAAUUUGUCUUCGAGGAUGCAAUUCUGGUGCAAGUUUAAGCCUUUAAGGUCUGUGUAGAGAAAAACAUGAUAUGCCAUUGGUGUAGGUACAUUUCAGCAGGGAUCUGAUGCUUUGAAAAUUAUUGAGAUGAUAAUGACUUGAGCUAAUUGUGUUUCUACUUGAGCAUUUUACUGGUUUUCCAUCAUCAUUUUCAGGUUACAAAGCAGGACAUGGAGGACACAUAUCAACCACCAUUUAAAAGUUGUAUUGUGCAGGGCAGAGCUAGCUGCUUGAUGUGUUCAUACAAUAGAGUAAAUGGAAUACCUGCAUGUGCUGACCGGGAUUUGUUGCACAAAGCCAGAAAUGACUGGGGAUUCAAAGGGUGACUAUUCUCCUUCUUUUAUGAUAGACAUAUUUUCUUCGGACUGACAUGGAUGUAAAAGGAUUCAUGUUCUGAUCCCCUCAAUGGCUAACAACAGAUACAUCACCUCUGACUGUGAUGCUGUGGCUACGAUAUUUGAGAAUAACAAUUUCACUAAAACUAAGGAGGAAGCAGUUGCUGUUGCUCUAAAAGCAGGUUUGAAAUAUUUCUCAUCUUAACUAAACCUGCUAAUGUCUACCAGAUUUAUCAACCUCUGUUUUCAUUAGGUACGGAUAUCAACUGUGGAACCUAUAUGCUGCGACACAUGAAAUCCGCAAUUGAUCAGGGGAAGGUGUUAGAAGAAGACAUAGACCGAGCUCUCUUCAAUCUAUUUUCGGUUUUACUGCAGCUUGGACUCUUUGAUGGAAACCCUGCAAGACGUCAAUUUGGAAAUUUGGGAUCUCAAAAUGUAUGUUCAUCUGAGCACAAAACAUUGGCACUUGAAGCAGCGAUGCAGGGUAUUGUACUUCUCAAAAAUAACCAGAAGUUCCUGCCUUGGAACAAGAAUGACAUAUCUUCAGUAGCUAUAAUCGGCCCAAUGGCAAACACUAUGAACAUUGGCGGCGACUAUACAGGUUGGAUUGUCCAUGUACAAGAGAUGUUACCAUAUUGAUCAGUUUUCUUGUAGCUUUUGCACAGAAUUUUUCUGUUUGUAAACAUGGUAAACGAUUUGAUUUGAGCUGACAUUGAAAAAGAGAAAUGGCUGGCAUAGACGAGUUGUGGAAGAAUUAUUUUAAGAAUUCGUGCUCUCAGGAUUAGGAUGAUAACAGUGUUAUGAACCUCUUCUAAAAGAAAUUUUUGCCAACCCUGAUGAACCAUAUUACAGUCUGCAAUUACAGAUGUUAAAAUUUUCACUUAAUCUGGUUUAGAAGAGUUCAUAGCAAUCCCUAUUCAACCAAAAAUAUUAGAAACAUUUAACUCCUCUUGCCCAGAAAAUGAUUUUAAAAAGUUUAAUUUCUUGUUACACCUUAUUACUGUUUUCAGGAUUUUCAUGCAACCCCGAAAGCAUUCUUCAAGGACUUAAAAACUAUGUGAAAGACACAUUUUAUGCAGCAGGCUGCCAGGAUGUUCCUUGCAAUUCAACUGCUGGCAUUCCAGAAGCUCUUUCUAUUGCUAAAGAAGCUGAAUAUGUAAUAGUAGUGGCUGGGCUGGACUUAUCUCAAGAAACUGAGGACCUUGAUCGAUAUAGUCUAUUAUUACCUGGUCAUCAAAUGGCUCUAAUAAGGGCUGUGGCGUCUGUAUCCAAGAAACCAGUGGUGCUAGUUCUUACUGGUGGUGGCCCUGUUGAUGUAUCAUUUGCUGAAGGAGACCAACAAAUAGCCAGCAUUAUUUGGAUUGGGUACCCUGGAGAGACAGGUGGCAAAGCACUUUCGCAAAUUCUUUUUGGAGAGUACAAUCCUGGUGAGUAUGAUUCAGAAAGUACUUUUAGAGCGUGCACAAUUGUGGACGAUGUUCUUGUGCAUCAAUAUGCUGCAAAUUACAUGUCAUUUCUUGGAAUGAACAAGGAUGUUACUGCCAGAAAUUUGAUGAAAUAGAAAACUGAUUAGUCAGAAACAUUACAUGAAUGAUUACACUAACCACCUAAAGAAAGGGAACAGAGUUACUUUAUGUAAAGCAGCUUUCAUGUAUAAAGAAAAGAUUAGAACAAUAAUCUAAGGCAUGAAUUAUUGUUGUCUCUGAAUCAAAAACAGGAGGUAGACUACCUAUGACUUGGUAUCCCGAAUCAUUUACCAGCAUACCAAUGACUGACAUGAGCAUGAGAGCUGAUCCUUCUCGUGGGUACCCUGGAAGAACGUAUAGGUUUUACACUGGAGAGAGGGUAUAUGGGUUUGGACAUGGACUAAGCUAUACAAAUUUCAAUUACAAGAUCUUAUCAGCACCAGAAAGGCUGAGUCUAUCUGGACAAGUUAAAGGGAAAUCACGAAGGUAUAUCCGUCAAGGGGGAGGCAAUGGGCUUGACUACGUUCUUGUUGAUGAUGUGGCAUAUUGUGAUUCAUUGAGAUUCCAUGUGCAGAUUUCCAUCAUUAAUCAUGGGGACAUAGACGGGAGCCAGGUUGUGUUGCUAUUUUCUCAAGUGCCAAAAUCUUUUACUGGUGCUCCUGAGAGACAAAUCGUCGGAUUUGAUAGGGUCCAUGCUUUAGCUUAUAGAUCUGUUGAAACGAGCAUCUUGGUGGAUCCUUGUGAACAUCUUAGCAUCGUCAAUGAGCAAGGGAGUAAAAUACUGCCUCUUGGUGAUCAUACUCUAAUGGUGGAAGAUUUAAAGCAUACUUUGUCAAUUGAGGCGUGAUGGAACGGGAAGGUAACAGAAAUUGCCGGCAUUGCGGUGGAGUGCAUUUUCACUGCUAAUUCGCCUCUGUUUUCGAGAACACAGAGGCUGUAUGCUGAUGGACAGAUUCUGAGGACGUCAAUAACUUGUACCAUCCUUGAGAAUUCAAAGGUCCAUUUGGUCUCUAUUUUGGUGUUGUUGGGCGGGGGGGAAUCCUUUCUGUCUGUCUUGUUAAUUUUUUUAUGUAUGAGAACUGAGAAGGCACUACACCAAAUAAUCUUGAUGUGGAAACUUCUCUGCAAUCUGCCUCAAACCAAGUAAAAUCCUUGCAAUUACGUUCCUGUACCUUCCUUUGAUGAAGCGUUUCGUUCCAGGUAUCCUGAAACGAGUCUGCCACCAUGCAUCAGUGCAGAGUGUUAGAAAUCAAAGUAGCGGCGCCGCGGUUGGUGUAAAUAAUGUCCAGUAGUUACAUUCUUGUUGAUCGAAAAUGAGAGUGUCUCGAGUAAAAGCAGGUAAGAAAAUAACUCCACCAGCAAAAGUCUCAUCAGCCCAUGCUGCGGUGCCUCGCGAGAAGCAUCAGGCAAAAGAAUAUUACCCUUUUUGAUAGUAGCUGGUCCAAUUAAAUUUCGUUAUAAAAGAGGAACAGUUUAAAGGCUUCCUUCUGCAGUUGCAGUCACAUUAAUGCCUAAACAGUUUUGAGCAACCAAAUUUUGCACGCUGGAUGUAUGACACGACGCGUUCAUUCCAUCCAUCGCGUGCACAAUUACAACAUGAUACACAAGGUUCAAAACCAUACAAUUACAACAUGUUUGCCACUUUGUUCAAAGGUCUAUGUCCCAUCUUUCUUUCUUUGGAAGAUUUUUGAGCAAAAGACAAAAAGGUAAUUAGAAAAGGAUAAAAGGGAAUUUACACAUUUCGGUGGCGGUGUGAGUGUGAGUGGCAAAGAGGCGUGAAAGGAGCCCCUCCGCCUCAUGGGAGCGGAGGGGGAGGAUGAGGAGAAGUCGGAGCGGGAAGCGAUGGGCAGCACAGCAUCCGCAUCAAGACGAAAUUCACAAGGAAUUUGUUUGGGCUGGGUUUUCUUGGAGCCCAAUAAGGAUCAAUGGCCAUCAGUAACGGGCAUUUCUUUGGGCCGGGUGCACCAUCGGUAGACCAACUCGAUUUGACACUCUUCCUAAUUGCAUCGUCCGUGGUUCAAUGAUCAGCUUUAGCGCUGCAAGAGUCUGGUAGCUGGCAUCCGUUGAAUGAGGAUGUUUUUUCCUCCAACUUCAUCAUUAAGUUUGAGAUUUUUUUCUCCAGCUUUAUCUAGUUUAACCAAUCACCAGAUGAGAUGAGGGGGCCUGCGCGGGAAAGAAAUCGAGGAGGAGUCUCAAGAAACGGGGUCCGAUUUCUUCCGUUAGAGAAGCUGGAGACGAUGAAAUAAAUCAGUCCGUACUACAGAAUUCAUAGCCAAACAUAGCAGAUCAACUUCACUUGUGAUGGCAAAAUUUCUACCUACAAAGUGGAAAUAUGCUAAAGGGAGGGGUUAGUUUUGAAGUUGCAAAAAGACCAUGAUAAUGAUAGAUGGUUGCCUACGCCAAUUUGGUCAUUUUGAUCAUUGGUAAAGCGAAGAAGGUGGAAUGAAUAUUCCCAAGUCCACCCGACAUUCAAUCCUAACGAACUCUUCGCCAGUCAGUGAUUGUCCCUCAAAUGAACUCUCUCAUGAACACCUUCACUACCGCCUUCUUGUAUAAUUCGUUCCUACCGGUCUCAUGAACACUUCCCCUGAGUCCAGCACAAUCCUAACUAAUUCUGGGGACCGACACGGAAGAGGGCCCCCCGUGUGGGACCUCCACUUUAUCCUUUAAAACUUUGGACGCUCCAGAUUAAAUCCUUACUCCUCAAUACUUCUUCAUCCGAACUCCCAAACACUUCCACCUAUACCAUCAAAUCAAAAUCUAUUCGCAAUUGGAUCCCACACCGCCAAUAAUAAAUGCAAUCUCCAAGGGAAAGAAAACACACUCCUAACCCAACACCUGCACUACAACUGCCGCCAUCCUCCUCCUUUCCAUCAUCACUUCACGACGGCCAUGGAAACAAGAAUCAAAGCUGAUGGCGGAAACAAGGUGAAGUUAAUGUGCAGUUACGGCGGGAAAAUUCUGCCGAGGCCUCGGACUUGCAAACUUACCUACGUUGGCGGCGACACGAAGCUCCUGACCGUUGAUCGAAACGCUAAAUUCUCAGACAUUGUCAAGAAGCUCGAUUCUCUGUUCAAUUUCAAAACCGACGAUAUCCUGAUGAAGUAUCAGUUGCCUGGAGAAGACCUCGACGUCUUGAUAUCUUUGACCGGCCAUGAUGAUCUCGAGAACAUGAUGGUUGAAUACGAUCGUUUCCGUUUCCACAGGAUUCCUUCUCCGCAUAACAAACCAGUAAGGAUACGCCUCUUUGUUUUCUCCUCCGCGAGGAACCCCGCGAACCCGACAGGUUCUAAGUCCGGGUCGGGCGCCCCUUUGAAUCCGGAUUAUCUCUUCGGGUUCGAUAAGUACUGCGACUUCAACAGUACUACAACUGACAUGCAAGCCAGUAACAGUGCCACAAAAUCCACACACGACUCGGAGCCUCGGAAGAUUCCCUGCACGGUUCAUCCCAGGAACAUACCAUCAAACAGCAGUCUGAACCCUAAUUGUCAUAAUGCGAAUGAGGCGCAGAAGGUAACAGCACGUGAUGGGCACGUGGCUGUUGGGGUAGCAAACCAGCAGCGAUUAUCAGCAUACGGUUUUCCGGUGAUAAGCGUUGGGUUGGAACAAGCACGGCAGCGAAGCAGAAUAUUAAUGCCCGGAAUGAUGAAAGUGGGGAUGAUGAUGAAUGGUGAUCGCCUGCAACAGCCUAUAUACAAUUUUGUUCCGACGAUGCCGUCGGUGCCGGAGUAGAUGGACAUAGUGGUGACUGCAGUAGAUAUGUCGUGUCACGAUCCAAAGGUUACCACAAGACCCCGUUAACUUCUUUUUUUUUUUUCAAUAAUUUUUUGUUUAGUAGUUCUUUUGGACAUGGAAUGAGCAGAUACGUAGUGAUGAAUGCGUGCAUGUUGAACAGUUUUUUGGUAGCUUUAAUUUUUCCCAUUUGACAAAGUUUCGUACUAUAAACUUUGUAAUUGGAUUGAUUCAUGAACUGCUUUUAUUACUGUGUAUACCAGCUACAUUAACAGGUUAGCAAAUUGCAGUUUUACUGUACCAAAGGAUUUUGUAGUUAAGUAGCUCUCUGGUGUAGCAGAUGAUCAAAUUGUAGGAUUACUUUCCAGUUUCACCUUCUGAAGAACCCAUUAGAAACUCCCGCGGACAAGUAUGAUUUUGGUUUUCCAUAAAUUUGGCCAACUUAUAAUUUGGUCUUCACAUGAAUGAUUAAUGGAUGAUCACCUGCUGCUGCUCUAUCAUUGUAGUACUAGUUUUGUAUCUUUGGCCCCUUUUUUUUUUUUUCAAAAAAAAUAUGUUGAAGUCAGUUUGUUUGUACGGCAACCUACUCGUUAUAAACAAUGUAACGUCUUCUUAGUCAAGAAAAUCGUCCUUGUGAGAAACUUUGAGUGUGAACCUAGAAAGUAUUGGUCCAUCCAGUACAUAUUUCAAGAACAUAAUCCUUUUGCGGUCGGUCGGUUGCUUGACUUCUUCAGUUUUUGUUUUUUUUUCUAGCAAAGGAGGGGAAGGACUUAAGAUCGGACUAGGUUAGGAGAUUUGAAUCCAAAACCACUAAUUUCUAAAGUUUUAAACUCAAUUUUAUUUACUUACAUCAUCAUUACAAUUUCCAAUACAUCUUUUUAUCUUCUCAAUUAUCUUUUUAUCUCACAUAUAUCACGUCACAAAAAAGUGCUACAGUAAAAAUAUCCCAAAUAACUUACGAUCCAAACAAAUUAGAUUUGACUUCUUUAGUUUGUUUAAAGGUAUAAUUUUUCUUUUAUUCAUGUCAGUUUAGGCAGGUUCAUGGUUGAUUGAUUUAUUAUGAUAUGACAGUAUACCUCUUUCGAGAUUUUGUACCCAUAAGGAUCGAGCAAGUUUGUAGGCUGUAGUUACGGCCGAAGAUCCUAAAUAAUAUAUACCUUUAAAAAGCUCUAAAUGAUUAUCAGUUGUUCGUUGGAUUUGGUUGGAUAUAUAAACUUGUUUUUUGUUUGCAGAUCGAGUCCAAUUUUACACUCACGAGCCAUUUCAAAAACCCAUAAAUCAAAAAAUGUUCACAGUACCAAGUAAAUAUCAUGCCUCUUAAUUAGUCUCUCCCUGUGGUUCGCCAGGAUAUCUUUUAUUUUCCUUUUCUUUAUUCAGUGGAAAACAUCUAAAAAAUGUUUCUUCACAUUGACAACAGAAUUCCAACACACAGUCUUAGUCAUUAAUCCUUGUGAGAAGCCUCUAGAUCCUGUGCAAAUGGAGCUUCCAUAACUGAGGGAGGCUAUAAUUAAUUGGUUAAUUGUGUGGUGAGAAUGACCGGAAGGGAUUUAGGAAAAGAGCUGUUUCAUUGGUCAAAUUCUUUCCUGUAAAAAAUACAUUCAAAAAUUCAGUAGGAGGGUGAAUUUGAGUAUUCAAAAAAUGGCAUGUAAGAUGAUUCCUCUGUUGUCUUUUUUCUCUUGAGCCCCUGUUUUCCAAAUUAAAGAGCACAGAACAGAAUCUCUUUCUAAAAUGUUAAUUACUCGGCCAACUAAAUAUGCAUUGGUAUUUCCUAAUAAUACUAUGCUCUACCCUCCCCGUUGCGCCAUAAUAACUUAACUUCACCAGUAUGUUAUUGCUAGCUAGUUUUCUAGAAUACCAUUUGGCACCGAAGGUCCUAUGAGAAAAAAACGUCACGGGCUAAAUAAUCAAAGUCCUAAUCUACAAGAUGCAAAAGAACGUACUAUAACCUUUUACGUCUAUCGACGAGAAUCGCGUCCAACUCUUGCUCCGCGCAUGCCAUUCAACCAUGCUCAAAAUUUUGACCACCUUUCCAACUAAUCCAAAUCCAAUUCAUAGUCCGCAAAAUUUAUCAACAACUCCACUAUAGCAAUCUAGCUAGCUACAUGACGCAAGUAAAACAAUAGUAUGUAUGUAUAUGAAAGGGCAGUCUUUUCAAGUCCUGCCGCAUUCUCAAAGAAGAGCCUUCCACAAUUUUGCUGUUCUUAAUUCAUAAACAGAAUAAGUUUGAGGAAGCUUUUUCAAAAUUUGAUUGAAGAUUCAUUUGGUCCACUGGAUAGAAUAGAAAGACUUUUCUCCAUACAUUAUUUAUUAAAUACGUAGAUGGCCUUGUUUAUUUAUUCUAGGCUUAGUGAUUUUCAUUCAAUACGUAGAUGGCCUUGUUUGAAUUGCAUUUUCUUGGAUUUUUUGUAGAAAAAUUAUUGUAAUGAUUUGAUGUAUGUAAGGAAAAAAAGUAAUAGAAAAAUGUGAUCACGGACAGAAUUUUUCGUGAGAAAAUGGCUAUUCAAACGAGGCCUAAGUUAGGCAAAUGCGGUAAAAAUACUAAUCAUUUCAAGCAUCUACGUUCUUACCUAGUUGACAUAUAAAGGGACCAAAAAUUUCAUCAAAAAAAAAAAAAAAACUUAAAAAACCAACAUCUAUAAUUUGCAACAAUACAAACUUUCAGGACGAAAAUUGUCUCUCUCAAAACUGAAAGGACUAAAAUUGCAAUUAUCCCAUCGGUGAGUGUAGCAACCGGAGCCCACGCUGUGAGAAGCGUGCAUGCACCUUACGGGUUCUGGGGCUUGGCAAGGCUGUCAUCAAACUUUAGUGCAGAUUUUCCUUGCUUUCCUUCUUUUGGGAACUCGAAAAUUUGAUUUUAUUGCUUUCCCUUUUUGAGCAGGCCCAUCUUACCCCUGUUACGAGGAUCCGGAAAGAAAGAUUCAAUUUAACUUGAAGAUAGACGUGGUAUGUUCUAUUACUAGAAUAUAAUUUAGAUUUGAAUGAGCUGCGAUACAAAGGGUGAAUGAAUGAGAGAGUUAGUUGUCAGAACCAUUCUUAAGCAGGUCUGGUUCAUGUACAUCAUCAUAAUUCCCUGCUUUAUGUGCACCAUUAUCUGGGCAAAUUUUGCAUUAAAUUCCCUGCAUCAUCAUUAUCAUGCAGAAUUUGCGACAAACGUAUUAAGUGGAGAUUACUACUAUUACAGUAACUAAAUGCACGUAUUUAUCUGGAAAGAUUUCGAAUGGCCAUAGCGGCUUCCAGACUCUAGAGUGCAGAGGCGAAAAGAAAAAAAAAAAAAUUUACUGGUAAGAUGGAAUAAAAUGAUUGAAAAGAUACGCAGGAUGGCAGGAAAAGUGAAAAGGAUAUGAGAAAGAAAGAAAGAGCGGCGUCGGAGAAAUCAUUAUGCGGUGACGGCUCAAAUUGGCGGACGUUUUUCUUCUAUUGGUCAUUGGUCCCACUCCCACCUUAUUAUUUUCCGUAAUUACCACUUUUCUUUUUACGUAAUUACUUCUGCGCCAAUACCCGAUAAUGUCCUAUAAAUAAAUGCGAAAUCGGGUUCACUGCCCGUUUCUUGGCCGAAGUUCUCAGUAGUAGUUUCCUGAAUCUUAUAUUAUUCUUGGGAAGUCGUCUUCAUCAUUGAAGCCUUAACUCAGAGAUGAAUGAACCACCAAAGUAUGCUUAUCCUUAUCCCUCUCAAGGUACUCCCAAUCUUUCUCUCUUUGAUCUCAUCAUCUUCUUUCACCCUGGAGAAAAUUAAACCCUGUUUCAUUUUUAUGAUGAACUUCCAGAUUUCUUUUUCUUAUACGUUUAAAGUAUUUAUUUGUCAUUUUAUGGGUUCCCCUGAGACCAAGACCAAGGUUUUUGUUUCAUCAUCAACGCUUGCUUAUCAUAAUGAUUUGAUGUAUAGGAUAUUACCAAGGGCCUCCGGUGAUGGCACCCCCACAAUAUCAAUAUGCAGCACCUCCACCACCCAGAAGGUCACCUGGUUUUCUCGAGGGAUGGUAUGCUAUAUGAAUUUUUCCCUUCUUUCUCUUUUUCGUGUUCCCUUUUCUACUAAAUCUCUCUUUCUUCCCCCCCCCCCCUUCCUCCGUGGGAUAUGUAAAGAUUUAAUUGUAUAAUCUUUGGGGGUUUGGCAGUCUUGCGGCGUUGUGUUGCUGUUGUCUCAUUGAUGAGUGCUGCUGCGAUCCCUCCAUCAUCUUCGUCAGCUGAGCUGAUCCAAUUUCUAGUGAUGUUAAUAAUUUCGUGUCAUCCUUUUCAUGAUAACUAGGUAAAAACCAAAACAGGCAGGAUGAUGAUUUCAAGUUGUGUUUUUUUUUUUGGGGUUAGCUAGGUAUUACUAAAGUGAUGUUUGGUUGGAAUCCUCGUGUAGUCUUGGACCCUUGGAAGCCAGCUUUCAGUCCAUCAUCAUGGCUGAUGGUUGGAUGGAUGUGUGGCUGGUGGUGAUUCCAUUUUAAUUUAAUUUCAGCGGAUUUGACUGCUUAUGAAUUAUCUCUCAUUCCAUUCUAAUUUUCCGCGAGCUACGGUCGGACCAUGCGCUGGUGAUUUAACGUCGUCAUAAUCUGACCACAAUCCCAGAUUAGUCGUAAUUGACAGCCCACUUACCAACAAUACACUAAUGAAAUUUGUACCCCGAUAUGGAUUAUGGUUUUGCCUCAAAUCUUUUCUAACUUUAAUUUUCGUUUAAAUAUUAAUCUAUGUGAACUAAUAAUGGUUUCUUGAAUUGAGAUAAAACGUUUCUUGGCUUGGGCACAUUUGCUCGGUCUCAUCACUAGUUUGUUCAAUAAAGAAGAAGACAAAUCAAAUUUCUCUCUUCAGCUGCAGUUCUUCUUCAAAUGCCUCUUUCUUCUAGCACAGCGGGCGUGUGAUGUCUGGGAACCGCUGGUCCCUGCUGCCGUUGAAUUGCGAACAACAUGACAAGAAUUAUAACGUCUAGAUCAGGCUAAUUGAUGACUCAUUCUAUAUAUACUCCAUAUUCAAAACAGCAAGGAAAGAAAUUAUCCAGUAGAUGAAACCCUCAUAAUUUUGUGCGUGCGUAUUCGUGAUUUGUGAGGGAAAACACUAGUAUACUAUGCCCCGAGCAUUAUGGAAACAAUUAACGGCUCUAUCUAUGUGUAAAGAUGUGCGCUUGCUUUACAGGUCAUUCUUCCACUGAAUCUUGAUCUUGGAGCUUCCUUCCAAAAUCAAGUACAUUGCCAGAAAGUUUUAGGCCUUGUUUUGUUUUCUAUGUUAAGGGUCACAUCCCACCCUAAUUAGACACGGUAAAGGGAAAUGUAUAGCAACCAACUGGGGUUGGGCCAAGUGGUAAGCAGCUUGGUUCCGUUUAAGCAGGUCUCGGGUUCAAAAUCUGGCGUACCCAACUAUCUUUGUUGGGAGACUCAUCCAUCACAGCCAGAUGCGUGAUCUGGGUAGACCAACGGAUUAGUCAGGGCAAAACCCUGGAUACCGUGGCAAGCAACCACAAAAAAAAAAAAAAGGUAAAUGUAUAGCAGCAACACCACUCGAAGUUGGUAAUUAAUUACCUCUCCAAAAAAAAAAAGUCAUUAAUUACCGCUCCAAAAAAAAAAAAGAAGUAAAUGUAUAGCAGCAACACCACUCGAAGUUGGUAAUUAAUUACCGCUAGUAUAACGUACUAUCAAAAGAGGACUUGGACAAUUCUUGAAGUAAGCUUUGAGCAUUAUGUCUUUGGUCGAGAGAAAUCCACGAAGUGUCGAUUUUAAAUUGAUAAUUGUGUUUGUGGUCUGUAUUGUUAUUACCCUGAGCUUCUUAUCUUGUAGGUUGACUUGGUUAACAAAUGUGAUAGGAGAAUGUAACUUCGGUCAAUCAAAGCACUUGACAAAUCAAAAUGUGAUAGGCGUUUGAACUUAAGAUCAACCUGAUAAAGUUCUCUACACUUGAUUUUGCAAAUUUUAUGGACUCCUCAAAUUGACCUAACAAAAAGAAGAUCAAUUCUCACGGACAGACUUAAAGAAGGUUUAACUAUGUAAUAUAUCAGUUUUUUUUUUAUAUUUUUAACCAUAUAUUUAUAUAUAUAUUUUUAUUUCACAUACAUAAGUCGCGUUACAAAUAAUAAUACAGUAUUUAUUCUGAAAAAAAAAAUUCUGAUAAUCUUCAAUCAAACAAAUAAUAUGGGUUUGUGGUACUUCACCUUCUUUGUGAUCUGAAAUACCCUCCUCUCUAACUCUUGUCACAACUAGCCCAAGGUGACUUUGAACUUGAUGGGGGUCACACCUGUGAAUCCGAACCCAUUACAACCAGCCCGUGUUGAAUGUCAAAAGAUGGAUCAACACUCUCUUAACUGCAUGCAUAUUUAAUUACGGCCGGCCCAGGUAACCAGCCCGUGUUGUUGUUGUUGUUGGUUUUUUUUUUUUUUUUUUAAAAUGGGAAGUGCAGUCUGCAGCCCUUGUUGAUUUUGCACUUACGGCUCAGUAGGUGUUGAACUAGAAUUACCACUUUGUCCUUCAAAAAAGAAUUACUACUUUGCACUAUCUGGAUUUGGUGCGGAAAAAGCGCAAGGAAAAUAAAAAAUAAAAAGAAACAAUUUUAGCGAUUUAGCAUUGUAACUGUCAAAUUUACACCACUUCUAAAUUUAAUUGGCAAAAUAAACUUAUGCAAAAUUAUUCUCUUCUCUUGAAAAACAAAAAAACACUUUUCUAAUGUUAAUAUACUCCUAUUGCUUAAUCUGACCUAUAAAUCACACAACAUGAUAAUACUCCCAAAUUCUCAAAGAUUGAUCACCAUAGGUUUGGUUAUGCCAAUCGAUCGAGUAGUACUUUGGUAGUCAUCCACAAAGGGUGUGGGUGAGCCAACCCCUCAUCAGUAGUUUGCGAGCAAUUGAGUCAAAAAAAACUUGACUCGAAAUUAGUUUGACCGAAUUCGAGCUCGAGCUAUUUAUUCCGUGUAACAAGUCGAGUUCGGGUAUCAGUAGUAAUUACUUGACUGUUCGAUGAGUUUAAUUCGAGUAUUUAUGUUAUUUAUAUAUUCUAUAUUUUAAUUAUGUAAUAAAUAUUAUGGGUUCAUAUUUUAAUAAUUUUACAUGAAGUAUGUUUAAUAAAAAAAGGUGAUAAAUGGCAAAAUAAUUAUACGAUAAAUCUAAAAUAUAAAAAAUUUAAAAAAAGAAAAGAAAAACUCGAGUUCAACUUUGAUAGGGUCAACAGUUUACUCAAUCUCAAACAAAUUGACUUCAAAUUUAAAUUUCAGAGUGUGUUUGAAUUGUAAAUUAUUUGAAAUAUUUUUACCGUAACAUUUUUUGUGAUGUGAUGUAUGUGAAAUAAAAAAGUAAUUAAAAAGAUAAAAAAUAUAUUAAAAAUUAUAAUUAUGAUGUAAGCAAAUAUAUUUAGAUAAAUAAUUUUCUGUCCAAACACAUGUUGAAUCGAGUUCGAACUCAAGUUAAUAUACUCAUUCGAGUUUAAAAUCAACAAACACUGAUAGCAAUUGAGUUCAAGCAUGGUAUUACUUGAAUUCGACUCGGCUGCAUAGCACUCCGGUCACCUAAAGAUUACUGAAAUGCAAUCAGAUAGCUAUUGCCGGACUGGUACAGUUGUACAUCACCAGGCGUCAGCAGAACCAAUCAGAGUUGGCCCCCUCCACGUCACCAAACGACCCCACAUGGAGUCAAUGCAGCAGGAUCUGAUAUCCUUCCAUCCCCAGCCCCCAGGAAAUUUUCUUCCGCUUCAAACUCAAAUAGGUACUAGAGUAUUUAUUUCGAAAUUUUAAGUUCCCACCCAAACACAUCAUCCACGCAUCACAUGACGCCACGCACUCCCCCAGGGUCAAUCGCAGCCAUUGGCACCACCUGGCACGGUCGGGCAAUGCGGGCAAGCAUCAGAAACAUGCAGGCCUUGAGAUCAAACUUCAACGGCUGAGAUUCUGCCCGAUCUGCAGACCUGCAGAUCUGGCUGCCUUUAAGAAGCGGUGAUCCUCCUCCUGCUUUCUUCGUUCAAGCAAGGAGGGUCAUAGAAACCCUCGCCUUUUAAUAAUUUUUUGCCUUUUUUCUUGGUUUAAAUACACUUUCCAUUUUUAUUUUCUGAACACAUUUCCCUCCAACAAAUUACUAGCUUUCGACUUUCCGGCCAGCGGCGGUUAAAAUUUCCGGCUUUCUAGCCAUGUGUUCCCGCCAUUUUUUGGUCGGAGAUUGACCGCCGGGGCGAAAUUUCUUGAGCGACCCGUUUGAUUUGAAAUUCAAUCCGCUUAUUUUUUUUGGCUCCCGCCUCAUAUGGCUUCCGCCGUCUUGCCCAGCCGAAAUGAGUCCUAUUGGGCUGAACGCGAGGUUUGUAUGAGGCAAUUUCCAAACAACCGCACGAAUCAUCCCCAUUUCUACCCGCGGUUGAAUCCUAAACCUCGUCCUAACCCUAGCAGGUUUCCAAACCCCGUUUUCAACUCAAAUUUCAACGUUAGCCGGCAAAUCAUUGAUCUUACAGCUAAAACUGGUCUCCGGCAGCGCAAUGAACCAUCACCCAGGCCUCCUUUCCUGCCACCUUCGGCGUCGAUCAAUGAUCCGCACUCCUUUAACCGGAGUGCAGAUGGGCCUCUUCUAUCCAAGGAUCCGUUUCACCGAGAGUACGUGACAUUCAAAGCGUCGUCAUACUCGAAAAGAGAGCUGAAAGAGCUGAAAAAUCGACUAAUCUCAGACCUCGAACGGGUUCGGACCCUAUUGACCCGAAUACAGACCCGGGAGCUUGAGUUUAGACCCGGUUUUUGUAGGGCCCUAUUCAGGCCGCCUGCUGUUGAAACAAAUCACAUACCAGUGAACCUUACAUCAGAUGAGAAGCAGAACCAAAAGAACCGGGCAUCCGGGUCAGUGACCCGAAAGGGUAAGGGCAAAAAGAACCAAAAACUUUCGGGGCAAAAAAGGGCUCUUGCUUUAGGUGAUGCUCGAGAAACAAAGCGGCCGUUUGUGAUCCCAACCUCAUCAGAGGCCGAGAAGGCGUCGGAGAUGGUGAUGAAGAAAUGUAAGCAGAUUUUGAUGACACUUAUGAAGCAAAAGCACAGUUGGGUUUUUAAUAAGCCCGUUGAUGUUGUUCGUCUAAGGCUUCAUGAUUACUUCAAAGUCAUAAAGCAUCCAAUGGAUCUUGGGACGAUCAAGUCUAAUUUCAACAAAAGGGUGUACAAAUCACCCCUUGAAUUUGCUUCGGAUGUAAGGCUGACUUUUAACAAUGCCAUGAGAUAUAACCCCAAAGGGCAAGAUGUCCAUGCAAUGGCGGAGUCUAUGCUUUCGAGUUUUGAAGAAAUGUUUGAGCCCGUGUAUCAGGAGUAUGAAACCGGACAUCGAAAACUGGUUGCUGAGAAGAUGAACGAAAUUACCAACUGGGUUCAGCUGGAACCGGUGAUUGCGAUGCCACAACCGAUAUUGUUGAGUUCGCCUUCAUGUCAGAAUGAGCAGAUUCUGUUGUCUCCUGGAUUGCAGAGUACAAGCGGGAAAUUGCCAAACCCAAAAGCCAAGGAUUCGAACAAGAGGCAAAUGAGCAAUGAGGAGAAGUCUAACUUGGGGUUGAAUUUGCAGCAUAUGCCGCAGGAGAAGAUGGAACGCGUGGUGCAGAUUGUCAGGAAGAGGAAUCCUCAUUUGGUGCCGGACGGAGAUGAGAUUGAACUUGAUUUUGAGGUUCUUGACGAUGACACUCUUUGGGAUUUGGAUAGGUUCGUGAGUAAUCACAAGAAAGCUCUGAGCAAGAUGAAAAGGCAAGAACUCGUUGACGGUGCCAAUUUGAUCGAAGAAGAAGGACCCAAGGUAACGAAUAAAUGCUUUAAGUUUGAUAUAAUAAAGAUUUUGACUUGUUUUAAUUGGCUGAUAAUUCUUUAGUUAUGGUAACAGUCUCCAGUUAGUGAGCCUUGUGAGGUGGAUGUCGAACAGAACAACAAAGAAGAUGCAGGGGAAGAGGAUGUUGAUAUUGGAGAGGACAUUCCAGCAUUUGACUUUCCCCCUGUGGUGAUUGAGAAGGAUGUGGAGGUUGAGAAGGGUAAUGCUGCUGCCUCCGUUCUGGAUGUUGAGAUUGAGGACUGUGCUGGAGCUAAUGGUGGAUCCCGCAGCUCUAGUGGCGCAAGUUCUAGUAGUGAUGAUUCUUCUUCUGAUGGUAUUCUAUUCUGCAUUUAUGUUUUUCUUUUGGCAUAUAUAGUCCACAGAGACUGAUGUUGGUGUUUGAUACAAUGUGUAGAUUCAGAUUCAGAUUCUGGUAGUUCUUCAGGGAGUGAUGAUUCUGACGAGGAUAGUGUACAGUCGCCUUAUGUUGAAGCAAAAGGAGUCCCUGCAGCUUAAUUCUGUUAAUGGGUAUGUGAAGAUUUCAAGUAACAAUUAAUGGAAAAGUGAAUGGAAUUGAGAGGGUUUGAAGUGUUGGCGUUCUAUCUUUGUUGGCUCCCCUUUUUUUUUUUUUCAUUUCUGGGUUUGUGCAUUUUGGUAAUGGAGGAGAAUUAAGGUAACUGUGGUUCUGGCUUUGGCAUUGCUUGGCUCAAGCUGUAGCAUUUUGUAAAAAGGAUGGCCAGAAUGUUACUUUAGGUUAGGAUAACCGAGACAUUAGUUAGACGUGACUGAAUUAGGGUGUUACAGCGGAGGGGUAUAGUCAGAGAAGUUGGGAAGAACUGAACGGUAGAAAGAUAGCAGUAGCAUUACUGAGUUUGGUAUAACUCUUUUUGAUUUCUAUACUGAAUCACCACACGAUUUUUAGUGGUGGAGCAGCAAAAGCAGUAAACAUGUACAGGGAGUAGUGUACUCUGGCUGGAAAUAUGCAAAUGUAGUUCUCUCUUCAAAGAUCUUACAGGAGAACCCUUUUGGCUUCCUUGAAUUCUAAUUAGCUGUUUUUAAUAGCGUUCCAAACUCGUACUUACAUGAAAUGAAUGCCUUAAACGAGUAGUUUUCUUAAAUUGGAACUGUUUGCAAUCUCAUGAUUCAGAAUCGAGAAAUUAUCAAGUCUAGUCUGCUUCUGUGCAAAUAUUGUUCAGGAUACUGUGUUACACACAUGCUUGAAUCUUUAUCUUGAUUAAUUAUGGUUUCCCUGAGUCAAAGUAGGAAGUCAUAAAAGCAAAAUGAUACAAACAUGUUGAGUAUCCAUAUAUUUCAAAUGUGAUGCAUGGUAUAUGUUGGUGACUUUUUAAGUAGAGAUACCUCAAUAAGAAUGUUCAGCUUUGCUCGAAUUGUAAUCCCUGGCUUCACAAGCAAUUGAAGCUUGACCCAACAGCAUUCCCUGUCAAGAAUUUGUUAUUACAUGUUAAAAGUACGCAAGUGAGAGUAAAACAUAUUGUAUUAUUCUUAUUACAGAAGGAGGACAGAAGGCAAAAAAAAAAAAAGUCGGGGGGGGGUGGGGGAGGGGGAUGGGGAGCAUUAAGGAAAUCCAGAACUGCAGAUCAGAAUUCAACCGGCAACUUUGCACAACUCCGAUAGCCACCAAGAAAAAGGAAAUGCCAAGAAGCACGAUGGCCAGCAAGCAUGGGCAAGACGUUAAGAGAUUCAAGUUGCCGUUGAUCUACCUUAAAUUUUUCAUUCGAUGGAGAAAAAAGUAAAGCAUUGGGCUGGGUCAAAAGUACUACUGUCUUGCCAGUUGCCACCAAGUUCUCUUCAGCCAAAGACAGGCAGUUGGAGGAUGGGCCAUAAGCCAAUUGACGUCCUUCGGCGAGUCUCUUCAAAGAGAAGACACUAACGACAACAAUCUCAAUUUACGUCUAUUCCAAAUUCAUUCGUUUACAGGCAUAAUCCAAUCAAUAAAAGCCAACGCGAGUACCCAUUCUUUUCACGACAAAUUCUGAUCACCGCAUCAAUGAACAGAAACGCAGCAACUAGUUCCACUCCUCCAGUCAUCUUUUUCCAAGGUAAGAAACAUCUAAUGCGUAAAAUAUGAAAUGACUGAGAAAUAAGAGCACCGCACCGCAAACCUGAACUAAACAAAACUCAUUUAAUAACCGGGACAAGCGACGCCAACUUCAGUUGGGGCUUAACCUACACAAUAAAGGGAUUGCAAAAACUGCUGUACUUGCUUUAAUGAAUCUAAAGGACAAUACAGAUUACAGAGAGCUAGCUGCUUGAGAUCAAUUAGGGAGGUACAUGAUGAACUAGCCAGCUCAUCACUGUAAAGAUAGAAGGAAUGAAUUGCGAGAGCAUGAGAAAAGCGAGCUCAUCCAGUAGCCUCUAUAUAGGCUUCCUAGUUUCAAAGUUGCAUUACAUCAAAUUCUUCACCCCCUGCGUGGUUGCGUAUAUCGCACUAGGACCCAUGACAUAAUUUGAUCCCACGGCGUCAAAGAAAACUUGGCGAAAGAAAUAAAGGUAACAAGCGAGUCUUGCACACUGGUACAGGACAGAAGACUGGUGCAGAAGGAUUUUCUUAGAGAGAGCCAAAAGUGCUGGGGAGAGCUAAUGCUGCAGCUAAGAACCCGUCAUUAAAUGGUGGCGUGAUCUGAAAACCGGUCUUGAUAAAACUUUUGGCAUGUCUUCCUUUAAUAAACUCCUCAUACCAAGAUACGGAGGAAACUUUUUGUUGUUCCAAAGAUAAUCCAUUCUCUGUUUUUGUUAAUUGCCCUCUUUAGUAAUUUCAAACUCAAAACAGGAUUUUAGGGCAGUCAGCUCUCCACUCCAGAAGUGCUGCCACUCGAUUUAUGCUUUAUUUUGGUCUUACCAAAAUAAAUUUAAAUAAGAAUAAUGCUUCUUUAACGCCUGUUAACAUCUUUUCAAACCUUUUUUUUUAUCAACUAUGGAGUUGCAGAAAGGAAUUAUCUCGGAUGCUGUUAUGACCAUCUGUGUAAGAAACAAUCAGAAGCUAGUCGGGUCGAAUGAUUUCAACAAUUGUGAGAACAUACUGUUCAAUCUCAAGACCCAAAUGGUCACGUCAAUAUCAUUCAACGCAUAAGAGUUUAAAGGAGUGUUCCCAACACCUGGCAAACUGAAAAUAGAGACUGGUGAAUGGGAGGCGCUCGUUCACAUACUCGCACAGUUAACAUUACAUCAAGAUCAGGUUCAAAACCCCAUCUGAUUAUGAUAACAAAAAGUUUUCACCUUUUACUCACUGUAACCCUCCUAUUCUCUCUCUCUCUCUAAUUUAGAGCUCGCUUUGGGAUCACAAUUUCUCAAAGUCAGCAAGACUCACUUUUUAUCCAAUUCUUUCACCAGACUCUGAAAUGAAGCUUUCAUUGACCCUAUUUCAAUCAAAUUAAAGUUUUUAAGUUCGUUAAGUGGUGGGGUGUCCAUAGGUGGUGAAACACUUUUAGCGCUGCAUCACCUGAUCCAGUUUCUUCACAGGAACUAAAGUACGGGACCCUGUGAAGACCAUAACAGAGGCUUCUAUUAUUACCAAGUAUAAUUGUACAUUUGCACACCCAACUAUAAAUCCUUAUCCAGAGAAGGUAUCCGAGGUAAGAUUCCCACAAUUUCUUGAGAAGUGUGCAUAUAAUUAACAUUGAUCAGCCAUCUUCAAGUUGAAUUAAUUGGGAUUGUAAAUUCCAGUUUGCAGAGGGCCCUGAAAACCAGGCAUACAACUCUUUGUGCGUAAGAAUUAUAUAUAGACACCCAAGGACUAAUGCUCAACUCAACCAUCCAGAGCAUUUUCUCGAAACCCUCUAGAAGGAAAUUUCUUCAAUUCAUUGAGAUGACAAUAAGUCUGGAAGGACAAAAACUGCCUCUAAAUCAAUUGGCUAAGUGUACAUAUUGUCCAAGUUACUGGUCUUUCAGUAUAUUGCUGCUUCCAUCAGCCAAAAGAGUAGUACAAGAACUCAUUUAUGCUCUCAGAAAACCUUUGAUAGUUUGGUUCUGCAUUCAGGAAACACUUUAUUUGUCUUCAUAAACAAAGGCGUUUUGGCACUUAAUAGCUGCAUAGGAGGGCCAACUGCCUCUAAUGAAAACUGACUAGCAAAAAGUAAGUAGGCAACAGCAUUCCCUAGCGCAUUCAGAGAGUGGCUAAUUAAACCAUCUGAAGAGUGGACGGUCAAGGGAUUCCUAGCUUUGAGAGAAUGAUCUCCUCUCCUUAGGUGGUACUGACUGUUAUCUUUGACUCGUUAAGUCAUUAUUUUGCACAAAAUGUGCUAGGCUGAGCAUUAUGCCCCCUUAAGACUAUCUCUAGUCCAAAGAGCAUUCGAAGACCUGUUUACAUGGAAUACUAACAAGUGAUAGAAACUCUAACCGGGGAUGUUAUACUUGCUAAAUAUGCUAGUGUGCCAAUCCAUGACCAAAUCAAGCCACAAAGCUAGGCAAACCGCAUUUGGAACUGGCUAGAUAUUGUAAAGAUACUAAACUUAGCAGCCAGGGAAAAACUGUUUAAUCUCUAGUUUUACAGGUAACAAAUUGGUUUUCUUCAGGCGGUCCCUUAAAUUGUGCACCAAAUGCUAAACUUAAAAAACUUAAAGUUGCAAGCCAUUAACAAAUCUAUGCUAUUCCAAAUUCAGCCUGUUCUUAGUCUAUGCUUAUCCUAAUUUACACUGCAAUUUUCUACUUCUAAUCUGAAUUACCCAGUAUUUUUGUCUAAGUUUUUCAAUGAUUCCAUUCAUGUCGAAAGUGGCUUUGUAGGUUGCAGAAAAGAGGAUGAAAUUAAAACAACAAAGUUAGCACCAACUAACACGAGGAAAUUCCUAGCACUCCAUGAAUUUGCCUUUGAGACAUAUUCAAGCACAGUCCAUUAGAUUCCAGUUAAAAUCACAGGCUAGAGGUGCAGUAGAAAAUGCUAUGACUUCAGCUGGUUCAUGGUUGUGCAGGGCAAUUUCUAAUAGGUAUUUGUUCAGAUGAACAAACUAGAAAAUCAAGCUUUGGGAGCAGAAAAUCUCACAUGAAUCAUAAAAUGCAUGUGCUGAUAUAUAAAAGCCGAAUAGCAAAUUUUAAUUGCAACAAGAAAAAAGAAGAGAAAAAUCCUACCAUUUUUGUUGGAUUGUACUCUUCAAGGACAAAGAGGACACCGGUAACGCAACACUUGAAGACUACCUGAACCAAAAUUACCCAUCAUUUUCUAGCUCAGAAACAGAAGAAAAACUGAGCGAGGAAUCAAGGGGUGAACCUGCAAGCGCGAGAGUUCUUUUCAUCACAUCUGAACAUAAUCAACAAGUUCAGAUAGAGAUGCUCUGAGAAAAAGGAAGUGACAGAAGCCAAUCAGUGACGAAUCCCAUAUCUACCAUAAGUUAGAUAGAGCUGAAAAGGAGAUCCAAGAUUGCAGUUUGACUGCUUUAACAAGUUAACUACAUCUAUUUCAACACUAACAGUAUAGUCUUGGAACAUGUUCACACUGUUUAAGAUAAACCCCCUCUGUUUCUAGGACAGAAUUUAAGGUGGGUAUUAAUGAGAAAGCUUAAUGACAGCUGUUUUCUUCUGUGAGAUCCAAAUCACAGAUUUUUGAGGAAGCGCACUUUUAUCCACAAGAAGGGUCACUUUGUGGGAGCAAAUAUACGCAUGCAGGUGGGAAAGUGGAUUCUGAUGGAUGGCUCACACUUUCACCAAACAAAACAAAAAGAGAAGAUGCAGGGGUCGAUGGCUUUGAAAUCUCCUCAUCUUUAGUUUAAAUCAUAGAGAAGUUUAUUUUUGUACUGAGGCAAUGAAUUAUAUGUUAUUGGAGCAUGCUUAUUACAUCAAGGCAUUGAUUAGAUUCUGGUGUGAGCAAAUGUAGGAUUGAGUUGGGAUCAAAAGCUACGCCCGGGAAAUUCAAGAUAAAAGUAGAGAAGCUCCCAAAAGCAUAACGUAAACGACCCACUUGCUACGUACUCCGGAGACUCGGGGCUGCUUUUGUAGUUAUCAUGGGGGAGGAUGGGAUUCCAUCUAGCCGGCUAGUGCACAAUGAAUUAUAGUUCACUUGGGCCAAAACAGAGAACACACUUUGCCAAGUUGAAUUCCCACAGAAGUACUAUAUCACACCAUAUAUGUUACGUUACAACAUACGUUGAAAUCCCUUCAUCUCCCUUUCUAAAUUUCACUUCUUCUGGGUUAAAAAAACAAAUCAUAAUAUACCUCUAAAAGCAAAUGCAAGUCAAUCAAACAUAAAUUUCAACCAUGCAAAAAUGGGUUGGAUGCAAUCACAAGUCAAGUUGGAUUCACCAGUCACAUUCUUUUUUUUUUUUUUUUUCCUUUUGUUUUUAUUUAAGGAAAUCGACCUUGAUCAUGUAGCUAAUUCUUGGAACAUAAGUUGUUAUUAAUUUUUUAUUUAUGGUUAAAAAAAAAAAAGAAAGACAGAAGAAGGCAAGAGAGAGGGUUUGAGAGUUCACAACUCUAUCGUCUUAUGCUAACACAUUUAGCCCACAGAGGACAACUGUUUGUUUGACCAUCGGCUUUAGGCCCUUCUCAUUGAAGCCUGAAGGAGAGUUUGUGAUCCAGAUAGUCGACAAAUGCCGUCAUCAUAUCGAUUUACAUUUGACUAAUGGACUUGCAAAUUUCAGCACCGUGACCCUGAAUAGACCGCCAUCAAAAUGAAACAAUCGCCGAAUUUGUUGACAAGUUCAUGAUAUGGACACUCAUGGUCAUGGAUAAGAAAACAACGAGAAGAGAAAUCACCAUCAUCUCACAGGAGUAUUACAUACACAAUACAUGCAUACACAAUAGGAAGAUGGUACUUCUUAUCGGUAUUGGAUAGCUAGUUCGUUCUCACAGUUGAUUGCAUUCGUACAAAUCCAGUCCUUCAUUAGACUUCACAUGCAGGAUCACAGAAUAACUCAGCAUUUUAGUAUAGCACUGUUCUCGAGAACAAGCAGUCUCAAGAUAUCCAGUAAAUUAUUUGAGCUAGACUAGAAUUUCUCAAGCACAACCUGCCAAUCAUCUUGCUGGUGUUGAUGAUGCCCAAAUUUCAAACAACUAGGACCUCUUCAUGAUUGACAAUGCAGUCAUUACCAGCGUUAUAUGUGUGUGUGUGUAUCUACUAACUCGUUGCCCGAACGACUACCGCAACCACCACAAGCACCAGCCUGGACACCGGGUGCACCCGCAAUCUUAUUCCCACAAUUACCACCACAGCCUCCUCCACAACCACUAGCAUUCACGUAGGGCGCACCACUGAUCUUAUUGCCACAACCGCCACCGCACCCCCCACCACAGCCUCCGCUCUUAAUCAUAUUACUACAACCACCCCCACAACCUCCACCACAUCCCCCACCACAUCCUCCACCACAACCCCCACUCUUUAGCACAUUCCCACAAUUAGCACCACAUCCUCCACCACAUCCUCCACCACAUCCCCCACAACCGCCACUCUUUAGCACAUUCCCACAAUUAGCACCACAACCACCACAAGCCCCACUCCUCACUUCACUGCCACGCCCUCCACUACAGCCACCACCGGAUGUUCCUCCCUUCCCCAUUGUAAUUGCAUUUCCUUGCGAGACCUCAACAUCUAACUUCCCAUCUUCUUGUACUGUAGUUGGAAUAGUUUUGCUGACAUCCAACGGACAUUUGCUAGCUUCUUUAUCUAAAAAUUUGUUUUCCUCCAAAUUCUUGCCGCUGGAAUUAAUGCUGAUAUAUCCCUCUUUUCUCAGUAUCUCACCAAGUAUGAAAGCCAGUACCAGACCAGGAAACAGCAACCACUCUUCAUUAAUCUAUUUUUCCAACAGAAGAUGCCGAGCAUGGUAAGGCAAGGCAAGUUGAAAAGUCUUCACCUCAAAUCUGUAUAAACAUUCAUAAAGAAUAUAGUUUACCUUGACAGUUCCAGAUUUGAAAUCAAACAAUGCCAAUGCCUUGCCAUAGGGGUCUUCCGCAGAAAAUUCGACUGCUGUCAGAAAGUCACGAUCAUUCCUUUGCUUCUCACAGUGCUUUGGCUCAUAUUCCAGCUUUCUACCAGGAAAUAGUUUUACCUGUACCAAGCAUGGAAAAGGUACGAUGGAUGCAUGGUAAAAACUAUAAAAACAUGUUUCUGCCACAGGUUGAAUUACAAAAGGAUGUACCCUAGGUCUUAUCUCUUGCUUACCCUCCAACUUUCACGUUUUUCCAAGCGAUUCUUAAGGAGAUCAUAUUUCUUAACUCAUCCGUAUAUGAAUCCCUAAGAACAUUCCAAAAGGCUAAAACAUAAAGACAUAUGGUAUUUUUAUUUUUCAUUUUGGCACAGAGAAGAUGCUUGUUUUUCAUGGGAUUUAGCUUAGCUAAAUAGGUAAUGGAUUCUCUGUUCUUUAUUAAUAUCUUUGGUGUAGGAAAGAGCAAAAGAAAAAGCAGAGUGAAAAAAAAAGAAACUGGAAAAUCUGACGCUGCAAUUUCCCUCAGGUAUCAUCAAAAAGAGCUAAACAUAUGAGAAGUUUUAAUUUCUAGAAACUUGUAUAUAAUCAACUAUGAAGAGAGGCGCAAAUAUCAUGGUAAAGCAAAGGAAAUCACAUGAUUGUGCAAUUCCAAUGUAUCUGCACUGAAACACCUGGAAAAAGGAUAAAUGCUUACUCUAUGGUCACCAAUCAGCUCCAGAAGAUAUCCAUCUUCAUUGACAGUCCCUGGAAGCUUGACAGACCAGUUGGAAUCUAUCAGCAACCACUCUGUCCCAGAAAACUCUGCAACCCUGUUUGUGCCACCGGAUUUUAUGAUGCCAAUCACCUCUUUUCUCAACAUGGAAUCAUUCUUUUCCUUUGACUUCUUGAAAUCCCUAGAAUAAAACAAUGACUUAUUUCAGAUUAUCUGCAGCACAGUUGAAAUUCAAUAAAUGGAGAAACAAAUAGUACUCAUACUAUCAGGACACCGUAGUUUUGCAUCUUUAGUGAAGUUGCAGAAUAUAAUACAAGUAAGAAGAAUGAAGAUACGCUUAUGAUAAAUCUCAAAGCAAAAUCUUCAGGAUCUGCCAAGCAUAGUAUCUGGAAGAAUCAGCAUUGACAAGCUCAAAAAGUUCCAUCAGACAAGUUUAAUCAGUCAGUUCCUGGGCCAAAGUUCAUGUAAACACAUGUUGCAGCACAGUGUAUGUCUUUGAAUUUAUUCUCAGUUAAAUGCCAAUAUGAAGAAGACAAUCCAUGGGAUGAACACAAAAUUGGAGGUUAAAUGCCAACAUGAAAAAUAUAAUUGUAUGAGAUGAAGUACAAAGCCAAAGAACUUGAAUACUUGCAAUAUGUAAUGGCAAAUGAUUUAAGGAAUUUCUAAUAUUAUGUACAAAGUGGAAUUCCUUUUUUUAGUGGAGAACCUAGGCCCUUGUGCAGAAAGAAAUUGUAGAUAAACAGAAGAACUGUCACAAAAACAGCAAAUGUUUUAAACUCAUACCUCAUUUGAAGGCUGAUGACUUCUUUGCCAUUGUCAUCAAUGAUGCGAGUCCAGCUCUUAGCUAGAUGUACCCUUCCUGGCAAUGGGAAGAAGCAAGAAUUUUUUGAAAAUGGUAGUGAACGAAUCAAGUGAAAAAUGUGAGGUGCAUUGGUUGGUACAGUAGUUGAAAGGGCAACUCGUAAGUAGAUAGGCUUCGAGCUCAAAUAAUUAGAACUAGGUAACAACUCCAACCAUUUUUCCAUGGUAAGAUUAGAUAAUGGGGACAAUGAAUCUUCCAGAGAUAUGGAACAGGAACCCAGAGUCUUGGCUGGCUUCGAUAUCGGUAAGUUGGAAGCUGAGUGGCACAUAAGUUCAAAGAACAGAUGCCCAGUAGGUUGACAUUGAAAACAAGCAACCUGUUUCUCCCCAGACUGUGACAAAAUAGUGAGACUUCUCUUGGCGUUGAAGAUUGUGUCAGGCUGAGUCUUACUAAAUGAGACAAAAAGGCCUCCCUUAUGUCCCUCGCUAAGGUCUUUCACAUCCACAAACUCCAGCAUUACCUGAAACAAUUUAGAGAUUUGUUUUUCUAGGUCAAAGAUUAAGUACAGAAAAACAAAGGCACCAUGUGAACGUACAAUGACAAAUAACCUGGUUAAAUGACCGCAAAAGGCCAAUCCACCCCCAAGUUGGGAGCUUAGCCGAAGUCAAACUCUAAGGUAAAUAACACCCCAAAUAUGCAAAAGGUGGAAAGAUAGUUACACAAACUCAACAAGCUCAAACAGCAUACACCACAUGCCAUUAGAACUAUUAGACCACGUGAUUAAAUCCAUACAAGUUAAGCUAUCUGCAAGUUGGAGUGCAGGACUACAAGUUGCUCUCUUUCUCUCUCACGUCGGUCUGCGUGAGAAUGUGUUUUUGUGAGACUGUUUUGGGUGGGUGGUUGGCUUCCAAUGUUGACACCAUUUGAAUCACAGAAUUUUGGGUAACCCCAAUUACUGGUUCCUAGCAAGGUGAUUCACUUUUACCAAAUUCCAUAUGUUCCUUAAACACCAGACUCCUCACAUCCUGCCAGUGCCAUCAUAGAAAUAUAUCCAAUACAUACUACACAGAUAUGAUGGCAAGUUGCAAUGUGUGUUGUGUAUAUGCAUAUGAGUUGAUGUAUAAACUGUCAAAUUAGCAUAAAGGUUCAUUCAAAUUACCUCAACAGCUUUCAAUUCAGAGAGAUGCAUUAUUUUCUGAUUCUCUUUUGAUGGAUAGUCCUUCUUCAAAUCAAGAGAUGGAUAUGGAGUAGUCCUUAGAGGUAAAGGGGCAUUGCCUUUGUGCAUUGCCCCUGCUCUCCAAUAUCUUACACCAUACAUCUCUUCCCACUUCUCGGUAGUUCCAGAAAAUCCAACAUCCAACUUCUUCCCUUUUGUUCUGUCUGAAUCUGUGUCAUCAUGCUCUAAUACCUUCCCCAUUAUUUCCACAAGGUCUUUGCAAUAAGAAGCUGGAUGCAAUUGGUGGGUGUGCCACAUAAGGUCAAUGUCAUAAGUAGGAACUGAGAAGCUCUUUAUUGAUCUCUCCCUGUUUCUCCUGAUUAGAUGCAAAAACCCUUUGUAUCUAGCCACUGCUCCUUCUAGGUAGAACUCAUUGCUCAUAUGCGGCCUUGCCACCUGGAACAUAGUAAGGCUGAGACAGACUGACCAAUAUCUAACUCAUCAUCUCAAUGAUGGCAAGAUAUUCUCCUCAAAAUCAUAUAGUCCAGUAGUACGUCUCAGCCAAACUGAUCUAGUGCAAAGAGGAAUAGGACCUGACCUUUCAAUCCAAAUAUCUUUUAUACAAUAGAAUGUACAUAACAUUCAACAGAUUGCAGAUGUCUCGUUGUCAUAGUGGGUAAAACAAUAAACCUCAUGGUUAGCAAAGUGGCAUGUAUUUAGUUACUCUAUUCAACCCUAGUGAAAAGAAAAACCAUUUUUGCAUGAAACUCCUGUACUAAAACCCAAAACUAAGCAAAAUCACUUCAAAGUGCCGGUAUACAUUGGGAAGAAUUUCCAAUUGAGAAACGUUAUAGCAUUUUAGGAUGUAUUUCUGGAACCAAGAACCAUGCAAUGACUUAGUAAGGGUACAAGACUCUGAAAAGAAAGAGUUAUCAAGGUUUUGUGCAAUAUAGAGGAAAGAGUGGCUACACAGAAAUCUCCGGUUGCAAGGUUACAGUUUUAUAUAUAUAGUCUCACCCAAACCAAAACUUGUAACAAGGUUUUCCUCAGAUUUACCUGGUAAAAAAAUGGGCUUUGCCUCUUAACAGCAGCUAGCAGAUCAUAUUUGGUGCAGUUUUCCAAUCCAGAUAUUUCGUCAGAAAAAGUGUCUGAAAGAGCUUUGGCUGAAUUGAGUUCAAAGGGCACAUCUAGGUACAGAUUCUUCCAUAUCUCUUCAGUUUUAGUUUUUGAUGCCCCUCCAACAGUGGAUACAACAUUAUGGUUGUCAAGAACACUUCCAUAGAGUUCCUCGCAGUCAGAUUUGUAUCUAACCUGGAAGUAGGAUUGUCAAAAUUCCAACACGUUAAAUUGGACAAGUAGCUCGGAUGAGAUAGAGAGUAAAUUAAACUAUACUCUGACCAAGAAGACAUACUGGAUUCAGCCUGUGGCAAUGCCAAAUCCAUUCACAAUCAAGAGGGACAACCAAAGGUCCUUCAAAGAAUGGGGACACCGAAUGCUUGGCCAGCAAUGGAAGCCAAUACGCAUUAUACCUGUCAAAUUAAGUUCUCAAAACUGUCAAGUGGAGACUCUUGAGUGGCUAAUAUUUAUUCUCUAAUAGAUGUAACAAAUUCCACAAGACUGUAAAUGUAGCUUAAAAAUGUAUGACCCAGAAAAAGAAAAGGUAUAAAAACUUCUUCUCGCAACUCUCUUAGGCAAUUAUGGAAUAAUUUUAACAACAAUAUUUUCUAUUUGGAACACUUUUAGGACAAAUUGUUCCCACGAGUAAAAGGUUAUGCACAUAACAGCGCGGAAAGGUUAGCACUUAUCCUUACUGCAAGGAUUUCCUGAACAAUCUAGGAAACUUAGUGAUUGUUUGGAAAAACUAAAUUAAUCAAGAACAUGGUCUCAAGCAUGAAAAAUGACACAUUAAAACAAUUCAUUGUGGUAGCCUUUGAGCUCGAAUGCGAUAUUAUACCUAUGGAUGGCCAUAUCCAGAGCAGGACCUUCAUAAAGCCAACGGUUCCUAUCAACAGCCGCGAGAAACUCCAGCUGUCUUUUCGCCGCGGCAACAAGGUCUACAUUUAUCACAAUAUUCUGCGCUUUCUUCCACUCCAUUUCGUGCUCUAUCUCCAUAGUUCUUCUCCCUGAUUAUCAAACUGUCAAAUCAAAUCACAAGCUCAUCAUCCUCCGCGGAAAAUACUAUCAUAACUAUAAAGACAUCAUCCAUUUCGCGCGAAGAUGAUAGUUAAAAAGUAUCAACACAUCGCCCAAAGUUAAAAAAAAAAAAAACGACGCCGGUUGAAAUUUUUAGAAUAUGCCCGGAAUACAGUUUGUCCCACCUGGAAAAGUUGAAUUGUUGAAUUGAAUUGAGCAGAAAAAGGUGUCGGCGGAAAGUCUCUCUCCUCCGGCGACCGUGAGUUAGAAUCAAUGGCUCACAAGCGUGAUCGUGGCAAUAACGUUGACGGUUCUUCCUCAGUGAAGAAUGGUGUUUAGGAUUUCGGGGUAAUUACGGGGAUGGUGCGACUUGUGAAGGUUCGGUAUUUAUAGUUAUCCUAGCGUGUACGAAACACUUGACAAGUACAGGUUUUUAUUUCCCGGACGAAAUUGUCCUUCAGAUUCAGAAACCGCGCCAAUCAGAAUUUCCAACAGUUCUCUUUUAGUAGUAUUUAUUAUUUUUCAGAGUCAAAAUAGUUCUUCUUUUCAAACUGUAAUUUCCUUUACGACGUUCUGACAAUUUCUUGGCCAGAUUUUACUGGUAAGACCUGCAGAACAAGUUUCUUAAAAAAUAAAUAAAUAAAAAGAGAAAGAAAUUUCAUUUGUUAUCUCCGUUUAAAUUAGUUAUUUUUGGAUAUAUUUUUAAAAAACUUUACUGUAAUAAUAGUGUAUAUAAAAAAAAAAAUUUUUUGAGAUUUUUUUUGAGUUGUUUUUAUUUAUGUAUUACUGGAGUAUUGUAUUUGAAAAAUAGGAAAAUUCAAACGAAAUUGAAAUUCUAUGAUUGGUGUUGACCUGCUCGCUCGGACACCAUAUAAUUAUUGAUUAAUCAGAUAUAUUAUAUUGAAAUUCUUGUGCUUCAAUAGAGAAUGGAUAAGCUUUGAGGGGAUAUCAUUGAGCUCAACUACUUAUUCUUGCAUAAAUUUUUUUUUAAAAGUUUUUUAUAGUUCCCUUAUUCUCAAGAGAGAGUGAAUUAGAUCCCAAAACUAUCCUCUUGAUCUUGUGAAAAGAAAAGGUAAGCCGCAAGAUAAUAUGAGGGGCAAGUCAACGCAUCGCAUUUUUCAAAUCAAAAAGAAAAUUUUCAAUGUAGUUAAUAUUACUUCAUAACCAAGUGAAUAAACAUAGAUCAUGAUUCAGAUAUCACGAUCCCUUACAAGAUUUCCCGUCUUAGAUACAAAAAACAGAGGUAAUAAUUUGUUCAUUUGCUCCAAAAAAAAAAAAAGAGAGGAAAGAAUUUAAUAAUCGAAACAACACAAGGAAGUUUGGUGGACGGUGAUUAUUAUCACCAAAUUCAUUUUCGGCAUCUACCAUUGUACUGGAGAAGCAAAGAGCUGUAAAAGGGCAAUAAUGGUAUGUUGUACUGGUGGGUGGUACUACUACUGAACAAGCAAAUGCAGUAGUACAAUUGCGCAAGCAAACCACCAACAAAACAAAAACCCCAACAACCCACGAUGAAAAAACCAAAAAACCCCCGCGGGGUCCAAAGACACCAGCAUCAGCAAAACAGACUACGAUUGAUGUGAUGCAUCAAUCACGAUAAUCAUCGAGGGGGAAGACAGACAAGACUGUUUUCUUCUUUGACCGUCUUCUUUUCUCAAGAAGUUCUCAACUUUUCUGGCGAUCAUCCGUUUCAGCUUCGACCACUUUUAUCCCUAAAUUAAGCGAAGUGCAAAACAAACAUGAACUAAGCGUAAACAAGUUUGUCUCAUCUCUAUAUCACGUUCCUCGGACCUGAGGAAUUAGUUAGCCAAUGACGAUUGCAUGCCAGGAAUGCAGCAGAUUUGUUGCUUUUCUGCUUGUAUCGGGUAUCAACCAAAAAAAAAAAACAAUGCACAGUGAGUACCAUUUAAACAUUGUAUUGAAGAAAUUUCGUGACAGAUGCCAACAGUGAUGUACAAGCAGUCUUAAGACGAAAGAAUUCUGCAAAUUGUUUAAACCAAUAGGUCCAAUGUCUUGCAUGCUUGCCGCAAAGACUACGACUCAACGUAAAUUGAUUACCUUCAAUUAGGUAAACUAACAAAAAAUUCACCUUCUAUAAUCCUGCUACGUGCAUGCCAUUGCAUGGUUAUAACUUGAGACCAACUCACUUCCUGACCUCCUGAUAUUCUGUUUCUUGGGCUUCAUCACCACCCUGAGGGUCAGACCCUCCAGAGGUAUUCCCACCGCUACCUCCAGCCAUAUGCUCUCCAAUCUUUGAAACGGCUUUAUUUGCAGCUUCCAUCUUUGCCUUUAUUUCAUCAACAUUUUCUCCAUCCAUUGCUUUACGUAGAUCUGAGACUGCAGAUUGUAUUUGAGUCACCACCUCAGCUGGAACCUUAUCCCUAAACUCUGUUAAGCUCUUCUCAAUGCUAUAAAUGGUUGUCUCAGCAGAAUUUCUCUGAUCAAUCAGUUCUUUUUUCUCCAGGUCCUUCUGUGAAUGCAGCUCGGCUUCUUUGACCAUCUUUUGAAUCUCAUCCUCAGAAAGCCCUCCGGAUGAACGUAUUGUUAUCUGUUGUUCUUUCCCAGUAGUCUUGUCUUUAGCUGAAACUGUAACAAUGCCGUUGGCAUCAAUGUCAAAUGUUACUUCAAUUUGUGGAUUCCCCCUAGGGGCAGGUGGAAUUCCUUCAAGAUUAAACUCCCCUAGAAGUUUGUUAUCUGCUGCAAAUUCGCGCUCCCCUUGAAGCACUUUAAUAUCAACUUGAGUUUGGUUAUCAGCAGCUGUGGAGAAGACCUGAGAUCAAAAUAAACAUAGGCUGAAUAAUUUGAUCAAACCAUCAAAUUGUCCCUCCUGAAACAUGUUUUAUCUAAAGAGAAGUGCAAUAAACCAUUUUAAUCAUGGUGCAACAACGGCUAAGCAACUCUAAGAUAUCUAAAGUUUUAACAUUGGUAGGAAUAUUCUGCAAUGGUUAUUUCCCGCAUAGCCAAGGGCCUAAUUAUGACCAUUACAUUGCCAUACACAAAACGUGAGUUGAUGCAUCUCCACAACCAAAACAUAGGUGGGAGAUGUUGAAUGGAACAAGUUUUGGCAAUAUUAAUUCUAAAGAUCUACCAAUCAGUUAUCCUUUUCCUUGCAACAACUACAAUUCAAACGUAUGCAAGUAAACUCACCUGGGACUUCUUUGUUGGAAUUGUUGUAUUUCUGUUAAUUAACCUGGUGAAAAUGCCACCCAUAGUUUCUAAACCAAGUGAGAGAGGAGUUACAUCCAAUAACAGAAGAUCCUUCACAUCACCACGUAGAAUACCACCCUGAAUGGCGGCUCCCAUUGCCACAGCCUCGUCAGGAUUGACACCCCUGCUUGGGCUCUUACCAAAAAUUUCAGCAACUACUUGCUGUACCUUAGGGACACGGGUCAUUCCUCCAACCAGAAGAAUUUCAUCUAUAUCUGUGGUGGAGACACCGGCAUCCUUCAGACAGCUUAUACAAGGGGCUUUAGUCCUUUCAAUCAAGUGAUAUACAAGAGUCUCAAACUUUGAUCUGGUCAAAGUCACAUUAAAAUGCUUUGCUCCAGAGGCAUCUGCAGUUAUGAAUGGCAAGUUGAUUUCAGUCUGAGAUGUUGAAGAGAGUUCUAUCUUUGCCUUUUCAGCAGCUUCUCGCAGCCUUUGCAGGGCAAGCUUGUCUUUUGAUAGAUCAAUCCUCUCUGCCUUCUUGAAUUCGCUCACCAAGAAUUCCAGCAUUGUGUUGUCAAAAUCCUCUCCUCCCAAAAAUGUGUCUCCAUUAGUUGCUUUUACCUGUUUGCAGACGUUUAAACAACCAACAUAAGACACAUAAAGGAGAUGCAGAUCACAUAAAACAUGUAAAGAUAGUUUUUCCCCCCUUGGUAAUAACAUGUAAAGAUUGAUGAUUACCUCAAAGACACCAUUUGAUAUCUCUAGAAUGGAAAUGUCAAAAGUACCACCUCCUAGAUCAAAAACUGCGAUUGUCCCUUCCUUGUUGUUGACUCCAUAAGAAAGUGCAGCAGCAGUGGGUUCAUUAAUUAUUCUUUCCACAGUAAGACCUGCUAUCCUCCCAGCAUCCUUUGUAGCUUGUCUUUGAGCAUCAUUGAAGUAGGCUGGAACCGUAAUUACAGCUCUGUUCACACUUUUGUUAAGGUAAGAUUCGGCGGUCUCUUUCAUCUUAGUAAGUAUGAAUGCUCCAACCUGGCUGGGAGAGUACGUUUGUCCAUUAGCUUCAACCCAAGCAUCUCCAUUAGGUGCUCUGACUAUCUUAUAAGGCACCAUUUUCAAUUCCUUUUGUGUCUGAGGAUCAUCAAAACGCCUUCCUAUGUAACGUUUAGUGGCGAAAAGUGUAUUUUGUGGAUUGGUCACAGCUUGACGUUUUGCCGUAGCUCCCACAAGCAAGUCUCCUUUCUGGCUAAAAGCAACUACAGAUGGGGUGGUUCGGGUUCCUUCGGCAUUCUCAAUAACUCUGGCAGUCUACACCAAUCAUUAGUGAGCAAUGAGUGAAACGGCUCAUGCAAGUUAUUCUGCAAGGCUAAAGAAGUACCAAGUCAAAUGAGAAAGAAGAACUAAACCUUUCCCUCCAUAAGUGCAACACAUGAAUUUGUGGUACCCAGGUCAAUUCCAAUGACAUCAUCAGCUAGUGGCCUUGAACUUAAGAUGGAAAAAUGGAAAACGCAUUAGCAGACCAGGAAAGUUCAAAAGGCAGAAAUCAAGCUGUUGCCAGGUUGUGGUUACCUGAAGUAUCUGAGACUAGUCAACAUCCUUGACAAAGGAGAGGUAGCAGGGGAUGCCCUAACAUUUCCCACCAACUGCAAUAGCAAAAGUAUACAUGAUAAUCUUCAGACAAAUACAAACAUCAAUUCUUGGAAACUCCUCAGAUCUGCUUAUUAUUACAAUCUGUUAUUUGAACGGAUUAUCACGGGAACAAUCCCAAGUACCAUGCUCAAAAACCAGCACUAGCUUAACAGUAACAGGACAAAAGAUUGAGGCCUAAGAGUAACCGAAGAGCAUGCAAAUAACAACUAAUUCAUGUAGAACGAACUAGGCUAAACCAAUUAGAUCUGCCAACCAGCUGAUUAUUGUUUCUCAUAAAGCCUAAUUAAACAAUCCACUGUUUAAGAAUUACAAGUCCCAAUAAGCUACAUGAAACUUACCACAAAAAUUGCAGUCUUUCCCAAUUCCGUAAGAGAAAAAUUCAAACUUUAGCAAAUUAUGUUCCAUUCAUUCAUCUUUGAUACCAACAACAGAGUAGAAUCAAAAUAUAGCUCAGUAACUGAGGGUCUUUAUUUCUCGUUUUGGAUGCCUCAGAAGAGAUAUCCUUUUUUCAUACAGAAAACAUUGUAUUAAAUAUAAAACUUAAUUAAUUAAAACAAGAUUUCAACACUAAAAAAAAAGAAAAAAGAGAAAAAAAAAGGAACCAGAGCUGUCCGCAAUACGCAUAUAUAUCAUCGUGUGCAAGAAAAAGAAGACAAAGAAAUAUAAGACAAACAGAAAGCAUUGACACCGGAGGUAAAGACAUAUGUGGUGAUCAAGAAAGAGGGAAGAAACUCACGGAUCUCGAAGCAGCUAAAGCAGAAGUAUGCAAUUCCGGGCGCCUAAGGGCCGACCGCAGGAGUAUCGAAGUGGCCAUGUUAGCGGAGAUUUGGUGUAUGUUGUUCCUUGGUAGAAGUAGAACUACGUUCUUUGUUCUGGAGGACGGAAGCUACAUGUAGGGUUUAAGCCUGAGAUUGGGUAUAGGGUUUAAGGCUGCCCAUGUCGUUUACGAGGACACCUAAAUGCUUGUGUUUUGCUUGGGGGAGAGGCUACUGAAGGUUGGAAAAAAAAAAAAAAAAGUCAAACCCGUUACUGGUGGCAAUGGGUUGGAUUCAACCCGAACCACGAGGCUACCCCCGACCCGAUUUCCUAUAACGGUAAGGUUACCUACAGCAGCUUUUUAUUUUUGGGGUAGCGCUUCAAAAUGAUCGACGCAACAUUCGUUACUCAUCUCUUUAUUAGUACUGUGCUUAAAAUUUACAAGGCAAAAUUGUGCUUCGUCUUCCAUGAACCAUCCAUCAUGACAACCAAGUAUUGAAUUUAUUAACAGCAAGUGUUUCUCCAUAGCUUAUAAAUAUUUUCUCAAAAUCAAAGGGAGUCCAGUAACCCAUGACUAUACAAACUGCUGCAUGUGAUUGUAAACAAUUUAUUGAAGUACCUCAACCCGCUGGAUGACGUUAUGGCAAACACUUGGGUAGACCCGAUUUAUGUAGAGCAUGUGAUCUCAAUAUCGUUACGCCAACUCACUAAUCCAAGAAUGGAAUAAGUGAUAAAAUUUGAGUCACGUGAUCUCCAAGACCAGUUCUACCUAAGUUUUUGCCAAAAGUUACUAUGAUGUGAUACAUAACACUAUAACAGCAUUUGGCGGCUACAGCAUUUAACCAGGUACACUGAGAUACAAGAGAAGAUUUCAGAAUUGCGCUUGAUGACUCGACAACAUGAGCAGAUCUUCUGGCUUAAUGUAGGUGUGAUGAUAUCUACAGAUGGG